rnacentral:lncRNA from 1 species
UGGUGGUGUUGGUGUUUCAGUUUCGGUGAUUCAAAGUUUGGUAAUGUUCGAGUCAACGCAGUUUUAACUACUGAGGAGAGAGAAAGCGAGAGAGGGAGAGAGAAAGAGAGUGAGUGAGUCGGAUACGCAAAGUGCGUGGAAACGCAUUCAAGUGUGAGUCGUUUUGUUGGCAGAGCAAGGGAGAAGAGUACUUUUGUUUGAAUGCACAAAGUAGAAAGCUGCGUCCUGCACCAGGAGGAGCACGUUAGUUGUUGGUCGUCUUAAUUAAAGGGUAAUGCUAGACUUAUCAUAUUUUUAUAUCAUAUUAUAUACUACUUUUUUAAUAGAGAUAGAGCCUAUCAAUACAAUGGGGCUCACCUCUAUUAGAAAGAGGUGGUACACAAUGUGGUAUGAAAAAUAUGAUAAGCCGAGCAUUUUCCUAAUUACAAACUAAGGCACGUAGUAAUAGGAGACGUAGUUAGAUUAGUUGGUCAGGUUAAUGAGUCGGUGUACUUGUAUACAAGUUUGAAUUUCCCUAAUUUAAACUAGAGUUUGUAUUAUACAAUAAAAGUUUUAUUUCUAAAUUUGAAAAUCAACAUUAAAAAUUUUCCUAAAUGUUGACGUUGCAAUAUUUUUUUUUUAGUACAAACGAUAGUCUAAACUAAAGAGAAUGAGAAUUUCCAACACACACAACUAAGUGUCAUGAUGGUGAGCAAGGUCUAAAAUAUCGAUGGUUUCAAAAAUAUCGGUGGUUCAAAAACAUGAAAUUUUCAAUGGAAAUAAUGGGAAAUUAUCGAUAUCAAUAAAAAUUGAAUAAAAACCAUGAAAAGUGUAUGAAAAACUUGGAAAUUUUUCUUGAAACUUUGGAGGAUGUUUAUUUAGUCAAUUAUCUGUUACUUUAUCACAAAACUCCUUUUCAUUGAUUUCUCAUCCAAAGAUUGAUGAUUUUAUAUUUAAAAAAGUUCUCCAAAUGACAAAGUUUGCCUUUGAGAUUAGAUUGCAUAUACUUUAUUGAGGUUAAUUUUGUCAUUUGCAUAAGUUUUUUUUCAAUGAAAUUAUCAAUUUUUGGACAAAUAAUCAACGAAAAAUGGGUUUCGUGAAAACAAACUAAAACCUUAGUGAGUGUUCAUGUAAUAUUUGAGACCUGAGUGGAUUUUGUGAAAACAGAAAAAACCUCAUAGGGUGUUAGUGCAAAUAACUCUUUAAAUUUUUCAUUGUCUUCAUCAUCUCAAUAUUAUUGAUAUUAUAGCGAUAUUUUGGCCAAAUGUUGCUGAAGUAUGAGAGAAAUUAUCGACGUCGAUAUUUUCUGAUAUUAUCGAUACUUAUACGAUAUAUGUAUGGAUAUGUUCCAAAAUAUUCGAGACCCAAAAAAAGGAUAAUAUCCUCAAUAUUUUAUCGAUAUUAUCGUUAUUUUAGUCCUUAGGUGUGCGAACCUAAGACCUCUGAUCUGUAAAUCAAAACCCUUUUUCAUUAGGCUGGAUCCCGUUGAUAAUAAAAUAGUCAUAUUAAUGUACUAUAAAUUUGGUAAAGUAAGCCUAUUAAUUAGAUCAACACUACUUUGAAGAAAAACAAUUUGUUCUGUUUAAUGAUCUCAAUAAUUUGUUAAGAAUACGAAAAUACUAUGAAAAUUGAAUACUAGAAGAUCAUAAGUUUCGGUUUGUUUUGUAGUGCGACAAAUAGUUUCAAUAAAAAAUAACCUACGUAUGAUGUGACUUAUUUUAGAUGCCUGAGAUGGGGACGCUAUAACAUAAUGGCCUAAAGGUACAUCAACUUGUGACGAAUAUGGCAAAAGAACGACCUUAUUUUCGAAGGACGGGUCAUUUCCAUUUUAAUAAUUCACCUAUUCACUUCACAAAUCAUAGAUUCACAAACACAUGGAAGAAAAAUUUCGUCAUUGUUGGUAUCAUUCUUCAAUCACACUCAAAACAUUGCUAAUAAAAUAAUAGUAAUAUAUAAAGUAAGUAUGAGAUUUCGAAACUUUAUUUACUCUAGAAUGUUUACUUGUUAUGAAUGAGUAGUUGAAUAUUAUUUCAAUUAUUGUUUCUCGUGUAUUUGUUAACUGUGUAUCGGUUAAGAUAUGAGUAGUUUAAUGAUUUCAAUUCGUAGCAUCUUUUAUAUUUACUAACACAUAAAAAAAUUAAAAAAAAUUUGUAAUUUUUUAACGUUAAAAUCUGUAAUCAAAUACUUUUGUUUUUUAUAUUAAUUAUUUACAUCACAUCAAGCAAAAGAAAUUAAUAUGUAAUGAAAAAUUGUUUUAAAAAUGAUUCUGUAGACUCGAAAUGUCAACAUGCAACAGGGUUGUAUGUUAUUUUGUAUUAGCUGAAAUAGUUGAAGGCGGCUUGGGCCAUGUUUAAUAUUCUUGUAUGCAGCUACGUAAAACUUAAAAAACCCAAAAACAAACAAGAGCCGUUUCUUUUUUUUAAGCAAUCAAAUUGUUUUAUUGAUUGGAAUAAACCGUUGUUUAUUUGAUUCGAUGGCCGAAAAUAGAGGAGAGCCGAAUCACCAUAAAACUUUGGGAAGAGAUACAGAGAGAGACGUCAAGAGCCCAUUAAACUGUUCAAAUCGUAGCCCAAGACCCUAACAAAGCGCCAAACCAUUUGAUCCCUUUUCCUUUUCCUCUCUAGGUUUAAAUCCAUUUUCUUUAACCAAUAAAAGUUGGGUUAAAUGUCCAUCUAAUUCCAGUGUUUUGUUUGGAUUUUUAAUCUAGUUAUUUUGGUUUGAUGUCUUUUUUUGUGUAAUUUGGGCAUUAAUGUGAGCACAUAGAGGUUGUCACAUCAAAGUCGAUUAACGUCUAAUUAAGCAAAAUUGAGAAACUUCCGGUGUAACAAUAUCCUUAUUUGGUGUUUUCAAUGCACUCGUGUUAUAAUAUGUGUGUUCGUUUAUUAAUAUAAUGCCAUAAAAUUGACAUGUUGAGAUUUUUUAUGCGAUUGUUGCACAAUUACGUGUUGUAACCAAUCUGGUUCAUUAUAAAACGCAAUCUCGGUCUAUUUCUCAAUAAAACGCAAGAAACAAAUUGCCUAAAUACAAAACACAAAAGGCCAAAGUAACAAUUUGGCAAAGCAUAUCGACCAAAAUGGUAUUUCGGCCCUUAAAAAUGGGUGGAAACCAGACAGUUCCAGUUCAAAGUCGUUGGGAUCCAAAAACAACCCAAUAGCCAAGCGUCCAAAAAGUUGUUGGGUACCACUUGCUUUUACGGUUUUCAGAAUGAAAAGAGUUGAGAAACUAGACAAAAGCAGGCCUAUAAACACUUUAAUCUGGUCAUCAACAGUAUACAGAAACUGACUUCUUCGCCUAUGGUAAGUUUUGAUUUAUUCAAAUCAACAAAAAGAAAAGCAAAAGCUUGUCAAAUGCUUUCUUUCUUGACAGGGCUCUAAAGAUUGUGCCUUGCAGUAAGGAACUUUAUCGAAGUCCAAUAACUGGAGAAAACUUUUGUACGCAUCAGCCACCACAAACGUGAGAAAAACUUAUAUAUCAUGUGAUAACAAUAUUUUAUUAUUUUCAACUAAUUACGUUCUGUCAGGUGUGAUAAUUUUUUCACUGACAGCGUGAUUAGUUAGAGAUAGCAAAAUCGUGUUUAUUCCUAUAACAUGCAAGUUAUUCGCAUACAAAACUUGAUGAUCUCAACAUCCAAUUGGAACUUGCCACAUCAAAAUGAGACCAAUACAUACCAAACUUGAAAGUGAAAUCUUCGGACUUGGUUUAUCAGCAUGAUAAUAAACUCCUCAAUCUUGGUGACCCAUUCACAGUUCAAUUUGCUAAACUAACACAAAUCAAGCUAGAUCUUCAACAGAUUUACAACACAAAUCAAACUUGAUGGUAAAAUAUUAAAACUUUGCUUAUCAGCAUGAUAAUAAAAUCAUAAAAACUACAAUUUAAAAUACAAGGGGAAUAAUGAGCUAGAAUUCCCACAGCAAGCUUCUUUUGCACACUCAAUUUUUAGCAUCUACCAUCAACAACAAAAAACUAGUCCUAGUCCUCUUCACUUGCAUCAAAAUCAGAAUCUUCACUGACCUCCUUCUCACUCUCCGAGUCACUCAACACAUACCUUGUCUGCCUGCGGUUUGUCCUCUGAGGUCUAGCUCUGGCCGCCACUGGAGCGUCACUUCUUUCUUCAGUGGAUGGAGUGUCCACCUUCUCUUCACUUUCAGCCAUCUCAACCUCCAAACUAACUUUGCCCAUCACGGAACUACUUUUCUUGUUGAAUGGGGAUGCCCUCAUCUUCCUCACUUUCGGCUCCGGUGAAACCCCGGAAGUUUCAACAGGCUUUAACAUGUCAGUUAAAAGCUUCUGGCCUGAUGAUGAUGAGGCUUGAGAUUGCUUGUUAGCUGCUGCGCCUCUCUUCUUUGCCGCUGCAGGGGGUUUUGAUGCCUUUGUAGUUCCAGCUGCUUUUCUCCCUCCCUUCUUUCCUGCUGCUGGGGCAGCUGCUAUUUCUACCUCAAAAUCCUCGUCAUCAUCUAUUUGCAUGGCCCUUUUGCUAGGUUCUUUUCUCUGGACUGGUUCUUGUGGCACUUCGGUUUCCUUACCUGUGGCAGUAAAACUAUGUUAAUUCACUACUUACUGAUUAGCUGGAAAAGCUUGUAAAAGGAACCAUGAAACUCAUUAUUCAUGCUUCUUUUUAAAUGAACAUUGCAAGUUAAUCCUAGUAUUUUUUUUUUCCAAUUACUGAGAAAAAAGGAAAAGAAAAACUAAUGUUCAUUAGAUAAGCGCAUAAUUAAAUUCCCAAGCAUACUGCAUGUUCCAUUCUCUUUUACUCCAGACAUGGCCUCUGAUUGAUAAAUCAUAAAUGUUAUCUAGCAGCAGUCUCUGGGAAUGUAAAAGAAAGUUAGAAUACACAAAGAAGGAUAAAUAUAGCGCGUACCUGCUGAAUUUUCGGGAGAUGAAUCAAGAUUAUAGGCAGCUAGUCUGUCUUUCAGCUCAAGCACUUCAUCAUCAUCAUCACUCAAAACUACAGCAGAUUUUGCCUGCUGCUGUUAAACAAACAGAAUAACAUAAGUUACAGUUUUCCAAGGUAAUAGGUAUUCCCUUAAAAAGGUAAAACAAAACAAUUAGAAAUAAAGCAGCAGCGCAAACCUUCUUGCCAGCAGGAGCUUUCUUUGCAACUGCUCCAACUUUCCGUUUCACUAUCUCAGGAGCUUUCUCUGACAAAGCAGGCAGAUCAUUUUAGUUAAAUGAGUGCAUAAACCAAAAAUUCAAAGACGAACUAAUGUCUGUGGGAUAUAUUUAAAAGAAAGCUUUUAACUAAUCUAGGCUUACCCAUUUCAAACACAAAACUGGAAGAUGUUUCCCUGCUUUCAGCAGCAGCUUCUGCAUUGUUGGCCUUCUUAUUAUUCUUGCGUGGGUUUUUAGGUGCUGGUCUAGAAACCUUAGCAGCAGGUGCAUUUUUCACUUGGUUUCGUGAUUUCUUUUUUGCCUCCUCUGCCAGAGCCUCACUUUUCUCCAGCUCCUGAUAGAAAUAAUAAUACAUCAUACAUGAGAAAGGUAUAAAGCAUAGUGAAUAAAGAAUGGUGAAACAAAAUUAAUUUUUAAUACAUACACCAAGUUCCAUUUCAAGAGCAUCAAGAUCCUUCAACCACAGUGACCUUGGUGUUGAAUUUCUCAACUCAGCAACCUCAUUAUUGACCUUAUCCCUAUCAGCGCAUAGGGCCUGAACCCUCUCAAUGGUCAAGGUCCCAAUUGCCAUGGAUAUGAGAUACUCAUAAUCACUAAUACGUGCUCCAUUUCCACUGGCAGACUCAGAGUUCUCUUCCGUUUCUUCUGUAUCUUCAAUUGCCCCAGCAACUUCUGGCUCUUGGGCCUUGGUCUUCUUUGGAAAGGGAGUGAAACCUUUCUGUUGGAGCUCAAGGAAUAAAUCAGCCCUCCUUCUAUUGCUCACAAUGAUCUCUCCAUUUACGACAGCCAGGAUAAACCUGACCUUGUUUUCCAAUUUUAACAACUCCAUCUCAAGGUUAUCCAAUAGUACUUUCUGCAUAUAUAAUAGAAAAUCAGUUAACAGUUGUAUCCAUAUCCAGGUCAACAAUACAAACAUUUGUCUACUGAUGAACUCACCUUUCUUUUCUCAUAGAAUUCAAGUCUUAGGUGAAAAAAUUCCUCAAGAACUGCGGAAAGAAGAAAAUAAACAAACAGAAAGUCCAGUUAUAUGAAUUGUACAACAAAGAAUUAAUCAAACAACCUCGAAUUGUGUCACAUACUUUGUUCUGGAGUGUCGUAUUUCUUUAUCACGCCUUUUGGAUCAAACAGGUGCAUAUUACUUGUGCUAAUGCUGGUGGUCAGUUUAAAUUUCUUCAGCAAACCCUCUUGCCUGGCAGCCAUUAGGUUCUCUUCAGGUAAGUGGACUAUGAUAUCUACAGUACUGUGAUCACUGUGCUGUGUGAAACCCUGAAGCAUGCAUAAUGCACUUAGAAACUGAAAAUGAUCUGAAACACAUGAUGUUGAUGAAUAUUGCAACUGUCAAGAGUUUUAGGUGACCUUACCUCAAUGAAUGGAUCCUUGGCCUUGUCAUUUCCUUGAGAGAUAGACUCAAGGAAUUCCUUAUAAUCUUGAGUCCACCUACGGAUUGGCAACUCCGAAAUCCUAACUGUUGUCUCAUUGCCCUCCUCUAUGACCCCACAUACAGUGUAGCUUACACCUGAUUCCUUGACAGUUUUCUCAAUAGUUCCAGAAAAUCCUCUGUACCAGGGAUCCAUUGGCACCAUUGCUUCACCAUUAAGCAAGCGCCUUACAUUUGCAACAAUGUCUCUUGUAUUAUAAUUAGGAAUGUAAGAGCUCCACCCUGUACCAAUUCCUUCACUACCAUUAACUAAAACUGUUGGUAUAAUUGGAACAUACCUAUAAAACAAAAGCCAUAUGUCAGUUAUAUUUAUCCACCAUCAAUCUAAAUGCAGUGUUCUUACUGUAGAGACAGGAAAAAUUAUAAAUACCAAGUUGGCUCAAUAGAUUGCCCAUCUUCAUUCAAGUAGUCAAGGAGUCUGUCAUCAUCCUUCGGGAAAAGGAAUCUUGUAAUAGGAGAAAGCCGAGUAUAUAUAUAACGAGCACUUGCAUGGUCUUUGCCUCCCUAAGUAGCAAAAUACAAAUGUAAAUAAAAAUAUCUUGGAAUACAGUUACGCAACAUGACAAGCUUCAAUAUUCUUAAAUUAUUGACAGGAAUGGUUAAUCUCACCAAGUUACGGGUACCAAAUUGACCAUUUGGUUGAAGAAGAUUGAUAUUAUUGCUGCCCACAUAAUCCUGUGCCAUUCCAAUGAUAGUACUCGCAAGACUCUGCUCACCAUGAUGGUAGGCAGAAUGCUCAGACACAUAACCAGAAAACUGGGCAACUUUUGCUUCCUUCACAAAGUUCCUCUUAAAGGAGCAGAACAGAAUCUUCCUUUGACCUGGCUUCAAGCCAUCAACCAUUGACGGAAUUGACCUUUGCAGAUCAGCCAUGGAAAACUGUAUAAGCUCUUUGUGAACAAAGUCACUGUACUUUAUAAGCUUCUCCUUCUGAUCAAGAUGUACAGAAGGCUGCAAAUACAAAGAGUUAAGAGUUUCCAUAGAAUAAUUUCCAAAAUACAAAUGUUAAUGUAAAUUGCCAAAACUUCCCACCUCAAACUGCCGAAGCCAGUUCUUCCUCUCUUCUAUUUUCUUCUUACUGAAAGCAAGCUCAAUUGCCUCCCCAUCACGCUCAUCUAUCCAAAUAAAAUCUUUCUUGUGCAUAGCAAGAUUUUGAAAAUAGUCCCUCCCUUCUUUAGACGUGCUUGUUCCCAACCCCUAAAAGGAUAUCAAUGUAAGUAGAAGAAUAAGAAUAUAAAAAUGGUACAAUUCCAGUAACACUUCACAGACCAUAUAAAAAGAUGGUACAAUUUCUGUAAGUAUAAGAAUUAAGAGUAUUUCACUUAAAGUGAAUACAAACCUUAUAAUACUUUAUGGACCAGCCACUUGCAUUGCCCCUCAAACUUUCCUUCCAUGCCUCAUACUCGGGCAUGGAGUAAAAUGCAAGUGAUUUCCCAUUUUUGUGGGUUGCCUGUAUAGAAAUAAUAUAAGUUAUAGUUGUCUUUCAAGAACAAUCUUCCACAUGUGUUGAAUUUGCUAAGCGAACUAGCUAAAUCAAGUAAGCCAACCUUGACAAUCGGAGUUAUAAACUCAACCAAAAAAGAUGGAAUUUUAAGCAGUGAUGGCCAGAAGGAAUGAAUGAAGUUGAUCAGAAGUCCUUUGAUGUGGGAACCAUCAUGAUCCUAUACAAACAUUAAACUUCUCUUAGUGAUCAGAAAGAGAAAGAAAUGCUGUAAAGGUUUCAUAGACAAUUUCAAACGAGAAUAAAACCAAAAGAAAUAGAAGCUUGAGGCAUUCAACCUGAUCAGUCAUAAUCAUCAGGCUACCAUAUCUCAAGGACUUAAGACUGGUAUACUCUUUAUCUUGCUGCAGUCCAAGAAUCCUCUUGAUAUUCUUAAUUUCCUCAUUAUCCCUGACCUGAAUGGCACUAGCUUCUCUUACAUUAAGCAGUUUACCCCUCAAUGGGAAAACACCGUAAUGAUCCCUACCUACAACAGCAAGCCCUGCCAUCUGUGUAGGAUAAGGUAUGUCAAUCUAUUGUAGACAAACAAGUUAAAUGAAUGUACCGAAUUUGUAAAAUAUGAAAACUUACUGCAAGAGCUUUAGCUGAAUCCCCUUCUGUCAAAAUCAAAGUACACUUUUCAGAGUUCUUCCCUCCAGCUAAGUUAGCAUCCUCAAGCUUGUUGAUAUUAUGAACCCUCUCUGUUUUUGUCCCAUCAGUUUUCUUCAGGUCUUUGUUCUGCUUAAAAUUUGCCCACGAGAGAAGACUAUCCACAAUUCCAGACUUUGCCACUGCAAAAUAAUUAGUACAUGAAAAUCAAGUUUGAGUAUUUCAGUCUAGUUGUCUACUUGAACAAUUGAACUAGUGUUACAUACCUUUAGUUAAGAACGCUGGUGUAAGUUCACAUUUAGAUCCAAAACUAUUUGGGCGAAUCGUCAAAGUUUCCUUUGUUUGGGAAUCAAAUGCAGGGUUGUCAAUAAGAGCAUUGACAAAGACCCAUAGAUAAUUCUUCACAUUAUGGGCUUUGAGGUUGGCAUUCUUGUUCUUCUUAUUUACAAUAUUCAUCACAUGAUUCGUGAUUUGAUUUGUGACGUAAUCAACAUGAGUUCCACCCUUGAUUGUUGCAAUUCCAUUCACAAAGCUGACCUGGUAAAAAGAAAUCCGACAACAUGAGACUCACAAUUCCAUGUGUACAGAACUUAGUAAUUUCUCUGUAUCAAAUUUUUUUUGUUAAAACCUGUUGAAACUGCCCGUCACUGAGACUAACACAAAUCUCCCACCUAUCAUUAACUUUCUCUGUCAUCCUGUCAAAUGAGUAGACAUAGUGAGAAAUUCCUAUUAUAAAGAAGAAGAAAAAAGAAUGAAAGAUUCAGAAACCAAAAAACUUCAUAACAAGAACCUUGGAAGGGGAGUAUCUCUAGAUUUGCAGGCAGAUUGUAAGUAGAGGUCAACAUAAUCAAGAAAUGACUUUACAGGGACCCUCUUUCCAUUCAGCUCAACCUUCACAGUCUUUCCAAGGCAUCCAGCCAAGUCAAUCACUCUCUUUUUCAUCAAUGCAACCACGUCAUCUUCCAGAUGGGUCAUGUUAAACUUCGAUAGGUCCGGCUUAUAUGUAACCCUGGUCCAGUUCUCACUCUCUUUGCACUUGGUGAUGGCUGGCUCAGUUUUCUUCCCCAUGUUGUUAGUGAACACCUGAAAUCAGCAAGAACCAGAUUAUUCAAGUGAUAUAAAUGAGCAUGAUAUCUCUGCCAAUUGAAUAAAACUCAUAAAUAUACUUUGGAAGUUGGUGUUCACCAUUUCAAACCCAUAAAAAGUAAAAUCCUAACAUUUGAACAUUUUGUUUUUCUUUACUAUUCAUAUAAUCUCAUCAAUCAAAAGGAUCCCAUGAUGAAAAGAAGGAGAUUAUUUUCCUGGAGGGUCCUCCUAGAAACAAAAUUAGGCUAACACCAUACGAUGGUCUUUUGUAUGUCAAAAGUAAAGUUCUCCCUUCAUGUCCACAUCAAUGUUAUCAAACAAACCCCUAAACGACUAACACAAAACUACUACACUAGCACACUAAUACUAAAAUACAGUCAAAUCAAGAAUUACAUGCAACCCAUAAACAAUACACACUCACAUAAUUUUCAAAAGAUAAAGAAUAAAACCAGAAUCACAAUUGGAUACUAAAUUCAAGAUCCUAUACCAGGUCUAAUCCAAGCACAGUAGGCUUCAAACUGAAAAUGAAAAAAACCUAAAAGCAUCUGAUACUACUCCACAAGAAUUGAAAGCCCAGAUCCGAAUCAAUCGAAAACCUACGUAGUCAGGAUCCACCAUUUUAACAAAAACCAUGAAGAACCCCGAAUAAAUCACAAGUUACAAAAACGAAAAUGCAUAUAAAAAAUGAACCCUAAUUAAUCAGAAUCCCAAUAUAUAAAAACAGCAAUAACAAACCCUAAUUCCUCAAUUCCACCAUACAUUAAAAUCCUACAAUAAGAAUCAAGCAUCACAAAACUUCUAGAAAACACAUAUUAAUACCUGCUUGUACUUCUUCUGUCGCUUCCCGUCAGCAGUCUCGAUGAUGAACUCAGUGGAGAAAAUGUUCGUAAGCUUGGCACCAUAGCCGUUGCGACCACCGGUGGUCUUCUUCUCCGUAUCGUCGUAAUUGCUACUGGUCAAUAGGUGUCCGAAGAUCAACUCCGGCACAUACACCUUCUCCUCCUGGUGAAUCUCCACUGGUACUCCAGCCCCAUUGUUGUAGACACUUAUACAGUUCUGCUCGACGUCAAUGAUGACUUUCACGGCGUCCAUGGACGAGUCUCGCUGUUUAUUAUCGGCGGCGUUGACGAGGAUCUCAUCGAAGAUCUUGUACAGUCCGGGAACGUAGCUGAUGGAACGGUUAACCAUCUCGUCGUUUUGAUAGACCCAUAGGAUUUGGGUGUGCUUCUCGAUCGACCCGAUGUACGUGUCGGGUCGGAGCAAGAUGUGCUCGAGCUGGCUUUUCUUCUGGUACAUCUCUUCGAUUGUCUUGCCUUGGCCAUCAGUUGGGGCUGGGGCUAUGUUAGCGCUGUUGCUGGUUUGGAGUGGGCGUUUCUUCUCGAUCGCCAUGGCUGUGGCGUUUGGAUAGACGGAGAGACGGAAGGUUCCAGAGAGAGGAAAUGGGUGGGUGAGAGAGGGGGGUUAGGGAUUUAAAGGAAAGGUGCAACGGUCAAUAGGGAUUUGAAUUCAAAUGGAGGGGUUUUGGGCGCGGUGUUUUGAAAUUUUGGGAUGGGCGAUCAGACGGCUGUGGUUUUGAGUUUGGGAAUCACGUGGAUAUGAUGAAGGGGACUAGGACAGAAGGGAAUCAAGGGAUUCGGUCCAUCUCUGUUGCAAUGGUGCGUUGCGUUUUUGAUGAGUUGGCUGCACGAUACGGUUUCUCAUAUGAUUAUCUCAUCAUGAAUAUUUGUUUUUUUUCCUUCUGUUUUUUUUCAACAUUUAUUUUUCUAUGUAGAACAUUUAUGUUAUUUUUAUUGAUUAUGAGUUUUCUUUUUUUGGAAGAGAAAAAAAAAAAAAAAACUACAGUGCACUUGAGCUCGUCUGGCAACUUGGAUAUAACUCACUAAAUUCAAAGUAUUUUAUAGAAGAAAUGAAUGUAGAGGUGAAUGAUUUUAUCAUGUACUUUUUACCAUUUUGGGGAGAUUAGAAAGGAUAAGUUAUAAGGUGUUGAUAUCUUACCAUUCUGGGGGAUUGGAUGAAAUUUUCUUCUUAAAUAAGCCAUCUUUCUACCUUCAACUUGAACAACACUCCUUCAUUUCUUUCUUCAACAUGUCUAAGUUUUUCAGUACAAUUCAAUCCUAAGUAGCAAAUGAGAAUAUUGUUUGCAUUCAUAAAGUAUGAGUCAUUCCUCCUAUACAAAGUAUGAGUCAUUCCUCCUAUACAAAUCAUAAAUUAACACCUAUAUUGAUAAGUGGCACUAUUUCUAACUAUUUCAAACAUCAUUCCAAUUUCUCUCUACUUAUUUUAAUAAUUUUUUUUACUACAAAUUUUCUCUUAUAUAAUACAAAUAGUGGUGGUGAAAAAUACACCACUCAUACUGAAAAUGGCUUGUUAAAAAUACAUAAAAAAAAAAUUGGAUGCACGGUUGUUAGAAUAUGAUUUAUCUGUGUGGAAAAAUCGGCUCCUUAUGUAAAGAACCAAGUCUUGUGUUCGAAUCAUCCUCCUUUAUUAUCGUUUGUAUAAAGAAAAAAAUAAAAAUUAUUUGAGAUUGUACAAAUAUGCGAAACAACCUGAAACAUAAUGCAAUUCAAGAAAUUUAAAAACUACAACUCAUUUCUCAAACUGAAACUAACUUAAGCGCCCAACUCCCUUUAGGACAUAAUCCUAAAAGAACUUUUGCUUUAUUUUGAGCAUCUUCAAGGGAAUAUCCAAAUGAAGUAGACAAAGUUGUUCUAUAACAACCUAUGUUGCAUAUUAAAGAAAGAAACUAUUAUUUUAUGUGGCAACACUUUUGAAGGAACAAACUAUAUAUGUGGGAAUUGUAUAAAUUGUUAUUAUAUUAUUUAUUUUUGUCCUCUUUGUAUUUUAUUUUAUUGAUUAUUACUUUUAUUUUUAAGUGAGAGAUGUGAGAUGAUAUUGUAUUAUAAAAAGUAAGUUGAGCUCAGUAUACAUAUUUAUUUUAAAAUAGGCAACAUUGCAUAUUGGGGAAAGUACGCAUUGGUGUAGGUGGCUCGAUACAAACUAUUAUGUGUAAGUCCUCCAUUGGAGAAUAUAACAAUAAUCUACAAUUUAAAUAUAGGUGGUCCACUCCUUAUUGUAUCGAGGCAUUUUAAGUUAAAAACCCCACACCUAGAGGUUUAUUGGGCAUUCUCUCUUCUAGGUGGUUAAGGUAAGGACAAUAUCAGUGCAUAGUUUGGAUCGAGAAUGGACUCAUAUUAGGCCCGUUGGUACAACAAUAUGUAUAUUUUGCUUACUCCCUUGGCACAUCAAACAUUAUUGCAUACAUUGCCUAUACCCUUGGUGAUGCUCAGAACAUCUCCAAUGAAAAUAGCAAAUUUUUUCUUUGAAAUGGUCAUUUGUUAACCUAUAUGUGGCGCCUUUAUUGACCAAAACCAAAAAAUAUGUGGCACCUUUAUACUAAAACUUGCCACUUCAAAACUUUGUCCCUCCAAUCCACCCUUCAACCCAUCCUUCAAAUAUGUUAGGAUGAAUAAAUAGACAAUACUUUUGAUUAAAAUAUGUUGUGGGACUUAAUUUGUUAUAGGUAACUCACUUGUGCACAUGACAUGACACCACAAUGGAAAAGUGGGUCAAACUCUCCUCUUCCCUCCUCAAGAGCAUCUGGGUUCCAUUCACGUAAGAGACAAUCUUGAGGUAACCCAAUAGAAUACUUCUCUCUCCCUCCCUAGCGAAUGACAAAAAAAGAAGAAGUUAUAUUUAAAGGGUUAUUUACUUAAAUGGUCCUCAAACUAAUACCUAAGUUGCAUUUUGGUCCAUCAACUAAAUUAUUCGUUCAAAUGGUCUACAAACUCUUUAUUAAUCGGCGCAUUGGUCCUACCGUUACACUCCAUCAAUAUUGCUAUUAAUUUGAGAGUUAAAAUCAUCAAUUUAUACUAAAAUAUUAAUUAAUUAAUUAAAACAGAGAUAUGGAAGGAUGCACAUGGGGUGAUUUAGCGGUGCAACAAGCCAGCUCCACCAUUGUAACAUAUUGUGGAGCUCAACUCGUGCUGCCACCUUGGCCAUCAAAGUCAAAGAAGUCAUGUCUAAACAAAGCCAUCGUCGUUGUCAUCUUUCCUGUGCCGAUUGGUUGUCUUUUGACGCCGCUGUCAUUUGGUUGUACAGGGAGGGAAGAAGAAGAAGAAGAAAAAAGGAAACAAAAACUCCAUUAUCAAAAAGUCGCAUUUACCCUUCAUAUUCCCCUCAUGUGCAGUUCACAUGACUAAAACUCACAGAAAAUAUAACGGUGGACCAAUUCACCAAAUAAUAAAGAGUUGGUGGAUCAUUUGAAUAAAUAAUUUAAUUGAGGAAUCAAAAUACAACUUGGGUAUAAGAUUGAGAACCAUUUGAUUAAAUAACCCUAUAUUUAAAUUACUACGUUUUAAAUUUGUUACUUCCAUUUGAGGGGCUUUUGUUCUCUGUGGCAUAUCAAAUCAACAUUGCUACGCCAUGUACUAAUUUCAUUGGAGAUGCUCUAAAAUCUGCAAACUGCAAUCCUUAAACAGACUUGUACAUAAUGUGGCAAGCCAAACAAUUUCACAAGAAUCACCAUAAUCUAGUUUCUAUUAGUAGAUGCUCUUAGAAAUUAAGUGCUCGUUUGGCAUUCUUAAUUUGGGUUAAUAAAUGAUUUUAAAAAAAAUUUGGGAAGUCCAGCCCGUUUGCUAAACUAUGAGAAAAUGAUUUAUUGUUAAAAAUUGCUUUGAGAGAAAGUUAUAAGGGAAAGUAGCUAAUGAGGUGCUUUCAUUUUCUGAUUAUGCAAGAAUCAAUUUCGAAGAGGCGCUGGGUUUAAUGAUUAUGCGAGAAUCAGUACCAACAGCCAUUUUAACAAAAAGUUUACCAAACGUCAAAUUUCUUUCUCUCACAACUAAUUUCUCUCACAACAAAUCUGACAUCAAUUAUUUUCACAGUACAACAAUGGCAAACUGACCCUAAGUUUGAAUUCCCUAACCAGCAAAGUCUACGGUGGACCUGGAGCACCGAUGCGCCAAUUUUUCAAAACUGCCAUAGCAGGUAGCUGGUUAUAUAUAUAUAUAUUAUAUUUCAAAAACAAAAAGAAAUAAAAAGAAAUAGAAAAGAUUAUGGUGGUGCUCUCGACGAUGACCAAAAACCCACCCAUCUCAACUGCCAACUCCUCUAUUUCUCGAUAACGGUGACUGAGUCUUCCUCCCAUGUACAGAUUGCAUAGCUCUCUUAUCUCUUGAUAGUGAUAACAGCUUGAUGCAAACUGCAAGCGCCAUCUUCGAUCUCAUCUCAUCUUAGCCCAAGUAUGAUGUGUUAUUGUUGUAUAUUCAAAUCUCGGACCUCAUCUCAUCACCCUCUAAAAAAUAUCAUUUUCCUUGAUUUUGUUUUUGUUUUUAUUUGUAUUCUCUUGGAAUUAAGUGAGUUUAAUCUCAAAUUUGGACUAAAAUGCCUUUAUGAUUAAGUUUAUGAUUUUUUUCGAAUGAAGUAGGCCCGUUUUGACCCGGCCCAGCCCAGCCCGGUAUUUUCUCUCUCCUCUUUAAAGCCCGGGCCUGCUGGCCCAUUGACGAGCCCUAUUGCUUGGCUUCCUUACUUCCAAGCAAUAAUCAAGGAGACCUUUCUGCUGCACCCAGCAACUCCAUUGCUUCUCCCUCGAAAAGCCGAUUCAUACGUUGAAAUCUGCCGGCUAUAUUAUCGUUUUUCUUUCUUGACUUUUUUUGGGCCAAGCAAGAUUAGAGACGUAAAAGAGCUGCCAUACUCAACUUGAAGAGAAAAAGACGAAUCAUAUAAAUUAUUGGGUUUAUUGAUGUCUACACUUUAACCUAUCAAAAUAGAAUGAUUACGGCUUGGACUCUAUAAUUUUGUGACCCAACUUGUAUCUAAAUUCAAUCUUUGAUAAAACAUACGUGUUCCAAUAUUUGAUCGAUUAGUGACAACAAAUAGCGAUAAUGUGUUUUUGGAGAAUAUAAUAUCAUUUUCAAAGGGUCUGUUUGAUAUCAUUUUUAAAUAGUGUGCUUCAAGAAUUUCGAAACUCUUGUUUUGUAUGAACUCUUUUGAUACAGCUUGCCUAUUGUAGGGUUCUCUUUCUUUUCUUUUGUUAGAUUGAUUGAAGCAAAGAUAAUUCUGGUACAUCUCCACUACUUUAUAAAAUUUUAUUGUUAUCUGCGAAAUAGGCUAAGUGGAGAGAAAGCAUGAACCUUCCUUUUUUUCUCCUUCAAACUCAGAUCACUAUCAACACCAACCCCACCAUAUAACUCUUCCUCAACUCUUUCCUCACAUCACAUGCAAGUAGCUUAGUUUACGGAAAAAAAAAACUUUGCAUAAAAAGAAAAAACAUGAACUUAGGGAAUGCUCUGUUGAUGGAUGAGCCUUUGGUCUUAGAUACCAGUGGAUGAACCUUCGUCUAAGAUUGUCACACCCACUUCCUAGAGUCCUCUUUUAUAUUCUAGAGUUUUUCCUUUAAUUUACUUUCCUCUCCAUACAUAAUUUUACUUUUACCUUUUCUUUUUUAUCACUACUUUUGGUUAUUAAAUGCUUUUGGAGUGACUAAUGUGAUGUUAGUUAGAUGGCUUUUGGUGUGUUCGAGAAAAAAUUUGUUUCAACGGGGAUAGCACUAUUUCAUUAUUAUCGGCCAAUAACACUAUACAACAUAGAAAAGUUAUCACGCAUGUCAUAGCAUUAUUGGUUUGAAAUAGUACUAUCCCCGUUUCAUGCAAGUGUUUCUCCCUCCCACUAUAGCCUGAGACACAAAUUGGCUCAUCUUUCAAGCAACACACAUAAAAAGACUAGACCACCAGGACCCUUUAUAAAAAAAUAUAUAUAUUGUCAAACUAUAAAUUAUAUACUGUUUAUUAAGUAAAAUGUGAAUCUUCAAUUUACAGUCUAAUAACAUAUCAUAUGAUAUCAUACUCUCGACAAGCAAGUCAUACUCUUGACACGCAAGUCACUCUUUUGAAAAGGAAAUCGAAAUAUCAUGUGAAUGGAGUUCUUAUAUAAGAGAAAGGUUAACAGCUAGAAUAACAUAUAUCUCAUUUUGGACAAUUAAUUCAGGGAUUGAUUUGAUGAUUAUAUCCUUGGAUUUAAUAGUUUUUUUGAUAGAGAGACUAUUUAAAAGCACCCAUAUUAACGUUAGAAACCAAUAGUGAUACAAAAAAACUUUAAGGAUGCAAUUUGAUAGUUUGGCAAAUGUUAGGGACGUUUUGUGAUUAAAAGUCUUCUCUAAAUAAACACUAAAAUAUGCUUUUAUAGACACUUCCGAGUUGGCCAUCAAGUAGAAAGACUACUUUUAGCGCACAACUCCACAACUCCGUGUUCCUCAUGUUAACAAUUAUUUAGGAUGUCGGAGGUGAAAAGGUUUAUGCUCUCCCUUAACUUUUGUUUUCUGUCUGAAAUUACACCACAGAGAGAGAGAGAGAGAGAGAGAGAGAGAGAGAGAGAGAGAGAGAGAGAGAGAGAGAGAGAGAGAGAGAAUGGAUUUAUAGAGUUUUUGUAUGGUCCUCCUAACUAGUCUUUUCUUUGUGUUCUUGUUCUCAAUUCAAGCCCUCAGAAGCAAAGCCAACCCCAAAAGGCAUCUUCUUCCACCUGGACCAAAGCAUCCUUUCAUUGGCAAUCUCUUAGAGCUUGGAAACAAACCCCAUCUCGAUUUCACCAAGCUUUCUUAAAUCUAUGGCCCCAUUAUAACUCUGCAACUCGGCCAAGUAACAACGGUGGUUGUUUCUUCAUCAAACACAACCAAACAAGUCCUCCGAACACAUGACCGAUUCUUGUCCAACCGAAUUGUGCCAAAUGCAAUCCAAGCCAGUUAGCGCACGUCAAUGGGCCAAGCCGGGCUAGCUUAGCAUAAAUUUAAUAGGCUUGGACUAGGUCGGGCUUUAAAGAGGAAAGAGAAAAUACCGGGUCUGGCCGGGCCUGACCGAGUUUUUUUUAGAAAAUUCAAAGCCCAAGUCUGACCCAUGGACCGGGAGGGCCCUCAUCAACCCAUGAGUCCGUGGGCCAAAUCAUGAGGCCUAAAGCCAGUUACCUUCCCGGAGACAGCCUGCCCUGGAUACCAACUUUAUCCAAAUGAAGAAGCCUUCGAAAAAUAUGCAACUCUCACUUGUUCGCCCCCAAAAUCCUUAACGCCAACCAACCCAGCCGUCGCAUGAAAGUGGAAGAGCUCAUAUAUGAUGUCAAUGAAAGCUUGGUCAAAGGUGAGGCGGUAGAUAUUAGAAAAGCCACUUUCAAAACGACGCUCAAUCUGCUUUCCCAUACUAUGUUCUCUAUGGAUUUGGUUGACGCAAGUAGCGAGAUGGCUAGAGAGUUCAAGGAGAUUGUGUGGGGUUCGAUGGAAGAGGCACAGAAGCCAAACUGGGUGGACUUUUCUCUGUUCUUAGGAAAAUUGACCCCCAGAGAAUUAGGCGGCACAUAUCAAACAUGUCCAGAAGAUAGAACAGGUCUUUGACCGCAUCAUUAUCCAAAGAUUGGAAUCUAGAAAAGCCCAUGAUUAUGUCAUAACCAAUGAUAUGUUGGAUACUUUUUUGAACAUCAGUGGAGUGAACAGUGAGGACAUGGACAUGACCAAACUUCAACAUCUGCUUUUGGUUAGUUGUUUUUUUGUUUUUAAUUGCUUGGUCAUUACAAUUUGUUAUGCCAUUAAUUUUUGUGACUUAUUAUGUGAAUAGAUUCUAUUUACUGCGGGCACAGAUACAACCUCAGCCACGUUGGAAUGGGCAAUGGCUGAGCUGCUACGCAAUCCGAAAAAGCUAUCAAAAGCUCAACAAGAGCUAGAGAAAAUCAUUGGCAAAGGAAAACCAGUAGAGGAAGGAGACAUUGCUCGGUAGGCCUCAUCAUUUGGCCCGCGGGCUCAUAGGUCGAUAAGGCCCCCGCCCGACCCAUCUAAAAACACAAAAGUCUGGCCCGUUAGACCCGCAUACGUAUAUAAUUAUGUAUAAAUAGAGUUUAGGAUUAGGAUUAUAUCAAUUAAAUCACAUAUAUAAUUUGUUUCAUUUCAUUUACUUUUCUUUACUCAUUCUUAGUUUAUAAUUGGAUGAUUAGCACAUUAAUUUGUGUCAAUUAUUAAUACAACAAUUAUACAUAUAAAUAAGAUGAACAACAUAUCAUAUCACCAAAUAUAAUCGUACCACCAAAUAUAAUCAUGCUUUUCUUGAACACAUCACCAAACAUUUGCAUACCAUCCUUUAAAAAAAAAAAAUUUUUUUUAUACUUAUUAUUUUUUAAAAUUAUUUCUUAAAAACAUAUUGCGAUCUAAUUAUGUAAUAACCUCAAAAAUAGUACUUGGUUUUAUUAUUUUUGUGAAAAAUCUUAUUGAGUUGUGUGACUUUAUUGGAAUUUUUUUAUGAAUUUGGUUUGAUGUAUAAAUAUUGGAAUUAAGUGAGUUUAAUCUCAAAUUUGGACUAAAAUGCCCUUAUGAUUAAGUUUAUGAUUUUUUUCGAAUGAAGUAGGCCCCCCAGCCCAGCCCGGUAUUUUCUCUCCUCUCUUUAAAGCCCGGGCCGGCCCAGCCCAUUGACGAGCCUUAUUGCUCGGCUUCCUUACUUCCAAGCAAUAAUCAAGGAGACCUUUCUACUAGACCCAGCAACUCCAUUGCUUCUCCCUCGAAAAGCCGAUUCAAACGUUGAAAUCUGCCGGUUAUAUUUUGUGAAUGCAUGGGCCAUCGGCAGAGACCCCAACAUUUGGGACAACCCAAGCUCAUUUGUUUCUGAGAGGUUCUUAGGAUUGGAUGACCAAAUUGAUGUUAGCGGGAAAAACUUUGAGCUUAUUCCAUUUGGUGCUGGGAGGAGAAUAUGUCCUGGCUUGCCAUGGACGAUGCGAAUUCUGCCCUUGAUGUUGGGUUCACUCAUUAACUCUUUUGAAUGAAAGCUUGAAGAUGGGGUUUUACCAGAGACCUUGAACAUGGAAGAGAAGUUUGGCCUCACCUUGCAAAUGGCUCACCCUCUUAGAGCUGUGCCCAAGUCAUUUUGUGAAAUUUAAUGGAGUCUAUAUUGUUGGAUUUUAUGCAAGAAUUGGAGAAGAGAAUAAUGAUAGACCGUGACAUAUAAUUGUGAUAUUCAAAUCUUGGACCUCAUCUCAUCACCCUCUAGCAAAUAUCAUUUUCCUUGAUUUUGUUUUAUUUUUAUUUUUUAUUCUCUUGUAUUUCUUGUUGAGCCUAAUAUUUUCUUGAUUUUAUAUUCUGCUGUAGUUUUUGAGUUGAAUUAACUCUCAAGAUCCACUUGGUAUGAAAUUUUAGAUUGAAAUUCCAAUUUUUGGUGGGUCAGUUUCAAUAUCUGUAAAUUGUUUUUUUAUUGAACUUUAUGCUAGUGUUUAAAUUAUAUAAUGAUGAUCUUCUCAUAAUUUUUGAAAUUUCCAUUGAAUAUGAAUUUUUUCUCUAAUUACCUCUUCCAAGGUCCACUUAGCUUAGAUUUUUAGGUAUUUCUUGCCAAAAUUUGGUGAACUUUAUUUGAUUAGAGGGAGUAUGCUGAGCCAAGGACUACCUAGAAUGACUCAUAUUGGUCCCAACAAUGCUUCUCAGGGUGCCUUGAGUGUGCAUGACGGGUUCUCUUUUGGGCUAUUACUAAACAUGCUCAUGUUGUUGUGCAGGGUGCCUUGAGUUUAUAUUUAUUUUUCUGUUUGUAGUUCUCUGUUGUUUUGCUGGCCUUUGGUGUCUUUGGUUGAUGCUUUAAUAAAGCAAGCUUGAAUGACCAAAAAAAUAGAAAAUAUAUAGCUAGAAAUAUGAAGAAGAAAAAAAAAUUUGCUUGGUCUGUUAGUGUUUGUUUUUAUUUUGGGGAAUGAUUAGAGAUUGUUUUAGUUGGUUUUGGAAUUUCUAAAUUUUGGAUUGUUUAAUUUUGGAGAUUUUUUAUUUUUUAUUUUACAGGUAUAUGGUGCAUAUGCUUAUAUAUGCCCAUUUCUAUCACAUGUACUUUGGUUGUGUUUAUGUAAUCUUCAAAGAAGUUUUACUUGAAAUUGGAAAUGGUUUCUGCACAGGGUAUUGAGCAAUUUUCUUUUAUCAUUUCCUUUCUGUUAUUAUUUCAUUUCCAUGUUUCUGUGAUUAAUUGAAUAGUACCUCUUUCAUCUAUUUAUCUAUGCAAUGCUUUCAAUGGUUUCAAUUCUUGAUUGGAGAAAUCAGUUCAAUAUUUUUUUUAUGCGGCAUAAAAUUCUAUAUGACCAUCGAAACAGUUAAAGAAUGAAAAUGCCAUUAAAAAUGCAAUUUGCAAUGUAUUAAGUUAUUUCCAUAUGCAAUUACUAGCUCCCUGUCUGGUAAUUGCGAGGAAUCACCUUCUAUGAGUUCAGUCACUAAUAACAUCGGGAAGUGCAGAUGAGGGUGUGGGGUGGUCAAUGUGAUAAAUGUCCAAAAUGUCUCUCAAAUAAUGUCAAAUUUUCAAACUAGAGCCACUAAUUACGUGCAAAAUAGCCAUGGCAUGCGGGUAACCACUUCGCAAAUGCAUUACACUCUUUUUUGGUAAUUGCAAAUCUAUCCAAAUCUCAUUCCAUUACAUGCGCUAUAAGACUUCGGGUCCUAAUUUACACAAUUUUUCCUAUUAAUUAGAACAUCAUGAUUCACCCAAAUCCAUAAAUUUGUAAUCACCUAAACUUAGAAACCAACUUGGACUGGCAUGACGAUGCGAUAAAAUGCAAAAACUUCAAGAAAUCUGAACUUGUUCUAGGUAACCUGUAAUUGCCAAACAGGGAGAUACUAAUUGCAUAAGUAAAUACAAUGGCAAGCUAAUAAACACAAUUAUUCUAUCUUCGCUUGCUAAUUGCAAAUUACUUAUAAUUUCCCACUAACCUUCAAAGACAAAAUCGUCAUUUACCAUUUGUUUGGGAUUUAGAUAACAUGGGAGGAGUUAAAGGAUAGAUUGGCAACAUAAUGAGCAAUUCCCAACCGGGAGACAUUAAUUGCAUAUUUUUCAAUUGCACUUGCAUUAUGUUAUGCAAUUACCAUAUAUUGUUUGGUAAUUGCAUUACGGUAAGCAAUUACCAUUGCUUGUUCAGCAAUUGCAUUAUAGUAUGCAAUUACCAUAGCCUGUUUGGCAAUUGCAUAGUAUGUGAAACUUGUUCAAAUUUCUCCCAAGGCCUUGGUACUUGGCUAUAUAAAUGUGGUCUUUAUUUUUGUAAACACAAGGGUUUAUAGUAUUAAUGACCCUUUUUAUAUUGUUUUGAACCUGAGUGUUCCAUAAACUUGUAAAGUAUAUUCAUAAUCUUGUAAACACAAGGUUUACAAGUUCUACAACAUUUUGGACAUUGACAUACAAAACAAUGUAAAAAAGGUCCUUAAUAUUGUAAACCCUUGUGUUUACAAUAAUAAGGACCAAAUUUACUUCUCCAAGAUUCACCAUUACCUUAACAUGGUAAGAUAGAUCAUUUCUAAUGUAAAUUAUAACAUUACAAGAUUAUGGAUUAUAAAGAACCUUAAAGUUGUAAUCCUAGUGCAAAAACGCGUAAAUGAGAACCAAAAUCUUAUAAUCUACGAGAUUAAGGGUAAAUUUUUACAAGUUUAUGGAAUGCCAAUGUCCAAACCAUUGUAAUAUGGGUCCUUAAUAUUGUAAACCGUUGCGCUUACAAGAAUAAGGGCCAAGUUUACAUCUCCAAGAUCCAUUCUUGACUUCAUCUUGGAAUGUAGAUCCUUUCUAUUGUAAAUUAUGUUAUUACAAAUUUAUGGAUACACGUUACAAGUUUAUGGAACAUGGAGAUCCAAAACAUUGUAAAAGAGGUCCGUAAUACUGUAAACCCUUGUAUUUAUAAGAAUAAGGACCAUAUUUACAAAGUUAAAGUCUACACUUACCUUAUCAUUGUAAGAGGGAUCCUUUCAAUUGUAAAUCAGGAUAUUACAAAGCUAGGGAUAAGGAAGAACCUCAAACUUGUAAUCAUGGUGCAAAAAAUCAUAAAUGAGAACCCAAAUCUUGUAAUGUACGAGAUUAAGGAUCUGCAUUACGAGUUUAUGGAAAGCUUAUGUCCAAAGCACUGUAAUACGAGUCCUUAAUGUUAUAAACCAUUGCAUUUACAAAAAUAAGUACCAAUUUUACAUCUCCAAGGUCCACCAUUACCUUAACCAUGAAAUAGAGAUCAUUUCUAUUGUAAUUUAUGAUAUUACAGGUUUAUGGAUACACUUUACAAGUUUAUGGAAGGUCCAAAACAUUGUAAAAGAGGUCUUUAAUACUGUAAACCCUUGUGUUUACAAGAAUAAGGACCACCUUUACUUCUCUAAAGUCUACCCUUACCUUAUCAUUGUAAGAGGGAUCCUUUCAAUUGUAAAUCAGGAUAUUACAAGGCUAGGGAUAAGGAAAAACCUCAAACUUGUAAUCAUGGUGCAAAAAAUCAUAAAUGAGAACCCAAAUCUUGUAAUGUACGAGAUUAAGGAUCUGCGUUACGAGUUUAUGGAAAGCUUACAUCCAAAGCACUGUAAUACGAGUCCUUAAUGUUAUAAACCAUUACAUUUACAAGAAUAAGUACUAAUUUUACAUCUCCAAGGUCCAUCAUUACCUUAACUUUGUAAUAGAGGUCCUUUCUAUUGUAAUUUAUGUUAUUACAUUUUUAUGGAUAUAUUUUAUAAGUUUAUGGAACAUGGAGGUCCAAAAUAUUGUAAAAGAGGUCCGUAAUAUUGUAAACCUUUGUGUUUACAAGAAUAAGGACCACGUUUACGUCUCCAAAGUCUACCUUUACCUUAUCAUUGUAAGAGGGAUCCUUUCAACUGUAAAUCAAGAUAUUACAAUGCUAUGGAUAAGGAAGAACCUCAAACUUGUAAUCAUGGUGCAAAAAAUCAAAAAUUAGAACCCAAAUCUUGUAAUGUACGAGAUUAAGGAUCUGCAUUACAAGUUUAUGGAAAGCUUACGUCCAAAGCACUGUAACACGAGUCCUUAAUGUUAUAAACCAUUGCAUUUACAAGAAUAAUUACCCAUUUUACAUCUCCAAGGUCCACAAUUACCUUAACCAUGUAAUAGAGAUCCUUUCUAUUGUAAUUUAUGAUAUUACAAUUUUAUUGAUACACUUUACAAGUUUAUGGAAGGUCCAAAACAUUGUAAAAGAAGUCCUUAAUAUUGUAAACCCUAGUGUUUACAAGAAUAAGUUUCACAAUUACUUCUCUAAGGUCCAUAUUUACCUUAAUGUUGUAAGGGGAUCAUUUUCUUUGUAAAUGAGUAUUACAAUGUUAUGGAUUAGGAUUCACCUUAAUGUUGUAACAAAGGAGCAAAGUGUCUUAAAUGUGAAACCAAAGAUUGUAAUGUACAAACUUAAGGAUAUGAUUUACAAGCUUAUGGACUGCAUAUGUCCAUGAUAGUGUAAUAGUAGUCCUUAAUAAUGUAAACUCUUGUGUUUACAAGCCUAAGGACCCAAUCUUCUUCAAUGUCUACUUUUACUUUAGCAUUGUACUAUGGGUAAUUUUCUCUGUAAAUUAAGGUAUAACAUAUUUAUAUAUUUUUCAUUUAAUAUUUAUUUAUAAUUCUAUAUUAUUAAUGUAGAAUUUUUAUAUUUGAUUAUUUUUAUUAUAUAUAUAUUUAUAAAUACAGAAUGAAAAAAUAAAAAAUAAAUAUCAUUGAAAACAUGAAGAAAAAAAUUCGAUUAAUAAUUGGUUGAUUUUACAUAGAAGUAUUUAUAUGAUCAAAUGCUUGUGUAUGAUAGUGUUCUUUUGCUUAGCAAUAAUAUGUUAUAUUAUAUGCAAAAAAAGACUACAAUUUAAAAUAAGAAUCAAUUUUAUAAAAAUCUAUAUUCUUAGAUUUUAAAUUAUUAGCAAUAAUAUGUUAUAUUAUAUGCAAAUAUAAACUAUACUUUAAACUAAGAACAAGUUUAUAAAAACCUAUAUUAUUAGAUUUUAAAAUAUUUGGUGAAAUAACAUUUGAAUAUUUUUUGAAUGUAUGUUAUGCACAUAAAAUUGUCAAUGAACAAGAUAUAUAUUUUAUAAAUGGUAAUCAAGAUGUUUACAAAGUUACUUAACAUAACCACAAAUAAAUAAAUAUUUGACAUGUAAAAAUUUAAUGUUUUACUAACUACUUUUUGAAACUUUAGAUCAUUCUAUUAUUUUUCCUAAUUUUGUUCAUACCUAAUAUUUUUAUAUUUGACUAAAAUAUUUGGUUUUUUAUUUAUAGAAAUCAUUUACAUCCUAGUUAUUGGUGGAAUAAUAGAGAAAUAAUAGAAGUGAGAUUAGUGGAAGAAAAACAUGGAACAAAUUUUUUAAUCCCUAUUAUUAUUAUUUUAAUAUAAAUAUAUUUAAAAUUUCUGUUUAUUAUAAUUUUCUUUCAAUUUAUAUUGGUUUUUUCAGUUAAUUACAUUCUUACUUUAAGUUUUCAUAUACAUAAACAUCAACCCAAAAGAGAAAUUAAUAAAUAAUAAAAAACUAGCCUACUAUUCGUAUACAUGAAAUCAACUCAAAAGAUAAUAAUAAUAAAUAAUAUAUAUAUAUAUUGUUAUAAAACUGGAGAAUUUAGAGAGGAAAAUUGAGAGAAAGAAUUGAGAGACAGAGAGAGAGGAAUGUAGGAACUGAACUUCCCUUCAGAGUUUUCUCUUCUCAUUUAGGUGUUGAAUGUGUGUAUUACAAACAAAGGGGUGAACCCGUAUAUAGGCAAAACAUUCUAACAUGUGGGCUCCACCAUACCAAUACAAUACAAGGGGGGAAGCUUCAUAGGGGGGGGGAAGCUUCGCAUCUUGUUUACAACACUCCCCCUUGGAGACCACAAAUGAUACGGAAUAUGCCUCGUUAAAAACCUUGCCAGUAAAAACCCAGUGGGACAAAAACUGGUCGAAGGGAAAAAGAGUACAUAAUAAUGUGUAACAUAAAAUUCUAUGUAUAUUGACGCGCGUGCGACACUGCCUCAUUAAAACCUUGCCAGGAAAAACCCAGUGGGAUAAAAAAAACCUGGACGAAGGAAAAAGAGUACAGUAUUUGAAGAUCUUUAUUGAUAGUGCGCUCCCCCUGAUGCUUGGCAAAAUAUCUUUAAGUUAUACUGUUGAUCAGCUUUCUGAAUAUCGUAGUUGGCACUGCUUCUGUGAGUCAAUCUUGAGUGACACUGCUGCUGUGAGUCAAUUUUGAGCGAUACUGCCUCGUUAAAACCUUACCAGGAAAAAUCCAGUGGGAUAAAAACCUGGAUGAAGGAAAAAGAGUACAGUGUAUGGAGGUCUUUAUUAAAACCACGCUCCUCUUUGUGAAUAUCUCCCCCUGAAAAAUGUAGGACUAGCUUUUGUCCAGUAAGCGACCAUAAAAAUUUUCAUAGUAUACCCUAAAACCCUUGAGCGACACUGCCUCGUUAAAACCUUACCAGGAAAAACCCAAUGGGAUAAAAACCUGGAUGAAGGAAAAAGAGUACAAUGUGGAGCUGAGCUCUAUCUGGUCUAGUAUACUUCUGGAAAAACAUUUAAGGACCAACGGAUAAUCCUCAUAAAAAUGCUUCAAUACUUUCUUAGUAUAAGCAAGAAUCUCGUUGGCACAAUGCUCGAUCCUUAAGUCGAGACAAAUAUUUCGUGAAUUCUGCAGAAUCUUUAAUGUGUUGCAAUCACAUUAUAAUCAAUGUACUCAUUGAGGUAAUUUAUGCAUAUUAAUAUUGAGUACAAAUUUUGUGCUUCAAGCACAUGUCCUUUAGGGACUUGCUUUAUGCAAUGUCAAUUCUUUCAACGGAUUUUGUCUAAAAGGGAUUAAGCUUUAUGACACAUUAUAUAGCUUUAACCCAGCUAUUUAUACAUCUUUUAGGGAAUCGCUUCUGGCGAUAUGCUCCGUGCAUUUAAUAACCCUUAAAGAUUAUAUGUUGGUCUCCGUAAUUGUGUAAUAAGGGGGGGCACAAUUGAAUCUGUAAAUAUGGAGAAAACCUAACAUUCCUUGUUUCUGCCAGAAACAGUGUGUCAUAAAAAGAAGGUAUAUUCCCUUUUAUUCCGAACACCCAAGUAUAAAUUUUAGUAUUAACAAAUUUUGGGGUUCGUAUUAUGGGUUUGUUCUUCCACGUUCAUUCUCAUUUAUAAUGGAAUUACCUCGUUCCAUUUUGGCCAAUGAUAUUGUCGACAUUUAAUAAUUGAACGUGGUUCCAAUCAGCACAACCCAUUGAUGAUUUGAGUAGCUACUCCAAAACCAAAAAUUGUCAUUCAUCAAUUCAUGAUCCCACCAUUCUCAUUUGCAUGCGCAUACAUCAAUUAUAAGCAUUUCUUUGCUUUUGGGUACCCAAGCCGCUUCAGAGGGCUUUUAUUAUGUGAGAAUGUGGAUUAUAACCUCCAACGGAGCGUUAUUUUAUAGUAGGGCGUGGAUAAUCUCCAUUUAGGGAGUUGGAACAUUUAGAACCCAUAUAUCUGUCAUGAUGCAGGCAUGCCACAGAUUAAUACAUACAUGUCAAUUAAUUUCUGGGACUUUAACCCAUAUUAUGGGACUUUAACCCAUAUAAUUUGCUACGCAUUAGGCGUGCAUAAUAUCAAUAUUGACAUGUCAAAGGAUUGUCCAUUUGGGACUUCAAUCCACAUCAUUUGCUACGCAACAGGCGUGCAUCAUAUUGAUCACUGCUAUACCCAUGUUAUGUUCGUAUGGGACUUUAAUCUGUGCAGUGUAUUAUCAAUGUAUCCAACUUGCAAUCUGUAAAAUUUGCAUUAAUAAUUCAUGGAUACAUACAAGCCAUUCUUUUGGAAUGGACUUAUCUUCCCAUUUGGUUACCUUUCAAGAUAAAAUAUCAAAUAGGUAUAUAAGCAUAAAAUAACACAAGUAUUGCUUACAUCCUUAGGUGGGAGAAACUUUUCGCAAGUAUCAUUCAAGCUUGUAUCGGCCCAGUAAAUAUAAAGUACCGCUUGAUGAUCUUGUUAUAUCCUGCAAUAGUAAAAUCACAACUCUUUUCUCUGUAAAAAACAAAUAAUCCUCAGAAAGUUACAGAAAGAGAAAAAAUGCAAAAAUAUUGUGAUAUUGAUUGCAAGGAAAGGUAAGCAAUCAGGGAAGGAAGCUGGUGGGAGCAGAAAACAAGCUCUCAAUUCUCCUAGUCUAGAAGGACCUCAGGAGAUUAGAGCAUAAGGCCGCCAUCACAAUUCCCUAAUCUUGCAGAAACAUGAUCAGGGAUAGUCUUGCUUCCUGAAUGGAUGAUCAGAGAUAGUUUUGCUUCUCAGGCAUAUUAAGUGCUUACUGAUAAGAAAAACAAGUAGAUAUCGCAUCACUAGGUAUGGAGUAAACUGGAUGUCUUCUGCAAAGAAAAUUUCGUUAGUAACAUAUUUAUACACAAAUAAAAGGAAUAGGUAGAACCGGUGAAUUUCAAAUUAACCAUAGUAAAAUUGCGAGAUUCUCGGGAUACUUUUGAAAAAGUAGUUCCGUGAAAUCCGUAAAGCAAGAUCGGCUUUGAAAAUAAUACUUGAAAACGCCGAAAGUGCCGACAGGCAUUAUUAGAGGCCACGUGAAGUUUUGGACUCUAGGAAAGAAAAAGAGAAAUAUGGGGAUCCGAGAAGAUAUUGAGAUCCUGAAAAACAGUAGCCAUAUUUCCUCUUAUAGAUAUUGCCCUUGCAAAACUGGAUUGUAGCAACUGCGUUUCAACUCAACUUCCUUCAGAGGCUUCCAGAACAUAAUGUAAUUUUAUAGAUUUUACAGGGCCUGCACCUUCAUUGCAGGUGGAAAAAUCUAUCUGUUGUAUGUUCCUGUAAUAAUAAUUGCGCACAUUCUUAAACUUGCACCUGUGGUUUUUACGUCUUUUCAAAAUGACAGUUUGGAACCUUGUGCCUUAUAGGUUCAAAUAACCACAUUGUUUCUCCCAAAUUUCAUAUUUUAUCGCAUGGUAGCCCGAAACUUUUGGCCUGGGCACAAACUCAGAAUUUAUUUGCCCUUUUCAAAUGGACAUGAAAUAUGAAUUGAGUAAAAGCCAUGAUAAUAUCGCAAUAUAGUAGUGAAGAGCAUUAACUACUAUAUACCCACAACUUCAAGUUCAGGAUCUCUCAUAUAUUUGGAUCCAUGGGCUUCCGGCCCAGAUAUAACAAAAUAUGUGGGGGGCCUCAAUUCAUUACUUGAGGUUUAUAUUAAUAUUAUCCAUUUCGCGGUGUAUUCUUAACAACCGGAAUUCACAAAAUAUAUUUCUUCCUUGAUGUGUCGAUUAUAACAAAAUCGAACUUUAUUAAAUUCAUCAUCUUCUUAUGCCAAAGAAAUAUGUGGCAUACCACAAUUUGCAAUAAUACCUCAAGGGUUGUCCAUUUAAUUGUUGGAACUUCAGGUUCUCAACACUGUUAAAUUUUGAACUUCAGGCCAAAAUAACAUAUUCUCAUGGUAUGGACAUUCAAUCCCCUUAGAUUUUGAACUUCGGGCCAAAAUCACAUAUUCUCAUGGUAUGGACAUUUUUACAAUUUUCUGUACAUAUUUCUGGACUUCAAGCCCUUACAUAAUUGUCCAUAUUUUGAGGAACUUCUGGCAUCUCAUUUAAUUGCUCAUCCAUGAGUUUAAGGAACUGCAGGUUCCCUUUUGUAUAUAGUGACGGUUUACCAAAAAUGGUUCAUAUUUAUGCAUACGUCACUAUUCAUGUGAAUAGUACUAUUCAUCAAGUCAUGAAUACGUAUCUAUUCAUCUGCAUGUACAGUUAUCAUCAAUGUGUACGGCACUAUGAACCAAUAUGAUACUGUUACAUCAUUAAGGAACUCUAGGUCCUUAUUUACAUGUCAGGGAUCAAGGACCCUUAAGUCCGAUUACAUGUUUACAAAUACAGUACCGGAGAGACUGCCAGCUCUCAUCAUCAUCAAGGAUCUUCAAGUCCUGAUGUAAUUGUAUGAUGAGGAUUAAGGAACUUCUGGUCCUGAUCUGCAUACUGUAAAAAACUCAUCAUACAGCACAUUUAAUCCAUAUAAUAAAUUACUAGUAAUUAAAUUACUGGUAUGGACGAUAAACCCGCACCACACUUUAAAUAAAUGUAAAUGUGCGGUAAAAUAAAUUCAUAAAUUAAAUUGCUUGCUGUAUGGACGUUAAUCCCGCACCAUACUUUAAAUAAAUGUAAAUGUGCGGUAAAGUAAACGUGCUUGUAUGGGCACUAAUUCUGCUCCAUACAUUUAAAUAAAAGCAAAGGCGUGGACGAUAAACCCGCACCACCCUUUUAAAUAAAUACUGUUGUAUGGGUAAUAAACCUACACCAUACAGUAAAUAAAAUAAAUGUGCAGUAAAGUAAAUUGUGCUUGUAUGGGCACUAAUUCUGCUCCAUACAUUUAAAUAAAAUUAAAGGCGUGGGCGAUAAACCCGCACCACCCUUUUAAAUAAAUACUGUUUGUAUGGGUAAUAAACCUACACCAUACAGUAAAUGUGCGGUAAAGUAAAUUUGCAGUAAAUUAAAUUUCAUAAAGUAAAGUGUUAGAAUUAGUAACGGUCUCCCACUGAUAAUAUGUUUAGUAUUACCGAGGGUCCAUUUUUGUUAAUGGUUAGUAAAAGAAAAGCAGAUAAAUAUGAAAUAAUAGGGAAGAUAAGGGAGCAGAAAACUUAUCGCUUAUGCCCUUGCUGAGUGAUCCCCUUUUUCCUUUUUUUUUAUUUUUAUAUAUAUAUAUAUAUAGAGUUUUUUUAUUAUUUAUUUAUUUUUUUAUUAUUAUUUUUUUAUUUUAGCAGAUAAAAACUUUAGGCGUGCCCGACAAAACUUUAGCAGCAGCCCUUUAAUCUCUGAACAGAGACCACCAUGAUGUGGAAACUCAUCAUUCUCAGCCGCAGGCUUGGUGAUAAAAGCAGUUGGCAUCAUCCAGGCUAUGCAGUAGUGGUCCAUAAAGGGCGGUACAAAGUGUCCUCAAGCCUCUGGUUGAACUGAGCAGUUGAGUGAAGCCAAUAGUGCAUCAACAACAGCUGCAGUCUCAGCACCAGGGCCCUCUACGGAUACUCAAAGCUUCUGGCAUGGCCAUCGGUUCCUCAACUUCCUUCUUGCUUGUAUGGUAGGAUGUCUUCAGGCAGAAACGGGCAUGAUCAUCGGUGGGGUCAUCAGCUUCAGGCAACCACGCUGAUCUUCGUCUUCGCCGGCAAGGGCUCCGGCAUGGCCUUCGCCAUAGCUAAGCCUCACCAGGCUCAGCCUCCGCACCGAGUGGGCCUCCAUAACCCGCAUCACUAGUUCCACAGAGCCGACGUGAUUCGCUUUGACAGCACCACUGCUGUACACCGAAAACAGAGGCCGAAUCCGUGGGCUAGAGCGGCAGCGACGAGGCCUGCUGGCGGGGUCACGGUGGGGACAGCCUGGCGGCCAAUUACAGGAAGUCGGUGAUGGCUUUGAUCACUUCAACGUCUACGUCCCUGGUGGUAGUUGUGUUGAGGGGGAAGAACUUAGCGAGCCUGAAGUGGAUGUCUUGCAGCUUGUUCACUAUCGUGAGCAUGGAGUAUGGAGUUGCGGUGGUGCCUGAGGGGGUAACGACUCGCGGCAGCGGAGGCGGAGACCGAUGGGUCGUCGUCGUCGUCGUCGGACAGCUUGGAAGCAGCCCAGGAAGAGAUUGAGCAGCCCUGCAUGUACCAUGACGGCCAUGGUAAUGGUGAUAGUGAUGAUGUCCGGUCCAAAGCCGCCGUUAUGGAGCAGCGGCCGCCGUGUUAGCUACGCUGCAUAGCUUCCAUGCCUCGCUCAGCAAGAGCGUCGAGGCCAAGAAACUUGCCACCAUCUCGCUGCUUUCAAACGGUGAAGCUUCGGUAUCCAUGCUGACCGAGUGAUUGGAGCCAGCUGCUUCAGCUUCAUGUGGUUUCUGCUGUGCUAUCUGUGUUUGUUUACAGAUUGGGACGACACCUUCCUUUUUUUUUUUUUUUUUUUUUCAAGGGAUUUAUUUUGGAGCAGUGGAGCAGCAGAGAUGGAAGGAGACAGGGAUGAGAGAUCUGGGUUUCAUCAGAGAAUUCAGCUGAUAUUGAUUGAGCGAAUUCGUGCUGAUAACGUGUUAUAAAACUGGAGAAUUUAGAGAGGAAAAUUGAGAGAAAGAAUUGAGAGACAGAGAGAGAGGAAUGUAGGAACUGAACUUCCCUUCAGAGUUUUCUCUUCUCAUUUAGGUGUUGAAUGUGUGUAUUACAAACAAAGGGGUGAACCCGUAUAUAAGCAAAACAUUCUAACAUGUGGGCUCCACCAUACCAAUACAAUACAAGGGGGGAAGCUUCAUAGGGGGGAAGCUUCGCAUCUUGUUUACAACAUAUAUAUAUAUAUAUAAACAUUGCCUUUUGUCUUUUUUAUAUAGCCCAUGUUGGCUAUCAGCUUUUUUGGUUUGUUUUUUCUCUUUCUUCCUUCACCGGUUGUACAGGUUGGUGGGAUUUAAUUUUAGUGUUUGUUAAGAGCCAUAGAUUCGAAGUUAUCUAAUGGCUGAAAUUUAGGCGCAUACAUGCUCCUAGCGCAUGAUGGGUGCAUUUUUGCUCACCACCUUAACCCUAAGUGUAUCUUUACCACUCUUUUCAAAAGUUGACACAUGUCCAUGGGUUUAACUAUAGUUAAUUCUUUAUUUUUUUUAUUUAUUUGAUAAUAUUAUUAUGAGAGAGAAACAAUACUUCAAUAAGAUUUUUCCUGAUUUACCCUUAUUAACCUAGCAAACUUUCCACUUUUCUAAAUUAAUUAACAACUACCCUUAUUAACCUAGCAAACUUUCCCUAACCUACGAAAUAUUCUACCACCAUGUUAAUGGAAAAAUCUUUCCAUAAUUACUAACCUAGCAAAAUUCAUGAUGGUAGAAUUUUCUUUCCCUAACCUACGAAAUAUUCUUCUUGGCCAACACCCUUCUUCCUUAAAAAACACUAAUGUGAAAUAAAAUAUUCUUUCUUUCUUUACUCAUGCUGACGUGGUUUAUCCUUUCUUAGAUUUCUCGUUUCUUAAAUUAUUUUCAACAAGCAAAGGCCCAUUAGUGUAAUAGUUUGGAGUAUUUACUCCCUCUGGCAAGAUUUUGAGUUCGAGUCCUAGUAUCUGUGUAAUGUAUGUGAGUUUAGUAUGCUAUCGGCCCUCACAAUAAAAAAGGUUCUCAAAAUUAUUUUCAACAAUUGACCCAAAAAAAGAAUAUAUUGAAAAGAGAGUUUAUUUUGGAUUUGAAUAGCUCUAGACGACUGAAAAUGCUGAAAUUAAAUAAUAAAAGUAUGUUUAUAAAAUAAACGAAUAAGUAAAUAAACGAAAUGAAUGAAAAGCCUAUCAACUAAUUGGGUUGUGUCGAAGACGAUCGCAUACUGAAGGAGGGAAAGCAGGUAUCCAUCAACCGAAUUUCUACUGUGUUUUUGUUUUUCCCAUCUCUCAUCUACUUAAAUUAUUGCUGGCUCUCUGUUUGGUGGCCGAGAAAGUUCAAUGAAACCGCAAAGAAAAUAAAAUUUCAAAGUUUCUGGAUGUUAGAUAGGAUCUUAAAAUUGGAUUCAUAGUUGGCAGCAGCGAAUUGUUUUCUUGAAAUUGAAUUUGAAUGUAUAAGAACUUGGGUUCAAAAUUAUGGGAAUUGGGUAGUCAGCUGUUUGUUUGAAAUCGAGUUGGAUAUUGGAUUGAAGUUAAUGGGUUAGUUCUUGAAAUUACAUUGCUUUUUUUAAAUUUUGAUUUUCACAGAUAGACAUGCAGAGUUGUUCUGUAUUCAAUUAAAUUGAAGUUUUGAUGAUCUGUAAUGGACUUUAAGCUUGAUGAAUUGUUCCUUAGCUUGAGAUGAAUCAUGGACUUUUGUCAAAAAGAUUAUGCUUUGUUAGUUUCAUGGGGAAGAAAGGAGUUUGGGCCAGAUAUCUCCAGCAUCUCUUUUCCAAAACGCCAAGAGAAGAGUCCUGAUCUUUUUCAUAAUAAACCAAUUAAUAUAUCUAAAGGAAAAGCUUUACUGAGAAUUUUUUGUUUUAUUAUGAAUUUAUCUUUUUCCUCUUGAGGGAGAGAAAGAGACGUUUGGCCUGUUUGGCUGAGUUUUAGAAAACAAUAUAAAUUUAAGUUGGGUUUUCAAAAGUAGCAGAAAACAGUUCUUAUCACUUGUUUUCAAUAUUUUUGUAAGUUUUCAACUGAAAACAGGUUCACGAAUACCAUUCAGUUCUUUUCUGUUUCCAAGCUUGUUUUCCGAAAACAGUUUUAAAACUCGUUUAGGUACAUGUAUUCAUAUUGUUUUCUGUUUUCACGAUUUUUAGCGGCAAGUAUUUCUGAAUGAAGAAUUGAGCAUGCCCUUAUUGCUUUACUAGUUGUGGUAAUUAUCUAGUCAUGUAGAAUUAAAAUAGAUAUUAACAUAGACACCAGAGUUGGAGCCCUACAAAUUGGCAGUGUGUAUUCAAGAGUCCUAAUAGGUUUUAUGUGUUAGAAAAUCAGUGUUUCAUUCAAUCUGCAUUUCUUUAUGUACUCCUCUCUCUGCAACAAUGUUCCAAUUGUCGCAGUUUUGUGGAUUUUGUCUUAUUUCUUAUCAUUUCAAUUUGGUUAUCAAAUAAUGGUACAAUAAUUGUUUAGAAAAGUCAUCUCAUAAUUGUUUAGAAAAGUCAUCUCAUAAUUGUUUAGAAAAGUCAUCUCAUAAUUGUUUUGAUGUCAAAAGGUGAUGUUUUCUAAUAUCUUUUGACAGGAAAGUUUGGUUGAAAUAGCGUGGAAACUUCAUUCAUCUUACAGAUGGAUAAUGAUAAUGAUUUCACUUUUUGCCAGGUAAUUGUUAUAUGCACAUUUCAUUCGAGAUCAAGAAAGCUAUACCCCUAAAAUAUGCUCAUUGGUUUCAAUGCAACAUUUACAGUGGACUGUUUUUCCGAAAUAUGAUUCAUUGUUGGUUGGGUCCAAUUUAUACAUGUCAUAAUUUUAUUUAAAUGUAAGGUCUGUGGUAUAUUUUAGGUUGGCUCACCUGGCAACCAGGAUGGUCUUGAGACAAAGAAGCUCACUUCAGAUAUAGAAAAUAUUGCCAUAAAAGAUGGAUUGUCAAAUGGCACUAAUAGUAAUCAGAAUAGAGGUUUUCUGUGGCAAAGUGGAUUGCCAUUAGGUGCCACUUCUGAAAAGCAGGAAACAGUUGGUUCUCUUUCUGUCAGUGUUAUUGAUGCGUCAUCCACGAACCGAAAAUCUGAAUUACCAAAACAACCAUCGUCAGGAGGUGCUGGGAAGUCAGUGAAGCCUGUACCUCGUGCCAAAGUUCCUUUUGAGAAGGGGUAUAGCCAAAUGGAUUGGCUCAAGCUUACUCGAACACAUCCUGACCUUGCAGGUACAUAGUGACAUGUGCUUCUGGCUGAAAUUCUUGUAUUUCAUAACUGCAUUUUUCUUCCCAGCAAUCAUUCUUUUGAUUUUUUUUUUUCUUGUCAUUUGUGUUCUGGUAGCUUUCACGCAUUCAUAAUUACUGAGUUUUUUUCCUUCUCUGGUUGUAAGCUUUUACAUCUCUUAUCACGAACUCUGACUAAUUUGACUGAUCUUUCUUAAAGCCUUUGUACUUUUUUAUAAUCCUAAAGACAAUUCUCAAAAGAUAUAAGGAAAGUUACUUCAAACUUUUUCAAAUGAAAAGGGUUGGAUUGGGAGGGCUUGUAUUCUAGCUUCAGGAGUUUAUUGAGGUUCCUAAUUUGUUCUUUUUGGAAAAAAAAUGUUUAGCAAUAUUUAAUUGUGUUCUUAAAGCACAAAGCUGUUAAUGAUAUUUUAUUUUCAAUUUGAGCUUGACGAGGUGCAUCUCUUGCUCAAACCUCAGAGCUACGUAUUACUUUGUGUGUGGAUCUAUGACCUCUAACAGAUCCAAUUGUCCAAUGUAUCUUCAUUUUCAGGCCGACUGAACCAAUGUAUUCUGGUAAUAUUAUUCCUGGAUUAUCCAGAGGGUUUCUGACUUCUGGUUGACAAAAUCUUCAUUGCUUGCAGCUAGAAAGUACUGGGUUUUCUUAGCGAUUCUCAUUUACCUAGUGUGCCUGCAUUGAACUGCUUAAAGAAGCUAAUGAAUGUAGCUACUUCAGUGUGUAUGUAACAUGUAUCUUAGAUUGGUUAUUCGUCGUGAAUUUAUGAUGCAUAUUAUUAUAAGUUCAGGAAACAACUUGUGAUUUCUCAUAUUGUUUCAAGUGCAGUCAUUGUUAGAUCAACGUUAGCUUCUUGAUAUACGAGUUCUGUCUCAGGUUUAAAGGGACAGUCAAAUAAGAGGCUGAUUUCAAUAAAUGAAGUUAAACAACACCAAAAAGGGGAUUCAAUGUGGACUGUUCUAAAAGGUCGUGUGUACAAUUUGUCUCCUUACAUGAGAUUUCACCCUGGAGGUAUGGACAUGAUCUUAUUCUGUUCAAGUUAAAAUGUUUACUGGAUUUAGUUCUGUCAUUCAAUGUGUGUAUUGCUAAUGCAGGCUAUUACCUGCAUUUUCUUCGUGACACCCAAAUUUUUUAAAUGUAUUUAUUUGUCGUAGGCAUGUUUUAUCAGGUUACUCUCACUCUUAUUGAAGUUUCCUUGCUCCAGUAUGCCAACUUAGCUGACAAAAUAAGAUAAAUAGGAUGGGCGAUUUAUGAGUACUAUACCAAAAACCUGGGCAUUCUUUGUUGCUUUUAAUGAAGACUAGCUAUAAAAAGAUGAGGGCUAUUGGUAUAAGUUCCUUGAUGGAUGCAUACCCUCGUUUUGAGCUCAUUAAUGACCUAGGAAGAGUGAUAAUAUGGAAAGGCAAAACGGUUGAAUUGAUGAACAGUCUGUUGUUAACAAAAUCAUUUUCUAUUAAGCAUUUGCAAAUGCAUUACCACCAUUUGAUUACGUCCUUAAUAUUGCAAUUGGUAUCCAUCCCCUAGAAACUUCUUGGUGACGGGGUCAUUUGUUCUUACUGCUGCUAAUCAUAAAUAUUUGACUUUGUCGAGAGUUUCUGUAUGUCUUAGUUGGUAAGAACUACAUGACAUACUUUCCUUAUUUCUAACGAAGCUAUUUUUUUCAGGUGUUGAUAUGCUAAAGAAGGCGGUAGGAAAAGACUGUACAUCUUUAUUCAGUAUCCUUUCUAAAAUUUACUUGGUUAUGCCGAUUUCCUGAGUAUGUUUGGCCUAGUUACUUCUUGCCGGACCUUUGGUUUUAUUGUUUUGUUCUUCAGUCAGACCUCUCCGUGAGAACAAGAGAAAAGAUUUGCUCACAAGCAUUAAUUGGUGGUGAGCAAAUCUGUUCUCUGAGAACAACUGGCCAUAAAACUUGUUACUACUAGUGGAAGAGUCAAAUUAGGCAGAUUUUUUCUUUGCUUAUUCACCAAAGAAAUUUUGAAUACUAAUAUCCAAAACACAGUUAUACUUUAACUUGUUCCUAUAUUUAUGCUUUCAAAAACUGAAACUCUGCUAGUAUCCUGUAACCUUUGGAAUGUUGGAUUCUGUUGGUUUCUAAUCACUUCAUUCCAAGGAAUGAGUUUAGGAUUCCUAAAAUCCAAUUCAGCGAAACAACACAACCAAACGGUUUUCCUAAGCCUGGCCGAACCUUAAGCGAAUCUAGUGCCUACAAAUCAGCAAUGUGUUUUGGACCAUCUUCCUUUUUACUUAGUCUAUUGUAAAUUGCUAUUAACUAUUGCAAUCCUUAUUACACUACUCUAGAUAAAUACCAUGCUUGGGUGAAUGCUGAAUUUUUACUUGAGAAGUGUCUUGUUGGUACUCUAGACGAUGGCGAAGGGCAACAUUCCAAUCAUUAGAAAUUUUGAGCCUGUUCAUCAUACAGGCAGAUUGGUACAGCAAUUUAUUUUUCAAUUCAAAUUUUAUCAAGCGAACGUCAUAUUAUCAUACCAGAAAAUAAUACAUUUUUACUCUAGAACUAGACUUUCUCAUUCACUGUUGUACCAUGUUGUCAAAUUCAGAUUCUGUUGUAUAUUAUAAUUUUCGUAAUAAGAUUCGUGCUUUAGGGCUCUAUGGUUUGUGCUAUGAAAUAAUCAAAAUAGUAAUUUAUGAUGUUUAAACAAAGCUCUUGAUUUUAAAUGCUAAAUAGCAGGUUUGGCACAGCAUAUCACUGAUUCAAUUAUCUCCCCAAAAUCUAACUUAAAAAAUUUCGACAUGUAUUUUUUAUGAUCCCAGCGUGCUCGGCAGUUGAGCUGCUAAACUAGUAAGGGCAACCUGGUUCUUAACAAGCUGUGGAAUAUGAUUUUUCACAUCAUCAAACAUCCGAAAACCCUUGAUAUAUCUCAAUGCGAUCAAGAGGAAGGCCCGACUCAUUCUUCACUUCAUAUAUUCCUGAAGUACUUAACGUGGACAAAUUUUCUUAAAUUUGAAAAGUACAUAGCUCUCUCUAGUCGAAAAUAGGUAAAACAUUUACCUUCAUCAACGGUCAAAUUUACAAAAAAGUAGGAAUAAUAUCCGUGGCACAAUCUCUGUAAUGAUAUUGUAGUCUUAUGGUGAUAAUAUAACUAAACUAGAAUCUAAGCAACAGGGUAAACCCUAACUUGGUCUAGGAUAGGGCCACAAAGAGCUCCGUAGUCAUCAACCCUGGUGUGGUAGAAAGAGCUGUAGAAUGUAAUUCUGGUCCUGGGUGAAGCUGCUUUGAACUUGAGACUAGCAGCCUUGAACCCGCCUUUUCCUUGGGAGGUGAAGGGAACUUUUAAGGUGUCCUUGCCGGCAAAUGCUUCAACCAUCAUCGAACCGUGGCAGCCGUUCCUUGCAUCGCCAACGACAAAUGAGAGAUCGUAGAUCUUGUUGGGCACAGUUCUAAGAACCUGCGCUAUGGCACUUUCUCUCCCUGCAACAAGCUCAACGGCGCCUUUUCCAAAUGGGACAUUGAAGUGUUGGGAAUCGAUGAACUUUACGGCUUUGAGGGACUCGAUGAUCCAGCCAGGAAGGGGGGAUGUCACAUCUAGUUGUUUUGGAGGGAGGAGUACACCAUGGGAAGAGUUGAAUAACCUAUGGGGAGCCUCCUCAAACCCAGGAUUUCUGACCAAAUUAUCUGCAAGAAACAUUCAAUGUUUUAAUAAGCAAAACAAACCCAAAACAGGAAACAGAGUAAGCUUAUAGCGCUGAGUUUGUUUCAGAUCAAAUUGAAUGCGCAAAUUCUCAACCAAGGUAUAUAAUUCAUCGGGCCUCAGAAAACAGGGAACACAGGGUAUACAAUUUAGCUAGCUAAAUGUGUAGCUCAAUUGUUCUUCACCCAAAAAAGAAGCAAAAAGGUCAGAAAGGCAAACUCAUUGUUCAUAUGGAUGCAUAUUAAUAAAAACCACAUCUUGGAUACCAGAGGACAGGGGGACCCAGAUCUAGAUAACCCAGAUAACAAUCAAGCAACAAACUUUUGCAAAAUCAGCAGAGAUCCUAUAAGUUUUAGAAGAACAGCCCCAAAUACAGAUUGAUCCAAAAUUUAGAACAGAAAUAUAUUCUUUAUACAGAGAAUGGCAUAAGCAUAGUUAUAAGUUUUUUAUAAUUACCUCUAGUGGGUAGUGCAGGGAAGAGUUCCUUGAUAGCAAUUGCAUCUAAGAGAGGACCACAAGCAGGGUCCUCUUGAACCCCUGGAUUGUGAAAAGUCACUUUUACUACAUUGGAAGUGGCUCUGAAACCCCAAGCAUAAGUAUCACCUCCAUUGCUGCUAUAGAGAGUCUGCAAAGGAAGGUCCCCUGCCUGAGGAGGCACUGAGACCCUCAAAACCUCUUCUUGUGCACAAGUCCUUGAUGCCCCAAAUGUUAGAGCAUACAGAGACCCUGGUUUCACCUUUAUGGUUUGAGAGAUGGAGGCCUCAUUGCCAAGCCUCACAGCAUGAACACCAUGAGCCACAGAAAAGUACAUUCCACCCGGUUGCGGGCCGCCGGAGAUGUACUCCACGAAGCCAUUGAUUUCCCAUUUGGGCAGUGCAUAUUUGCCUAUGAGUACUGUUUUCUUGAGGUUUGUUGGUUUUGGUGGCUCUUCGAAGUUGCCAUUGUUCAAGAGCCCUGAAGAAGAUAAGCAGAUCAAAGAUAUGAUAACUGAUAAGAAAGUGACUGACUUUGGGGUAAACAACGAAAAAACAAGAAGAAUGUUCAACAAAUCUUUGUGAGUAUCUCAACAUAUAAAAACCCCAACUUUCGUAUAGCGUAUCAACUCAGAAUCAGAAUGUAUCCUUUUUUUUCUUUUACCUACAUACACUACAUGACUAAGACCAAAGGGGGAGGGGGGGUGUUGGGGAGAGAGAGAGAGAGAGAGAGAGAGAGAGAGAGAGAGCACAAAAUUGAGCAAAUAUAGACUUUAAAAGAAACUAGAUCAGUUCAGAGCUCAACAAAAUGCUAAAAUAGUUUAAAUCAGUGAAGACAGAGCUCAGUAAACAGAUCAAAAUAAGAUAUUCACCAUAACUACUCAACUGAGGAAGGUUAGACAUGAGAGAGAGAGAGAGAGAGAGAGAGAGAGAGAGAGAGAGAGAGAGCUUUACCAUCCAAAGGCACUUGUACAGCUGCAUAAGCAGGAUUAGUGAACAUAAAUGAGAAUGCAAGCAGAAGAAAGAGCACAGCUGCCAUUUUCACCCCAAAAAAGUAAAGAAAGGGGUGAGAGGUGUUUGGUGAGGGAGGUAGGGAGAGCAGAGCUUGAGGCUUACAUUUAUAGUGAAGAGGAUAAAUGGGAAAUGGGGACGAAGGAAAGUUUUGCAGAAAUCACGUUAACAAGAAGCCACCUGGCAACCUGCCUCCUCCUAUCAAUCAAAGCUGUGAAGCAUUCAAGCACAUGUUGGGUUUUUGUCUGCUUCCCCUGGUUUGUGCAAACCGACUUUUUCUCCAUAAUUCAUGCCAGUGUUAUUCUUGUAAUUUUACUUUCUUUCUAUUUUGGUCGAAAAUUUUACUUUCAAAUUUUUGGAACUCAAUGACCAUCAUCAUCCAAAUUCAAAAGCAACAAGAAGGAAAAUGUACAGGUUCUGUUUUGUUUAUGAUGAACCAUCAGCCUAAAAGCCCAUUAUGUUUUGAUUAACAUAAAUUAUAAGGUCGGAUUAGUGUUGAAUACAAGUAAUCUUCGUAGAAUAAUAAGAUUGGUGAUAUAAAUGUUCUCUAGUUCAAAAUUAAGUGGAAUUUAAUUUCUUGGGUUUAAGUUUUAAGUUUUUUUUCUUUGAUACAAGCAAUAUUGAGGAAAUUAGAAGAAAAAAAUAUAUAAAUAAGAAGUUCGAGUGCGAGAAUAAAUACUCUAAACUACUUGAUGAAUUUCACAACAAUAUAACCGAUGAAUUCUUACAUUGAGUAAUUAUCAAAUUAAGUUAGCAUGUAAUUAUUUAACAUGAUUAAUCAAACAAGUCAACUCAAAUUCGUUGAUUAAUAUCCAACGUACGAUCCAUCUAUGAACAUGCAUUGAUUGGUGCACCUAUCAUUUGGGAUUUUGCAAGAGCUUUGGAGGAGGGUUUUAGGGUUAUGGAUGUCUUUUCAACAAGGGAUUGCUUGCUCGUGGUGGGUUGUGACCAAGGUCUAAAAUAUCGGUGAUAUCGGAAAUAUCGAUAGUCCAAAAACACGGAAAUUUCGAUGGAAAUAUCGGGAUAUUAUCGAUAUCGAUAAAAAUUGAAUAAAAACCACGGAAAUUGUAAGAAAAACUUGGAAAUUUUUAUUGAAACUUUGGAGGAUGCUUAUUUAGUCAAUUAUCUAUUAGUUUAUCACAAAAAAUUGGAAGGAAAUGCAUUGCAUGAUGGAUUUAACUAAUUUAAGUUGAUUAUAUAGCAAGCUGACAAACACUGUGAGUGUAGAAAAUAUGUAGUAAUUAAUGAAAGAAGAUUAAACACACCACAAUCAUUUAUAUAUAAAAAUUUACUACAAUAUUUUAUAUUUUAUACAUUGCAUGGUAUGAUACAUAAAUGACUUAGUACCACAUAGAGUUCCUAUGAGGUUCAAAACUUUCACUAUCUUCAUCAUCUCUAUGUGUAGAGUAAGUAUAUUGUGAAGAGUAGUCAUCGAAUGAUAAAUCCCCAAAAUAAUUUUGCAUGUAAUUGUUAACAUGCCACCCAUAUGGAUCCGAGAUUGGUUGACGCUGUCCAUGAGCAAAAUCAUUUGAAAAGUUGAAACGUGGUGAGUAGUUGAAAAGUUGAAACUUGAAAACCAGCUCGCAAGUAGUGUAUUAUAUAUAUUAGAUUACAUAGAUUGUAAUCACAAACUGAUGACCAGUGUAGUGGUUAAGAGGCUGCAGUUUUUCGGAAGGGGGCUGGGUUCGAGCCCCAGCGUGCGCAGAUGUGUGAGUGAGUUUACAUGUUUAAUUUUUGAAAGUUCAUAUCGCGAUAUUAUCGAUAAUAUCGCGAUAUAUUGACCAUUUGAAGCAGGGUAUUGAACGAAAAUAUCGCAGCCGAAAUAUCCUCGAAAAUAUCGACGAAAAUAUCGAUAUAUUGACGAUAAAUGGAAGAUUAUGUGCGAAAAUAUCGUCGGUCCAAAAAAAUCGGCGAAAAUAUCGAUAUUUAAUACAUUGGUUGUGACCGAUUCUGCUUUUGGAAGGUCCGACGAAAAUGGCUUAGCAAAGAUAAUGUCAGAUUCUGUUUCUGCAAAUGAAUAAUUUAUUUGCUUUCGUCUGCUAAUUAAACUGAUUUCUAUUCUUUCGAAAAAAACCGUGUGGGCUCAUUAUCAUUCAUUUGUUAUAAUGCAGGACUUUGCUUUUUCCAGUUUUCACUUUUUUUCGACCACAAAUUCCAUUUCCACAUAAAUAAUAAAAAUAAGUAGCUAGAGAAAGACGACCUAUUAUCAUUUCGUCUUUGGGACCUACAUCAUCAUAGCUAAGGGUGGAGUUAAAUUUGUAAAAUUACAGAGUCGAGAUAGAAAACACGAAUAGAUCAAAUACAUAUAAGUGUUUAAAAUAGAUGUUAGAAUUAAAUUUUUCUAAAUUAGUCAUCUUUAAUUACUUUUUGUUAUAAAAAUAACCUGGGAUAUGUGCGAUAAUUCUGAGCUGCACGUAAAGUAGAUGAGACACAGCAUUUAACGAGGUUCGGCUAUGCCUACGUCCUCGGAGAGCAGCAGCAGUAACUUUUCCACUAUGUAAAAGGAUAGAGCUACAAGUUUAGUGUUUACAAUAUAUGUGGCUCACUGAAUUUUCUCUCUAGGAGAAUUUCUCUCUGCUCUCUCUUUCCUCUUUCUUCCUUCUCUUCCUUUCUCUUUUUUUUUUCUUCUUAUUUAUAGGCUGAAAUAAUCACUAUUCAUCACUAUUUAUGAACAGUCUUUUGAACAGUCUUUUGAGAUAAUCAACAGUCUUUUAUCACGUUUGAGAUAAUCUCUAGUAAAAUCACGUUUGAGAUAAUCAACAGUCUUUUGAAGCUCUGCAGAAGUUCCAAUUAGAUUCAUGUCGUCGACAUAUACUGCCACUAUCGCAAAUCCAGACUUUGAUUUCUUAAUAAACACACAUGGGCAAACAGGAUCAUUUGUGUAUCCUUCCUUCAGUAAAUACUUACUGAGACGAUUGUACCACAUUCGUCCAGAUUGUUUUAGCCCAUAUAAUGAUCUUCUCAAUUUAACUGAGAACAUGCCCCGUGGUUUGUUUCUGGCUGCUUCAGGCAACCUGAAUCCUUCUGGAACUUUCAUGUAUAUAUCUGUAUCCAAUUCUCCAUACAAAUAUGCGGUAAUGACAUCCAUGAGUCUCAUUUCAAGUUUUUCUGAAACCGCCAAACUUAUUAGGUAACGGAAUGUAAUUGUGUCCAUUACUGGAGAGUACGUUUCCACAUAAUCAAUUCCAGGCCUUUGUGAAAAACCUUGCGCAACGAGUCGCGCUUUAUACCUUGAGAUCUCAUUUUUCUCAUUGCGCUUUCUUGUAAAUACCCACUUGUAACCUACAGGGUUCACAUUGGGUGGAGUUGGACUAAUAUGUCCAAAAACACUCCUUUUUUCCAAAGAAUUUAAUUCUGCCUGGAUUGCAUCCUUCCACUUGGGCCAAUCUUGCCUCUGUGUACAUUCAUUAAUAGAGCGUGGUUCAAUAUCAUCAUCUUUUAUGAUUUCAGCAGCCACUGAGAAUGCAAAUAUAUCAUCGAUGAUCAUCUCAUUUCUACUCCACAAUUCAUCAGUGGACGUAUAAUUUAUGGAGAUUUCUUGACUUUCAGGUACGGUUGCCACUUUAGGGGCACUUGUCUCACCAAUGACGUUUUCCUUGUCAAGAAGUACAUGUCCCUCUUUAGGGGCAUUUGAAUUAUGAAUUGUGGGCUCUCUAUUUAUUUCAUUUGGAUUCAUUUUGUCCAUCAACUUCCUCUUUCGAGGAACUGAAUCCUUUGAGCCUAGUGGUCUGCCACGUUUUAGGCGUGCAGCAGAUGAACCAUUUGCUGGCACAUUGCUUUGUCCAUUAUGGACAUCAAUCCGUGCGGGUGCAUUUGCAGCUGGGAUAUGAGAUUUUGUCACCUUUGCUGCAUCAUUAAAUGCAUCUGGCAUCUGAUUUGCAAUACUUUGGAGGUGAACAAUCCUUCUUACUUCGUUUUCGCAUUGAGCAGUAUGAGGAUCGAGAUGAGACAAUGUGGAUACAUUCCAUGAUAAUUCACAUCGUUUUUCAGGAAUGAGUUUGCCUUGUUCUUUAGACACAGAUUUUUCUCCCCCUAAUGGUGGGAAGAUUGUCUCAUCAAAAUCACAAUCCGCAAAUCGUGCGGUAAAAAUAUCACCCGUCAGGGGUUCUAAGUAUUUGAUGAUAGAUGGUGAAUCAAAACCAACAUAAAUUCCCAAUCUGCGUUGAGGGCCCAUCUUAGUACGUUGUGGUGGUGCAAUGGGCACAUAUACUGUACACCCAAAAAUUCUUAAAUGUGAAAUGUUUGGUUGAUUUCCCAAUACGAGUUGUAUUGGAGAACAUUGAUUGUUGGCAACGGGCCUUAAUCGCACAAGUGAUGCUGCAUGUAAAAUGGCAUAUCCCCAAGCAGAAACUGGCAACUUUGUUUUCAUUAGCAAAGUGCGUGCUAUCAAUUGAAGGCGUUUAAUUAAAGCUUCUGCCAAGCCAUUUUGAGUAUGCACAUGGGGAACAGGAUGUUCAAUAUCUAUGCCUAGUGACAUGCAGUAGUCAUCAAAAGUCUGAGAUGUAAAUUCACCAGCAUUAUCGAGUCUGAUUGACUUAAUGGGAUAAUCUGGGAAUUGAGCUCGUAAUUUAAUUAUCUGAGCCAAAAGCCUAGCAAAUGCCAUAUUCCGAGUAGAUAAAAGACAAACAUGUGACCAUCGGGUAGAUGCGUCCACCAAGACCAUAAAGUACCGAAAUGGUCCACAUGGGGGGUGAAUAGGUCCACAAAUGUCCCCUUGAAUUCUUUGCAAAAAUGAUGGAGACUCAACAUCAACCUUUGGUUGUGAUGGUCUGAUCACCAACUUCCCUUGUGAACAAGCUUGGCAAAAGAUGUCACUUGAUAACAUAAUGUGUUUAGUUAAUAAGGGAUGUCCUUUAGAGUUGGUGAUGAUCCUGCGCAUCAUGGUGGAUCCAGGAUGACCCAACCUGUCAUGCCAAAGCUUAAAAGCAUUUGAGCCAGUGGGCUCUUGGUCCAUGACACUAUGUGCCUCAAUUGUCCGUAUGGUUGUGUAAUACAACCCUGAUGAGAGCUCACAAAGCUUCUCCAGUAUACGCUUUUGGGUAUCACUGGAGGUAAUACAAAGAUAUUCCAUGUUUUCCUCUAUCUUUGUUUCAACAUGGUAGCCAUUCAAACGUAUAUCUUUGAAACUCAACAGAUUCCUUCUGGAGUUAGAUGAAUACAAAGCAUCUGGAAUAGACAGUAUUGUUCCAUUUGGUAACAUAAUUUGGGCUCUUCCUGAACCUUCAAUCAGAUUUGCAGGACCUGAUAUGGUUGUUACCUUUGCUUUUGUAAGCAUUAAUUUUGAGAAAUACUUCCGAUCUUGAAGGAUCGUAUGAGUAGUUGCGCUGUCUGCGAGACAAAUAUCUCUGCUAUAGCCUUUGUUUUGAGGGCAUCCAUAAUUUACAUCCAUGCCACCAAAUAAGUAAAAUAAGCUGGGAUCAAAAAGAAGACAACAUUACAACUUUUAUUGGAUUGAAAUUUAAACAACACUUCAGCUAAUACAAAUAGUACAGCUAAUACAAAUAGUACAUUAAGGGAUUUAAUCUAAUUCGGACUCAUAACCUUCAUUCCCUCUUUUAGUAACAAAAUCAGAAACAUCUAGAUGCGUCUUGUUUUGCUGACGUGAUAUUUCUGAUGAGCCAUCUGUGGCUGGCGGAGCAUGAUCAAUAUAAUUUAUCUCCACUUUCCUGUUCUUAAGUGAAGCUUGAUAGAGAUCCGCCAAAUGCCUAGGCGUACGACAAGUGCGCACCCAAUAUCCCUUUGCUCCACAUCUGUGGCAAGGGCUUUCAAUAUUUCUAGGCACAUGACUCAUCUGUGCCUUUCCCUUAUUACGGGAUGCAUAUUUGCCAUUUGUGGAUGGACCACUCCUUGGUCCUAAACCCUCUAAACGAGCACCAUGAUUUUUUCUACUUCCUUGCCAGUGGCCACGCUUGCCCCAUCGCCCACGUUUAUGGAUAUUACCACGAGAUGAAGUGGCAUUCACUUCCUGAGAUGCAGCAUUUAUUUCAGGAAGUGGUGCUGAGCCCGUUGGGCGAGAUUGGUGAUUCUUUAAUAAGAGCUCAUUAUUCUGCUCAGCUAACAAGAGGCAAGAUACAAGUUCCGAGUAUCUCUUGAAACCGCUAUGUCUGUAUUGCUGUUGAAGGAGGACAUUUGAAGCAUGAAAAGUGCUCAGAGUUUUUUCGAGCAUAUCCUCCUCAGAUAUAUUUUCCCCACAUAGCCUCAUUAAUGAGGUAAUUCUAUGCAUAGCAGAGUUAUACUCGGACACUGACUUGUAAUCUUGAAAUCUCAAGUGGGUCCAUUCGUAUCUAGCUCUUGGGAGAGUCAUCGUCUUCUGGUGAUCGUAUCUUUCACCUAGAGCUUUCCACAGAACCAACGGUUCAUCAACCACCACAUAUUCGCUUUUCAGCGCUUCAUGGAUGUGGCGGCGAAGAAAGAUCAUGGCCUUCGCAUUCUCUUCAGGCGAAGCAUCAUUCUCAUCUACAAUUGUUUGUCCGAGGCCAUUGGCUCGUAGAUGAAUUUUGGCAUCCAGGACCCAUGAUAAAAAGUUGUCCCCGGAAAGGUCCAAGGCAGCAAACUCCAGUUUUGCCAAAUUUGCCAUCUGAAACUUUAGGCUCGAGAUCUGGGAUAUUAAGCCACUUAUUAAUAGGAAUUUCAUUAUUCAGGUAUAUUAAUUGAUGAUAAAAAUAAAAUCAUGAAUUAAAUUGCUUGCUGUAUGGACGUUAAUUCCGCACCAUACCUUAAAUGUGCGGUAAAGUAAGUGUGCUUGUAUGGGCACUAAUUCUGCUCCAUACAUUUAAAUAAAAGCAAAGGCGUGGACGAUAAACCCGCACCACCCUUUAAAAUAAAUGUAAAUGUGCGGUAAAAUAAAUUCAUAAAGUAAAGUGUUAGUAUUAGUAACGGUCUCCCACUGAUAAUAUGUUUAGUAUUACCAAGGGUCCAUUUUUGUUAAUGGUUAGUAAUUACAUAAAGUAAAGUGUUAGUAUUAGUAACGGUCUCCCACUGAUAAUAUGUUUAGUAUUACCAAGGGUCCAUUUUUGUUAAUGGUUAGUAAUUACAUAAAGUAAAGUGUUAGCAUUAGUAACUGUCUCCCACUGAUAAUAUGUUUAGUAUUACCAAGGGUCCAUUUUUGUUAAUGGUUAAUAAUUACAUAAAGUAAAGUGUUAGUUGAAAAAUUUCAGAAAUAAAAGGAGAGACUAUCGUGCUGAUAACGUGUUAUAAAAAUAACCUGGGAUAUGUGCGAUAAGUCUGAGCUGCACGUAAAGUAGAUGAGACACAGCAUUUAACGAGGUUCGGCUAUGCCUACGUCCUCGGAGAGCAGCAGCAGUAACUUUUCCACUAUGUAAAAGGAUAGAGCUACAAGUUUAGUGUUUACAAUAUAUGUGGCUCACUGAAUUUUCUCUCUAGGAGAAUUUCUCUCUGCUCUCUCUUUCCUCUUUCUUCCUUCUCUUCCUUUCUCUUUUUUUUUUUCUUCUUUUCUUCUUUCCGUUUCUCUUCUUAUUUAUAGGCUGAAAUAAUCACUAUUCAUCACUAUUUAUGAACAGUAAAAUCACUAUUCAUGAACAGUAAAAUCACUAUUCAUGAACAGUAAGUGGGCUCCAUAUCAAAGACUUUUACAACACUUUUAAAUAGAAGAGAGGUCAAAAAAAUGGGAAAGAGGUCAAAAAAGGGGAGGGGGGCAGGGCCACUCCUAGCCUAUUAUGGAUCUAUACCCUUGCCUUCCUUAAAAAUUUAUUGACACGUGUCAUAUUAACACGUGAUUUAUUGAUAUUAUAAUACGUGAUUUAAUAAUAUUGUAGCAUUUUUAUGAUCAUACCAAAAAAUUUCCUUGCCUUAAUGACAUAUCAAUGUCAAUGAUAAUGAUUGUUUAAGGCCUAUCAAAUGUUUAAAAAGUACGAAUGGAUGAAAUAACUUGUAUCUUCUCUAUCUUUAAUAUUAACACCAUGUAUGAUAAUCAAAUUGUUUGAAAGCUACAAACAUCUGUCUUUACUAUUAUAUAAGAGAAUUAUCGUUAUCAAGUAAAGAGGAUUAUAAUGUAUAUAUUCUUAAAAACCAAAAGUAUUAUAAUUUUAACACUCAUUUUAUCUCUCACGCUACUUAUGUUUUCUCAAUUAAUUCUCUCAUAUAAUAACUUCCUCCUAAGCACAAGUAUGUGUGGAAGUUGAGAUUAGAUUCUCUUGUGCUUUUUUAGUUGCGUGCCCUGCAUAAAUAAGUGAAGGCAUACACACCAAGAUUUUUUGUGCGGUCAAAAUUAGAUAGGGGGAGAGAAGAAAAUUGACACACACAGAUAUCAUGAAGGCUUGAAUUUAGGAUCACUUGAGAGCACAUCAAAUAUAUGGACCAAUCCAACUCUAACCCCAUUAAUGCAUACACAACAUAAUUUAUUGAGGUCUUAAUGUUACAUCCAUUAUAUUCUUUUUCCCCCUUUCUUAAGCUGAGUAUUGCCGUGGGAAACAAAGGCAGUUGUUGAACUCUGAAUUUUUCGGUCACGUGUUUAUUAUUUCAUAAUAAAAUAAUAAGUUGAACCGAGCAGACUUGAGUAACAAAAACGUCCUGCUUUGAUGCGUGAGUAGGCAUGCCAAUACCGAGCCAGAAAUGGUAACGAGUACAACUAGGUGAAUGGAUGGUGAAUGCACUCAUUGAUCUUGACUUCUCGUCGAGCUAUUGUGGUUGAGAGAGGAACAAUCCUCGGCCAUAGAUUCUAGGCCUCGAUUACAAGACCUUUUAGACCGAGUUGAUGGUUGAGAAUGUCACUGAGCUCGGUAGCUUGAUGGUGGCAUUGGGCUCGGUAGCUCAGUGGAUUCAAACAACUCGAAAAAUGCGGGUAUCUGGAGAAAUUUGUACCUCCUGAUAAGUGGGCUUAGCUUUUUUAUUCUCUUCUUUGGGAGCCCAUUUCUUUCUCAAGCCCAUUGGGUAAAUUUGGGGUCUAAACAACAGCAUUACUUACGAGCUACAUGGUUUAUUUAUAUAAAAGAUUUUCUCCAAGACAUUAGAGCAUUUCCACCGGGACAAGAUGGUCCGGGUAGGAUAGGGCCUAGGCCCUUGAAGCGCUUCUAGUGCGCAAAUACAACCUGGGCAAUAGGUGUGAGGCCACCAACCCGGGCAAGCCCAAAGACAAAUCCAGUCCAUGCUAUUACCUGAGGUCUGGUGACAUUAGAGCUGACCCCAGGUUGGCGUCAGCGCAAGAUUUUGAAUUGUUUUUACCGUUGAUGCAUGAGGUACACACCCCAAUAGUAAAAAAUUUCUAAAUUAUGCGCUGAUGCUAGCCUGGCACCAGCCCUGCUUUCCCCCAACGGAUAGAAGCCACGUGGCGCUUCCUGAGUGGUUUGAUCCAAUCUUUCUGCUCCAAUCCAAUGGUUGCCAAUUUUUAAUGUAAAAAAUACCAAAAAAUUCGGAUUUUUUUUUUGUUUCUAUAAAUACAUACCAAUAUUCUUCAUUUUCGACACCAAAUUUUCAUACAAAUUCUUCUUCUUCCAAUAUUAUUCACUUAUUCGAAAAUCUUAUCAGACAUUUGUGAUGUGAAUUUUAUAAUAAAUAUGGACACGUGACAAUUGAAAAUCUUAUCCAAAUUAAUUGUAUAAGUAUAAAAAAUAAAAAUAAUUUAAAGUGAAUAGUAAUUGCUCUUUGCCAUGAUAAUAUUAAUAAGUAAAAACACAACUUGCCUUUUGCAAUGAUUGACACUAUUUAUGUGAAUAGUAACAACCAUUGCCACUCCUUACCCUUUUCCAUAACAAAUUGGUGAAAAUGCUCUUAAUUGGUGGAAAGCGAGAAGAAGCUACAAAAAGACAUUGCCAACAAAAAUAAGUAAACUAAACACUUAACCUUGUGCAAGCAAACACGUUUGGUCCCUAUUUGUUUAAAUCUUUCCAGUGCGAACGGAAUAACUGAAAAAAAAUUGUAAUGUUUUUUCUUUUGUGCAGCCAAACAGACCCUAAAUAUUCUGAAACCUGCGGGGUCUACGUUAUGACCCUCGCAGCUUCUGACGUGCUCCAUUUUUAUAGUAGGUUUUGAUUAGAACGCCGUAUCCCACGUGCAUUGUCGGUGUGAAGUGAAGAGGGAUGCCUCUCUCUCUCUCUCUCUCUCUCUCUCUCUCUCUCUCUCUCUCUCUCUCUCUCCAUUGAAAUACAAUAAUGAUCAAUGUUAUUUUAUACGGCUUUUAGUUGUCCUUAUGUACUUAUCAAAACUUGUACACAAAGUAUGGGUCAUUACUCAUUAGGGCCCGGUUCAUGUGACCUCAGCCCAUCUUGGACAGUUGAGACCAAUUUUCUAAUUUUCUAAUUAGUUAAAUACUCAUUUCUAUACAUAAAACUAUAAAAAUACCCUAUACUAUUUAAUGUAUAUAAACACACCUAAAAUAAACCUAAAAAUCAACAGCUGUAUAUUUUUUAAUUUAAUUAUGAAGAUAAAAUACCUUUAUUACCUUUUUAACAUAAAAUUGGAAUUCCUAAUAAACACCAGAUUAGAACUCACGACCUCCAGUCUCUCAUCCUCAUCUUCAACCCCAAUUUUCAGUUUUUGUUCUUCCACCUCAGUUUUGACGAUGAAAUCCUAAGCUCUGUUCUCAAUUAACUCUCUCUCUCUCUCUCUCUCUCCAAAAAAGAACAAGAAUGAGUCAUAGGAUUCUAAUUGUGUAAGGCAACUAUUUCUUCUAAUUCUAAUUAAUUCGUCUUUUGGAUAUAGGAAAACUAGGAGACCCCUUUCCAAGCCGGUGGAUCAAAACUUUGUAGCCAUCUCAAUUGAGGGAACAUCAAGCAGUAAUGCUUUGGAAGAUGGAGGUGACGAAGGCUCUGCCUUCAAGCAUGUUAGUCCAAAUGGCACGACAGAAGCUGAAGUCAGAGGCACUGGCAUUGGCAAUCCAUUAGAUGCUGGAUCUGUGAAAAAUUUGGAGGAUUUGCAACAUGAGCAAAUGGACAGUGACUUGGCAGAUUCAAGGGAUGAAAUGGCUCAUGGUGCAUUGGUGACUUAGCUCAGUAUAAAAUCCUAUUCGAUCUGUGAUCUUCGAGUUUGAGGUAUUUGAUUUUUUUUUUUUUACAUUUGAAUUCAUAUUCGAUUUUAUUGUAGUUUGAUUUGGGUGAUUUCAUGUUCGAUUAAUUAAGUUGUUGGUUAAGUUUUCAUAAUUUUUGUAGUUUUGGAUUUAAAUUUGAAAUGUAGAUCCAAUUCUUCUUGAUUUUAUAUGUUUAUUUUUGUUAUUGUCGAUUUGGAGAUAAGCUAUUGGAUUUUCUGAUUUCGUUCUAAUUUGUAUUUAGAUAUUCGUUUGAGUUUUAAAUUGUGAUUUUAAUUUUUUUUUGUUUAUAAUUUGGAGUGAUUUCAGAUUUGGUUUGUUUGUGGAUUUGCUUUUGUGUUUUGGUUUGAGUUGUGGUUACAAAUUUGUGAUAUUUGAUUCGGUUAUCAUAUUAAUUGAGGUAUGUUUUUUCAAUUGAAUAUGAGUAUAUUCAUUUUUUUGUUUGUUUAUGCACUAUUGAUUUUUGAGUCGACUAUAAUUUGCUGUUAGGUAGCAGUGUUAUUACCUUAUAUUGGAACUUUACUGACAUACAUUAGAAAUAGGAUUUCAUAGGAAACAAGCAGUGUUAUUACCUUAUACUGGAACUUUAUAGUGGUAGACAUGCAUUAGAAAUAUGAUUUUAUAUGAAACUAGUAGUUUUAUUACCCUAUAUUGGAACUUUACAAGGGGUAAACGUGCAUUAGAAAUAGGAUUUCAGAGGAAUCAAGCAGUGUUAUUAUCCUAUACUGGAACUUUACAAGGGGUAGGCAUGCAUUAGAAAUAGGAUUUCAUAGGAAUCUAGUAGUGUUAUUACCCUAUACUAAAACUUUACAAGGGUUAGACAUGCAUUAGAAAUAGGAUUUCAAAGGAAUCUAGCAGUGUUAUUAUCCUAUACUAGAACUUUACAAGGGUUAGACAUGCAUUACAAAUAGGAUUUCAGAGGAAUCUAGCAGUGUUAUUAUCCUAUACUGGAACUUUACAAGGGGUAGACAUUCAUUAGAAAUAGGAUUUCAGAAGAAUCUAGUAGUGUUGUUACCCUAUACUAGAACUUUAAAAUGGUAGACAUGCAUUCAAAAUAGGAUUUCAUUGGAAACAAGCAGUGUUAUUGCCCUAUACUGGAACUUUACGGUGGUAGACAUGCAUUCGAAAUAGGAUUUCAGAGGAAACAAUCAGUGUUAGUACCCCAUACUGGAACUUUACAGCCAUUAACCAACAUGAAAGUAAACUAGCAGUGUUAAGAAUGAGUAUAUGACUAAAUAUCUCUUUCUUUUUUGAGUUGCUGAAAGCCGACCAUUGUAUAGUCCUAUGCAAUCAGUUCAAUAAUGAAAAUCUAUUAUGGUUUCAAGAUUUUGUCCUAGAUUCGAAUCUAAAAUACUUGUUAUUACCCUAGACUGAAACUUUACAGUGGUAUAUAUGCAUUAAAAAUAGGAUUUCAUAGGAAACUAGGAGUGGUAUUACGUUAGACUGGAACUUUACAGUGGUUGAAGGAUUCCAUAGGAAACAAGCAGUGUUAUUACCUUAUAUUGGAACUUUACAGCCAUUAAUCAACAUGACAGUAAACUAGCAGUGUUAAGAAUCUAUAUUUGACUAAAUAUCUCAUUCUUUUUUGAAUUGCUGAAAACCGACUAUUUUAUAGUCAUAUGCAGUUAGUCCAAUAGUGAAAAUCCAAUAUAGUUUCAAGAUUUUGUCUUGGAUUCGAAUAUAAAAUACUGUUAUUACCAUAGACUGGAGCUUUACAGCAAUUAAUCAACAUUACAAUAAAGGUUUGGUUUUUAAAUGUCUUACCUUUAAGCCUUUUCUUAUUGAAAUUGUUCUCUGAAAUUUUGUCUUUGUUUUGUAGGUGGAGGUUAGUAUGUGGUGUUGGUUUUUGAAAGUAGAUCAAGCUUGGUGGUAGUUAUGGAGUUUCAGUUUGCAUAAAUGAUGAAGACGGUGAAAUGAAGAGACGUUUUGCAGAGAUGGUUUAGUGAAGAUGUGCGCUUGAAGUUACGGUUUUCGAGACAGUUUUGUGUUGUAAUAAAAUGUUUGGACUUCUUGUAACAAAAAAAAAUAAUAAAAUUUGUUUGGGCUUUUUUAUAAAAUUAGGCUGAGCUUGUUUUGGGUGUUUUUUGAAUUUUUUUUGUUUUUUUUUUUUCUAUUGAGCAUCAGUGGCAGUCCUGUAAUUUAUAGGAACUUCAACACCAAUUUCUUAUAUAGUAAAUGGAUUUUGGGUGUGUUUCUAAGGUGCAUUUUAUGUGGGGUUUUUUUAUUUAUAAUUUCAACUUCUAUUUUGGGUAUAUUAGUGAAACUCUCUUUUCUAAUCUUCUUUUUGGCGCAAAUGAAGGUUUUUUUUUUUUUUUUGGUCGAGUGCAAAUGAAGGUUGUGCAUAUCGGCCACCGACUCAGAAAACUGAUUAUGAAGGGGGUCCAUAUAUCUCAUGCCUACAUGUGGCCAGGGACGGAUCCAGGAAUUUUACUUCCGGGGGUCAACGUGUAAAAGCUCACAUAUGUUUUUUAGACAAAAAAGAUCCUUAAAAAAAAAAAAAAACAAUAGUAUUAGCAUUCAUAAUUCAUACAAACUACAAUAAUCCACAAAACGAUUUUUCAUGUUAUGAAAACAUCGUAAUAUGAUUUGAUUAUCAAUACAAGCAAAAUUAAAUUUCUUAAUAUAAACAACCAAGCUAACACUCUAUCAUUGAUAUCUCAUUUGGUUAUGCGAGGCAAAGCUUAAGCCUCGAGACAUGGAGACAUUGAGACGUAAGCUUUUUUAACAAAUUAUUUUAAUUAAGAAAAUAUAAAACAACUAAAAAGGACUUUAUUAUUAUUAUUAUUUUUUAUUAUAGAAGAUAUAUAAAUAAUAAAAAUAUAUAUUUUGUGGUCAGAAAUUGUGAUUUCAUUAAAUGACCUCAGUAGUGGCAAGGUUCCAAACAUUAAAAUACAGGCUAAGUUCAGUGAUUCUAUUGGGUGAAUGAAAAGAAGAGGGUAGGGAUAAUAUGGAAUUAAAUCAAAAGGAAGAGUUUUGGUCAAAUAGGGGAUUUUACAAACCAAACAGUGGUGUCUUUAUUGUAUGAAACAAGACUACAUGAAACACAUCGUUUUAUUAAAAUAAAAUAAAACCAUGCAUCUCAAUCCGACGUCGUUCAAGGAAAACAAAAGUUGAAUCAGCGUUGGGUCUUCUUCUUCGCGAGGAAUAAGCCAUUGACGGCGCCGAAUAGAGCUUACAUCGCAUGGUAACCAUAGCUGUUGCGCCCGUUGCAGAGGUCAACAAAUUUCACUCAAGUGACAAAUUCUGGCAUUGCGGGCGUCAAUUGACCACCUUUGCUCCAACAUGGGUCCGUCCCUGCAUGUGGCUCCGACUCUGAUUAUUCACAAUAAAUGUUGCACCUCGCAUGAUUCUGUAAGCAAUCUCGAGUGCUAAAGUGAGCUCCAUCGGCUAUGCAAUAAGGAAGGCUUCAUCGGUGGUAUUAGAGAGUCUUAGUGCACAACUAUUUUGGGUAACAAAGAAAAGUAUUAUAAUCGGCUCCAUCAUCGAGUACAGAAAAGUAAAAUCUGAAUAAGUGCAAUCAUUUGUAAAUCAUAUGGAUAGAAAAAAUUCAAAUGUUUUUUGGGUUGGGUUAGUAAGUGGACCCUAAUUGGGGUCACAAAUGUGAAAAAAGGACAUGCCUUUUCCGGCCUAAAUCUUUUGGGCGACUGACCAAUUUCUUUGUAUGAUGGGUCAUUAUCUUUUGGGCCACAUCCACAUGCUUGACCAAAUCGAGUUCUACUAAUUCUUUUUCUUUCUAAAAAACUUGAGAAAUUUAAAAAAUAAAAAUAAAAAUGAAUCCUUUGUAUGAUGGGUCAUUAUCAUUGGAAACAUGGCCAAGGCCCAUUUUGAUUAGCAUGACAGGUUCUUUGAAAAUGCAAUUCCCCUGUCGAUUCUUGGAGAAUGAUGAGAUUAAAAGAUCUUCAUUGCAAUGUUUGUUGUAAAAGUGUGGAUGUUCUGCAGCGGGAUUUAGGGGAAGACUUUGGUCACGUAACAAAAUAUUUGACAGAUAUUGAUAAAGUGACAAAUUAACAUAAAAAAUGAAGUAUGUAUGACAAAUUGUCCUUUUUUUUUUUAAUUGAAUAAUAAAAAUACACAUUCUGAGGAUAUGUUUGGUUCGCAUAUGAAAAUGGAUUAGGGAAUGAGAAAUCAUUUACUUUCUCAUGUUUGGUAAGUCUAUAUUUGGGCUCAUGAGAAAAUAGGGAGGGAAAUAAAAUCCUUUAUCUACCUUUUUAUUUUCCAUUCCCAUGGAACAUCAAGGCAAGCAUUAGUUACACUUUUUAAUGACCAAUAUGCUCCUAUUAACAAUUAAAAAUAACAAGAAAAACAAUUUUUUUUUUUUAAUAGCUAUAGUAUUUUGUUGAUAAGAUAAACAAAAACAAAUACAAAGCAACCAAGUUGCCGAAUAUGGAUACAACUUCUCCAGUGACCAAACACAAUAACAAGUUGAAUUGAUUUGGCACACAACCCAAAAAAUGAUAAAAAUCUAUGAAUCAUUAACCAGAAGCACAUGUACUCAAACAUGCAAUAAAGAUUUGCCGCACAACGGUAGAAACGGCAAAUCUGUAUAGAAAGCCAAAGACCAAAAGAUAAUAAAAUAUCCUUAAAAAAAAAGAAAAAACCACACAUCAAACUCCUAAAUAGUUCAUGGGAAUUAUUGGACUAAACUUAGAGGACCACUACUUCACAUUCUCUCAGGCCAUCCGAAGAGAGCCAUAACGCUAUACCGGCUAAACCCAUAGUGUCUCACUGGCUAAACCUGAACCUAACAUCAUCCUCACUUUAUAGCUCCAAAUAUAUAUCGAAGGUUGACAACUGGAGCCAAUCCUUGCAUGCGUGGGCCAAAAGAUGAUAACUAUAUCAUGGCAACGACAAUGUUUCUACAUCACUAAACAAAAUUAAAAAAAAAAAAAAAGGACACAUGGAACUGCACACCACCUCGACGCUAUACCCCAAAAGGACUAGUCACUAAUGAGGCUUCAUGCAAUUGCUUAUAAGGCCAAGAUCAACCCAGUAGUUUACCAAUGUGGGACUCAACAAGCCAACAUGGGGAUUACAUUCUCAUCCACUUAAACGGAUGACGUCCAUGUCAGGGCCCACAAUCAGGUUGAUAAUCUUUGUCAAGAUCCACACAUGUGUUCACAACCCCACAUGGUAAAAGCCGCCGGGUUGGCUUUAAUACCAUAUAUCAUGACCUAGGGAAACACACACCACCUCAAUGCUUUAUCCCGAAAGGAUUAGUCACUAAUGAGGCUUCCUGCACUCUCUUAUAAAGCCUAGACCGACCCAGUAGUUUAAUGAUGUGGGACUCAACACGCCAACCUGGGGGUUACAAAAAGAAUCUAGAGGAAAAAAGAAUCUAGAGGGAAAAUGAAGGGAAUGAGAGGAGAAGAAAAUGGACGAAGUAGGAAGGGUGGGGAUUUUUCUUUAGGGGUUUCUCAGAAAUCAGCGAUUUAUAUGUGGUAUUACUAAAAUAGUAGAUAUUUUUUGGGCGACUUUGUUUUUGCUUAGAAUUCAAAUUUUAAAAAAUGUUAAUUAUACUAUUGUGUGUGCAGAUUUUCUAGUCACUUAUUUUUUUUUUUUAAAGGAUUACAAAAUAAAAAAAAUGAAUUUUCUAUUUUCCAUCUACCAAAAAAAAGGCAGAGAGAUUAAUUUCUCAUUAAUUCAUUUUCUCGAAUUAAACGGCCUAAUACUCCACCUACCGUAAUUUCUCUUGAAUCAAAGUUUGUUUUUAAAAACUUAAACAUAACGAAGAAGCAAGUUGUAAGUAUUUAAAUAGGGUGAAAAAUCUUUUUUGGACACUCGGUUAUAGUCGAAAAUGAUUUUGGUCAUCAUGAUAUCAAUUUUCUCAAUUCCGUCACUAUACUUGCAGUCGUGAACAAAUCUAGUUGAAUCCAUCAAUUACAUCAAUUAAGUCCAAAAAUUAAAAAAAGAAAAAGACUGACAAAGAACCUAACAUUCAUCUCGAAAAAAAAUAGUCACCCUUAACUGCCCUAGCUAUGGGCAAAUCCUUCUCUUCAAAGUGAUCCUAUACCCUUCUCCUUCUCAAACACGAGAAAUUUUUGUAUGUUUCAGGGUACACUAACUAGUUAGUGUAGUGCACCAUCCAAUAUACAUAGAACAUGUAGAAAUAUUUUAUUUUAUUAUGCCCUAUAUGGAUUAGAGAAUAUUUUCACAUGUCCCAUGUGUAUUGGAUGGUAGCUGGUGUACCCAGAAUAUACAAAACUUUCAUCAAACACUACCCCUACCCAAAAUCCAUCCUCCACUUCUCCACCACCACCAAACGGCCAUCUCUGCCACCAUCACUGUCUGCAACAAGCUUCCGGACGCCACCCUCUCCUACCUCGAUGUCGUCGUCGAUGUGCAAACCGUCACCAUCUCCGAGCUCACCAAGUCCAAGAAGGUCUUCCUCUUCGCCGUCCCCGAUGCCUUCACUAUCACAUGCUACCAAAAACACAUCCCCGAAUUCAUGGAGAAGUCCGCAGAGCUUAAGGCCAAUAGGGUUGAGACCAUUGCAUGCAUUGCGGUCAAUGAUGCCUUUGUGAUAAGGGCUUGAAGGGAGAGCCUCAAGAUCGUGGACAAGGUGGUGUUGUCUAAUGGAAAUGGGGAUUUCACCUGGGGUAUUGGAGCUGAGCUUGAUUUGAGCGAUAAGCCUUUCCUCAUUUUAUUUGUAUUUAUUUUUUUUGGACUUAAUUGAUAGAAUUGAUGGAUUUGACUCUAUUUGUUCAUGAUUGGAAGUACAAUGACGAAAAUGGUAAAAUUGAAAUCAUGGUGAACAAAAUCAUUUUGGACCUUAGUCCGAGUGACCAAAAAUAUUUUUUUAAUCCUAUUUAAAUAGGGUGUUGUUAAGCGAACCCUAAAACUAACUGAGUACACUUCACUACCAAACUAUUUAUUGAAUUACUAAUUCAUCAUACUAUAAAAUAACCAAAAAAGAUUGAAUUGUGAAACAAAUGUAAUUUUAAUAAGUACACCAUACUCACUAUAUUCAACCCUAAAUAAACGUAAUAAAAAAACUUUACUUCUAAAAACCUUAGUAAUGGACCCCACCCAUCUUCACUUUAGUUCCCAUUCUUUGUUAGAACUACCCAGAAUGAUCUACAUCAAAUGGCCACAAUAGCCGCAAUGAUUGACCAUUACGGAUAAGGAGAGGUAAUUGCACUCUAUGUUGAUGAUGGCUAUGGGAGAAAUUGGAUUGCUGCAUCAGGGGAUAUGCUUGCUGAGAGACGUUGUAAGAUCUCAUACAAGGCACCUUUGGUCCUUGAUCCUAAUCGGAAUAACAUCACUGAUUUACUAGUUAAAGUGGCUUUGAUAGUGUCUCGAAUUAUUGUUCUUCAUGCUUAUGCUGGUUGGGGUUCUCAGGCGUUUACUGUGGCCAAGUAGCUUGGCAUGGUGUGAACUGGCUAUGUCUAGAUAGCUACAAACUGGAUUUCUACUCAAAUAGAUACCAACUCUUCUCUUCGGUCAAGUAUGAUGGAUGAUAUGCAAGGAGUUCUAGCAUUGCACUUGUACACACCAGAGACAGAACUGAAAAGAAAAUUUUAUAUUAUAAAUAGCAUUUUUGUUCAAAUUUCGUUGUGAUUAGAGUUCAUAUUGGUUAUAAUAUAUGGGGCUAACCAUAUCAUUUAUUAAAUCCCAACCCGAGAUAGCUUUAGAGAGAGAGAGAGGCUCCCUCUUCUCUCUAGAACUUCUCACUUUCCCCGCCGCCCUUUCCUAAGCAGCUAGUAACUAUGCCACCGCCCUUCGGGGCGGCACCUCUGCCACAUAUGGUGUGGCUUCUCUACCACCCUCUAGUGUGGCCUUCCUUUCUUUCUUUUUAUGUUUGUUUUGGUUUGCCCUUUCCUCUCUUGAUUUUUCAGAUGUAGACCUAGAUUAGAGAUGACAAUGGGUCGGGUAGGGCCCGGGUAUGACAAUACCAUCCUCGUCCCCGCUCUCCAUCCCCGCCCCCGUCCCCGAACCCAUCCCCAUUUAAUAGGUUUCGGGGAAUCCUCGUCCCCGUACCCGUCGGGGGACUAUCCCCCAUACCCGUCCCGAAUCCCCUAUUUUUUUUUUGGCAUAAAAAAUAUUUAUCAUACAUUUUAACAUUAAGUUUCAUAUUAAAUUAUCAUUCAACACAUCCAAAUUAACUAUAAAAUUUAACUAAACUAUUCAAAUCACAUCAAUAUGAAAUUCCAGAGAAGGUUUGGAAGAAUUAGGAGAGGGAGGUUAACUUAAGGUUAAACAUAAAUAUUAUACUUAUGUAUUUAUUUAUUUGAAUACAAACAUAUAUAUAUUUAUUUAAAUACAAACAUAUAUAUUUUUGGGUCGGGUUCGGGAAUGGGGAAGCCAAUACCAUCUCCUCCCCAUACUCGUCAGGGAUUUUUCAAGUUCGAGGAUCUUUAUACCUGAUACCCAUUUGGCCUCGAGAUCUCCCCCCGUUAGGGUUGGGGACCCGACGGGGACCGGCCCCCACUGGGACUUUUGCCAUCCAUAACCCAGAUCUCCUCCACAUCUCCUCCACCACUACUCUUCAGCCAUGACACCUCUCUCACCCUUUUUUCCUCUCAUACACUCACCCCAAUUAGUCCAUUUCUCUCCCCUCCUCACCAAAUCUCAAACUCUGAUGUAGAACAGAUGGCAGAUUUUAUUGCGGUUGAGCUAGAAAAAGGACGUAGCAGGAAUUUGCAGAUUUGUCGUCUGAGCUCCGAUUAGGACGCAAAAUACCAUUUCGGAAAGGGAACGACACCACGAGUCAAACUCACUACUUUGCUGUGAUGUAUGAUGGAUUUUGGCGUUCUGAGGUCGUUUGGCCUUCCAAAACUGCUUUCAAAGUUUUUAAUUAUCCGAAUAAAUUCUGUUUUCAGUUUCGGAGUUACGUAGUUAAGUCUCCGAAUUAAUUCUGUUUUUUCAGUUUUAAUGUAAUAACUCCCUUGGCAGUUCAAGGGUUGAGAAUGGUGUAUUUAGACAGGUUUGUCUGUCGUUUUUUGAUUACCUCAGAUUUUAAUAUAAUUUUCCAAAGAGAAUUCCUCUUAGUUUCUGGUAGAAUCCAGAUAUCUUGUUACUCAAGGUUUCGCUUGAAACCUUUGUUGUUUGUGCUGCGUCAAGUGGUAUCAGAGCGGGUUUCUCCCGUCUCGGUAUUCUUGUCUUGUCUUAUUAUGGGUGAUCGAGAAGCUGAUGUCCCAACCCCAAUUACCCAAGCGGAUCUGGACACUCAAAACCAACGGAUCGACAACCUAACCAACCAAUUUGGGGAGAUGCGAGAAUUGUUGUUGCAAGCUCUUGGUGGCAACAAUAGAAGAGGUGGCAGAGAUAACGAAAGAAGAGAAGGCAGGGAGGACAAUCGAAGAGAAGGUAGAGAUGGCGAGAGAAGAGAUAAUAGGAGGCAACUUAUUCCGGAUAGUGAGUCAGAGUCAGAAGAAGAACUUGAAGAACCACCACCACCGGCUAAUAAUCCUCGUAAUCGUAAUCGUAAUUACGAGAAUUUUGGCGAUUAUCGGAUUAAAGCAGAAAUUCCUAACUUUUGGGGAAAUCUGAAGAUUGAAGACUUCUUGGAUUGGCUUGUAGAAGUGGAGAGGUUUUUCGAUAUUAUGGAGGUUCCUGAGCAUAAGAUGGUGAAGAUGGUAGCUUUCCGUCUUAAAGCUACAGCGGCUGUUUGGUGGGAUCAAUUGCAAAAUUUACGGCAGAGGCAAGGAAAGCAGCGGGUUCGAACAUGGCGGAAGAUGAAGUCGCUUAUGAUGGAACGAUUCUUGCCCACAGAUUAUGAGCAGAUUUUCUACCGUAUGUACCUAAGCUGUGCGCAAGGCACCCGUUCGGUUUCUGAAUAUACCAAGAAUUCAUGCAAGAAAAAAGGUCAAAAGGUCAAAAGGUAGAGCGAAACCAUUUGACCGAGACUGACAAUCAAAAGGUCGCGAGGUAUAACAAUGGGCUGAAGAUUUCCAUCCAAUAAAAAAUUGGUAUGCAGAAUUUAUGGACUUUGCAAGAGGCGAUUAACAUGGCGAUGAAAGCUGAACUGUUGGAGAAGGAGAAGCGCCAACCCAACUUCCGCAGGAACACGACGGAAGCCUCUGAAUAUGUAUUGGUGCUUCUAGUGGUUCAUGAGAUAAGGGGAAAGCACAGCAGCAGAAUCCUGGAGGAAUGACAAAACCAGCAACAGUUGGUCAAAACAAAAACUUCAACGAAGGCAGCAGCCGGAAUUACAACAGAGGGCAGCCCCGAAACCAGUCCCAGAAUCCGUAUGCUAAGCCCAUGACGGACAUAUGUUACCGUUGCCAAAAACCAGGGCAUCGUUCUAAUGUUUGUCCAGAGAGGAAGCAGGCUAACUUGAUCGAAGAAGCCGAUGAGGAUGAGGAAAACGAUGAAGUCGGGGAAAAUGAUUAUGCAGGGGAUGAAUUUGCAGUUGAAGAAGGAAUGGAGAAGAUUACCCUGGUUUUGCAGAGAGUUCUUUUGGCACCAAAGGAGGAGGGGCAGCGUCAUAGUAUUUUUCGUUCCCUCUGCUCAAUCAAAAACAAGGUUUGUGAUGUGAUCGUCGACAAUGGAAGUUGCGAGAAUUUCGUGUCAAAGAAAUUGGUGGAGUAUUUGCAGCUAUCAACGGAGCCACAUGUUAGCCCUUACUCACUAGGUUGGGUUAAAAAAGGCCAUUCGGUUCGUGUAGCUGAGACUUGCCGUGUGCCACUAUCUAUUGGUAAGCAUUACAGAGAUGAUGUCUUAUGUGAUGUUAUUGACAUGGAUGCAUGCCAUAUUUUAUUAGGGCGCCCUUGGCAAUUUGAUGUGGAUGCGACUUUCAAGGGACGAGAUAAUGUAAUUCUGUUCUCUUGGAACAACCGGAAAAUUGCAAUGGCAACUACACAGCCCUCAAAACAAUCUGUUGAGGCCAAGACGAGGAGUUCUAGUUUCCUAACCCUAAUUAGCAACGAGCAGGAGUUGAACGAGGCUGUCAAGGAAGCGGAGUGUUUUUGUCCCUUGGUGUUGAAGGGGUUGUUGAAACUUGGCAGAGGAGAAGGUGACAUUCCACAAGAUGUGCAGCAGAUUUUGUCUCAAUUUCAGGAAUUACUUUCUAAAAAUCUGCCAAACGAGCUGCCACCUAUGCGGGACAUACAACACCGAAUUGACUUGGUGCCUGGAGCUAGCCUUCCGAAUCUGCCCCAUUAUCGGAUGAGCCCCAAGGAGAAUGACAUCCUCAGAGAGCAGAUUGAAGAAUUACUGCGGAAGGGAUUUAUCAGGGAGAGUUUGAGUCCCUGCGCAGUUCCCGUUUUGCUGGUUCCGAAGAAAGACAAGACUUGGCAAAUGUGUGUUGAUAGCCGAGCAAUCAACAAGAUAACAGUGAAGUACAGGUUUCCCAUUCCGCGGUUGGAGGAUAUGCUGGAUGUUCUUAGCGGCUCAAAGGUGUUUUCCAAGAUAGAUUUGCCAAGCGGUUACCACCAGAUUCGCAUCAGACCUGGCGAUGAAUGGAAAACAGCGUUCAAGAGCAAGGACGGAUUAUUUGAAUGGUUGGUGAUGCCAUUCGAAUUGUCAAAUGCGCCUAGCACUUUCAUGAGACUCAUGAAUCAGGUUCUUCGACCAUUUAUUGGCUCUUUUGACGUAGUUUAUUUCGAUGACAUCUUAAUUUACAGUACCACAAAAGAGGAACAUCUUGUGCAUUUGAGACAAGUUUUAGAUGUUUUGAGAGAAAAUAAACUGUAUGUGAACCUAAAAAAAUGUACUUUCUGCACAAAUAAGCUACUGUUCUUGGGUUUUGUUGUUGGUGAGAAUGGUAUCCAGGUAGAUGACGAGAAGAUCAAGGCAAUCCUUGACUGGCCAGCCCCAAAAAUAGUUUCUGAAGUUCGAAGUUUCCAUGGUUUGGCCACCUUUUACAGAAGAUUUGUGAGGCAUUUCAGCUCAAUCGCUGCACCUAUCACAGAAUGUUUGAAGAAGGGCCGGUUCAGCUGGGGAGAGGAACAAGAGAUAAGCUUUGCAGAGAUAAAAGAAAAGCUUUGCACCGCGCCGGUUCUAGCCCUUCCAAACUUUGAGAAGGUUUUCGAAGUUGAAUGUGAUGCCAGCGGUGUGGGAGUCGGAGCUGUGCUUUCACAAGACAAGCGGCCAGUUGCGUUCUUCUCUGAAAAGUUGAGCGAUGCACGUCAAAAGUGGAGUACUUAUGACCAAGAGUUCUAUGCGGUUGUUCGAGCUUUGAAGCAAUGGGAGCACUAUCUUAUCCAGAAGGAAUUUGUUCUGUUUACAGAUCAUCAAGCGUUGAAGUACAUUAACAGCCAGAAAAAUAUUGAUAAGAUGCAUGCUAGAUGGGUGACUUUUUGCAGAAAUUUUCGUUCGUUAUCAAGCAUACUUCCGGCAAGACAAACCGUGUGGCGGAUGCGCUGAGUCGAAGAGCUUCAUUGUUAGUCACGCUGACUCAAGAAGUUGUGGGGUUUGAAUGUCUGAAGGAAUUAUAUGAAGGUGAUGAUGAUUUCCGGGAAAUUUGGACUAAGUGCACCAAUCAAGAGCCGAUGACAGAUUACUUUCUUGAUGAAGGUUAUUUGUUCAAAGGCAACCAGUUAUGUAUUCCAGUUUCCUCUUUAAGGGAGAAGCGCAUUCGGGACUUGCAUGGUGGAGGGUUGAGUGGCCACCUAGGCCGUGAUAAAACAAUUGCAGGGAUGGAGGAGAGAUUUUACUGGCCACAGCUCAAACGAGAUGUUGGAACUAUUGUGCGCAAGUGCUACACUUGUCAAACUUCGAAGGGGCAGGUACAAAACACUGGAUUAUAUAUGCCAUUACCAGUGCCUAACGAUAUUUGGCAGGAUCUUGCUAUGGAUUUUGUCCUCGGAUUGCCCCGAACACAAAGGGGAGUGGACUCUGUAUUUGUGGUGGUUGAUUGGUUCUCAAAAAUGGCACAUUUCAUAGCCUGCAAAAAGACUGCUGAUGCAUCAAAUAUAGCCAAACUGUUUUUCAGGGAGGUUGUUCGCUUGCAUGGGGUCCCUACAUCCAUUACAUCCGAUCGUGACACCAAGUUCUUGAGCCAUUUUUGGAUCACCUUGUGGAGGCUGUUUGGGACUACUUUGAAUCGUAGCAGCACUGCCCAUCCCCAAACCGAUGGCCAGACUGAGGUUACAAACCGGACAUUGGGCAAUAUGGUACGCAGCGUCUGUGGAGAGAAGCCAAAACAAUGGGAUUAUGCACUACCGCAGGUGGAGUUUGCAUAUAACAAUGCAGUCCAUAGUGCCACUGGGAAGUCUCCAUUUUCCAUUGUUUAUACUGCUAUACCUAACCAUGUUGUAGAUUUGGUGAAACUGCCUAGAGGCCAGCAAACUAGUGUGGCAGCGAAAAAUUUGGCAGAGGAAGUAGUAGCCGUUCGAGAUGAAGUCAAGCAGAAACUUGAGCAAACUAAUGCUAAGUACAAAGCUGCUGCGGAUAAGCAUAGGCGAGUUAAAGUGUUUCAGGAAGGCGAUUCUGUGAUGAUAUUUCUGAGGAAGGAGAGGUUUCCAAUUGGCACAUAUAGCAAGCUUAAACCAAAAAAAUAUGGUCCUUACAAAGUGCUCAAACGGAUCAAUGAUAAUGCCUAUGUUAUUGAGUUACCGGAUUCCAUGGGAAUUUCCAAUAUUUUUAAUGUUGCAGAUUUAUAUGAGUUCCGUGAAGAUGAGGUCCUUUAUCCAGAUCAUAACUCGGGGUCGAGUUCUUCAGAGGUGGAGGGGACUGAUGUAGAACAGAUGGCAGAUUUUAUCGCGGUUGAGCUAGAAAAAGGACGUAGCAGGAAUUUGCAGAUUUGUCGUCUGAGCUCCGAUUAGGACGCAAAAUACCAUUUCGGAAAGGCAACGAUGCCACGAGUCAAACUCACUGCUUUGUUGUGAUGUAUGAUGGAUUUUGGCGUUCUGAGGUCGUUUGGCCUUCCAAAACUGCUUUCAAAGUUUUUAAUUAUCCGAAUAAAUUUUGUUUUCAGUUUCGGAGUUACGUAGUUAAGUCUCCGAAUUAAUUCUGUUUUUUCAGUUUUAAUGUAAUAACUCCCCUGACAGUUCAAGGGUUGAGAAUGGUGUAUUUAGACAGGUUUGUCUGUCGUUUUUUGAUUACCUCAGAUUUUAAUACAAUUUUCCAAAGAGAAUUCCUCUUAGUUUCUGGUAGAAUCCAGAUAUCUUGUUACUCAAGGUUUCGCUUGAAACCUUUGUUGUUUGUGCUGCGUCAAACUCUAAAAUCCUCAUCUUUCCCUAAAAUUUUAUUGGUUGUCUACUAGUUUGGUGCUGUUGUUUCUCCCUUACAACCCAUCCUCAGACUUGAGAUCUUGAUAUGGAGGUGUGGGCACUGUAGUUUAAUGGUCAGUUUUGACAUGGAUUGCUUGAGCAUGAUUCAUGUUGGUGGUUUGUUUUCCUAAUCUACACUUUACAGGUAGGGUGGCAAUGGGUCAUGUCGUGUCGAGAUAAUAAACGUGUUAAGAAUGCUCAACCCGAACCCGACCCAUUUAAUAAAUGUGUCGUUUUGGGUUCGGGUAUUCUUAAACAGGUUACCUGGUUAAUAACCUGUUUAAUAAAAAGAACCAUAAACUUCAAUGACCCUUGAUUAAUUAAAAAAUUUAUUUCAUUAAAAAAAACAAGGUACUUCAUCACUAAAAAUUAAAAAUUAAAAAGGGAAAAAAAAUAUAAAAACAAAAACAACAUCAUCAUGACACGCUUCAUGUUUCCACAACAUGAGACUUUAGUUUGGCCCUCUGGACCUCCUAUGUUGAGUUUUCACGCACCUCUUCUUGGGGCUCAUCACUUGAGCAUCCAAAGAUCACCCUCUUCCCUUUCGCAAAAGUCCUCUCGUGAUCUCGCUUAUGCUUCCCUGGGUUAUCCAAAGCCUCUAGCUACUCUUGCAUGUCUGUAGAGUAAAAAUCUACCAUCUUUGAUAGCUUUUUAUUAUUUUCUUACAAUAUUUCAAGCUGAUGUCACAUCUCCUCCAACGUCUUUGCCCUUUCCCUUUUCAAUCUCCUUAUAACACUCUGACAAUCUUCAACCAAAUUCUGUUCUGCCACCAACUGAGCUCUUAGCACUUGCACCUCAUAGGAUUUCACAAUGAGGCGAUGACCUACACUUGCGACUGAUCGCACUUUGCACCCUCAGUGCCAUGGCUUCACUCACCAUUCAAUUAUCAUCCCUUGUUCCUAGCACACUCACAUCCCUGGGACUUACCAAACUCCUCGCAAAUUCAAUGGCAACAUCGUUGUCAAGGAGUAAUGAGUCGUUUACUGUAACUGGUCCUCAUGAGGAAGCAAAGUAGGGCAUCCACACUGGUGCAGCCCUUUGUCCCCAUGUCUGAGUUGGUGGAGCCAGGUUUAGAUCAAGAGAAAAUGGGAAGGAAGGCACUAUUUUAUUUAUGAGUUGGAGGAGAUAAGUUUAGAUAGAGAGAAAUGGGAAGGAAGAAAAUUGGUGGAGCUAGGUUUUAUUUAUUUAUUUAUUUGUUUUUUUUGAGUUGUGAUAUUUUUCUCCCCUUGUUUCCUUUUAUAGACCUCCAUUAUGGCACCCGUUUCUGAUUUUUCCCACGUUCCUCGAGCUCCACACCCGUAAUUUCAGGCUUUCUACCUCGAGCUCUACGUUUCCAUCAUUAUCUUGGAGCUGUUGACACGUCUCACAAACCCACUUCCAUUCCAUAAUUUCCUCUUCUCUUUUCUCAUAAUUUCCACUUCGAGAUUUACGGGUGAGGAGACAACUGUCACCUGUAAUUUAUCCUUCUCUGUUUUUGCUUCGGGAUUUAUGAAGCUCAAGCUAGGCUUGAAGAUCUAAUAUAUGGAUGCGUUUCGCAAAUUUUUGUUCUCCAACAACAGGUUAAUAUCGAUUUAUAUUCAAAUUAUAUAUAUAUAAACCUAUUAGGUGUUCAAAUUGAACAUAUAUGCUUUAGCUUUGAAUUGUAGGUGGUCAACUUAGAAGCACAGUUAGUUUCCCUCCAGGAUCAAGUAGCUCAAAGCUUUUUGUAUGGCUCUGUUGUAGACUACGGGUUCCCUUUGUUGGUUCCCCUGAACCUUCUUCUUCUUCUUCUCACUACGGCCGCUUGUCGUUUCUAGGGUUUGAUUUGAGGGUUUUUGUUUCUUGGGAGUUUUUGUUGUUGUUUAGGGCCUAAAUUAUUUGUAUUUUGGAUUGAGCUUUUAUUUUGUUGAGCCCUUGUUUUUAAUUUUUUGACUUUUGUAUUGGAUUUUUAUGUAACUCUCUAUGAUAAUAACAUGUUCGUUCAUUUGACCCAAAAAAAAAGAGUAUCAUUUAUUAUAUUUUUAGCACGUUUGACGAAAUCAAACUCAUCAUCUCUUGAAUGGAUUUGGUGUUGUGGAAUAGAGUAUAUUAGCACUAUUUUUGGUUGUUAAAUAAAGUGUAUUUAGUUAAUUUUAUAUUUUAAUUUAAAUAUUAAGAUGUGCUUAAUUAAUUUUAAAGUUUAUUUAACAAUACUUUUAAAUAAGUAGAGGAUCGGAUCCAAGUGGAAAAAGUAUGUCUUGAUUUUGAGGGAUAAGGUAUAAGGAAACAGAUGACACGCCUCUGGAAUCUUGGAUUUUCCAAAUCUUUUAUAUAUAUUUAUAUAUAUAUAUAUUUUUUUUUACCCAAAAAUAUUUAUAUAUGUUUUUUUAAAUAAUUAUAAUAAUAGUCUAGGAGCUGUACGAAGAGAAAGACAAUCUUGAAUCUUCAUUGAUUGUCUAUCAACUUUGUAAAGGCUUUUGACUCACUGACUCGCUGUCUGGUUGGUAGAGAGUAGAGACGUACAUAAAGCCAUUCCUCUCGAAACCCCACUCAUCUCAAACCCCAAACCCGCUGUCAAAUCCCAGGGCUUAAUCCUAGACAGGCGGUGGAAAUUAUCAAGCUGGAGUACGGUAGGAGCAGAGGGAAUUUCCGGUGGAGCGGUGAAAUUCCCCUUCCCCAACCCCAAAACCCUAAACCCUAAACCCUAAACUCCCCCCAAAAAGCCGCUCCACAUUUAAUUAUGUCUAUCAUGUUAGGGGUAAUUACAAUUUUGGCCAGCGAACUUUUAAUUUUUCAAUUUUGGUCAUCACACUUUGCAUUGUCAACAAAUUAAGUCCAAUUAGAGUAUUCCGUCAGUUUCAGCGUAUGUGCUGCGUGCGUGCAUGUGCAAUCUUAUAAAAGUAAAAAUAUGAUAGAAUAGCUAAAUAGUAAUAAAAUAAAAUAAAAGUCUAUAAUAGCUAAAUGUUAUAAAAGUUUAAAUAUGACAGAAUUCUUAAAGAAGGAAUUUUUAGGAUCACGUUUAGUAUUUCUUAAUUAAUUACGACACUCUUCAUGGAAAAAAAAAUAAAAAUUCCCCAACACUUUCUCGUUCUUGAUGAAUAGUUAACUAGGAAGGAUGAGAAUCACACAGUAAACAGUUAAGUAGAUCAUCCUGCUAAUAAGUAGAUUAUAAAAGUGACAAUUAAGAGAUGCUAAAAGAAAAUUUUAAAAGGGACAGUUACGAUAUUUUGUAUAUUGUUUUAUCUAUUUUGUAUAAUGGGAUUGAUUGAUCACUCAAAUUGUCUCUUUAGAACAAUGCCCACCCCAAACUAGGAUAUUGUUAAGGGCAUGUUUACGUAUCAGUAAUGGGUAUGGGAGGAAAGUGAAUGAUUUCCUUUCCUGACUUCCCCUGCCUUUACUUGCAAUCAGGAAUGAAAAAAUAAGUGGGCCCACCUCAAAAUCCGUAAUCACAUCCCCUCAGAACAAGGUAUCAGAUCAACUAGGGGGGAGUUGUCGAUACAAUUCCCAUUCCUGUUUUCUCUUACUAACUUCCAAAAAUACCAUUACCACUUUACCAUAAUUCCAAAACACCCCAAACCCUAAAAACUCACACCAAAAAGUUCCAAGAUGCUCCAACUAAAAAAUAAGAACUCAUUUCCAAGAAGUUCCAUGUAUUUAAUGUAUGAAGAUUAUGCAAGUUAUUAUUAUUUGAUUGUUUACUAGUUAUGUAGAUGAAAGAUAUAUAUUUAUUGGAUCAAUUUCAUUGAACUGGGCUCUUGCUGUUCAUCUUGUUCAGCAUAUUGAUUCCUCAUGUUUGCACCGCCUUACUGGUUUGCUGCAGGAUUAGUUUGGUCUCCUUAGCCAAUUUGAGAAUUAUAUAUGUGCUGUGGUGAAAAUGUGCAGGGCAUUUUAGUAAUCAAAUUAAUUUGGAUUUUGAUUCAUGAAAAUUAGUAAACAAUAACAAUAGGAAUCAACCUCAUUCCUUUGCUAAUUCCAUAUGUUUAGUAAACAGCUUAAUGUGAAUGAUUCUUCCCAUACCGAUUUAGUAGUUCUCCGAUUCCUAAAUCCUCUAAUUCCUUACUUUCUCCAUUACUGAUACGUAAACAUGCCCUAAGUUAAUUGUGGCUCCAUUGUUGCUCUUGACAAAAGGGGGCUGUCAAUUGUACAUGUAUUUAAAAUUAACAAUAGACACAAAUUCAAAACAAUAGCUUUUUAUUUUGGUCCAAAACAGUAGCUAGUCUUUUUUUUUUUUUUUUUUUUUGGGUAAACAAAAAACAAUGUAGUCUUUAUUUUUGUAGUAGUGCAUGUCAUUAUUUAAUAGUCUAAUUAAUAAAGCGACUAAUUUGUAUGUUUUUCUUAAAGUGAGGUAUUUACAUGCAAAAUUUUCACAGUUAGGUAUCAAUUUGAAACGACCCCUAAAGAUGGGGUACUUUUAUGUAGUUAAUCUUUUAUUUUUAUUUUUAUUUUUAUCUUUUAUAUAAGCACGUUAUUGGGACAAGAGGAAACCAACUAGGAACUCGAGUAGGGAUGGCAAAUAUCUUCGUGGGGCGGGCCUCCGUUGGGUCCCCAACCCUAACGGGAGGAGAUUUCGGGGCCAAACGAGUAUAGGGUACAGGGAUCCUCGAACUUGAAAAAUCUCUGACGGGUAUGGGAAUGGGAUGGUAUUGGCGUCCCCAUCUCCGAACCCGACCCGAAAAUAUAUAUGUUUAUAUUUAAAUAAAUAAAUAUAUAAUUAUAAUAUUUAUGUUUAACCCUAAGUUAACCUCCCUCUCCUAAUUCUUCCUAAUCUUCUGUGGAAUUUCAUACUAAUGUGAUUUUGAAUAGUUGAGUUGAACUUUAUAGUUAAUUUGGAUGUGUUGAAUGAUAAUUUAAUAUGAAACUUAAUGUAAAAAUGUAUGAUAAAUAUUUUUUAUGCAAAAAAAUCGGGGAUUCGGGGCAGGUAUGGGGGAUAGUCCCCCGAUGGGGAUGGGAACAGGGAUUCCUCGAAACCUAUUAAACGGGAAUGAGUUCGGGGAUGGGGGCGGGGAUGGAGAGCGGGGACAAGGAUGGUACUGUCAUACCCGGCCCUUACCCAACCCGUUGCCAUCCCUAAACUUGAGUUUAGUGGAGGGCGUGAGCAACAAGUUUCUUAAGUAAUAAGGAAAGAGUUCUGCUAUUUCCACCCACCUGUCAUAUUUCCUCACCUACCUUAUUUUCAAAAUUGUAAAGACUAAUUUACCCAUUCAGAAAAUGACUUUUAAGGACUAUCUAAUUUUUUGACAAUGUUCACUUUUAAUAACUAAAAAAAAAAAAAACUACAAUUAAUUCUUAAAAACAAAACCAAAAACCCAAGAGCCACCAAAGCUGGUCCACCCCCACCCAACUUGUCAGCCAUCCCACCUGCCAGCGGCGACCCUCUCCCCCCGUGCCGCCGAUAAAUCCUCAUUACCUUUCGUCUCUCUCUAUCUCUCUGUCUCUUUGUCUCUUUGUCUCUUUGUCUCUUUAGGCUGGGUUCGUUGAUUUUCAUUUUUGUAGUAAUAACACGUUGGCUUUUUGAAGGAUAAGGAGGAGUUUGAUGUUGGUGUUGGAGAUGGGCGAGGAUGAUAGAUAUGGGGUUAAAGUGUAUUUUAAUAAUGAUCUAACAUUGCAGACAACUCAUUAAUAGGAGUAUCGAUCGAAGACUAUCAUUUUUUUUGUUUUAGCAACUAAAUAAUUCUUCAGUUUGUUUUGUUUCUAGAGAUGCCAAUACAGUGGCACAUAGUCUUGCAUAUUUCGCUAUUUUAUCAAUUGACAUGUUCUCAUGGGAUAGGGACCCUCCAGCUUUCAUCGAGAACUUGUUGGUUGAGGAGGAUAUGCUGGGACCCUUCAAUUCUUAAUGUUUGAAUUAACCGACGGCAUUUUCUGGUAUUUUGAAUGUUUCACCAUUCUCUGCCUUUUGCUUUAUAUAUAUAGAUAAAUACGAGUUUUUAUCAAAAAUAGCCAAAAUUUAAUCCCCAAAUUCAUAAAUGUCAGUUUUUUAAAAUACUUUCAAAUAUAGCAAAAAACUCACUUAAAUUGACCCAAAUGCCCUCUAAAUUAUAACUCAAUUACACCUAAAAGCUAAAACCCAAAAUAGCAAGAGCACAAAAACAAGAUUGGCUUCGUGAACUUAAUCAUGCCUAUGAAUCCUAUCAUAAAAAUGACAAUGUAAUUACCAAAAAGAAGAAGAAAGAAAAGGAACAGCCGAUGUUUUCAUAAAUCCAAGCAAUAAAAAUCAUCUCUGCGGCUAUGACUUGAUUCGGUAGGUUUGGGAGUUUUUUACAAUAAAAAAAGUUAAAGUCGGUUUCUUGACAUAAUAAUUUUUAAUUGAGAAAAAAAAGUUGAACUUUCUUACAAAAUUCGUAUCAUAAAUAUUGCUAGUCUGCAUAUGAUAUCAGGGGUUAAACUUUCUUGCAAACCAUCAUAUGUGUUGCUGCCUUCCCUCAGCACAAGAGGUUAAGAAAAAUUGCAAGGCCCUCGCUGUUCAUAGACUAUCUUCCCACAACACAAACUUGUCUAUAUUAACUUUGCUUUCCAUUAAGGGUGAUUGACAAGGGGCAGUGUCCUUGUGUUUGAGGGUAGGCUGGGUGGAGGGUGAGGCUUGUGCUCAGUAAGUUACGGCUUGGAAGAGCAUGCUUUUUGGUUAGGUUUUAAUUUAGAGGGCAUUUGGGUCAAUUUAAGUGAGUUUUUGGCUAUAUUUGAAAGUUUUAAAAAAAACUGACAUUUACGAAUUUGGGGGUUAAAUUUUGGCUAUUUUUGAUAAAAACUCGAUAAAUACAUCGUUUCCACUAAAAAAAUAUAGAGAAUUUGCAUAAAUUAAUAAUUAAAGGAUAUUUUAGGGAUAAUGGUGGGUGGAAAGAUAUGAUUGUGUUUUUUCAAAUUUACAUGGUGGGUGGGAAGAUAAGGUGAGUGGGAAAAUAGGAUAGGGAAAGGAAAUAGCAGCACUCUAAGGAAAUUUUAAGAUAAAAGGUGUGGUAGUACAAAUAUUUCUUUUUAGAUCUGGGAAGAGGGAGAAUGAACCAUCGUUUAAAAUGGUAGAGUUUAGUAUUUCCUAAUUAAUUACGAAAACUCUCUUCAUUGAAAAAAAAUCCCAAAAUCUUCUCAUUUUUAAUAAACAGUUAGAUAGGAAGGAUGAGAAUCACAUAGUAAGCACUCUGAUAUAGGGAUUUCAUGAAGAUGGCUACAAACUCAAGAUCUUCGUGAAUUUUUUUUUUGGGCGAAAGACGGCGAUCAAAACUAUCUUUUUUUGUUUUAAUAAGAAAGAGUAAUAAGGAAAUGUUUUUUUUUUUUAAAUUAAAAAAAUUUAUAGAAGUGCGGUAUUGGGUGAAGAGGAAAUCCAAAUUAGGACCUCGAGUGGAGGGCAAGAGCUACAAGUCUCUUAAGUAAUAAGGAAAUUUUAAGAUAAAAGGUGAUAGUACAAAUAUCUCAUUUUAGAUCUGGGAAGAGGGGGAAUGAACCAGCGUUUUAAAUGGUAAAAAAUGAAUCUAUAAUAGCUAAAUGGUAUUAAAGUUCAAAUAUGAUAGAAUUCCCAAGUAAGGAAUGUUCCAUUAAAACCAUAGUAGAGUUUAUUAUUUCUUAAAUUAAUUACGAUACUCUCUUCAUGGAAAAAAAUCUCCAACAUUUUCUCAUUCUUAGUAAAUAGUUAAGAUAGGAAAUAUGAGAAUCACACAAUAAACACUCCUAUAUAGGGAUUUCAUGAAGAUGGUUACUCUCUCAAGAUCUUCUUCCAUCAUGAUUGUCCUCCUCACAAGAACUAUAUAAAGUCCUCUACAGUUGCUGAAAAACACAACCGAAGCAUUGCCUAUAUUUUCUCUUCAAAAACUCUCUUUGUUGAUCUUACUUUCAAAAUUCUUCUGCGCUUUAUUCAUCAAUCACAUUGCCAACAGGUACGUACAUGAGCAUAUCAAUCUAAUUACUUAUCAAUUAUUAUCCAUUUGCGUCACUACAUUUGAAACAUAACAUACAUAUAUACAGGAAGUAACAUAAUGGCAGCCACAAUCAAAAGCUCCUAUGUACUGAAGCCAGCUGAAGCAACAUGGCAAGGCUGCUAAACUCAAUCUGAAUGGGAUCAAAUUGGCUGCAUAACUCACGUCGGCAGUAUCUACUUCUAUAGACCAGACCAACACUGUGUCACCCCAACUGACGCCAUUGCCAAUACCCUCAAAGACUCACUACGCCGCGCUUUGGUGCCGUUCUACCCACUAGCAGGUCGUCUGCGUUGGAUCGAGGGAGGCCGUCUUGAGCUCGACUGCAAUGGCAUGGGGGUUGAGUUCAUUGAAGCCGAGUCUGAUUUGAAACUCGAUGACUUGGGUGACUUCUCUCCUUCUCCGGAAUAUCACUCUCUGUUCCCCACUGUAGACUACAACCUCCCAUUUCAUGAACUUCCUCUAUUGUUUGUCCAACUGACAAGGUUCAAAUGUGGCGGUUUUAGUCUCGGCUUGGAAAUAUCACAUGCAGUUACUAAUGGCCAAAGUGCGUGUCAUUUCAUUGGCGAGUGGGCUAAGCUCACAAGGGGAGAGCCAAUUGGAGUAAUGCCAUUUCUUGAUGGACAAGCCUUCCUAGCUCGACACCUCCCAGCUCCAACUCAAGUGUUUGACCAUAUAGAGUUCAACCAACCACCGAUUUUACUUGGGCAAUCAGAUAAUUUACAGGAGAGUAAGAUGCAAACAACUUUAACCAUGUUAAAGCUCACCAAAGAACAAGUUGAUAAACUUAAGCAAAUGGCGAAUGAGGGUACCAAUUUCUGUGAGAAAUUUAAUAUUAUAUUUAAUAUUAAUUUUCUAUUUGAAUGGAAAUUAAUAAAAUCCACUGGGUUAAAGACAUGACCCUUGGGUAAAGACAUCUUCAAUUGGGGGGUGACAACUCUUCAAACCAAGGGAUGAAUUGUUUGGGGUGACAACUCUUCAGACCAAGGGAUGCAUUGCUUGCCUUUUCAGAUUGAGAUACCUUUUUAGAAAGGGUAUUACAUCAUCUAUAAAUAGAGCAAUCCUCCUACAGUUUUAUUCAUUCAGUUUAAUCCUCUACAUACAGACUUUCACAUAUAGAAAGCAUUAGAGUCUUCAUAAAGAGAGGUUCCUGCAUAAUUUGGUUCAAAGUUCCUUGUGAAUUGCAGUGCUUCUUUCAUAAGGAGGGGAGUCGUUGUAUCCUGGGAGGCGAACGCUAGUGAACCAUAAGCACCAGUGUGGGGCGUAAUUCGUCUUAAGGUCAGAGUGUCCAACACUUGCCUCGACUCAAUUAAGGUUCUUCUAAUUCAAUUAUGCUUUGUAAAAAUCUGUUUUAUGUGCAGUAUUUAUUUUGUUUAUUUUAUAGCAAUUUAGCACUCAUAUUUCCAACAAUCUUAAGACGAAUUAUUAUGGUGUAGUUGCUAUAUUUUACUUGUUUGUUUUGUUAACCGUUGCAUCUAUUUCACUAGUUGGUAAAUUCAUGGUCAACAUGUGAAGAAUAAACUUGAAUCAAGUGGGUUGUAAAUUUUUUUACAAUCUAAAAUUAUGUAUGCAUGUUGGACCAUUUCCUGUCUAUAUAAAAUGAAGCCAUUGUGUCUGGACGUGAUCCAACUAGAAAUUUGAUUUUCAGUUUCUAACGGUUAUAGGCUUUUAAAUCCAUUUGUUGGGCUUCUGACUGUUCAUAUAAAUUUUGCAUUCAUAAAUGAUGCAUGGAUUCUGCAGAUCAAAUACAUUAAGAAGCAUAUAGUGCUUGUUUCUAGUUACUUAUAUAAACGUAUGUAUAUGAACCAUUGGGUUGACAUCAAGAUAUGCAAUUGAUAUAUUGGAUUGCAUAUAGAAAGAUUGCAAAUAUUUGGUUUUUGCAAAUUUUCCUAAAGAGGGAAAACAUGUCAGUGUAUUAUCUAUAUUUGACAAACACAAUUGACGAAUACUUCCAAGAAGAGAAGUAGUGUUGAAAUGACCAGAAACAUGUAUUUCUCCGUCUUACAAAGAUAACAACUGCAAUGUGGGGAUAAAGCCCUAUUUUGUAGAAUUAAGUUUCUAAUUAUGAGGCUUCAAACUACAAUGGUCUGUAUGAAAGGGAAAAUUUCCAUUAAAAGGAAAUGAUGAGUAAAGUGGCUUCGAAAUUUCCUAAAGGAUAUUCAUAUGUGUAACAAAAUUACACAAAUGUUAAGAAUCCGAAAAUGUGGGGGUCUAUUGCAAAAUUGCACUAGACGUAAUAUGCAAAGUUUAAGGUAUGAAAUUUCAUUGGUAGUUUAAUAGCAACCACAAUUGUAAGAGAAUUGUGGGGGUGGCUUAACUAUCUUUGUAAUCUCAUAUUUGUGUACGAAUGGAAAAGUAGUUUGCAUGUUUAUUUCAAGGUAUAAAAAGGUUGAAGACCCUACAAAUACCUUAAAUGUGGGGGAAGUCCACUGAAGAGUUGGCAAAUUACUUAGUAAUUCCCAACAAAACACAUGGAGGAAUUUUUUGAAAACAACUACUCUCGAAUGAAUAUAAUUUCAUAAGAUGGAAUGUGCACACCAUCAGUUCAUAGUCAACCUAGUCGAUCCAAUAUUUAAAGGUCAGACUAGAGAGUUAGUUGAUCAUCGAGGGGAAUGGGAGUAUAAGCCUAAAUAUUUAAAGUCUCCAUAGUGGAUACCCAACCUAGCUGACUGGAGAUCCCAAGAUCUAGGUUCAAAAGGGACAACCAAAUUAUGGAUGACUAAGUAGUAGCACUGCUGAGAUUACAUCUCCUACCCAUAUCCUAUGAUGAAACAGUGCUGCCUGUAGCGUGUUUUAGGGUAAUCUUUGAUUUUAAUGAUUCCUAUAGCUUGGGAAUCCGAGUGGGGUAGUGCAUGAUACUCUUAAUAGGAAGUCACCUAUGUGAGUGUGAAAUGAGGCCGUUUCUAUGAGAAUUUUUUAAGGCUUGAAUUCUCUAAAGCUCUCAUGAAUACCAGGAAUUGCUCAGGGCCAAAACGAGCACAACCGAUCGAACCAAAUAUGUUUAGGAGGAUAUUGUGUGAGUGCUAUUGUCUGGGUUUACACAAACGGCUGAACAGUUCAAGACAUCACGUUCACUGAUUAGCCAAGUAAAUCCGAUAGUACUUCACUAUGGAAGGUUCAAAGCCAAAAGCUACCUAUCCAGAUGCCAUAUUCUUCUAAUAGGAACUCUCUCUAAGUCUGCAUUAUCAUUUGCAUAUUGUUGAAACUAAUUUCCAUUCAUGUGGGGGAUUGUGAGAAAUUUAAUAUUAUAUUUAAUAUUAAUUUUCUAUUUGAAUGGAAAUUAAUAAAAUUCACUGGGUUAAAGACAUGACCCUUGGGUGAAGACAUCUUCAAUUGGCUGGACACAUCUGGAGAUGUGCAUUGAGGUCGAGAAACCACAAAGAUGAACAGCCAACGGCAUUGAUGGUUUGCGUUGACCUUCGAAGUCGUAUGAAACCUCAAUUGCCCCAAGGUUACUUUGGCAAUGCAGUAUUUUAUAUGCCUGCCACAAGUCUUGCCGAUGACUUGUUGUCAAAGCCAUUAGGGUACGUGUUGAGUAGAAUAAGGGAGGCGGUCGAGAAGGUGACAAUGGAUUAUGUGCUGUCAGCCCAUGAAAAGUUGAAGAAUGAACCAGACUUAACUCGGUUUCAAGACCUUCAUUAUGCUAAAGAGAGUGAACGAGGGCCUUUUAAUGGAAACCCUAAUAUUGGGGUUCUGAAUUGGUUGACACUGCUUAUAUAUGGGCUGGAUUUUGGUUGGGGAAAGGAGAUUUAUAUGGGUCCAGGGCCGCAUGAUUUUGAUGGGGAUUCUUUGAUCCUUCCAGGUGCCGAUAGAGAUGGUUCUGUGGUUGUGGCUACAAGUGGCCCAUAUAGAUGUUUUCAAGAAGCACUUCUAUGAAGAUAUCAUAUAAUUAAAUAAGGGCUCAUUUGGUAGUUUUUCUAUGAGAAUUCAAAUUGGACACUCUUGGCCUUUUAUAUAGCCAACCUUAGCUCACGAUACAGACAGGUAUUGUUGAAUCGGUUAAGUUUUAUUGAUUCAUAUUUUGCCAGAUAUUUUGUGUCCAUUCGAAUCCUCGAUGGCUAAUUUGAAUUCUCAUACUUUUUCCACUCAAAUUGGACACUCCUAGCCUUUUUUGUAGUCAACCCGAGCUUACGGUACAGAUAGGUAUUGUAUAAUCGGUUCAGUUUUUUUUAUUUAUGUUUUGGCAAAUCUUUUGUGUCCGUUAGAAUCCUCAAUCUCUAAUUUGAAUUCUCAUACUUUUUCCAAUCAAAUUGGCCACUUCUAGCGUUUACCCUGGUCAACCGUAGGUCACAGUACAGACAGGUAUUGUUGAAUCAGUUCAGUUUUUUUUAUUCAUAUUUUAGCUGAUCUUUUGUGUCCAUUAGAAUCCUCAAUCUCUAAUUUGAAUUCUCAUACUUUUUUCAAUCAAUUUGGACACUCCUAGCCUUUUAUGUAGCUAACCCUAGCUCACGGUACAGACAAGUAUUGUUGAAUCAGUUCAGUUUUUUUUAUUCAUGUUUUGGUAGAUCUUUUGUGUCCAUUCGAAUCAUCAAUCUCUAAUUUGAAUUCUCAUACUUUUUCCAACCAAAUUGGCCACUUCUAGCCAUUGCUCUAGCCAAAUCUAGCUCACGGUACAGACAGGUAUUGUUGAAUCGGUUCAGUUUUAUUUAUUCAUGUUUUGGCAGAUCUUUUGUGUCCAUUCGAAUCCUCAAUGUCUAAUUUGAAUUCUCAUACUUUUUCCACUCAAAUUGGACCCUCCUAGACUUUUAUGUAGCCAACCCCAACUUACGGUAAGAUAUAGUGUUUUUAGAAAAACAUGUCAUUUACUCAAUAAAUUACAGAUAAGAUGUUGCAUUUCCAGAUAUAUAGACCUUUUACACAAUAACUUACCGGUAAGAUGUGGUGUUUUUAGAAAAAUAAGUUAUUUACUCCAGAAAUUACGGGUAAGAUGUUGCGUUCUCAGAUGUAUAGGCCUUUUACACUAUAACUUAGCGGUAAAAUAUGGUGUUUUGAGAAAAAUCAGUUAUUUACUAUAGAAGUUACGGGUAAGAUGUUGCGUUCUCCAAUAUAUAGCAUUUCACACUAUAACUUACUUGUGAGGUUUGGUGUUUUUAGAAAAAUAAUUUAUUUACUCCAUCAAUUACGGGUAAGAUGUUCCGUUUUCAUAUAUAUAUAUAUACAUAUAUAUAUAUAGGCCUUUUACACUACAACUUACCGGUAAGAUAUGGUGUUUUUAGAAAAAUAAGUUAUUUACUCCGUAAAUUACAGGUAAGAUGUUGCGUUUUCAGAUAUAUAGGCAUUUUACACUAUAACUUAUUGAUAAGAUAUGGUGUUUUUAGAAAAACAGGCUAUUUACUCAAUAAAAUAGGUUACGAUGUUGCGUUUUCUGAUAUAUAGGCCUUUUACACUAUAACUUACCGGAAAGAUAUGGUGUUUUUAAAAAAAAAUAAGUUAUUUACUCCACGAAUUACAGGUAAGAUAUGGUGUUUUUAGGGUUUAAGGUUCUGAGAACGUAACAUCUUACCUGUAACUUUGUUGAGUAAAUAACUUAUUUCACUAAAAACACCAUAUCUUACCAGUAAGUUAUACUGCUUUUAUACUUUAUAGAAGUGCUUUUUAUAUUUUGUUGAGCGUUUGGCUGCUAAAUAAAAAAAGCACUUUAAGAGUACUAAGGUAUUUUUAUUUAUUUAUAUUUUUAAUAUCAGAGAGUACCAAAUUAUCAAAUUCUUAUUUCUCAAGUACCAAAUUAUCAUAAGACAUUAUUGUUAGAGUUUUAUAGUGUGUGAGUGCAGAGUGACGAAUGAGAGAAGAAAGCAGGAAGGAAUAAUUGACAAAAUAUAUAUCUGCUAUUCGUGUAGCAGAAGAAUGUUCAUACCAAUUCUCUCUCUUACAACCUCACGCACUUAGUGUGAGGAAUAUAUCCGUUAGGCACAGUAGUUGGGUCCCUUUCAUCACAAGGUGAUCUCAGCCAUCCACUUAGGCAACCAAUAGGAAGCUUACACUUGUCUUACAAAAUGAAAUGAAAAUAAACUAACUUUUAAGUCAGCUUAAGGCUUAUAAUUCAACACUCCCCUUUAAGUCUUGAGCUGAUUUAACUCCAAGCAUACUCCUGAGAGAAUUGAACCGAUCCUUAGCCAAUGGUUUGGUGAAAAUGUCAGCUAGUUGUUCCUUAGUAGGACAGUACACCAAAUCAAUGAUGCCUUCUUAUAGUGCACCUUUGAUGAAGUGAUAUCUUCGAUCAAUAUGCUUUGAGCAAGAUAGCGGGGUGUGGGGUGUGAGGUUGAUGAGUUUUUUUUUGUUUUUUUGUUUUGUUUUAUGCUAGGUGUCUAUUUAGGCAUAGUUUAGGAAAAUAAUGGAGUUUUCUUAGAAAUUGUGAAAAUUUGAAUUAAAAGUUGGGGUGAACUUAGAAUAGUCAAACAAUACGGGUAGAAUAUUUUUCGGGGUAUAUUUCAUUCUCCAAAAGAAGAUAUUUAUAGUACAAAGAUGAAACCCUAGUAGGGUCAAACUAGAAAACAAGAUAAAAUCCUAAUUACACAAUAUCUGUACAAAAGGAAAGCAAUAUAGUCCUAAUAAACUAGGAAAUAAGUAUCCUAAUUAAGCUAGAAUCUCGCUAACAAGAAUAUGAAAUGAACAAAGAGACGGUUUUAAAUAGAAAUACUCAAAAUUAAUAAGGAAUAUGUUUCUUUGUAGAAGCAGGGCAUUGGGAGAAGUAGAAAUCCAAACUAGGACUUCAAGUGGAGGGUGUGAGCUACAAGUAUCUUAAGUAAUAAGGAAAUUUUAAGAUAAAAGGUUAGAGUACAAACAUUUCUUUUUGGAUCUGGGGGCGGAAUGAACCAAUGUUUUAAAUGGUAAAAAAUCAAUUUUUAAUAGUUAAAUGUUAUAAAAGUUCAAAUACGACAGAAUUCUCGAGUAAGGGAUUUUCCAUUAAAACCAAGAUUAUGCUUAGUAUUUCUUAAUUAAUUACGACACUCUCUUCAUGGAAAAAAAAUCCCUAAUGUUUUCUCAUUCUUGAUAAAUAGUUAGAUAGGAUAGGAAGGAUGAGAAGUGUUCUUGUUUUCUUGUUUCCAUAAGCUAAUUAACACACAAACACGGCCUUGCCUUUCUAAUCGGCAUUUUUUUUUUAUCGUUUCACUGUCAUAAUGGGAAAGAUCCACUACAUUGGCCCAAGAAGGUGUGUAAACGGUCACUCUAUAACUAUAAGGAGAAUCAAACAUCAACCAAAAUAUGUUUGGGAGAUAAAAGAGAGUUUUCAAGAGUGAAACACUUUUAUCUUUCAAAGAGAUUUUGAUUGAAACCAAUUUUGAGAAUCUUGCACUAGCAUCCUUGUAUUAUCAAGAUACUUCCUCUCUCAUCUCAAGGUUCCAUUGGUGUGGAGACUUAGAGGGCAUAUACUUUUGUAGCUCACGUGGAGGAGAAAGAUCAAGGAGCAAAGGUCAAAGGUCAAAGAUCAUUUGAAAGAAAUCAUACCAUGGAGAUGGUAGAGCAACAAAAAGAUGAACACAGGCGUUGUCAAUUGAUUAUCUGGAAAUUAAACAGGCUUGUUUGAAAAGAUCUUGAGUUUUUCAAGUAUUUUCGAGACGUUGCGUUUAGUUUUGGAGAGAGAGUAUCUUCUUUUGUUGUGGAGGCUCUCUAUUUAUAGGCAAGAAGCUUCAAUGAUGAAAGCUAAAAGAGGAUAUUUGAUUGCUAUCCAAAGUAAGUUAUUGAUUGGUUUAUAGGUGAAAGGAUGGAAUAUCUCUGACAAAAACGCUAGUUUUUUGAGGUGCUUCUUUGGCUUGAGUUCUCUGUACCUAGAAAUCUGGUUGGCAAUUAAACUCCCUAGUUCUAGUGGCUUUUAUCCAGCUUGCUUUCUUGUUGAGCAAGAAGAAGGUCAAGUCGCCAUUAAUGGUGACAAUCCUUCUUCAGACCUUCACGUGGAUCUGUGUGCAACGGUUACCAAUCUUUUUAACUUUAGUAUGGCUCAAAGACUUGGGCUUCCUGAUGCUGUGGGUUUUUAUUAAUUUUUCUUAUCUAUUGACGGCCCAUUAAAAAAAAGGUCCCUUUUGUUUUAAAGAAAUAAAAAGAUAUUGGGCUUGGGCUUCACAGAUAUGUUCCCUUGAGAGAUAGACAAUUUUUGGCCCAUUUGCAAUAUAUGGUACUAACGCAUAAUUAUUAACAAUAAUCCGUAUAGUGGUUUGAAGUAUUUACUCCCUCAGAUAAGGUCAUGGUUUCGAGUCCUAACAUCCGUGUAGUGUAUGUGACUUUAAUAUGCUAUCGCUCUUCUCAAUAAGAAAGGUCUUAAAAAAAAAACAAUAAUUCAUUAUUUUUUAGCAGGAAACUAAAAUUAAAAAAAGGGGAAUUGGCUCAUAUAAUCAUUUUACAAACUUUAAUCUGACAUAAUCACUUUGGAACUUGAAAGUACCAAGCUACCCUUCAUAUAAAUAGAUAUUUAUUGCUGACUUAUUGCCCACUGAUUGCCCUCUCUCUCUCUCUCUCUCUCGCGCAGGCUCUCUUCGCGUUCUCUUCCUCUCUCAGCGCUUUCUUCCUCUCUUUGCGCUUUCUCUCUCCAUCGUCCACCACCACUCUCUUUCUCCCUCUGUCGUGAAAACCUAAGCAUCACUCUCUCUCUCUCUCUCUCUCUCUCUCUCUCUGUGCAGUCGAUGUUAGGGUUUGUUGAGGGGGUUCUUGAAGGCCAAUCUUUGCGUCCCUCAGCUGCCCGGCCAAGGCUGUUCCUUCCACAGCUUCCUCACCAAUACCUACAAGGUUACUUUCAUGGAAUUCCCUUCUGGCAUUAAGGUUAGCUUUUUCAGUUUUCUACGUCUCUUUCUUUUAUUUAUUUAAUUUAUUUUUACUUUCAGAUCUUGAAAUUAAGAAUUAUAGUUUGAUUGAAUAUUAAAUAUUUGCUGCUUCUGUUGGCAAUUUUCUAGUAUUAGAUCUAGCGAUUUAGGAUCGGAAAGAAAGGCCUCUCCUCUCACUCAAUUACAUUCUUGAACUUGAAUUUGUGCUUAGAAAUUUGGACAUGUGUGGUUGUGUUUGCGUAUACCAAAUUGUCAUACAAUUAGAUUCAUUCAUACAAUUAGAUUCAUUCUUAAUGUGCUGCUGCUUUCUUACUCUUUGUUUUGUGUUUGUGUGUGCAGAUUAUCUUGGUUACGCAUCCCAGGACCCGCGACUUGCGUGAAUCUUUGAAGUACAUUUACAACUUGUAUGUGGAAUAUGUCGUGAAGAACCCGCUCUACACUUCUGGAACUCCAAUCAGGUAACUGGUUCAGUUUCGAUUAUCGUAAUGUAGUAAAUUAAUGAUCAAUCGUCAUAGUAACAAGUUUCAUCUCAUAGGUCAUAAAUAGAUAGUCAUGCCUACUACAUGGAUUAAUAUUAUCAGUUUUAUAAUUUUCAGCUCACACUGCGUCCCAUUGGGAUGCUUAAGUAAAGAAACUUAAUAUUGCAAUUAGUGAUAAACAAACUGUCUCAUUGCAUGUCUUUUUUGCACUAUAACAAGACUAAUAUUUGAACUAGGUUAUCUCUUGGUUUAGAAGGCAUGUUUGAUGUGUGUCGUCUUAUUGCUAUUGUUAGUAUUUUGUGAACUCUGUUUGUUAGAACCUGCCUACUUUUCUUUUCCUUGUAUAUAUAGUUCUAUUGAAUUAGUUUACUGGUGGCUUAUCCAUCUUUGAUUAGAGUUAAAUAUAUAGUGAGUGGAGAUAUAGAAGAGUGUAGGAUGUGGAAGGGUUUGAGAACCAGGGGUAGUAUUCAAGAGGCUACCUGCUCUGUCCCUCAAGAUCUCAACCAAUUACAACUUAAUACCUCAGUUCGCUUCUCUUAGCUUUCUGGGAUUCUUCUUUUAUUUUAUUUUUUUUGUUUUUGUUUUUGUUUUUUGUUUUGUUUUGUUUUCAUGUUUUGCUUUGCGUUUGUGGGUUGUAGUCUGUGUUAUAGAUCUGGGUUAUUGUCAAUUUCCUGAAAUCUGUAUGUAACAUAAAACUCAUGAUAAACCUUUGAGGAAAAACUUUGAUUUCCCUUCAAAGUGAGGUAUAUUACCAGGGAUUGACAUGGAUGUGCCUUUCUUAAUUGUUCAUUAUUUGCAGGGGUAGCUUCUGAAGUUAGAUGUAGUUGGUAUAUCUUAUGAAUGAGCGCAAGUUUAAUAUUCGUGUUAUACAUCUGUUAGUGGUGGUGUUUUAUUGAAAUAUAUAUUAAGGAAAAGGUAAACGUAAAACUCAUGUAUUUGGCUUAAUGUUUCUUCUUUUUCCUUCAUUGUUACAGAGUUCCAUGCAUAUCUGGCAUGUGUACCACACCAUUGCAUGCCACUUCUUCCCAAUUGAUUCCAAGUGAUCUUUCCUGUUCCUGUUGUAAAAGCCCUUCUCUUCCCUAGAGCUGUUGCAAAUGGUGCACCAAUGUGAUUACUUAAAACUUGUAUUGGAUUAUUUGGAAACUAAAAAUUAAACUCAGAGGAUUAUUCAAGUUUGUAGAAAACUCACAAGAAACACUGAAAAACGUAAAUGAUACAAGUGUAUUAGGCAAGGACUUAUAGGUGGAGUAUAUCCAGGUAAAAUUUUGUGAGUGAGCAAUCACGAAAUCACCAGAUCUUCUAAGCUUAAUGUCCAUAUACAGAAGGAAUCUAGCCUAGGGAGACAACAUUGCGCGUUUAACAGAAUUGAACACAUAAGACAUCCAAAACAAAAAAAGGACAGGUAUAGUAUUUAGCCAUGUGUAAAGGAUGCGCUCGAAGGAUUUCUGGAUUUGAGCUUGCUGAAAAAAAAAAAGAUACAUCUGACACAGUUCUUAGGCAAUCUACAGCAAUCUAAAAGGGAUAAAAAAGUGAUUGUCAAAAUCAGGAAGCACGAAUUACACUAAGCAGGUAGGCAUUGUGGAUAAAAAAGAUAACCAUAGAUGUUGGCUGAUUCAAACAAAACAAACGGAUGAUCUAAAUCAAAUAAAAGACACUGAAAACCUAUUAGUAUUCUCAAGGAAAUAUAAUGAAAACCAAAGAAGAUAUCAAUUCCAGAAAUUACCCUAAUAAAAAAUUUCCUUCUACCUAUCAUGGAACUCACGAUUCCACAAUACCAUAUGAUGGAAGAUCUUUGUUUUGUUUCCACAAGUUUCAAUCAACAGCACCUACAGAUGACAUUCUGAACCAGACAAUUACCAUUUUGAGCCAUCAUUGACAUUUGAAAUACUGAAGGAGAGCUGGCUUCCCAGAUAAUUUAUUGGAAGAAGAAUGACAGCCUCAACAAUCCCAGCAAAGCCAAAUACUCUCACACUGCAUAAAAACAAACAAACAAACAAACAAAAAAGCUUCAAAUAUGCACUUAGAAAUUUCAGGGUCAGGUAAAUCAAUUAAUGAAGAAAAGUUCAAUGCUUUAAUCAACACAAACCUCAAGCUUAAUUGGAGGCCUGCUUUCAUUGUCCUCUGUCAUGGCUAGUCCCUAUAUUUGAGAAACGCAGAGUUAAGAGUCCUUAUAUAAGUUUCAUGUAAACUAUAAAUUUGACUUCUUUAUGACUUCACCAUGAGUAUUGUUUGAAAAUGGUUAGCAGGGAACAAAUCAAAGAUGCAGACGAAGAACAUAAAAAUGAAAAUGGGUUUCAGAAUCAGUAUGCAAUGGAUACCAAAAGAAACACACACAUAUUGAAAAGCUCACAAAAUGAUUUCAAUAAAAACAGAAACGCAAAGGUCCAAAUGUAAUCGGAACAGAAAGGUUAUAAAUAAAUACCCAGAUGCUCCGUUUCAACGAUCCGAGACAAGAACCCGAUAGCCCAUUGCGGCAACAAUGGACAUUUUGGAACUGAUCCACAUCGAGCUUCUUUCUGCAUUGGAUUUGUAAGACGAGAUAACCCUAGGUAGGGGAUAAAGAUUGAGUUUUUUUGUUGUUGGGAAAUUGACACAGAGGUGGGUUUCGCAAGAGAGGGAGAAACAGAGUGGUGGUGGUCGUGAAGCGAAGAUGGAGAGAGAGCGCUGAGAGAGGAAGAGAGAACUGUGAGAGAGAGCGCGAAGAGAACUGCGUGAGAGAGAGAGAGAGAGAGAGAGCGAACAGUGAGGGCAAUCAGUGGGCAAGAAGUAUCUAUUUAAAUGAAGGGUAGUUUGGUAUUUUCAAGUGCCCAUGUGAUUAUGUCAGAUUAAAAUUUGUAAAGUGAUUAUAUGAGAAUAAAGGGUUUGCAAACGUGAUUAUUUGAGACAAUUCCCUUGUAACUUCCUCUGUCCUUUCACAUUAUUUGUUGGCGCAGUGGGUGGUUGUCUCUUUUCUCUUCACUACGAGUUUGAAAGAUUUUAAUGCCCUUUUUUUCUUCCGUAACUGACUUUAUUCCUUUACUUUUUUUGACACAGAGCAUUUAAAUGCCCACAAAAUCAUUACCGUGUUCCCUACUAGCUCACUCACUCGAUGAACUAACUAUUAAAAGUGGGAAGGGAUUUCCCCCAUUAAAACUACGAAAUUUCAUAACAAAAAGAAAAAGUAAAGGUAAUUCUGAUCAAAACACAUCUGGGAAGAAAAGACGAGAAGUUGCCUUGAAGGUUCCUUACCCUUUACUCAACAAAUUGUAGGUACCUUCGCAUUACAAAGAAACUGCUUCAACUUACUACUAUUUUCAGACCAAAAAAACACGUGAGUUUGUUGAGUUUGUUUAAGCCUUAAGCUAUUUGUCAUGUAUAUAAGCUUAGUUCUUACUGUAUCGUUUUAUUAAGAAAGAAAAUCAAUACAAAAUCAGAUAAGAUUCUCUCUGCUUCUUCUUCAAUUCUUCAAUGUUCUACUUAAAAUCCUUAUUCAGGCUUAUGGGGAGUUCCCCAUUGCCAAUUGAUUCUGGGGUGGAACCUCAACUUCCUUCAGAUCUGCCCCCUAUGACCACUCAACCAGUCUCUUCUUCUUCUUCUUCUUCUUCUUCUUCUUCUCCAUAUGAUGUGUUUUUGAGUUUUAGAGGUGAGGAUACACGCACCAAUUUUACAGAUCAUUUGUACAAGGCCUUGUUUGAUAAGGGCAUCUACACCUUCAUUGAUCGAGAGCUUACAAGAGGAGAGGAAAUAUCGCCAGCCCUUGUUAGAGCAAUUGAAGAAUCAAGCAUUUCUCUCAUUGUAUUCUCUGAAAACUAUGCAUCCUCAAGCUGGUGCUUGGACGAACUCGUUGAGAUCCUUCGAUGCAAAAACUCAAAGAAACAAAUAGUUUGGCCCAUUUUUUACAAGGUGGAUCCGUCGGAUGUACGAAAGCAAAAAAAUAGUUUUGGAGAUGCAUUUAAAGGCCUUAUUGAAAGCAAAUUCAAAGAUAACGAGGAGAAGGUGCUCACAUGGAGGAAAGCACUUACAAAAGUAGCAAAUUUGUCCGGACAUACUUUCAAGGAUGGAGAGUAUAUUUCUAGCUUUAUCUUUUUCAAGUUUAAUUUUUUUCUCUCUUCGUUCUCUGGUUACACAUUAUUAAAGAAAAGUAUCCUUUUGUAAAAAUAUAAAAUUGUAGGGAGAAGAUCUUUUUUUUAUUUUAAUAUUUUCGAUAGCUGUAGGGCAUUAUGUUUAAUUUAGUGUCUUGAUUCUAUAUUUCAGGGCUAUCUAUCUUUUUCAAGUUAACUUAAUUUCUUUUUUUUUUUUUUUUUUAAAUUUAAAUAUUUUAUUUAUUUAUUAUACUUUGGUUACAUUUAAUUGUUACUCGUUAAAGAAAAGUAUUCUUUUGUAAAAAUAUACUACUGUAGGGAGAAGAUUUAUUUUCUUGGGUACUUUUGUAUUUUCGAUAGCUGUAAGGAGGAAGUUCAAAAUCCAUACAUUAAUCUCCUCAAAAUCCAUACAAGUAUAAAUGAUACAUAACAUUAGGUUUGUGGUCAAACAACUUUUACAUAUUUUUUUUUCUUUUUCGAUAGCUGAAGAACUGUUACGUACUUCAGGAUGUUUAAAUCUGAUUCAUUAAAUGUGUCUAAUUUGGUUAAACUGGCAGGUAUGAAGCUACAUUUAUCAAGAACAUUGUUGAUGGAAUCUUAAGCCGAGUACUGAGACGCACAUAUUGGAAUGUGGCCGAGCACCCAGUUGGAAUUCAGUCUCAUGUACAAGAUGUGAAAAAGCUUUUAGAUGUUGGUGGGAAUGGUCGUCGCAUGGUUGGGAUAUGGGGGACAUCUGGAAUAGGCAAGACAACAAUUGCAAAAGCUAUAUGGAAUGCAAUUGCCCAUGAGUUUGAAGGAAGUUGUUUCUUGGAAAAUGUUAGAGAAGGAAGCUUAGUCCAGCUACAGAAGACUCUUCUUCAUAAGUAUCUAGGCAAAAAUUUGAAAAUUCAGAGUGUUGAUGAAGGAAUCGGUGUUAUAAAAGAACGGCUGAGGCAUAAAAAGAUUCUAUUAAUUCUUGACGAUGUGGACCAAUUGGGGCAGUUAGAAAAAUUGGCUGGAGAUGAUUGGUUUGGUGAGGGUAGUAGAGUAAUCAUUACUACAAAAAAUAGGAGAUUGCUAGACAAUCGUGAAAUUGAGUUGAUAUACGAGGUGAAGAAGUUAGAUUACAACCAAGCUCUUGAGCUUUUCAGUUGCCAUGCCUUUGGAAGAAGUGAACCUCCAAAAGAUUAUUUGGAACUUGCACAACGUGCAAUAACUUUUGCUGAUGGCCUUCCACUAGCUCUAGCAAUUUUAGGUUCUCAUCUUCGUGGUAUUGAUAAACGAUGUUGGCGAGUUAUAUUAGAUGGUUACGAAGGAGAACCUUAUACACAUAUUGAAAGUAUACUUCAAAAAAGUUAUGAUUCCUUGGAUCAUCGCGCAAAAGAAUAUUUUCUCGACAUUGCAUGUUUCUUCAAGGGUGAUUAUAAGGACUGUGUGCUACAAAUAGUACCCAAAAAAUUCAUUGAAGAAUUCGUUGAUAAGGCAAUGAUAACUGUUGAAGGGAGUAGGAUUUUCAUGCACGACUUGCUAGCAAACCUGGGCAAGGAUAUAGUUCACAUAGAAUCCCCCAAUGAUCCUGGCCAGCGUAGUAGAUUGUGGUUUUAUGAGGAUGUCAAACAAGUUCUAACGGAAAGUACAGUAAGUAUCACAUAUGUUAUUAUAUUCAAUUUGACAAGAAAGAAUACCUUAUGUUACCUUAAUUUUCUUAACAAAAUGUGCUUGCAUUUUGGUUUGUACAAUGACUUCGUUUCCUAAUUAAUGCUUUUCCAUCUUAGGGAACAAGAAAUAUUAAAGGCAUCAUGGUGAAGCUUCCAGAACCAGCUGAGAUAAUUUUGAAUCCAGAAUGCUUCCGUAAUAUGGUGAAUCUUCAAAUUUUCAUAAACCGUAAUGCAUCUCUAUGUGGGGACAUUAACUAUCUGCCCAACGCGUUAAGAUUUAUUGAUUGGCCUAGUUGUCAGUUACAAUCUUUGCCACCCAAUUUUCAAGGAAAUCGUCUUGUUGGGUUCAAUAUGCUUCGCAGUCAUAUCAGACAGUUGGAGGGAUUUAAGGUAUGUAUUUGAAAUUAUUUUCGUCUAUUAUAUAUAAUUUCAAAUAGAGUAGUUAAUUUCAGAGGGAAAAAAACGAAAAUUGUUUUCUAAGUUUUUGUCUUUUGAAGCGUGUGAUUAAUUAUUUCCUGUUUUUGUGUUCUUGUCUCACAGCAUUUGCCAAACCUGACAUAUAUGAAUUUGAGUGAGUGUCAAUCCUUAGAAAAAAUCCCAGACUUAUCCGGAAUCCCAAACAUAAAGUACUUGAUUCUAAGUUACUGUACACAUUUGGUUGAGAUUGAUGAUUCUGUUGGACUCCUUGCUAAACUACUUGUGUUAGAUCUUGAUGGAUGCUUUAAGCUUACGAGGUUUGGAACAAGACUUAGAUUGAAAUCCUUAGAAAGACUUUAUCUACAGUGUUGUGAAAGGCUUGAGAGUUUCCCAGAAAUAGAAGUCGAGAUGGAAUCACUAUGGGAAUUGAAUAUGCAAGGAAGUGGCAUAAGAGAAUUGCCUCCAUCAAUUGCAUAUCUUACUGGGCUUGAAUCUUUGAUCCUUCAUGGAUGCUUCAAUCUUACUGGGCUUGAAUUACGGCUGCUUCAUUGCUGGUCCACAUUACGUGAACUUCAUCUAUCUGGAAACAAUUUUAUCACGCUUCCGGAAUGUAUUAGCAAAUUUGUGAGCUUGUACAUGCUUUACUUGUGUGAUUGCAAGAAUCUUCUAGAAAUUCCACAAGAAGUGCUUCCACCAAGAGUACGUUUGGUAUACCUGGAUAACUGCACAUCAUUGGAAAAAAUUCCAAAACUGCCUCUAUCAUUGGAGGUUGAGAAUAAGGAACUGAGUUUGAUCAAUUGCGUUAGACUACGUGGCUAUGACAUCACAGAAGAUAUUUUUCUGGAUCAGGUUUCUGUCUCUUCUGUCUCUGUCUCUCUGUGUCUUCCUCUAUGUUAUAUGGUUAAGAUGAUGAUUGUUGUAACCAAUUGUAUUGUAGGUAUCUUCCCAUCCGCAUUCUCAAUUUACAAUUACUCUUCCAGGCGAUGAAGUACCAAAGUGGUUCAGCUGUUGUAAAGAUGCAACACUAGUUAAAGACGAAUACACUUCUAGGGUUGCUCGAUGUGAAGUUUGUUUUGAAAUUCCUCCAAAUUUAGAUUGGGAGACGUUAAGAUUGGUUCUAUGUGUUGUUAAUAAAGGAAAGUCAGGCAUGGCAGACGCAUAUGUUCAUAUCGAUAGAAAAAUGGUCCAAUGGACCUUUAUGAACCAAAAGGAAAAUCAUGUGGAUCUUCACUGUAUUCCAUUAUUGAAUCUGAGCGAGGUACGAUUUCGUGAGGCUCAUCACCUUAUUCCAUUGCGUGUGGGGGAAGAACUGACGCGGUUGCAGCAGGGUAAUAUGUGUCAAAUUAUAUUUGAGUUCUUUGGCAUGCCCACACCCGUUAAAAUCCUCUGCGGGGUCCACUUAUUAGGCCACCAGGUUGCUGAUGUCACAGUUGAUUGUGGGCAAAGGCAGUGGUUGUUGCCUGAUGCGAUGGUAGUGGAUGAUGAUAUUCAUGAUGAUCAACACCAAGCCAACGAAUUGCUUUCCUUGCCUUCAGCAUCAGAAACUAGUCUUCGCAAGAGGCCUUGGUUAUCAGAUUUCAUGGCACUCGAUGAUGAUCAUCGUGCUAACAUCGUCGACGUCGGUGAUCAUGAAGCUCAAAGAGGAGAGGAGGAUCACCCAAAGAGGAGGCACACUGAUCUUAAUGAGGAGCCAAAGUAUGUAAAUCCAUUAAAUGUUGAAUGAUAUCUUUGCUUUUUCUGGUUAUGUAUCUGUGUUUUGUGUUCAAUUCAAAUUUAGCAAUAUUUUGUUGUGCAUCUUUGGGGUAUAUGUUAUAGUUUUCAGGGUGUGUAUUUUUUUUUCUUUUUGUUUUGGGUUAAAUCCUUUUUCUUAGCGCACUACAUUCGAUAUUAAAUUUUCAGGCAAUGAAGUUCCAAAGUGGUUUAUGUAAGCCCUAGAUUCAGCUGUCGAAACGAACCAAAUUUCCCGGCAAUGGUCUAGUAAUCAAGAGUGUGUUGAGGCGCCAGCAGUUUCUGAGAUUCCAUUUUAAGUGGCAUAAGGCUAUACCUUUCUUCUCAAUUGAUGCAUCCAUCAUUUAUCCGCAAAUGAACAAAAAUUGUCUAUGAUUCUUCUAUCUCGUUCAUUGGAAUUGAUGUAUGUUGGGGAUGAAAUGUAACAGAUUUAUCUAUUUCAUAAUUUCUAAUCAAGGUCUGUUGAAAAUCGGACAUUAAUUGUAAAAAGGCAUCCAAACAUGCCCAACAUAUUUUUGUUGAAAGAUUGUCUCAUUAUACUAGUGAUGUUGCUGGUAUUGGCAAGGUACAAGAAUCCUAGCAUGUCUAAAUCAUGUCAAGUUGCUGCAACUCACGUUGCUGGUGUAGUUCAAGAUUUUUUGAUAAUCCUGCAAGCGCAUGAAAUGAAAAGCUUGAUGAGCAGCAUGCAUAUUAUGUUGUUUUCGAACUCCUGUCUAGUUUGUGAACAGAUUUUGGUUCUUUGGUAGAGCUAACAUCUCCAAUGGCUCAAUUACCCAAAGAGAAUUUGGGUUUAGAAACUAAGAAAAAUACACUAGGAAUUAUAACUUCCUUGUUCACGAAAGCACAAUAUUAUUGUCAUUGCAUGACCGGAUAGCUACUGUAGAUGUAGAUGUCGAAUGUCCAAUUUUAUCCACCAAAAAUUACAAGGGGCAUCUCAUAGUCAAAAAGACAACUACAACUUACAAUGUGAACUGACACCAAGUAAAACUUAUGACAACAGGAAUAAAUGUCCCAACAACACGAAAACAAAAAUUCACUUCAUACAGCAGUAUUAUAACAAGAGAGAGGCACACAGCAGUGUAAAUGUAGACAAAUAUGCAUUGCAGAGCCAUGUGUCCGUGGCGCGCUGCAAAACCGCCACAUUGCCACAAAGAAAAAGCUCCGCAUUGAAAUGGCUCAAACCAACAUAUUCAAGCAUCACCAACUUGGUUAUAUUCCUACAUAAGCCACUUUCCAACAAAUACAAAAGCCUAUACCUCAUUUUUGCCACCAUUCUUGGUGCAUGGUGCCUUUACAGCUCUGCAUGGUGGCCUUGAAACUUGUCUGACUUGAGUUGUAUUUCCUAUCAUAUAGCCACCACACCGAAAGACCAUGCACAUACCACAAAGCAAACAAUCUCGAACAAUCAUGAUCGAAUGUUUGCCAUUCUGAACAGUUUUAGCCAAGCAAAUCUUUAUACAAGUUGGGAUUCUGACUUGUUGGGGUUACACCCAUCUGCCUUACAAGUGCAUCCUUUUCCAAGGAAUCUUUAGGGUUAGGACCCUUAUUCAAUUGUGUUACCCCACUUUGAGCAGUUCUUGUAGCAUUUGAUAACUCGGAUGCAAGAUUAAACUCAUCCCUAUUGGUCGGCAAAGGGUCGCCAACACUGCUACUAAGCCCGCUGAGAGAUGUAUCUGCAUAUAAUCCCAUAAUAUCAGGUGUCUUAGCAGCACCAGCUGCACCAUGAUUUGCAGUUAAUGCAACUUCAGUUUGAUCAAGAAGCCCUUCUAACUGCUUAAAAGGAUCCACAGUGGAAGCAGUACUACUAGUUGAGUCACCCAAAUCGAGCAAUUCUGGAGCAGGUUCAUGAUUAACUUCAGUGUGUACAGCUGCUGCCUUUGGUACCUGGGGCUUCUCUGAAGCAUGGAUAUUCGCCUUAGACACCUUAUGGUUGGCAGAAGAUGGCCUCCUCUCGAUUUUUGAUGAUCCCCCAAACAGUGAACUGGCAAGCUUCUGCUUUUCUGGAGAAAUUUCAACCUGGGGUCUCCUUGACUCAUAAGUAUCAAGGGCUUUUGAAUUUGAAGUGCUCACGCUAUCUAUUUGUGUGAGACCCCAUUCGCUGAUUUCUGGGAACUAGAACUAGAGGAAUUUGAGAUCAACAAUGCUGGGGAGGAAUAUGUUGGCCUACCCCAUUUUCUUUGAACACCAUCUAGUCGUAACUCAAGUUCCGAUGAUCCUGCAUCUGACACAGGUGGCAAUGAUGCAGGCUGGCGGAUCUCCCUAGCAUAAGAUGGUUCAGGAACUGGAACAAGCUCGGUUGAGGAUGCAACUGCAGCUGGAGGAAUUCUUGAUGGCACUGCUGGCUUUGGAAGCUCAUAUGCCUCAAACCUAAGACCAUGGGUUAAAGCUUCACGCUGAUCUUGGUUACUGAAGUUGCUGAUAUUUAACAUUCCAGAGCGCUCAUUCUCAGGAAUAUAGGGCUGAGCACCUUUCUCUAGUGCUUGCUGGACAUAGCCAUUGAGGAAUGAAAGGCUUUUAUCAAUCUGCAAGAGAAGAUGAAUAUUAAUAUUACACAAAAUAAUCUUAUUCAAGGAAUAAAUAAAUAAAUGGUUUCCACAUGAUCCAAAAUCAAGGUUUUCAAGCAUAUUAGAGAAAUACGAUUGCAAAAUCCAUGAAAAGAGCAACUUAUAACUACAGGGAAGAAAUAAGAUGCAAGGACCAGGGACGAAGAAGUCGGGAAACUAAUUAAAGCAUGUCGUGUAAUACCAAUUAGAAUAACUUGAUUUUGAUUAACAUCCAGGUAUUACCAACCAAAGGCAGCUACAUAAAUUAAGUUUCGCCAGUAUAAUAUGCAUGUUGGUGAAAUAAGCAAUUUUAAUCAUUCGUAAACUGAUUCUGAAUUUUUCUCGAUCUAAACCACAAGAUCUAUAUCAUCAUGUUUAUAUGCACCAAAACUACAACAAAGCAAUCUUUGUAUUUUUUUUUUUUUACAAGGAAAUUUACAAUUAGUGCCUCCAGCACGAGCAUACAUACUAAGUGUCAAGCAAUAAUAAGGCUUCAGAAACCCAUGUACAAUUUAAUAAUGAUAACUGACAUUAUCACAAUUGGGACCUGAAGAUUAUUAUCUUCACAUUGAUCCAUGCAUGCACACACAUACACGAGAAUGAUAAAAGAAGGGAAAGCAAUAAUUUGCUGACCCUAUUAAAACCUGUGCAGUUGAUAACUGUAUACAUAUAUACAUUCAUAGCACAUUUUCAAAAUUUACCAAAUAAAAUAUCGGAAGGUCAAGAACAGCAUUAACCAGACAAUACAUGACAUCUUUCUACUUAAAACAGAGUAAGGCAUCUAGUCAGAUUAUUUUUCAGUCAACAUUUACAAUGGCCUUUUUCUUUUGGACCAAAAAAAGUCCCUCAUUUAAUGAUUUUCUUGCCUAUUUAUAGGGGCUGACUGUUCAGUAUUUUUAAAAAAACACUAAUGCCCUUGCAAUUGUCAGAUAUGGGCCCUUACUUUUUCUCAAACUUCAUCCCAUAAGUAGUACGGAUAGGGCAUAUUUGACAAGGAAGCAAGCAAAGCUAUUCCUUCCGCAUUCACAGUCAGUUAGGAUACAUGUUCAUUUGUCAUAGUAUUUCUAUUUUGGAAAAUAUUCUUCUGGAUCUAUACAGUUUUAAAAAUAUUUAAUGUUAUGUCAUGAUUCGUAAUAACAAAUCUGUGAAACACAAACAUAAUCAUGAUCUGAAAAGCUGAAUUAUGUUGCAUCAAAGAUAAUGUAUCCAUAUGAGAAAGAACAUUAUCACGACAUGGAAAAGUGGUACGUCCUAUUAGAACAAUUUACAAGGCAACUACAUUUUUUAAUGAGACAUACAUUAGUUCACUUUCCUUAUACCUAAUUUAUAUUCAUCAAGGAUUCUAUUUGAUAUAUCUCACCAAAUGCUAUCCAAAAGAUACAUUUUGUAUAAAAAACAAAAACAGAGAAAAUUGAAGUUACACUAUAUCGUUUGGCAUAUAACAAUAAGAGGGUCACCAAACUUAAUGCAAUCACAAGGUUAAAUAACCAUUAGACGUUACCGUUAGAAAACAGGAGGUUCAGACAGUAUGCCAACAACCACCAAAUAACAAGGAAAAGAGAAAUGCAGAACUACUAUAGUUCUAAAUACUUUAAAGGAGAAGCAAAAAAAAGAAGGGUAUGAGUAGAUAAUGCAAUUAAAUAUGACCUCAAUGUCUUCACAACUUGCAUCUGACGGCAUAAUACUCUCAACUGCAGGAGCAUCUAAGCUAAUGACAGCUUGCAAUUCAUAUGCACGCUGCUGCAGAUCUGUUGCGUGAGAAGCUGACAAUUCAUCCACCAAAGAUUGACACUGCAAGGGAAGAAAGAUUUUUAUCGAUCAAUAUAUACUUCCAUGACAGGCCACAAAAAAAAUGAAAAUGACAACAUUAUAGCUAAUCAUUGAUUAGAUGAAUGUCAACAUUAUAAUGGUGUCCAGAAAACUUCAACUUAAAAAAAGCAUUAAACAUUCAUCAUGCAACCAUAGAGCUCUGGACCUCAAAGCUAGGGCCACUGAUCAUUGACGCACACAUGCACACAUUUUUACGUGCACAUUACAAAUCCUGCACAUAAUAUCUGAAUGUUAUCAAGCACAUUUCUCCCUUAACUAGCAUUAACCAUUGUAUAAAGUAAAAUUGUACUAUGUUUCUUUCUUAUAGAAACUAUUUCAAAAAAGCCCCACCACCAACCACUCUGAUUCAACUUCUUGCUGACUAAGCCUUCAAUCAUUAAAAGAUUAGGAAACUACAUGCAUACAUACAUACAUAUAGUCAACCAUUCAAGAGCGGAUGAUCUACAGUGCACACGUCAUUCUGCUAGAGCUGAUGUUGAAUUCUGUGAAAGCGGCUUGAGCAGCUGCUCAGUCUGUUUUGUUUUCAAGUCUCCUUUCUGUUUUCAUUUUACAUCUUUAAUUUUUGUUUCAAAACAAUUUGUUACUUUAGGAUGUAGAAUAGCUUGUUAGCGCUUUAGAGUUUAUGGUUUAACUAUUGUGAAUGGUAGCUGAUAACCUGAGUGCUAAACCUGAUACCCUAAGCACUGAAUGGAUGAUUUGAAGGCCCACCAAACAGGAAAACUUAACCCUAAACCCUAAAGCUAAGCUCUGAACAGGUGAAAAAGCAAAAAUAGCAAACACUUUCAUUCCACCCUGAGUGAAUUGAACAGCAGCUUAAACGAACGUAGGAGAAUUCGAGUCCUUUUUUCCCAAACUACUAGGAGAAUUCUGCACUGCCACUCAUCUAUCAAAAUCCAUGAUAAUCAUUACAUCUUUUGAUUAAACAUCUUAUUCAGAUUUAGCUCUGCUCUUUAGAGAAAUUCAACCCACUAUUAAAAGCAAAUUUACAUACAAUGCAAUUUCCAUCAUUCAGGAAGAAUAAAUUCAUUCCAGUCAUGACUGAUGCUAAUCUAUAAAGGGAUGCCUGUUCAAUCUAGUGUGCAAACUGUAGAAUGAGAUUUGAACUUUCAAUCUUCCAACUUAAUUUUCAGUCAAAGAUCUGCAAGUUAACAAAUCUUAUCUUCUCUCAGGGAAAGCAAAAUAAAAUGGCAUAAAUACCAGUAGAACUCUUACAAUUAUGAGCAUGAUUACUAAUCAUAAUGCAUUAUUUUUAGCAGGAAACUAAAAGAAAAAAAAAAAUCACUCGUAGGAAAACAACUGAUUCAACCUCAGAUACAAAUGCAAAAAUUAGGAGUAUACUGAACAAACAUGGAGCAAUUUUUUAUCACCCUAGCCCAGUGAGGGUAAAACAGUAACUUCCAUGGCUUUAACAACCCCUACAGCAGCAAAGUUCUAGAAGAUGGGAAAGAGAGAUGGGAUCAUCCUAUAUGACCUAUUUAAUCUAAAAUAAAAUAAAAAAUGGUAACCAAAAAUAAUAAAGACAAGAUUAAAAUAAAUAAAAAUUCCACGUUAUGCUACAAAAGCAAGAUUGCCAUCGAAAGGUGUUCAAAUCUAUGCAGACGAUUAAUGCAUGCAAAUUGAUAUUGUUGUCAAAGUAUUAAAGUUCAUUAUAUGCACCUCAGGUAGGAUAUCCACUUUUCUCUGAGCUGAAAUUUCAAAGGCAUACUUUUCAUGAUUGCUGUAACCGCAUAAGCCUGUAUGAGAAGAACAGACUCACUUCAGUUUCAACAAGUAAGAUACAAAUAUACACACAAAUACAAAUGGUGCUCUUUUUAUGAAUAGAUAACCAAAUAUAAAAUUGGGAGAAGAAAAUUUUAAACCUAUGAAAUACUCAUAAAAUACGAAAUUUAUGGUUGUUUGCUUCUUAAGCAAAUGGAAAAUAAAAAUUGUGUGCCCUGUGUUCUCUUCUUUAUUCUUUCCAAAAGCUCUUAUGUUUCUAUAACUACACAGAGACCCUGCUUAUUCUAAUCAAAGUAAAAUUGUACUUCAAAUUACCUUUUAAUCCCAAUUCUUAAGAAAAUAUUUUUUUUAAUUAUGAUUUGCACUCCCAUUAUUUUUAUUCGGAUUCUAGCUUUAUAUGCAUUUUUAACAGUAGAUAUAAUUAAAUUAUAUCUCGUUUAAUACAAUUAUACCCUGACCUCAUUACCAAAUUUAAGAAGCAUGGAAAAUUUCUUCAAAUCAAACCCUAAAAAAUUACAAAUGCAGAUAAUGAACCUCUAGUUACAAAAAACUGGGUUUGGGGGAUACCUUGACGGGUUCCUCAUUUGAAUACGCCUCUGCCACAUCACAUGACUUCCCAAUGAUAUAGGAAGCAGAAUAUUUUCCAUCAGCAGUUCCAUAUUCCCCCAAAACCCAACAAAUGACCUGAGAUCACAACUAAAAUUCAGAUAUCAACAGGAAUAUUCUUCCAAAAAUUUCUACAUAAAGAAAAGAACUGAGAGGACAGAAUGUACCUGAAGAAAUACAGAUGGAAGCUUUGGCUCACCAAUUAUACGCAAAUAUGACUCCACCUGCACAUAAAGAAGUUUAAUUCUUUAAUAUGCAGAAACAGGGAAAGCAAGGAAAUGGUUUAAGACAUAGUGCAGAAGCAAGCAAUGUACAAAAUGUUGUAAAUGGUGCAGAAGCGAGCAAUGCACAAAAUGUUGUAAACAUACUACUAGAAUAUAAUCCUCAAAUGUUACACAAAUAGCAGUACUAUAAAAAGGUGAAUGCAUCAUUAUAUCUCCUAUGCUGAAUUUAUCAGGGACGGUUGAACUCAAUGGCAAAAAGAAUGAAAAGCCUUAGCAAUUUUGCAACAUCAAAAUGUUUAUCAUCACAAACAACAAACAUAGCAGUAAUAAGUAAUGCUUCUAUUCGCAACCAAAACCUUAGGAAAAUCCACCUCUGAGGUCUCAAACGUUAUAGGCAUGAAAUGGCUUGAGAGUAACUUACAAAUUUUACAACUAACUAGAACAAGUGACACCUGUAAGUUAUGUGUCAAAUUCUUUGACGUGGCAACUCAUCCUCCUAACAUGAUAUGUCCAUGAUUUUACCAUCAAUUGUUGACGGUCUAAGUUAAUGGAUGGGACUAUUUGAGGAGUCCAAAAAUUUAAGGGAGACAUUGAUCAAAAGUUCAACAGGAACCUUUGAAAUCGCACAAAAAUAUAGGGGGCAUGCUAUAACAUUUUUAACCAUAUAAUAACUGAAAUAGCAACUUUUUAAUGACAUUGAAUAAAACAGUUAUAAACAUAAGGUGCAAAAUUAAAGUUACAUACCGCAGAUGAUCUCAACUAACUAUCUGCAGAAUCAUCAUCCUCUCCAAAUCCCUCAGCAAUCAACUUCAUCAAGUUAUGUGCCACCUUGACAUUUACCAAAUCUCCUGCAUGUUCAAAGACUUUAUUCAUGGUCUGCAGAGAAGGAAUAUCAGGCAUGGAUGACAUCAAGUGUUUAAUAAGCACUAACAAAAUACUCCCAUGAUAGCUAGAAUAUAAAAGGCAACAUGUAUCACUCUUACCUGGAUAAACCAUUGAUUACUUGGUGCAAAUUGCUCCGCAAGCUCCACACAUCUAGAACCUAUAUAUGUUUUGUAAUGGUUAUCAUUAAUGCUAAUCAUGUAUUCAAUCAUAGGAUCCACAAUCACUUCCGCAUUGGAGGACUUGGUCAUCUUGUACAAUAGUUCAAAUGUUUUUCGCUUCAGAGUAUCAUCUGGGUCCUGCAUCAUGCACAACAAACUUCAUCUAAAUUAAAAGUUUAAAGCAUGAUUUGAAACCAAUCCAUCAAACCCAACAGAAUUCUUUCACCUCUAACCAAUCAAUGACGGCUAGUUGGUGUUGCUCUGCUCCCUCUGGACUAAUCUUUAUUAGUCAACCAAGGGCAUCGAUGCCCAUAUAUUUCAAAUUAUGACUGUCACUCUGUCGACCAAAUAUACAACAAGGAAUUGGUGUUUAACUCUCCAAAUAAUCUACAUGCAGACUAUAAUUUGCAGAAAAUUACAUUGAAAAAUAUAAAAACCUCAAGCCUUCAAAAAUCUUGAGAUGACUUGAGCAGCCUGUUCUAACAACUUAGGAUUUGGAUAUAUGGCAGAAACGCAACAAAUACACUCAUAAAGUACAGCAUUUCCUAUAUUACUGGUAGAAUCACACUUCCUAAAAAUAUCGCCAACUACCAUAUACAUCUUCUCACUCGAUUGCUUAUCACCACUCCCCAACAAUGCCAAGAUCUUCAACAAUCUAAUCUGCAUUAUCAAACUAAUUCAGUUACUACAUUACGUUACAACAAACAAACAAAGCUCAUUAUUUCAAUUCCUCUAUCAUGCCAAAAACUUCCCACAUAAAUAAUAAGCUCAACUUCAUUGAAAGUAAGUAAAAUCUGAAUAAAUGGCGCCGGCAACUGAUGGUUGGGCAACCUGCGCUCGGCGACCUGUUUGAGAAUGCUGACAAAGCUGACCACCAAAUCCUUAUAAGAAUUCACAUCGAUUGUAAUGAGGUCAAACAACGGGCAGAGCGUCGCACCCAUGACUCCCGGAUCGUUAUCACAAAGGCGCUUCCUGAAAAUUGGAGACCAGAUGUGAAACAGAAGAUGGCGAUUUCUGAUAAAAGCGGUGAAGCGCCAUGAUGGCCUUCUUCCUGACAGCAUCCUUGGGAUGGGCGAGGACGUCCACGACCUGGGGCAAAACGGCAGGCACAGUCUCGUCGUUGAUGAGCUUGCAAACGGCAUUGAGGGCGGCACAAACGACAAGGUAAUUGUCAGACUAGAGAUCCUUCUGGAUGGUGUUGACGAUCAAGAUGAUCAAAUCGUGAUCGUCGCUGAGGAAGAGCGAAACGGCGACGUAACCGGUGCGUUUAAGCAAGAGAUUGUCGUCGUGGGUCAUCUUGACGGCGUGGAUGUAGUCGAAGGAGCCGUCGUGGCCGAGCAUUUAUGUAGACGAGGCGGAUGAUGUACUCCUUCAUCUUGCGCUUGGGGAUUUCAGGCUCGGAGAGACGUCAUUUUAGGGUUUCGAUCUCGAGGAGGACGAUCCGCUCUUCUUCGGCCUUGGAUCUAGCUUCGCCGAUGGACUUGACGAGGUGCAGGAACUCCUUGGAUUGGCCGAAGCCGCCUUGGGAAACCAUCGCAAGCUCUCGCCCUAUGGUCUUCAGCUCCUCCAUUGCUGCUGAUGAUUGGUGGAGUUAGGAUUUUGCAGUUGCCAAUGCGAUGGAGAUUAGGGUUUUGAAUUAGGGGCAUUAAUUGGUGAGUAAUCGGACUGAGUUCAAUUGCAUGAAGCAGCAGAAGAAAGGAGAGAAGAGAGAAGAAGGCGUUUUUAGUUUUGGGUUUUCUCUUGGGAAAUUGGCGGCUUUACCUCUCUCACCUAAUUUAUUAAUUAAUAUCCUGAUUUUUAAACUCAAUCACAAAUGCCCCUCAUAAAAACUCCUUAUUGACAGCUUAUUGCCCAUCCUUCACUUCUCUCAAUCGUUGCUCUUCCUCUUCCUCUUCUUCCCUUGUGCCAAACCUCACAAAAUCCAUCUCAACCUUAGAAUCUCCCCUAACUCUAUCUCCUCUUAGUUAUGUCUUCCAACUAGGAGCUGAUUUCAACCUCAAGGUUGAACCCCAAAUUUGGAAUCGGACCCUAGCCAAGGCAUGACUCGCCACCUCCGUUGUCGGCCUCCACAACGAAGCCAUAGUCUUGACUUGCCACCUCCAUUGUCGACUUCCACCACAAAACCACGGCACCUUCAUCGUCGAUCUUCACUGUGGUGAGUUCUAAUAUUGUUUUUGUUUUUGUUUUGGGUUUCUUUGAUUGAUUGAGAUUAUUGGGUGAUUGCUCUCACUGUUUUGAAUGAGAUAUUAAUGGGUUUCUGUUGUGGCUUGCUGUUUCUGUGAUUGAAUGAAAUUUACCAACUAUUUCCUGUGGUUGUUAAGCUCUUACUUGGAUACAUUGUUUUGUGCUUAUGAUUUGUCUUUGAAAUGAUGUAUACACCAUUUUGUGAUUGAGACUUGGACUUGCAAAUCUCCUUGAAAGUAAUGUAUUCACUAUUUUGGGUGGUAUGAUAUUCGAUAUGAAACAAUCUUGGACAGUCAAGGUUUGGCAAUUUGUAAGUAGUUAGUUAGUAAUAGGAUACCCUAGGUUAAUGGCUUUGGGUUGGAUUUAACUUUAAGAGUUCUUGAUACAUGCCUUCCUUGCUGGAGCUUGAAACAGCGCUAUGCUAGCUGAACCUUUUCACUUUGCAUAAUGCUGAUGUUUUAAAAUUGUUGGUUAUUGAUGUUUAAUUGAUGUUUUAUCUAUAUGGUUUAUCCACUAGUUGACAGAUUUUUUAUUGGUAGCUUAACAUGUGUUAACAAGAGGAAAUUUUAUGAUGGUCAGAAAUGGACACAAUUGCAAUUUUGGUUUGCUACAAUGGAAAAUGGGUAACCUCAAAGAAGAUGUGCACAUAUGAAGGGGGUGACUCAAAAGGCAUAGUAGUUUCACGAAACAUCACUUUUGAUGAGCUUUUGGAACGGGUGCAUAAGAUUGUUAAUACAGACAACAGGGAAGACAAGCUUUGUUUAAAGUUCUCAGUUUCAAUAUCCUCGAAUGAGUGCAAGCAUACCAAGAUUGAGGAUAAUGAUGAUGUUAAAUUUUUUAUUAAGUACAUUUGUGACGUAAUUCCGUCGAAAAUGGCUCCUUUACUGGUGAGCAUAGAAGACAGAGGAGUGACAAAUGUUGUAGGUGAUCGUAUGCAUAUCACGACGGAUAUGAGUCGGAUGGCCUGUUCUUCAAAUGCCAUAGUUGAAAGCAAUGGUGAUGUACAUGGUGAUUUCGGAACAGAAUAUUUAGACAUGAUUGAUUUUACAAGGGUGGAGGGGGUGCAUAGUGGUGAUAAUGGUACAGAAAUGAAUGGCUUGCAAAUGCACUCAUCCUCUCCUAUUUUGGCCCAUUUGGAGACAUUUUCACAAGUGGGUGUGGUCGGUUUCGGAACAACAUCUGAACUUUCUAUUCGACAUAAUUGGAGGCAAAUGGGUGAACAAAAGGUGCACAAUUUGGGUAUUGUAAAUGAUGAAGAAGAAGAUAUUGAAAGCGCAUAUUCAUGGAAUAAUUGGGAUCCAAAAUUUGGAAGUGGGGAAAAUUUUCUCUAGUAAGGAAACCCUGUCCAACAAGUUACAGUUGGCGGGAGUGAGAGGUCACUUUGAAUUUAAGGUGAAGCAGUCUUGCAAGAGUCGAUUGGUUGUGGUUUGUUCUCAAGGUCCAUGCCCAUGGCGGCUUCGUGCAUCUAGUUAUGGAGAAACGAACUUCAUGAUUAUGAAAUAUAAUCCGGUCCAUGAAUGUGAUAUGAGUUUUAUACAUGACAAACAUCAUCACACAAGUGCUAAACUCGUUGGUAAUGCAGUGAAGCGAAAGUUGAAAGAUUCUCGCACGAUAUACACACCAAGUGAUAUAAUCAGAGAUGUGAAACAAAACUUUGGUGUCACCAUUAAUUAUUGCAAAGCUUGGAGAUCGAGGGAGUUAGCUCUAAUGUCCACUAGAGGUUUAGUAGAGGAGGCAUAUUCUCUCAUUCCAGCUUAUUGUCAUGAAUUAGAGCGUGUGAAUUCUGGUACAAGGACAUACAUCCAGAUCGAUGAGAACAAUCACUUUUUGUAUUUUUUUAUGGCUGUUGGGGCAUGUAUUAGAGGGUUUCAAUCUUUGAUGCGGCCAGUCAUUGCUAUGGAUGCCACGCAUUUAAAAUGUAAGUAUAAGGGUGUCCUCUUUGUUGCUAAUGCAUUUGACGGAAAUCGAAAUAUAUAUCCUCUUGCUUUUGGAAUUGGGGAUUUAGAGACGAAUGCAUCAUGGCAUUGGUUUUUCAGUAAACUUCAUGAAGCCAUUGGUGAGUGUCCAAAUCUUGUGAUUAUUUCUUAUUGGAAUAUUAGCAUAGAGAAUGUGUGGCACAACGUUUUUCCAACGGCGCAACAUGGCAUAUGCUUUUACCAUAUGAAGGGAAACAUGAAAGGCACUUUCAAAUUGAAAAAACAUGAUAAAUUAUUGCUAUACUUUGAACAAGCUGCGAAAUCUUAUGGUAUCGCUAAAUUUGAUCGUCAUUUUCGCAAGAUCAAGGGAAAUGAUGAGGUUGCUCAAUAUCUUGAAAGUGCAAGAUUACACAAAUGGUCUAGAGCUCACAUGGAUGGACGUCGAUACAAUGUAAUGACAACAAAUAUUGCAUAGUCAAUUAACUCAGUCCUUCGGUUCGCAAGGAUGCUACCAGUGGUGCAUUUGAUUGAUGAAAUCAUCAAUCUGCUUGUGAAAUGGUUCAGUAAACGUCGUGAUUUUGCUUUGAAAUGUACAUCAACAUUGUGCCCUGACUUUGGCGAGAAGAAGCUAAGACGCAGGUUGGAAUGUGCUUCAAGGAUGAAUGUCGUGAAACUGAAUCACGUAGAGUAUAAUGUCGUGAAUGGUGAUAUGGAUGGCCACGUACAUUUGACGAAUAACACUUGCAGUUGUAGGAAGUUUCAGCUUGAGCAACUACCUUGCAAGCAUGUAGUUUCAGUUUGUCGUUUCUUGAAACUAAAUGCAUACUCCAUGGCUUCUCGUUAUUACACUCGAAAUACAUGGUUGCAUGCUUAUUCAGAUACCAUCUACCCGGUACAGCCUUAAGACCUGUGGGUUAUUCCUGAAGAUGUCCAAAGUAGAGUUGUGCGUCCUCCCAAUGCAAAGGUCAUGCCAGGCCGACGAAAGAAGCUAAGGAUUCCCUCGCAAGGAGAGGAUAUCAUAAGGAGAAAAUGCUCAAGGUGCAGUGGCACAGGCCACAAUAAAAGCACCUGUAAAAACAAUGUUCCACUACCUAAUGUUUGGACAUACAUUAUGAAUUGUGUUGGUUUGUUUUGGAGUGUGAAUUUGAAUUGUAUUUGUAUUGGGUUUGGUGUUUUGUGGAUUGUGAAUUCUGUUAAAUUUUCAUAAUUUGGUAUGUAUUGCGUAUUCUAUGUGCUACAUUGUUGUUAAAAUUUGUCAUUUUUGGGCCCAUAUUGUGUAUUCAAAUUUUCUGAUUCUGUGGGUCGAAUCGAGGGUGGGUAUGCCAUUCUCAUCCCCAUCCCCACCUUCAUUCCUGCAAUACAGACUUGAAAAAAAAAGAAGAAGGGAUAUACAAGGGCAAUACACUAGCAAUAUACAAGCAAUAAAGGGCUAUACAAUGGCAAUACACAUACUCCUAUAAAUUUAUUCCAAUAUAGACUUGAAAAAAAAAAAAAAAAGAUAUACUGGGGCAAUAUUGUAGCAAUACACAAGCAAUAAAAGGCUAUACAAUGGCAAUACACAAACUCGAUACUCCCCCUAUAAAUUUAUUCCAACAGACUUGAAGAAAAAAAAGAUUUACGGGGGCAAUAUAGUAGCAAUACACAAGCAAUAAAAGGCUAUACAAUGGCAAUACAAAAAUUUCACAAUCCCCCUAUAAAUUUAUUCCAACAGACUUCAAAAAAAAAAAAAAAAGAUAUACGGGGGCAAUACAGAAGCAAUAAAGGGCCAUACAUGUGCAAUACAUAUGCAAUACAUAUCUGUCAUGGCAUUUGCCAAUUAAAUCACAGAUUUGGUUACAUUUGUAUUUUUUUCUUCUUUGCAAGGGGAACGAUGAAAACAUGGACUAGAGAUUGACAAAUUUCCUUCUAACUUGACUUUCAUAAUUUGAUGAACUAACAAUGUUAUCUCAUUACAUCUUAAGAUAUGCAUAAAGUGACAAAAAACAAAAAAACUUACAUCCCUCCUCUUGGUUGGGAAUUUUAACACAUUAGCAAAAUUCGAUGACAUCUCCUCUUAGAACCGAAUUUAAGCUGAAAGUUAGCAAUUUCCUCCCCAAGAGAAUGCUGCCACUUGAAACAAGACAAUCUUCCAUCCGUAUAAAAUUGAUCAAAAUUGCAUAUUAGAAGCAAAUCAUUCAAUCACAACGGAAACAAAAACAUAACAUUCAAUCACAACUGAAACCAAUUUCAAAACAAAAACCAAUUCUAAAAUUCAUAAUAGAAACCAAUACCAAAACAAGUUGAGACAUAUUGACAUGCACUAUAAGUAUCAUACACAUACAUUUACAUGCACUACAACAAAUAGAGUGGAUAAAUGUAAAACUGUAGUAUGAAAUACAUUUUUUAAUAGAAGAAAGAAAAAAAAAUUAUGAUAUACAUCAUUUAAGAGCUGAGCUUGAAGUUUGCUGAGUUAUAUAUACCUCUGAGAAAUCUAUCUGUGAUUUCUCCAGUGAAGGAUGGCCUUCAAGAAUCCUAUCUUCAUACAGAUUAUUGGCUUUUUUAAAUGACCCAAUUCUUCAUAUAGCAAACUUUCACAAGAUAGUACCAUUGCAAAAUUAAAGUUCACAUUCAUGCACACAAUUUCGUACUACUCAAUUGCAAUAUAAAAGUUAUUAUAAACAUGGGUGAAGUGAAUGUGUGUCUUGGCAGGCGAAUAAAAAUACAAAUCAGGAAAUCAUCAAUACAGCAUUUGACAUUGUUCAAAUAGUUAAAGAAGCACAGUCUCAGAGAAGAAGAAGAGCAAGACAAUGGAACUAGAUAAAUGCAAGAGUUGUCAAACCUUCAAGUUUUCCAAGAACCCUUCUCAUGGCACCAACACAAUCUUGGCAUGAUACCAACCUUGAGAACUAUAGACUACACCAAAAACAUAUCCAAGAUUGAUUACGAAAAAUAGAGAAAACCAAGAUCCAACAUAUGCCAACUUUACAAUAUCAAACUUAUGUUAAAAUAUUGGCAUCUCAUAAAACUUACAAACUCCACAGUCACUUUUGGAGAUAUCCUCCACCUCAAGACAUAAUCAAUUUAUGUAGUUUAUUCAAAAAAUCACAUCCCAAAACAGGACAAACAAAUUCAAAUCAUUGAACCAAAUAACUGUGUUUCUUCAAUUGUUUUUUGUCAAAAUAAAAACCUAACUCAGUAAUCAAAUUCAAUAAGCAAAAGAAAAUCUUUGUUGCACAAUCUCAAAAUUUUGGUUCAAAAAGUUCUUGUAUAAUCCCACUGAAAUAACAUUCUCUACACAAGCUGAAAAUAUUAAUUGUAAACAAAGAUAGUAAAAUUUUAAAUUAAACCCACAAUUAUGUUUCAACAAAUUUAUGUACAAUCUCACCCAAUUUUGACUUGGAGGGACUUGAACUCACAUCAAGCACCAAAAAUCCAAACCCAUAUAUGAAAUUGAAACAAGAAGAAGAAAACCCAAAUGUGUAGGAGAAAAGCCAAGCUGUCUACCUAAGACGUCAUCUCUAGGCAUGGAGGUCGAAAGAGGUGACAAAGAGUGAGAGAUGGAGGUGGAAAGGUCGUCGUCGCUGAUAUGGGUUAGGGUUUCUGAGGAGGUGACAGUGAUUGUCGUCGAUGUGGGUGCGAGCAAGAAAGAGAGAAGAGAGGAGAGGAGAGUUGAGUGAGUGAGAUCGAGAAAUUGUGAAAGAAAAUUUGAGAGAGCUCAGAACAACUAAACAAAAGUGAAAGAUGGGCAAUAAGGAAUUUUUAUAAGGGGCAUUUGUGAUUGGGUUUCAAAAUAAGGAUAUUAGUGAAUAAAUUAGGUGAGCCAGGCGAAGGAGCCGUCGUGGCCAAGCAUUUAUGUAGAUGAGGCAGAUGAUGUACUCCUUCAUCUUGCGUUUAGGGAUUUCAGGCUCGGAGAGACGCCAUUUUAGGGUUUCGAUCUCGAGGAGGACGAUCCGUUCUUCUUUGGCCUUGGAUCUAGCUUCGCCUAUGGACUUGACGAGGUCCAGGAACUCCUUGGAUUGGCCGAAGCCGCCUUGGGAAACCAUCGCAAGCUCUCGCCCUAUGGUCUUCAGCUGCUCCAUUGCUGCUGAUGAUUGGUGGAGUUAGGAUUUUGCAGUUUCCAAUGCGAUGGAGAUUAUGGUUUUGAAUUUGGGGCAUUAAUUGGUGAGUAAUCAGACUAAGUUCAAUUGCAUGAAGCAUCAGAAGAAAGAAGAGGAGAGAGAAAAGAGAAGAAGAAGAAGAAGGCGUUUUUAGUUUUGGGUUUUCUCUUCUGUUGUUGCGUGUUGUGGGUUCUAAAGAGAUUCUCAUGACUCGCGCGUGUUUUGAAGAGUUACUAUGGAUGGUGGGUGGAAAGUAAAAGGAGAGAGGAUAGAAGUGAAUAAAGAUAUCUAUGUAAUUUUAUUUUUGGAUGGUAUCCAUGUAAUUGAUACUUAAAAAAAAGUAUAUUAAAAUUUAUAUAAGAGCAACUCCCCCAUUUGCCAUGGGAAAGGGCGGGGAGGGGGGAGGGCUAGGGCAGUUACUAUUCACAUGAAUAGUGGCUGCCCUAGCAAAAAGCAAUGUGUAUUUCCACCCGUUGCCAUGGCAAAAGGCAAAUACUAUUCAUUUUUCUUUUUUUAACCUAAUAAACAAUAAUUAGGAUAAUAUUUUUGGAUAAAAUUUUUGGGUUCCUACAUGUCAAUAUUUAUUAUAAAAUUCAUAUCUCAUAAUUGGAUAAAAUUUUUGCAUAAGAUUUUCGGUUUCAAAUUUCAAAUAAAUUUCAAAUUUCAAAUUUCAGAUAAGAUUUUCACCCUCUAAAAUUGAGCCACGUGUCAUCUCUAUCUGCCUACAUUUUUCUAUAAAACCAUAGGCUCAGCUCAUACCUCUCACACCAGAUCUUCUCUAUAUUUUCAUUUCUCAGAUUUUAGAAUUCAUACUUCAUUCUCAAUGUCAAACAUGAGGAGAUGCUUGGAGAGGCAAGAGCGAGAAACUAAUGAAAGAAGGCGUAGACGAGCUGAUGGCAAAAGGGUGCAAAUAGAACAAGAUCAACAAGUUGCCAUAGCAGUAACUUUGAUGGAUGAAGAAAACCAAGGCCGCCGCUGUGGUUCACAAGUUGGCUAUGGCCCGAAUGUGGAUAGACAUAGGCAUUCUCGAGGUAAGAAUCUAUUGGAAGAUUAUUUUAUCCCAACUUUUUUGUAAUCUGAUGUUGAUUUUCGAAGGCGAUAUAUAAUGCAACCUCAUUUGUUCAACAAAGUCAUGCAUGAUAUUUGCAAUUAUGAUGCAUACUUGGUUCAAAAGUGUGAUGCUGCUGGGCUUUUGGGACUACUUCCGGAACAAAAGCUUACAGUUGUUAUAUGAAUGCUGACGUAUGGUUCAUCUGCUGAUCAGGUGAAUGAGAUUGCCCGGAUGGGGAAGUCCAUUACUUUGGAGAUCUUGGUAAAAUUUUGUGAUGCAGUGGAAACUCUGUACACCAGGGACUACCUGCGCAAACCUAUGCCCAGGGACCUCUAACUUCUUCUACAAAAAAGCAAAAGCUCGAGGAUUUCCAGGAAUGAUUGGAAGAAUUGAUUGCAUGCACUAACAAUGGAAGAAUUGCCCAAUUGCAUGGCAAGGAGAUUAUGGAAAUAGAAAAGGGCAAAAAAGUAUCAUUCUUGAAGCCGUUGUUAGAUUCGAUACAUGGGUUUGGCAUGUCUUCUUCGGAGUUGCUGGAUCUCAAAACGACUUGAACGUGCUGGGUCAAUCCUCAAUUUUUAAUGAUCUUGAGAGGUGAAGCCCUAAAUAUCAGCUAUGAUAUCAACAAUACCAUCUACUGGAACGGGUAUUAUCUAAUAGACGACAUCUACCCGAGAUGGACCACAUUUGUCAAGUCAAUUCCGAAUCCCCAAUCCCAAAAGCAAAAAUUAUUUGCUGCCUAUCAAGAAGGAUACAGGAAAGAUGUCGAAAGGUGUUUUGGCAUCCUCCAAGCUCUGUGGGCAAUUAUUAGAGGUGCUCCUCGUAUGUUUGAUGAGGAGGUGCUGAUGAGCAUUAUGAUGACUUGCAUCAUCCUCCAUAACAUGAUUGUGGAGGAUGAGUAUGAUUAUGAUGUAUAAGACGUGUUUAAAUCGGAUCCCAUGAACACGACCUUGACAAGAAUUUAUGAAAGGCCCAUUGAGCCAAAUGGACAGCCAUUGGAGCAUAAACCGUUGGUUAGGGACGGUUAUUUCAUGACCCGUAUGAUUGAUCGAUAUACGGAGAUGUAAUCUUCUUAUAUUCAUGAACAACGUCAAGUUGACUUGAUGGAGCAUUAUGGGCAGUGAAAUGUGUUGGGAUCUUUUUCCGUCGGAAGGCUUGUCCGAGCUUGUUGAUUCUUAGACCGUCAUAGAGUGGUGAAUCAAGCCUUCGUUGCCCCUUUUUCUGAGUUAGUGAGAACUAGGCCCAAAGCAUCCCGAGGGAGAAGCAAGUCCCAGGGGAGUACUCUGUUCUUCUUCCAGCGGCUGCGUGUUUUGUGCUGAUGUUUCCUUCAGCUAGACGAAGAGUUGGAGAUGGUGCAUGAUGUUGCACAGGCUUGGUAUGAGAGUUUGCUUUGGUGAAUCAAGAUAAUACUAGGCUUGGCAUGAAAGGCUUAUAGCGUGGGAGCUAAGAGAAAAUGAGCAUGAAGAAAGGAUUAAGGCUUGAGAUUUUGGGCGUUUUCGGCAACUAGACAAAGAGCUUACAAUGUCUGCAUUUUCUUACCAAAAAAGUAAUAAUUAUGGUUUCAACUUAGCUUGAGAGGAUGGGUGUUUCAGACUUGGGAUGAAGCUUUUAGAGAGAGAGAGAGAGAGAGAGAGAGAGAGAGAGAGAGAGAAAGAGAGAGAUAUAUAUAUAUAUAUAUAUAUAAAGGAUGAGUGGCUUUAGCAUAUUUCCAGCAGCUUCAUAAAAGCUUCAUCAGGCUCUUGGGUGGCUUGCCAAAAGAGAAAAAAGGGAAGAAAUGGAAUAAUAGAGCUCAAAAUUGAAGGGUUCCAGAGGUGAGAGGUGAUGCUUGCCCUAUCUGGAUGUGUUUAUGGAAAAGAAAGGAAGAAGAUGGAAAAAACAGCUUGAAAAUUGAAGCUUCCAGCAAUGAGUAAGGGUGUUGCUCGCUCUAGAUGAGUUGAAGAUGACUUGCUGAUGUUGAUAUGAGAUUAUAUGAGCUUGGCAUGAGAGCUUGGAGUGUGGGAGCUAAAGACCCACAAGUUUAGCAAAUGAGAAUGCUUGUGAUUGGCUUGGUGUUUGAUAUGCUUGAGUUUGGGUGUUGAGAAUUUAUUGUUUAUGGCUAUGGCUGUGGGGAUUUAAGAGUUUCAAGAGAAGGAGGAUGGGAGGAAAAGCUUGAGAUUUGAAGGCCAUAGUGUUUAUAGCUUGGAAGGAAGGAAGGAAAAGCUUGGAAUUAUGCUUGGUUAGGCUUUAUAGAGAAGAUAAUGGAUUUCAAGGAGAGGAGGUUAUGGCUGGGGUGCUUGCAACAACUAGGAAUGAGGUGUGAUGAUUGAAGAAGGGGGUUGAUGGCUACUGGGAUGCUUGCAGCAGCUAAAGCAAGAAGUUGUUGUACUGCUCCCGCAACUAAAGGAAGGGCCUGAUGGCUAAAGAAGAAUUGGCCGAUGGCUGCUGUGUUGCUUGCAGCAGCCGAAUGAGGGGUGAGUUCUUUUGGUUGCUGGGAAGCUUGUAGCAACCAAGAGAGGUUGGUUUUGGCUAGGCAAUGCCUCCUAAUUUAUAGAAGGUGAAGGCUCUCUUUAGUUUCUAAUAGGUAAAAAGAAGUGUUGGAGAUAGUCUAUUUCCAACGGGUAAAAGGGAGCAUUGGGCCAUUCUUAUUUCCAACAUAUAAAGGUAGGCUUUAGAAAAUGAUUAUUUCCUAUGGGAAAAAGGAAGAAUUGGGCCAUUCUUAUUUCCAACAUAUAAAGGUAGGCAUAGGAAAAUGACUAUUUCCUAUGGGUAAAAGGAAGUAUCGGAAUUGGCUUGUUUCCAGUGUGUAAUAUGGAGUGCUUGAAGAAUAUCUCAUUUGCUUACCCAGAUUGGAGAACUCUAAGUAAUGGGCUUGGACUUUGGUGCUCCCAAGUAGCUAUCCUAAAGUCUUCAUUAUCCAAUAGCUUAUGUGGGCCUUGUGGAUCUCCUUAACCUUCCACAUCAUAAUCCUCGUGCAAGCUCUGUAAACCACAUGACUUGGGUUCAUGUUAGCUUGGUAGGUGAUUGGCAUGAGAAAAAUGUAUUAUUGGUUUGGCAUGGCAUGUACACUAUUUCUAUAUUUAUUUAAUGAAUUAAUUCCUUAAAUACAGCUUGGAUUAACGCAUGACCAACAUUAUAUGUUAUAUUGGGCUUUAAAUGUCUUAGGGUUUCUCGUGACUUUUUUGGGCCUCAACAAAAAGCAAUGAAGGUGAAUGAGGUGAAGUCAACAUUCGGAAUUGUGUUGAUGUUUUAUUUAUUUGGGCUUUGGUUAUGUUUUAUUUUUAGUUAUGAUUUGGUUAUGUUUUAUUUUUAGUUAAGGCAUGAUUGUGUUUUUUAUUUAUUAUGCUUUGGUUGUGGUUUUUCCUUUAAAUUUUUUUUUUUAUGCACAGAUUAUGUUGAAUAAAAAAGUAUUUUACUGAAUGGUUUGUUUAUUAAAUAAAGAAAACCAAUAGAAGUCAUUAAGAAUUACUACUAAUUAAAUUAAAUACAUGAAUUACAACUACUUUAAUACAAAACAUUAAAAUACAAUGAAAUAAAAGGCAAGCAAACUAACUUAAUGGUUUUGAUCAUUUAAUGAAUCCGUGUUGCUAGGUCCAUCGUCAUGGGAAAGUCUUCUUCUCAUAACGUCCCUUCAUUCAAGCUUCCAAAAUUAUUUUGUUUUAGGAGACAUAUGGCUUGUAUCCAUGGCCAUAGUUUCCCAAUCCUUCUUGUCAAUGUUUUCUGUGCGUAAAUACUCCAUCUCUUUUGCAUAUUUUGCUUGAAUUGCCCUCUCAUCUGCUUGGGUUUUCAUGUCUAUUUCAAUUCUCAUGGCGCUGUGCCUUGCAAUUUCCUCCAAAAAUUUUGAGUUAUUAUUGCUAGAAUUAGUCUCUCCCUUCGCUUUCGCCUUCGCCUUCGCCUUCGACACCUUUCGGCCAAUAGGCUGUGGCUCCUUUUCGAUGGGUGAGUCUUGACUCAUGGGGGAAUCCAAAGGCGAAUCCGAUGGUGGUGAAUCAUGAAGUGGCGUCUCAUUCAACACAACAGUCGGACCCGUUGGAAUGAUUCAGAAUCUCGAACAAUUCUUCACCACCUCCCAACAUUAGUCAUGGUUGAAAGUUUUUUAGCCUUGCCCAAUAGCACCAAACCACAUUGGGGCUUGCAUAAUCUAUUUAAAAAUAUGGGGUUAUCUACUGUAGAUGUCCCUGAACUAUGGCCCCAGUUGCAAUUGAGUCCGUGAACUUUUUUUUUUUUAGGCAAUUACAUCCUUUAAUUAGACAAUUAAUUGCAAUUAGGUCAUGCCGUAACAGAAUCCGUCGUGAUUGACCAUGUGAGUGUCAUGAUCUUGUUGUUUGGGGUAUAUUCGACUUUUCGUCGUUUUGAACGAAACAAAAUCCAAUUUAGCGCUAGAGAGAGGGGGAAAGCAUGUGAACCGAACCUUCGAGCAGACAUUGGAGUUGCAUGCCGUGAACUAUCCUUUCUAAGGCAACCAUUGGAGUUCAAUUUGCUAUAGCAGUGACUGAGUGAGUGAGAAAUUUUCAGUAUAAGGUUCGAAAUUUGGGGUUGAUCGGGGGUACAGUUAAAGGUUAGGGUUUCUUUUUGUGAAUAGUUGGGUUUUUCGUCCUUUUGGCUGAUAGUGAUGGAAGAGUUUGACUUCCGUUGGGGUGGUCCAUAGAUUUUUAAGAUUGCUUGCACGCUUUGCUUUAUACUGUCAUCGACUGCAACACUUAGGUUUUUUUUAUUUUUAUCCCUUCUUGUCUUUUAUCUAUGCCUCACAGCAAANNNNNNNNNNNNNNNNNNNNNNNNNNNNNNNNNNNNNNNNNNNNNNNNNNNNNNNNNNNNNNNNNNNNNNNNNNNNNNNNNNNNNNNNNNNNNNNNNNNNNNNNNNNNNNNNNNNNNNNNNNNNNNNNNNNNNNNNNNNNNNNNNNNNNNNNNNNNNNNNNNNNNNNNNNNNNNNNNNNNNNNNNNNNNNNNNNNNNNNNNNNNNNNNNNNNNNNNNNNNNNNNNNNNNNNNNNNNNNNNNNNNNNNNNNNNNNNNNNNNNNNNNNNNNNNNNNNNNNNNNNNNNNNNNNNNNNNNNNNNNNNNNNNNNNNNNNNNNNNNNNNNNNNNNNNNNNNNNNNNNNNNNNNNNNNNNNNNNNNNNNNNNNNNNNNNNNNNNNNNNNNNNNNNNNNNNNNNNNNNNNNNNNNNNNNNNNNNNNNNNNNNNNNNNNNNNNNNNNNNNNNNNNNNNNNNNNNNNNNNNNNNNNNNNNNNNNNNNNNNNNNNNNNNNNNNNNNNNNNNNNNNNNNNNNNNNNNNNNNNNNNNNNNNNNNNNNNNNNNNNNNNNNNNNNNNNNNNNNNNNNNNNNNNNNNNNNNNNNNNNNNNNNNNNNNNNNNNNNNNNNNNNNNNNNNNNNNNNNNNNNNNNNNNNNNNNNNNNNNNNNNNNNNNNNNNNNNNNNNNNNNNNNNNNNNNNNNNNNNNNNNNNNNNNNNNNNNNNNNNNNNNNNNNNNNNNNNNNNNNNNNNNNNNNNNNNNNNNNNNNNNNNNNNNNNNNNNNNNNNNNNNNNNNNNNNNNNNNNNNNNNNNNNNNNNNNNNNNNNNNNNNNNNNNNNNNNNNNNNNNNNNNNNNNNNNNNNNNNNNNNNNNNNNNNNNNNNNNNNNNNNNNNNNNNNNNNNNNNNNNNNNNNNNNNNNNNNNNNNNNNNNNNNNNNNNNNNNNNNNNNNNNNNNNNNNNNNNNNNNNNNNNNNNNNNNNNNNNNNNNNNNNNNNNNNNNNNNNNNNNNNNNNNNNNNNNNNNNNNNNNNNNNNNNNNNNNNNNNNNNNNNNNNNNNNNNNNNNNNNNNNNNNNNNNNNNNNNNNNNNNNNNNNNNNNNNNNNNNNNNNNNNNNNNNNNNNNNNNNNNNNNNNNNNNNNNNNNNNNNNNNNNNNNNNNNNNNNNNNNNNNNNNNNNNNNNNNNNNNNNNNNNNNNNNNNNNNNNNNNNNNNNNNNNNNNNNNNNNNNNNNNNNNNNNNNNNNNNNNNNNNNNNNNNNNNNNNNNNNNNNNNNNNNNNNNNNNNNNNNNNNNNNNNNNNNNNNNNNNNNNNNNNNNNNNNNNNNNNNNNNNNNNNNNNNNNNNNNNNNNNNNNNNNNNNNNNNNNNNNNNNNNNNNNNNNNNNNNNNNNNNNNNNNNNNNNNNNNNNNNNNNNNNNNNNNNNNNNNNNNNNNNNNNNNNNNNNNNNNNNNNNNNNNNNNNNNNNNNNNNNNNNNNNNNNNNNNNNNNNNNNNNNNNNNNNNNNNNNNNNNNNNNNNNNNNNNNNNNNNNNNNNNNNNNNNNNNNNNNNNNNNNNNNNNNNNNNNNNNNNNNNNNNNNNNNNNNNNNNNNNNNNNNNNNNNNNNNNNNNNNNNNNNNNNNNNNNNNNNNNNNNNNNNNNNNNNNNNNNNNNNNNNNNNNNNNNNNNNNNNNNNNNNNNNNNNNNNNNNNNNNNNNNNNNNNNNNNNNNNNNNNNNNNNNNNNNNNNNNNNNNNNNNNNNNNNNNNNNNNNNNNNNNNNNNNNNNNNNNNNNNNNNNNNNNNNNNNNNNNNNNNNNNNNNNNNNNNNNNNNNNNNNNNNNNNNNNNNNNNNNNNNNNNNNNNNNNNNNNNNNNNNNNNNNNNNNNNNNNNNNNNNNNNNNNNNNNNNNNNNNNNNNNNNNNNNNNNNNNNNNNNNNNNNNNNNNNNNNNNNNNNNNNNNNNNNNNNNNNNNNNNNNNNNNNNNNNNNNNNNNNNNNNNNNNNNNNNNNNNNNNNNNNNNNNNNNNNNNNNNNNNNNNNNNNNNNNNNNNNNNNNNNNNNNNNNNNNNNNNNNNNNNNNNNNNNNNNNNNNNNNNNNNNNNNNNNNNNNNNNNNNNNNNNNNNNNNNNNNNNNNNNNNNNNNNNNNNNNNNNNNNNNNNNNNNNNNNNNNNNNNNNNNNNNNNNNNNNNNNNNNNNNNNNNNNNNNNNNNNNNNNNNNNNNNNNNNNNNNNNNNNNNNNNNNNNNNNNNNNNNNNNNNNNNNNNNNNNNNNNNNNNNNNNNNNNNNNNNNNNNNNNNNNNNNNNNNNNNNNNNNNNNNNNNNNNNNNNNNNNNNNNNNNNNNNNNNNNNNNNNNNNNNNNNNNNNNNNNNNNNNNNNNNNNNNNNNNNNNNNNNNNNNNNNNNNNNNNNNNNNNNNNNNNNNNNNNNNNNNNNNNNNNNNNNNNNNNNNNNNNNNNNNNNNNNNNNNNNNNNNNNNNNNNNNNNNNNNNNNNNNNNNNNNNNNNNNNNNNNNNNNNNNNNNNNNNNNNNNNNNNNNNNNNNNNNNNNNNNNNNNNNNNNNNNNNNNNNNNNNNNNNNNNNNNNNNNNNNNNNNNNNNNNNNNNNNNNNNNNNNNNNNNNNNNNNNNNNNNNNNNNNNNNNNNNNNNNNNNNNNNNNNNNNNNNNNNNNNNNNNNNNNNNNNNNNNNNNNNNNNNNNNNNNNNNNNNNNNNNNNNNNNNNNNNNNNNNNNNNNNNNNNNNNNNNNNNNNNNNNNNNNNNNNNNNNNNNNNNNNNNNNNNNNNNNNNNNNNNNNNNNNNNNNNNNNNNNNNNNNNNNNNNNNNNNNNNNNNNNNNNNNNNNNNNNNNNNNNNNNNNNNNNNNNNNNNNNNNNNNNNNNNNNNNNNNNNNNNNNNNNNNNNNNNNNNNNNNNNNNNNNNNNNNNNNNNNNNNNNNNNNNNNNNNNNNNNNNNNNNNNNNNNNNNNNNNNNNNNNNNNNNNNNNNNNNNNNNNNNNNNNNNNNNNNNNNNNNNNNNNNNNNNNNNNNNNNNNNNNNNNNNNNNNNNNNNNNNNNNNNNNNNNNNNNNNNNNNNNNNNNNNNNNNNNNNNNNNNNNNNNNNNNNNNNNNNNNNNNNNNNNNNNNNNNNNNNNNNNNNNNNNNNNNNNNNNNNNNNNNNNNNNNNNNNNNNNNNNNNNNNNNNNNNNNNNNNNNNNNNNNNNNNNNNNNNNNNNNNNNNNNNNNNNNNNNNNNNNNNNNNNNNNNNNNNNNNNNNNNNNNNNNNNNNNNNNNNNNNNNNNNNNNNNNNNNNNNNNNNNNNNNNNNNNNNNNNNNNNNNNNNNNNNNNNNNNNNNNNNNNNNNNNNNNNNNNNNNNNNNNNNNNNNNNNNNNNNNNNNNNNNNNNNNNNNNNNNNNNNNNNNNNNNNNNNNNNNNNNNNNNNNNNNNNNNNNNNNNNNNNNNNNNNNNNNNNNNNNNNNNNNNNNNNNNNNNNNNNNNNNNNNNNNNNNNNNNNNNNNNNNNNNNNNNNNNNNNNNNNNNNNNNNNNNNNNNNNNNNNNNNNNNNNNNNNNNNNNNNNNNNNNNNNNNNNNNNNNNNNNNNNNNNNNNNNNNNNNNNNNNNNNNNNNNNNNNNNNNNNNNNNNNNNNNNNNNNNNNNNNNNNNNNNNNNNNNNNNNNNNNNNNNNNNNNNNNNNNNNNNNNNNNNNNNNNNNNNNNNNNNNNNNNNNNNNNNNNNNNNNNNNNNNNNNNNNNNNNNNNNNNNNNNNNNNNNNNNNNNNNNNNNNNNNNNNNNNNNNNNNNNNNNNNNNNNNNNNNNNNNNNNNNNNNNNNNNNNNNNNNNNNNNNNNNNNNNNNNNNNNNNNNNNNNNNNNNNNNNNNNNNNNNNNNNNNNNNNNNNNNNNNNNNNNNNNNNNNNNNNNNNNNNNNNNNNNNNNNNNNNNNNNNNNNNNNNNNNNNNNNNNNNNNNNNNNNNNNNNNNNNNNNNNNNNNNNNNNNNNNNNNNNNNNNNNNNNNNNNNNNNNNNNNNNNNNNNNNNNNNNNNNNNNNNNNNNNNNNNNNNNNNNNNNNNNNNNNNNNNNNNNNNNNNNNNNNNNNNNNNNNNNNNNNNNNNNNNNNNNNNNNNNNNNNNNNNNNNNNNNNNNNNNNNNNNNNNNNNNNNNNNNNNNNNNNNNNNNNNNNNNNNNNNNNNNNNNNNNNNNNNNNNNNNNNNNNNNNNNNNNNNNNNNNNNNNNNNNNNNNNNNNNNNNNNNNNNNNNNNNNNNNNNNNNNNNNNNNNNNNNNNNNNNNNNNNNNNNNNNNNNNNNNNNNNNNNNNNNNNNNNNNNNNNNNNNNNNNNNNNNNNNNNNNNNNNNNNNNNNNNNNNNNNNNNNNNNNNNNNNNNNNNNNNNNNNNNNNNNNNNNNNNNNNNNNNNNNNNNNNNNNNNNNNNNNNNNNNNNNNNNNNNNNNNNNNNNNNNNNNNNNNNNNNNNNNNNNNNNNNNNNNNNNNNNNNNNNNNNNNNNNNNNNNNNNNNNNNNNNNNNNNNNNNNNNNNNNNNNNNNNNNNNNNNNNNNNNNNNNNNNNNNNNNNNNNNNNNNNNNNNNNNNNNNNNNNNNNNNNNNNNNNNNNNNNNNNNNNNNNNNNNNNNNNNNNNNNNNNNNNNNNNNNNNNNNNNNNNNNNNNNNNNNNNNNNNNNNNNNNNNNNNNNNNNNNNNNNNNNNNNNNNNNNNNNNNNNNNNNNNNNNNNNNNNNNNNNNNNNNNNNNNNNNNNNNNNNNNNNNNNNNNNNNNNNNNNNNNNNNNNNNNNNNNNNNNNNNNNNNNNNNNNNNNNNNNNNNNNNNNNNNNNNNNNNNNNNNNNNNNNNNNNNNNNNNNNNNNNNNNNNNNNNNNNNNNNNNNNNNNNNNNNNNNNNNNNNNNNNNNNNNNNNNNNNNNNNNNNNNNNNNNNNNNNNNNNNNNNNNNNNNNNNNNNNNNNNNNNNNNNNNNNNNNNNNNNNNNNNNNNNNNNNNNNNNNNNNNNNNNNNNNNNNNNNNNNNNNNNNNNNNNNNNNNNNNNNNNNNNNNNNNNNNNNNNNNNNNNNNNNNNNNNNNNNNNNNNNNNNNNNNNNNNNNNNNNNNNNNNNNNNNNNNNNNNNNNNNNNNNNNNNNNNNNNNNNNNNNNNNNNNNNNNNNNNNNNNNNNNNNNNNNNNNNNNNNNNNNNNNNNNNNNNNNNNNNNNNNNNNNNNNNNNNNNNNNNNNNNNNNNNNNNNNNNNNNNNNNNNNNNNNNNNNNNNNNNNNNNNNNNNNNNNNNNNNNNNNNNNNNNNNNNNNNNNNNNNNNNNNNNNNNNNNNNNNNNNNNNNNNNNNNNNNNNNNNNNNNNNNNNNNNNNNNNNNNNNNNNNNNNNNNNNNNNNNNNNNNNNNNNNNNNNNNNNNNNNNNNNNNNNNNNNNNNNNNNNNNNNNNNNNNNNNNNNNNNNNNNNNNNNNNNNNNNNNNNNNNNNNNNNNNNNNNNNNNNNNNNNNNNNNNNNNNNNNNNNNNNNNNNNNNNNNNNNNNNNNNNNNNNNNNNNNNNNNNNNNNNNNNNNNNNNNNNNNNNNNNNNNNNNNNNNNNNNNNNNNNNNNNNNNNNNNNNNNNNNNNNNNNNNNNNNNNNNNNNNNNNNNNNNNNNNNNNNNNNNNNNNNNNNNNNNNNNNNNNNNNNNNNNNNNNNNNNNNNNNNNNNNNNNNNNNNNNNNNNNNNNNNNNNNNNNNNNNNNNNNNNNNNNNNNNNNNNNNNNNNNNNNNNNNNNNNNNNNNNNNNNNNNNNNNNNNNNNNNNNNNNNNNNNNNNNNNNNNNNNNNNNNNNNNNNNNNNNNNNNNNNNNNNNNNNNNNNNNNNNNNNNNNNNNNNNNNNNNNNNNNNNNNNNNNNNNNNNNNNNNNNNNNNNNNNNNNNNNNNNNNNNNNNNNNNNNNNNNNNNNNNNNNNNNNNNNNNNNNNNNNNNNNNNNNNNNNNNNNNNNNNNNNNNNNNNNNNNNNNNNNNNNNNNNNNNNNNNNNNNNNNNNNNNNNNNNNNNNNNNNNNNNNNNNNNNNNNNNNNNNNNNNNNNNNNNNNNNNNNNNNNNNNNNNNNNNNNNNNNNNNNNNNNNNNNNNNNNNNNNNNNNNNNNNNNNNNNNNNNNNNNNNNNNNNNNNNNNNNNNNNNNNNNNNNNNNNNNNNNNNNNNNNNNNNNNNNNNNNNNNNNNNNNNNNNNNNNNNNNNNNNNNNNNNNNNNNNNNNNNNNNNNNNNNNNNNNNNNNNNNNNNNNNNNNNNNNNNNNNNNNNNNNNNNNNNNNNNNNNNNNNNNNNNNNNNNNNNNNNNNNNNNNNNNNNNNNNNNNNNNNNNNNNNNNNNNNNNNNNNNNNNNNNNNNNNNNNNNNNNNNNNNNNNNNNNNNNNNNNNNNNNNNNNNNNNNNNNNNNNNNNNNNNNNNNNNNNNNNNNNNNNNNNNNNNNNNNNNNNNNNNNNNNNNNNNNNNNNNNNNNNNNNNNNNNNNNNNNNNNNNNNNNNNNNNNNNNNNNNNNNNNNNNNNNNNNNNNNNNNNNNNNNNNNNNNNNNNNNNNNNNNNNNNNNNNNNNNNNNNNNNNNNNNNNNNNNNNNNNNNNNNNNNNNNNNNNNNNNNNNNNNNNNNNNNNNNNNNNNNNNNNNNNNNNNNNNNNNNNNNNNNNNNNNNNNNNNNNNNNNNNNNNNNNNNNNNNNNNNNNNNNNNNNNNNNNNNNNNNNNNNNNNNNNNNNNNNNNNNNNNNNNNNNNNNNNNNNNNNNNNNNNNNNNNNNNNNNNNNNNNNNNNNNNNNNNNNNNNNNNNNNNNNNNNNNNNNNNNNNNNNNNNNNNNNNNNNNNNNNNNNNNNNNNNNNNNNNNNNNNNNNNNNNNNNNNNNNNNNNNNNNNNNNNNNNNNNNNNNNNNNNNNNNNNNNNNNNNNNNNNNNNNNNNNNNNNNNNNNNNNNNNNNNNNNNNNNNNNNNNNNNNNNNNNNNNNNNNNNNNNNNNNNNNNNNNNNNNNNNNNNNNNNNNNNNNNNNNNNNNNNNNNNNNNNNNNNNNNNNNNNNNNNNNNNNNNNNNNNNNNNNNNNNNNNNNNNNNNNNNNNNNNNNNNNNNNNNNNNNNNNNNNNNNNNNNNNNNNNNNNNNNNNNNNNNNNNNNNNNNNNNNNNNNNNNNNNNNNNNNNNNNNNNNNNNNNNNNNNNNNNNNNNNNNNNNNNNNNNNNNNNNNNNNNNNNNNNNNNNNNNNNNNNNNNNNNNNNNNNNNNNNNNNNNNNNNNNNNNNNNNNNNNNNNNNNNNNNNNNNNNNNNNNNNNNNNNNNNNNNNNNNNNNNNNNNNNNNNNNNNNNNNNNNNNNNNNNNNNNNNNNNNNNNNNNNNNNNNNNNNNNNNNNNNNNNNNNNNNNNNNNNNNNNNNNNNNNNNNNNNNNNNNNNNNNNNNNNNNNNNNNNNNNNNNNNNNNNNNNNNNNNNNNNNNNNNNNNNNNNNNNNNNNNNNNNNNNNNNNNNNNNNNNNNNNNNNNNNNNNNNNNNNNNNNNNNNNNNNNNNNNNNNNNNNNNNNNNNNNNNNNNNNNNNNNNNNNNNNNNNNNNNNNNNNNNNNNNNNNNNNNNNNNNNNNNNNNNNNNNNNNNNNNNNNNNNNNNNNNNNNNNNNNNNNNNNNNNNNNNNNNNNNNNNNNNNNNNNNNNNNNNNNNNNNNNNNNNNNNNNNNNNNNNNNNNNNNNNNNNNNNNNNNNNNNNNNNNNNNNNNNNNNNNNNNNNNNNNNNNNNNNNNNNNNNNNNNNNNNNNNNNNNNNNNNNNNNNNNNNNNNNNNNNNNNNNNNNNNNNNNNNNNNNNNNNNNNNNNNNNNNNNNNNNNNNNNNNNNNNNNNNNNNNNNNNNNNNNNNNNNNNNNNNNNNNNNNNNNNNNNNNNNNNNNNNNNNNNNNNNNNNNNNNNNNNNNNNNNNNNNNNNNNNNNNNNNNNNNNNNNNNNNNNNNNNNNNNNNNNNNNNNNNNNNNNNNNNNNNNNNNNNNNNNNNNNNNNNNNNNNNNNNNNNNNNNNNNNNNNNNNNNNNNNNNNNNNNNNNNNNNNNNNNNNNNNNNNNNNNNNNNNNNNNNNNNNNNNNNNNNNNNNNNNNNNNNNNNNNNNNNNNNNNNNNNNNNNNNNNNNNNNNNNNNNNNNNNNNNNNNNNNNNNNNNNNNNNNNNNNNNNNNNNNNNNNNNNNNNNNNNNNNNNNNNNNNNNNNNNNNNNNNNNNNNNNNNNNNNNNNNNNNNNNNNNNNNNNNNNNNNNNNNNNNNNNNNNNNNNNNNNNNNNNNNNNNNNNNNNNNNNNNNNNNNNNNNNNNNNNNNNNNNNNNNNNNNNNNNNNNNNNNNNNNNNNNNNNNNNNNNNNNNNNNNNNNNNNNNNNNNNNNNNNNNNNNNNNNNNNNNNNNNNNNNNNNNNNNNNNNNNNNNNNNNNNNNNNNNNNNNNNNNNNNNNNNNNNNNNNNNNNNNNNNNNNNNNNNNNNNNNNNNNNNNNNNNNNNNNNNNNNNNNNNNNNNNNNNNNNNNNNNNNNNNNNNNNNNNNNNNNNNNNNNNNNNNNNNNNNNNNNNNNNNNNNNNNNNNNNNNNNNNNNNNNNNNNNNNNNNNNNNNNNNNNNNNNNNNNNNNNNNNNNNNNNNNNNNNNNNNNNNNNNNNNNNNNNNNNNNNNNNNNNNNNNNNNNNNNNNNNNNNNNNNNNNNNNNNNNNNNNNNNNNNNNNNNNNNNNNNNNNNNNNNNNNNNNNNNNNNNNNNNNNNNNNNNNNNNNNNNNNNNNNNNNNNNNNNNNNNNNNNNNNNNNNNNNNNNNNNNNNNNNNNNNNNNNNNNNNNNNNNNNNNNNNNNNNNNNNNNNNNNNNNNNNNNNNNNNNNNNNNNNNNNNNNNNNNNNNNNNNNNNNNNNNNNNNNNNNNNNNNNNNNNNNNNNNNNNNNNNNNNNNNNNNNNNNNNNNNNNNNNNNNNNNNNNNNNNNNNNNNNNNNNNNNNNNNNNNNNNNNNNNNNNNNNNNNNNNNNNNNNNNNNNNNNNNNNNNNNNNNNNNNNNNNNNNNNNNNNNNNNNNNNNNNNNNNNNNNNNNNNNNNNNNNNNNNNNNNNNNNNNNNNNNNNNNNNNNNNNNNNNNNNNNNNNNNNNNNNNNNNNNNNNNNNNNNNNNNNNNNNNNNNNNNNNNNNNNNNNNNNNNNNNNNNNNNNNNNNNNNNNNNNNNNNNNNNNNNNNNNNNNNNNNNNNNNNNNNNNNNNNNNNNNNNNNNNNNNNNNNNNNNNNNNNNNNNNNNNNNNNNNNNNNNNNNNNNNNNNNNNNNNNNNNNNNNNNNNNNNNNNNNNNNNNNNNNNNNNNNNNNNNNNNNNNNNNNNNNNNNNNNNNNNNNNNNNNNNNNNNNNNNNNNNNNNNNNNNNNNNNNNNNNNNNNNNNNNNNNNNNNNNNNNNNNNNNNNNNNNNNNNNNNNNNNNNNNNNNNNNNNNNNNNNNNNNNNNNNNNNNNNNNNNNNNNNNNNNNNNNNNNNNNNNNNNNNNNNNNNNNNNNNNNNNNNNNNNNNNNNNNNNNNNNNNNNNNNNNNNNNNNNNNNNNNNNNNNNNNNNNNNNNNNNNNNNNNNNNNNNNNNNNNNNNNNNNNNNNNNNNNNNNNNNNNNNNNNNNNNNNNNNNNNNNNNNNNNNNNNNNNNNNNNNNNNNNNNNNNNNNNNNNNNNNNNNNNNNNNNNNNNNNNNNNNNNNNNNNNNNNNNNNNNNNNNNNNNNNNNNNNNNNNNNNNNNNNNNNNNNNNNNNNNNNNNNNNNNNNNNNNNNNNNNNNNNNNNNNNNNNNNNNNNNNNNNNNNNNNNNNNNNNNNNNNNNNNNNNNNNNNNNNNNNNNNNNNNNNNNNNNNNNNNNNNNNNNNNNNNNNNNNNNNNNNNNNNNNNNNNNNNNNNNNNNNNNNNNNNNNNNNNNNNNNNNNNNNNNNNNNNNNNNNNNNNNNNNNNNNNNNNNNNNNNNNNNNNNNNNNNNNNNNNNNNNNNNNNNNNNNNNNNNNNNNNNNNNNNNNNNNNNNNNNNNNNNNNNNNNNNNNNNNNNNNNNNNNNNNNNNNNNNNNNNNNNNNNNNNNNNNNNNNNNNNNNNNNNNNNNNNNNNNNNNNNNNNNNNNNNNNNNNNNNNNNNNNNNAUUUGGGUUGUGUUUAGCUAUGGUUGUGGUUUUUUUUAUAGUUGUGCUUAUUUGUUGUGCAGGCUGAGGCAGCCCAAAAUGGGAAUGCAAGCCAAAAUCAAGUUCAACCAGUUGACAAUGGAAACACAGGCCAAAAUGAUAUUGCCCUAGCCCAAACUAAGGCUGCCCCUGCCCAAAUUUAUGUUACCCCAACUCAAACUCACACUGUCCCAUCCCAAAUUCAAGUUAAUAGGGGCAGAGGAAUAGGCAGAGGCAGAGGAAGAGGAAGAGGUGUAUGGAAUCUAGCUGCAAGGGUGUCAUCUUCACAACCAGUUAGUUGCCUAUUAUUCUUGCCCAACUCAAGUUUUUAUGUUUGCCUAUAUGAUAAUAUAUGUUCUUUGUGUUUUUUAUAUUACAUGGUAAGUGGUAUCAGUCAAAGAAGGGCCAAUCUGCCAAUGACAUACUCACAAUAAGUGCCCUUGCAACUAUCAUCCUCUUCACUUACUCAAGAAACCACACCCCAUAAAGAAAGAUUCAAACAGAGUGUCAAAAGAGGAGGACAAGUAUAGAUUGUGAAGACCUAUUGUGGACUUUUAAGACCUAUUUUGGACUCUUAAGUACUUACUAUGUGGAUGUGUAUUUUGGGUGAACAAUUAUAGACUGUCAAGUAUGCUAUUUGGUAAUGUUAGUUUCAAGGCUCUUUCGUAGUUGGAUUAUGUAAUGUUUAGGUGUAUUUUGGAUUGUAUGUAAUGUGCAAUUGGUGAAUGUUAAUUGGUAAUUGAAGCUUUUUGGAUUGAAUGUAAUGUGCCCAUGUUCAUUUGGUAUACACUGCCAAUUCAGCACAAAAUCAGCUAUAUAGCAAAAUGUUUUAUACACUGCCAAAGAGGCACAAAAUAACCUUAUGCCCAGGUUUCUGCCUAGAUUUCUACACUACCAAUUCCUUCCCAUAUCCUGUCCAUACUACAAAUUCCUUCCCAUUUCUACACUAUGCCCAUGCCAUCAAGAGCUCUUGAAGAGUAUAUACAACAUUAUGCCCAUUUCCUGCCCAUUUAUACACUAAAAUCAUUCAUAUUAAUGAACAAUAUCACAAUUAUAAAACACAACGUAACAACAACCUAGAACCACCUUUGUCUUUGUCGAUAACUCAAAAUUUCCCCUUCUAGCACAACAACUUGUUUACCCAUUCCCAAAUUCUAGUUUUUCAAAAUCUUGAUUUCUUCUUCUUCUUCUCUCAGUUUUUGCUCUAAUUUCUUCUUCUAUUCUUUCAUGAAUCUGAACCGUUGCUCUCAAUUCGUCCUCCAUUCAUCUUAGUCUUCUAAGUAACCCAGGCAAGAUUUCCUUUCCUCGUGGGCAUGUUUCAUUCUCCACCCAUGCGAAAAAAAAAUGCAACCUUCUUUUACUGUUGUGCAAUUCAAACAAAACGAAACACCAAUUUCAGACCUAACAAAAUCCAUUUUUACUUCAACCAAUCUUCUACAAAUACAAAAACUUACUUGAUUAUUGAACAUGCCUCAAAUCUUCUUCCAGGAUUCAGAUCUGUCCAUGAAGUCCGGCGUUUGAUUUCCGACCCACACUAGCAGUAACGACGGUUGCAAUUUGAAUAUGUCGAACUCUCCUACAUUUUUCCUUCCAUAAAAGCCCCAUUUCAAUUCUUCAGUUGUUCAUUUGGGGGUCGCGUUAAGUUUUGAAGCGAAGGGUUUAGGGUGUUCAGACUCGAAGGAGAGUCUUCAGACUCGGAAGGACGCUUUUACCCCUUCAUUUUGACAGAUAAUUUGACAGAGUUGGACGACAAGACCUAAUUGAAACUGAUUGUCUAAUUAAAGGAUGUAAUUGCCUCAAAAAAAAGUUCACGGACCCAAUUGCAACGGGGGCCAUAAUUCAGGGACGUCUAUAGUAGAUAGCCCAAAAUAUAUAUAUACAAACUUAGGAAAUAUUUACAAAAUCUUGGAAAUGCAAAAAACAUUAAAAAAUAUUGGAAAUGCAAGAAAUAUUAACAAAAUAUUGGAAAUGCAAGAAAUAUUAACAAAAUAUUGAAAAUGCAAGAAACAUUAAAAAAAAUAUAUAUUAGGACAUUAAAAUUAAUAAAAUGAAAAUUACAAAUCAUUUACCUCAUUGCUAAGAUUUUCCCCGUUUCUAUGGUUGUCUCUCGUUUUUAUCAAGGCAUAUCUCCAUUUUCCCAACUCUUUAUUGAGAAUUUUCCAUCUACUAGAUAAUGCCAUUUCCGUAUGAGUCGACCUCGAUCUUUCACAAAAUUCGGCAUGAAUAUUUCUCCACAUAUGAGAUAAUUUCAUCUCAUUGCCUGUGACGGGACAAUGACUAAUUUGGACCCAAUACUCAUACAAUAAAACAUCCUCUAUGGUGCUCCACGUCCCUUCAGUUUCGAUAGAAGAAGCCAUAAGAUGAUAAAUAAAAAUACAAUUUGAAAGUGAAUAACAUGUUGAGUAGAAAGUGAAUAAUAGUAGAAGUAGAACAAAAUGUAUGAGGAUUUGGUGUUGAAAGUGAAGAGUAUUGGUAGGUAUUUAUAUGUGAUCUUCGAAAGGUGCCUAAUGUAGAGACUAUAAAUGAACACCUACAAUUUCCCUUAUUUGGAUGAAACAAAACAACAAACAAACACAGAAUCCAAUUGCAUAAAUCGCAAACCAUUAAAACCACAAUGGAACGGGAAUAAAACCAUAAUAAACUAGCAAUAAAACAGCACUAUGAUGCCAAUAUAAUACCACUAACAUGGCAAUCCAACAGCAAUAAAACAGCAAUACGAUACCAAUAACAACAUCAAUGUCAAACAAAGAACAAAGAAUACACUCCUUAACUGUUUCAAACAAGGAAUCAUCACAAUCAGACAAUUUCAGAGAAACCCCCAAACCCUAAACCAAAUUUAGAGAAACCCCUAAACUAAUUUCAUAGAAACCCAUAAACCCUAAACCAAUUUCGAAGAAACCCCUAAACCAAUUUCAUAGAAACCAUACACCCUAAACCAACUUCAAGAAACCCCUAAACCCAAAGAAAAUGAUGAUGAACCCGUACCUUUUGGAUGUGAACGGUGAAGUUAAGCUUCGAUGAAUAGACACUGCUGAGGGAGGAAGAAGAGAGAGAGAGAGAGAGAGAGAGAGAGAGAGAGAGAGAGAGAGAGAGAGAGAGAGAGAGAGAGAGAGAGACUGAGAAAGACCAAAGAGAGAGUGAGAGCUGAGCGAAGACAGACUAAGAUUUGAGCGACAGAGAGACAGAGCGAAGAGAGAUUGAUAGCUGAGCGACAAAGAGAGAAGGAACCAAGAGAGGUGAGAGAGAACAAAAUUUCUGAAAAAAUGAUAUGUGUGCAAUCAGUGGAUAAUAAAAAUGUAUUUAUAGGUAAUAGUUUUAAAAUUUUAGGGGAGGGGUGGUAUUUUCAGAAAAAAUUAUAAAAAGGGUGGCAUUUUGAGCUAUUUCCCUUUUAUCAAAUCGGUGAGCUGCUGUGGAGUAGAUAUAGUUAUUUUCUUUUUACUUUUUUCAGUUAAGAUGACAGAGUUGUAGUUUGGUUUUGUUUUAAAUGAGAUUUGUAUCAAGAUGAUGGUGGACUAGUAGUUCACCAAGUCUUUGUAACGCAAGGAUGCAUACAAGUGUGUUAGUUGAAAUGAGAUAUAAAGUCAUGUCUGCACUUACAGAUAAGAAAUUCUUCAGCACAGAGGCAAUAUUUAACAUCAGGAAGAGGGAGAUCCUGAUAACAUUGCUAUAAAUGGGUAACUUGACAGCAGAGGUAUUGUGAUAAUCUGAAUAUUGGAAUCAUGUGCCUAAAAAAAAAAAACCACGAAGGUAAAGAACAGUAUAGGUCAGUAGGCAUUACGUCGAAAGACAUUUAUCACGAAGAAAAAAAAUGCAGAAGCAACCAACAACAAUGCAAAGGGAGCAGGAGCUGAAAAAUUACCCUUUCCAAUGCGAGCAAUCAUUACAGGACCAAGAAGCCUUUCCACAAACGGGUAUAGGGUGAUUUCGAACACAAAAAAACCAAAACCUACAAGAUGAUAAAAUCGUCAGAAAUUAUUGAGCAUGUGUAGAGUUAUUUACAUAAAUCAGAAAUUGAAACUGUAUCAAAUGCUCUAUCCUUUGAGUGAACUUAAUGCAUCAUGUAUCCAAUGCAUAAUUUGAUUAGCAUAGAAGCAGAUGGAAAAAUCAAAUAUUACCUGAAAUUGCAAGAACUUCACCAACAUUCUCAGUUGAAAGGCUCAAACCCCCAAAACUUUCGAGGACUCACGGCCCAUAAUGAAAAUAUCUGAUUUUUUGGGCAAAAGAAAACAGUCUCACUUAAUAGCCACUUUGGUAAUUAGAGAUCAAUAAGAAUGGGGACAGGGGAAGAAGAAUAAAUGAGUAAGUGAAAGAGUAAGAAAUGCAUUGUACAAAAUGUCUUAAACUACUCAAGCACUUUUAAUCUACCAAAACCGAUGAGAAGAACCAUUUCAGAGAAAGAGAACAAAGGAAAACAAAAGAUUCUGUGAAUAAUACUGUACUUUUCCAACAGGAAUAAGGUAUGAAGUUACCUCUGUAUAAGCCAUGGCAUGAAGUGAGUAAACACAAUAAACAAUGAUUGCUGACAUUAAGGGCCAAUUCUUGAAGAGAUUUUCUUUAGGUAUCUGUUCUUCAGUUUUUUGUUUUCCUUCAUUGGCAGAAGACCCAUAGGAUGCAGUUUCUAGAGCUUCAAAAGAAUCAUCAUGCAAUCUAGUAUUUCCAUUGUGCUUGUGUAAAGUUUCCUACAACCAACCAGAUAUAGAAAUUUUCUGUUAAUACUUGGAGUUUCAAAAGGUUCUUAACGUACGAAUGUGCUAAAGAUGACCCAAGUGUUACUAGUUUCUCUGUUCUUGGGAGAGCCUCAAGAAGUUUAAUUAAAAUAAAAAGUUAAGGCUAAGAAAGCUAGUAUAAAAUACAGGAUUACAAAUUUACAAGGAUACAUGAUUAUAAUGAUAAAUUCCUUUCCAAGGAUAUUGGAUUACAAAUAUUGUUCAUUUUGUAACUCCCUUUAGAUGUAAUGGAGGACUGUAAGGACGGCCUGCAUUCUGAAUUUCAUGGAGGUUAAGUGAUGACAAAAUAGGGUUGAGAAGGUACAAAAACAACCAUGAGAAAAAAACACGUAGGUCAAUAUUUAACAUUUCAAAAGAGAUUCAUCAACAUAAAGGAAUAUAAUAAGAUAUGUACCGGAAGCCAGAAAGAAGCAAUGCAUACUCCAAAUGCAAAAAGCGAUAUACAAAGGCAAGGCAAGAAGUAUGGAAACCUACAUCAAAGUUUCAGAUUUUGGAACAUCAUAGUGCAACAAAGAAAUAAUUAGAAAAAUCCUGAAAUUUGACAAUCUCACUGCAGCAUACUUAAAUCACUAGCCAAACUUACCUCCCAAAUAUGGAGUUUUGGGAAAAUAUAUUUGGAUACUUGUCCGCUGGCUGCAUAAAACAUUGUAAAGAAACAUUUGAUUAAACAAAAGGAAGAGAGAGAGAGAGAGAGAGAGAGAGAGAGAGAGAGAGAUUAGAGAGCACAAAAAUACUAAAAUCAUCUGCUACCUCAUGAUUUUCAUUAAUCUGUACUCUUUAAUUUAACCUACUCUUUCAAGAACCAACAUUCGGAAACCCCAACCCCUGUACUAAUUCAGAACAGAAUAUGUGGGUUGUUGCUAAUGUGAGGAAGCAAACUGGGGAUAACUGUUCAAAUCCCAGUAGGUGUCAAUUUCAAGAACUUCAUUUGUUUCUUGUUAGUUAAUCACUACUACAAAAAGUGAAAAAGAUGACCAGAAAAAACGAUGGUUACGGUUGUGUUUGAAAAGACGAUGGUGUUAUAAAACCGCCGUGUAUGAGUAACUUAAACACCUAAAAAAUGGACGCACCAAAUUAAAAAAGCGUCGUCUUUUUGAAAAGGUUUUCCUCAUAGUUAAACUCUGAGCCCAAAAACAACGACAGAAGGUAUGAAUCCACCGACGUAGAAAGUAAAGUCGACGGUGUGCAACAACAGCCGCUGUUUUUACUCCGUAAUUAACACGACCAAGUUUUCGUAUUCGGCGCCAUGUAAUUUCAAAAAAAUCCAUGUCGGUAUAUUACAAAAUACCGCCUUAUUAAAUCAAUGUACAACGACGGUAAAGAUAAAUUUAUCGACUUAUUAUUUUGUAGUGUACUACAAAGGUAUCUAUAACUCUAACCACGUCGGUUUGUUCAAUUAACGCUGUAUAAUAAAAUUUACCACGUUGUGAAGUUAAAAUUACUAUCGUAUUUAUUCACUUUAUACCGCUAACCUUAUAUCUAAACCGUCGUCUUAAUAUCAAUUUUUUUUAAUGAUUUAUUUCUUGGAUUUUGGUAGCCUAUGACGGUAGAUCAACAUAAUGACAAGAAUUGAGAAUAACCACGACGGUUUAUAUAGAAAACCGCCAACAUAAUCAGAUUAUUAUGAGCAGGGGCGGAUCCACAGAGGAGCAAGGGUGGUCAAUUGACCCCUGCAACCUCUGAAAUCCUUCAUUAGAGCCGCCCAAAUUGACCCUCACAAGGUGCUCGAUGAAAUGCCCCAAUGGGGCAAACUCUUGUGCUGCUGUGCAGCUGUGGAGAGCUUGCGCGCAGCGCGCAUCCUUUUUUUUUGUUUGGUCGACGUCAAAACGACAUCAUUUCAUUUAAGUGGUUUUUUUUUUUUUUUUGCGCCCUCGACGUCGAAACGACGUCGUUGCACUUAAGGUUUUUUUUUUUUGCGCGCUAUUCUUCAAAACGACGUCGUUUCACUUAUACUUUUUUUUUUUUUUUAAUAACACCUGGCCAAAACGACGUCGUUUUGGCACAAGUUAAAAAAAAAAAAACAAAACAAAACAGCAGCCCGAUACCCAUCAGUUUCAAAACUCAUUUCUUCUUCUCAAUAUCAAAUUCUCUAACCUAAAUUCCAACCCCAACUAAAACAACCAACCUCCAAUCCAAUUCAAUGGUGGCUUUCCCUCCCCCUCACAAAUCAGUCGGUGGAGGCAGUAAAGUGGCGUCGGCGGUGGGCACUGGGCAGCAGAAAAUUGAAUAAGUGCCUCCAAAAUUCAAUUUGAUUUCAAAGGUGGAUUUAUCCCUCAAAUUUGAGAGUAUGUUAUCCUAUUUUCUUUAUGCUUUAAUUAAUUAGUAAAGAUUCUUAUAUGUCAGUGUUUUUUGAUUAGUUGUUGUUUUUUGUUGUUGAUAUUUUAUUUUAGUAUGUUAGUUUGAAUAAACUAGGGCUUUUAUGUUAGUUUGAAUAAAUUAGAGGUUUUGGUUUUGGUUAGUUAGUUUGAAUAAAUUAGGGUUUUAUUUUUAUGUUAGAUUAUAUGAUUAUCUUGGUUAGUUUCAAUUAAUUAGGGGUUUUGAUUUUGGUUAGUUAGUUUGAAAGUAUGUUAUCCUAUUUUCUUUAUGCUUUAAUUAAUUAGUAAAGAUUCUUAUAUGUUAGUGUUUUUCUUGAUUAGUUGUUGUUGUUGUUUGUUGUUGAGAUUUUAUUUUAGUUUGUUAGUUUGAAUUAACUAGGGCUUUUAUGUUAGUUUGAAUAAAUUAGAGGUUUUGGCUAGUUAGUUUGAAUAAAUUAGGGUUUUAUUUUUAUGUUAGAUUAUAUGAUUAUCUUGGUUAGUUUCAAUUAAUUAGGGGUUUUGAUUUUGGUUAGUUAGUUUGAAUAAAUUAGGAUUCUACUUUUAUGUAAGAUUAUAUCUCUUGGUUAGUUUGAAUAAAUUAAGGGCUUCUAGUUUUGGUUAGUUAGUUUGAAUAAAUUAGUGUUUUAUGUUAGAUAAUAAUUGGUAAAUUUGAUUAGUUGUUGGAUUUUAUUUUGGUUAGUUUGCAUAAGUUAUGGCUUUUUAAUAUUGUUGAUGUUUGAUUGGUUAUUUCUACCAAUACAGUUAUGGAACGAUACUUUAAGAGAAGGUUCGCAUCAACUACUUCUAGUUCGGAUAAUGUGGGUAGUUCGAGUUCGAGAGAUGUGGAUAUUUCUAGAGAUGUGGAUAGUUCGAAAGAAAAUGAGUUGCAAGAUAUCUUAGCUAAUCUUAUUGCAGACCCUGGACUUCGACCUCAAAUGUUGGAUUAUGAUCCUAACAUUAGAGACGAAGUUCGAAGAGCAUAUCUACAAAAGGGUCCAUGUCAGCCCAAGGAUCACACAUUUCCACAAACUGAUCUUUCAGGGUAUGAUCGACGCUUUAAUGUCAAGUGGUUUGAUGAGUUUGACUGGUUGGAGUACAGUAUUAGUAAAGAUGCUGCAUUUUGCCUUUAUUGUUAUCUCUUGAAAUCCAAUUUCAGAAUUGGUCAAGGGUGUAGCAACGCCUUCACAGAGAUGGGUUUUAGGAAUUGGAAGAAGAAAGAUAAAAUUAGGCAACAUGUUGGACCUGUUGGAAGUGUUCAUAAUCAAUCUAGACAGUAUUGUGUGGAUCUUAUGAAUCAAAAGCAACACAUCCGAACAGUUUUGAUAAAGCAAUCAGAGCAAGCUCGUAUUGAUUAUCAUAUUUGCUUGACAACUUCUCUUGAUUGUGUGAGAUUUUUAUUGAGGCAAUGUCUUCCUUUUCGUGGGCAUGAUGAGAGUGACACUUCAAGCAACAAGGGGAAUUAUUUAGAGCUUUUACAGUUUCUUGCUGAUCAUGAUGAGAAAGUGAAGGUCGUUGUGUUAGAAAAUGCUCCCGGGAAUCUCAAGUUAAUAGCUCCAACAAUUCAAAAAGAUCUUGUGAAUGCUUGUGCCACUGAAACUAUUAAGAAAAUCAUCAAGGAUAUGGAUGGUGCAUUCUUCUCUUUAUUAGUUGAUGAAUCACGUGAUGUGUCAGUAAAAGAACAGAUGGCGGUGGUGUUUCGUUAUGUGGACAAAAGUGGGGAUGUAAUUGAGAGGUUUGUGGGCAUUCAACAUGUUAGCGAUACUACAUCAAACUCACUCAAGGAGGCUAUUGACACAUUGUUUGCAAGAGAGGAAUUGAGCAUUUCCAUGCUAAGAGGACAAGGAUAUGAUGGAGCUAGUAAUAUGAAGGGUGAGUUCAAUGGUCUUAAAACACAGAUUUUGAGAGAAAAUCCUUGUGCCUAUUAUAUUCAUUGUUUUGCACAUCAACUUCAAUUAGCUCUUGUGGCCGUGGCAAAGGGAAAUGCUGAUAUUGCCACUUUCUUCACAUCUUGCAAUAGCUUGGUUAAUAUUGUUGGAGCAUCGUGCAAGCAUCGUGACAUUCUUAGAGAUCAACUACAGAAGGAUGUUACGGAAGCUCUAGAAAAAGAUACUUUUCCAACCGGGCGAGGCUUAAAUCAAGAAACUUGUCUCAAGCGUCCCGGUGAUACACGUUGGAACUCACAUUAUGGUACAUUACUUAGUAUCAUUUCCAUGUUUAAAUCUGUGGUGAAAGUGCUCAAAUUUAUUAUUGAGGAUGGCUCCACUGAUAAUCUAGGUGAAGCAAAUAGGUCAUUGAGAGAAAUACAAUCUUUUGAGUUUGUAUUUCACCUAUUUUUCAUGAGAUCUAUAUUGGGAGCCACAAAUGACUUAUCACAAGCAUUACAGAGGAAAGACCAAGAUAUUGAGAAUGCAAUGACUUUAGUCAAAGUUUGCAAGGACCAACUACAACACAUGAGAGAGAAUGCAUUUGAAGCCUUGCUUGAUCAAGUAUCUUCCUUUUGUGCCAAACAUGAUAUCUUGGUUCCAAACAUGGAUGAUGCAUAUGUAGCUCAAUGGAGAUCACAUCGGAGAGCUCCUAUAAUAACACACCUCCAUCAUUAUCGUGUGGACAUCUUUAUUCAAAUCAUUGAGUGGCAACUUGCGGAAUUAAAUCGUCGCUUUAGUAAGGUAAAUACUGAGUUACUUCUUUGUUUGACAUGUUUGAGUCCAGAUGAUUCAUUCAUAGCUUUUGACAAACAAAAGCUACUUCGUUUUGCUGAAUUUUAUCCUCAAGAUUUUAAUUCCCGAGAUCUCUUGGCACUUGAAGAUCAACUUGAGAUUUAUAUUACUCAUAUGCGUACGAUGACUGAUUUUUCUCAAUUGAAAGGAAUUGGUAGCCUUGCAAGAAAAAUGGUGGAGAAAGGGUUGCAUAGAACAUAUAAUUAUGUUUAUUUGCUUCUCAGAUUAGCCUUAACUUUACCGGUUGCAACUGCUUCUGUGGAGAGAGCAUUUUCUGCUAUGAAUAUUGUGAAAGGUCCACUUCACAACCGAAUGGGAGAUCAAUGGUUGAGUGAUAGUUUACUUGUUUAUAUUGAGAAAGAUGUGUUUGCUUGUAUUGAUAAUGAAACCAUAAUGCUACGUUUUCAUAAUAUGAAAACUCGUCGUGGACAAUUGUAAUGUGGUUUUUUUCUAUGAAUUAUGAAUUCUAAUAUUAUCGUUUCAUUUUUAUGAGUAUAUUUUGUAUAAAUUUUUUUCACCUUUAGACAUUGACCCCUGGAAGGAAAUAUCCUGGAUCCGCCACUGAUUAUGAGAUCCCAAGAGAUAUGAAAUCUUACCAGAGGGAACUCUGUUCCUCAUCAUAAUCAGACCACCAAUGUGAGAGAAAGAUAAUAUUUUAGACGUUGAUGACGUAUGUGUUUUUGUGUCUUUCAGAUACACAAAGCACAUACGCAUCGAAAUCCAAAAAUUUGCCUCUAAAAUUUGACGACAGCAACACAUCAAAAUCCAAAAAAAAUGCCUCUAAAAUGUGAGAGAAAGACAAUAUUUUAGACGUUGAUGAUGUGUGUGUCUUUGUGUCUUUGAGAUACACAAAGGCACAUACACAUCAACAUCCAAAAAAUUUGCCUCUAAAAAUUGACGACGCCAGCCAUAGAUUUGCAUUCAGAAAGACAAUUUUGUAGAAGUUGAUGAUGUGUGUGUAUUUGUGUCUUUCAGAUACACAAACGCACACACAAAUCAACAUCCAAACUAUUGCCUCCAAAGAGGUGAGACAGAGCCAAGGGCAAGAAGAAGUUGGAACCCUAAUUGAAAACUGAAACUAAAAGAACGAGUGAAAAAAACCCAAUUUAUAAAAAUAAUCUUCACAUCCACGUCGGUUAUAUUACACUUACCGACGUGUAACUAAAGUAAUCUAUGUCGGUUAUUAAAACACGGCAGUCAUAUACAACAGAUAACCACGUUGGUCCGUAAACUAAAGGCAACGAGGUUAAUACAAACAACGUCUGUUACUCAUAAAAACGAUGUGGUAACUUGUAAUAUUACUUCUUCAAAAGUAAACUUUUGACAUGUAGCGCCCAACUAACCACGUCGUUUUCGGAAUACAAAAAGUCAAAUGGCUUUAUUACUAACCACGUUGGUUGCUAUUAUUUUAUUGUCGUGGUAAGUACAUACUAGGGCGGUUUUUGUCACUACCGUUGUCGUAUUGAUCUUUGGGACAGUACAUAAACUUUUUAGUCAACUGACCUAAACUUUUAGUUUCUCUCUAAAAUUUUCAGUUUUCUCUCAGUUUCCCUCUCAUUUCCGAAAAGCUGCGUGUCUGAUUCUCGUCAUCUUCCUCAUCUUCAUCUCCAAAACUCCAAAAUUUGAUUCCGAAGAAAACUUUCUUUGCAAGCCAAAAGUAUUUUCUCACUAGUUUUUUUUUUUUUUCAAUAUCAUUUGAAGUUUUUUUUUUAAAGAACGAGUCCCACUGAUGUUUGAAACAAGACUCAGGUUUAAAAAGGCGAAAUCUUUCACUGUUCUCACUCAUAGGUCAUGUGAGGACGAUGGGUUUUUCUCGUAUUGGACGUUUUUAUUGACACACCACGACGAUAAUUAAAUUCGUGCUAUUUCAAUAGCACGGCUGUUCAUAAUAACCGAUGUGAUGUGUUAAUAAAUACGACGUUUGAAAGAGAAAAACCAUCGUCUGAUUUGAAACGAACGUGGGAGAGAGAAAUCUGGGCGGUUUUUUAUAUUUAUGAAGUUAUAAUACGACGACGAUUUUAUUUAAUUCCCGUCUUGUUAAGUUGAUGACCACGACGUAUUUGCACAUCCACAUUUCUAUAGAUUAGCACGACGGUUUUUUAUUUGCCGUCGUCUGAACUUUCAUUUUACGUCUGGUUUUUACCUAAACGUCGUUGUUUUUCUUGCUGUUUGUAUUUCUCUCUAAACAUGGUUUCAAAAUCUCAAAGUAAGGAGGCACAAGUGUCAAAAGGUCAAGGCAAGGACAUUGCAGUUUCAAAGGCACAAAUGGGUGAAGCCAAAUCUGUUCCAAGAAAGACCCAAGCUCUGCGACAUUUGAUGAAGAGACAAAAUCAACUCGCGGUAUCAACACAAUGAGCCAUGUUGUGAAGAGGAAAAUUCAGAAGAUUAAGCCUGUGAUUGAGUACAAUAAAAGUGGCAGACCACAUGGCAAGGCUGCUAUUGAGAUGCAGAGUUACAUUGGUGUUUUGGCACGCACCAGAGUCCCUCUUUUGGACAAGAAAUAGGUCCCUCUUUUGGACAAGAAAUAGAAUUAAUUGCCCAAGGACCUGAAGGAGCAUAUUUCGGAAGCUGUUCAAAUGGCUUAUGUUGUUGGGGAAGGGGCCAAGAAGAUGGUGUUGUCUUAUACCGCCAAAAAAUUGAAGGAUUUUAAGUCUACCUUAACUAUGCAGUUUAUCCUUCCAUUUGCAAAUGAGAAGGAGAAGUUAAAAGAGCCCCCUCAGCUUUAUAACAUCAUAGAGAAAUUGCAAUAGGAUGCCCUUGUAACUUCAAGGUUAUCCCCAGAUUUUGAGGCUGUGCAUUCUGAGCAGUCACAGAGAAGGGAGAAAUGCGAGUACAACCAUAGGUUGUCUCGAAAAGGGUACGUUGGUUUGGAGGAUCAAUUGGAAGAAACCAUGCCCGGUGAAGAAAUUGAUCGAUCUCUGCUAUGAAAGAAGGCAAGAGAAGAUAAACAGAAAUAUCCCUAAUCCAAAGGUUGCAGAGAUGGCAAAAUUAAUCGUAAGUCUCACUAACUCUGUUCUAAACUUGUAAAACAAAGGUUAUAUUUUUCAUUUAGACAUCGAUCUUUUUAGUAACUAUCGUUAGACAUGAAACCCCACGACGGUUUUUAUUUACCGCCGUUCAAAAACGAUAUAACGUCUGUAUUUUUAUGAAACCGACGUUUGUAUUGAAUUACAACAACGGUUUUGUAUUUCUGUGUUAGACUUUUUAAAUUAAAUUUUGACUUUCUUCAAAUUCACACACACACACACACACACACACACACACACACUCUCUCUCUCUCUCUCUCUCUCUCUCUCUCUAUAUAUAUAUAUAUUUCUCUGCAAUUGGUUUGUACACUAUUUCUGAAUCUAUGAAUAUUUUGGUUAAGUGUUUUUAUCUUUGGAUGUCAAAUAUACGACGAUUUUUUCAUGGACCGAAGUUAUAAUGUACACAAAACGACGGUAGUUUUGGACCGACGUAUUAAAGGAUUUUAUGCGUCUGUUUUUAUAUAAACCGUCUUCUUAACCUCUUUAACAUGUCGGUUAAUAUUUUUAUUUAGUUUAUUUAUUUAAUCAGUUUUACUAUCUAUGUACUCACUAACAUUCUCUCUCUCACUUUUAGGAUGAUUUGAAAAAACAAGUCUCUGAGGGCACUCUGAUUGUCUCUGGGAGCAAAGAUAUUUUGACCUUGGCUUUGGGAACCCCUGAGCAUGGUGGGAGAGUCAGAGGUGUUGGAGCUGGGGUUUCCCCAACUCAAUUCUUCAAUUUGCCUAGAUAGCUGAGAGUAAAAUUUGUUGACAAAUUGAAGGAAAGUGUUAUGGAGGCAGUGACAGAGGAAACCAAAAAGAUAGAGGCCAGAACAAAGGAAAGUGUUUUGGAGGCAGUUAGAGCAGAGAGGGAAAUUUUGUUGAAACAAUUCAGUCAGCUAAUUCCCAAAUUUGAUCCCAACUUGCUCUGUAAAACUCCAAUUCCUCCAAUUCCUCAAGAGCAAAGCCCAAAAAAUCCAAUGUCUGACAAAGCAAGCUGGUCUAAUGUGAAAGCCCUUGUUUUGGAGGAAGACAAUCCCACGAAUGAUGCUGAUGCUGCUGAAAUCCGGCAAGAUGAAAAGGUAAAAUCUCUGACAUUUGAUUUUUUCUGAGUUUAAAAUUUUAAAUAAACGUUGCAUUCAACCGUCGUCUAAUUAUUUUACAACAUUGGUUUUUAUUUUACAACCCGUCGUCUAUUUUGAACUAGAUGACCUUUCUAUUGUGUAGCGAUGUUAGAACAUUUACAUUACGACUGUUAUGUAUUUACCGUCGUCUAUAACCUUUACCCCGUCAGUAUGUUCUAGAAACCGUCGUUGAUAUUAUAUACCACGUCGGUUUUGUUGAUUUGUUAGAGUCGUUUAUUUUACUUGAUAUACAAAACUAACUUUUAUUUCUUUAUUUGUUUCUUGUUACAAGAUCUCUCAAAGCUUGACAUGCCACCUCCUCUAGUAGCCCUAUGUCAAUUUGUCGAGACCAAGUUGAAGCCUGCUAACGAGACCAUUAGAAUUCACAUUCCAGAGGAAGUGUUUGGCACUGAGCAUGAUACAUUCCUCUUGUGUGAAGACAUUUUACAGUUUGCUUCCAUGGUUGGGAUUGGAUCCACAGUGAUUGCACUAUACAUGAGGUAAUUCUAGAAAUCCUUUUUUUUUUUUUUUUUUUAUUUUAUACAUUUCCUUUCUUUUAAAUUAAAAUCUCAUUUAAUUGAAUUUCAUAUAUAUAUAUAUAUAUAUUUGUAGUGUAUUUAAUCUAUAUGGAUUAUUAUGGUAGAGGUCAUUGGGUGUUAAUAAUUGUGAGACCAACUAAGGAGAGCAUCUAUAAAUACAUGGAUUCAUUGCCAAACCGCUUUGUUGACGAGGACAUGAGAAAUAUAGUGAAUACGUAAGUUUAUUUAUGAAAAUCUAAGAUUUAUAUUUAUGCAUUUGAAUGAUACGACGGCUUUUUUUAGUACUGACGUUGUAAUGAAAACACAACAACGGUACAUUAUAACCAAAGUUUGAAAUCAUUUACAACGUUAGUAUUUUCUGUAAACCGUCAUCUUCAUUGAAAUACCACGUCGUUUGUGUUUUUCAUUUUAUGGCGUUUUAAUUUUUUCUAUUCAACUUUCAUUUAAAAACAACUUUUGGUUAUACGUCAUUUUUCGUCAUCACCGACGUUAGAAUGAUACACAACGACGGUUUUUAUUUAUCGACGUUUGAAAUUAAAUACGACGUCACUUGUUUUACAAAACCGUCGUCUUCACUUAUUUACCACGACGGUUAAUAUUUUUUAUGUUGAUUUUUAGUUUUGUCAUUAACACUUUUUUUUUUUCUUGAAACAGUUCAAUCAAAAUGUAUAACUCUCACACAUGCAAACAAUCAUCAUGCAUAUGGAAAAAUCUACAAGGCACUCCUCGACAACCAACAAAUGUAGAGUGUGGCUAUUACGUGACGCGUUUCAUGAGAGAUAUAAUUCAUUAUCCAGGCGUAGCAUUUGAGAACAAUGUAAAAUUUAAGAUAUAAUUUCUUUAUUUUAAUACCACGACUUUUUCUUUAAAAACCGUCGUUUUAAUAGUUACAACACUUCGUUUUUUGUUCUUUAUUUGCAGUUUGACAAGAAAAAGGAACCAGUUGAGUAUGUACAAUAACAUAUUAACGAAGUCAGGCUGGAAUGGGCAGAAUUCGUGAACAAGCAAUUACAUAAUAAUAAGUGAUAUAAUUUAUUUUAACAAUGUUUAAGUUUAUUUUAAUUUAUUGAUAAUGUACAUAAAUAUAUAUUUGGUAAUUAAUUGAACAAUCAUAAAAAUAAAAUAAAAUUCUGUUUGAAGGUUUUUUUUUUUUUUUUUUUGUAUAGGAUAUUUAUGUCGUUAAAUGAAAUAAAAUGACAAUAACUCAUAAAAACUUAAAUUAAUUCCCAAAAACUGACGUCUCAUUCUUAUUUACACGUCUCAUAUCUAUAAACAAUCGCCGUCUUAUUAUAGUGGGAAAUAAAACAUCGAUGACAUUUCUCAAAAACAACAUGUAAGGUGGCUAAACACGACGGUUAAUAUAUAAAACUGAAAUCUACGAAAAAAUUUGUAUAGAUAUACUACGUCCGUUAGUACAACAGGCAAGACGUGUUAAAGACAUACAACGUCGGUUACAGGACAAAAUAUGACAUUGUAUAUCUAAACAACGUCGUCAUCAACAUUAUAAUCGACGUUGUAAAUGCUACCCACGUUGGUUAUUCAGAACAAGAGGACGUUGUAAUAUACUAACCACAGCGGUGAGUACAUUGUGACAUCUAAUGUAUUCUAGGAUGACGUCAUGUGUUAUUUAAUGUCGUUGUAAACGGAUGCAACAUCGGUUAUGUACAUUUGUCAUUUAAUUUUUAUAUGACUUUAAUAUUUUAUUUAAUUCCUAAUAUUCAUAAUAAUUUCAAAACAAAUUCCAUAAAGUAAACUGACAACUGCCAUGCACUCAUUGAAAGAUUUUAUCUCCCCUAAAUCUUUAAAAAAUGUAAUUUUAAAAAUAUUUUUAAUUGUAUUUAAUUACUAAUAUUCAUAAUAUGUUUAAAAAAAAAUUUGAAAAAUAAACUGACAAUUCUAUGCACUCAUUGAGACAAUAUCUCCCUCCUCAAUGCCUAAAAAUUUUAAUUUUAGAUUUCAAAAUUACAAGUGAUAACGAAAGUCAAAAAGAUUUAGAGACAAAGCACAAUAGUCAUUAUACUUUCCAUAACAUAACCCUAAGGUGUAUGGGAUCCAUUGGUGGUCAUAAAAUUUAAAAUUAUUUAAUAUGAAUUUUAGCCUGCUGAUAUAGAAGGCAUUGUUGUAAGGAGUCCAUAGCAAUUUUCGGUUCAUUUUUCUCAUACUUGUGUAUUUUUUUUAUAUAAUUAUUGUAAAAUUUAGGGUUUAGGGUUUAGGUUUUAUUGAAACGACACCGGUUUUCUCUCGCUCUUUUUGGUCAAUUACGCGUGUUCGAAUCCCAGAAAACGCACACCAAAUCUAAUUAUUUAAUAUUUUAGACGUCAGUUUUUAUAGAGGCGACGUCAAAAUGCUUUACAACGGCGGCGGUGUACCAUAACCGUCGUCGUAAAUAUGAAAUUAAACGACAACUGGGUUGUAUUUACCGUCGUCUUUAAUAAACGCGGUCCUUUGAAAUUUUUGACCGGGAUCUAAAAUUUUCAAAAUUUCCCUUUAAUCCUAAAGUAUUUCCUUCUCUCUCUUCAACGUAAAUUUGUCUUAAAGUUUUCGCUCUCUCUCAAAGCAUUGGGUAUAUUCUCUGAGCUCUCUCUCAAGCAUUUUUUAUUUACUCUCAGCUCUCUCUCAAUAUCCAUGUAAAUAUAUUAUCUCAACUCUCUCGCAAUAUUAUCUUAGUUUGUAUAUUAUCUCAGCUUUGGUUUCUUAAUAUAUGUUUUGGGAGCUAUGGAUUCUUAAUUGGGAGCUAUAUAUGUGUUUUUUUUUUUAUAUUUUGGUGUAUGCAUUCUGUUAAGGGUUCUUUGAAAAGGAAUGGGGAUGGAAGAUUUAGGCUUCAGUUUUUUGUAAACUACGACGAUGGUUGGUGGAACAAACCGUGGUCUAAAUUUUUAUUAUACGUCGAUUUUUUAUUUACUACUACCGUCGUCGUUCAGCUACCAGAACCCAGACCUGGUUCUUCAAAAAGAAUAUAAAUAUCUGGUUUUAGGUUGCUUAAAGACGACAGUAAAUAGAUAUGUCGUCGUCUGACUCUAUAUUACGCGACGAUUAUUUUGUAAAAACCGUCGUCUGAUUCUUGUGGAAUUAUUAUUAUUUUUUUUUCCAAUUUAUUCUCUUCUCUGUGAAUAUAGUAGUGUUUCAUUGCUGGUCUUUUCACUUUAUUAUAUGUAUGAUUUUAUAGUGUGUGAGAUGGAUAAGUCAUGGAUGCAUGCAGAUAGAAGAUCGAAGGCAUAUGAGUUGGGUGUGGAAGGAUUUUUAAAUUUUGCUGUAGAAAAUCUUGGAAAUACAACUCAUAUUCGUUGUCCAUGUGUUAAAUGUGGGAAUAUUCGAUUGUUUGGGGUUGGAAUUAUAAGGGACCACUUAUACUUUAAUGGAAUUGACCAAAGGUAUAAGAUUUGGACAUGGCAUUGUUUGGGCUUAAUUUGGCACACCCAGUCCAAGGUCACAAAGCCCAUAGCAAUUUUUAAACCAGCCACCAAUGUUCCCUUGAAUUGGGCCAAGAUUAUACACUCCACCCAAACACUACGGGCCCAGACCCGAACCAUACAAAAUAAAUAGGAAAUCCAAAAGAACCCAGCCCAGGAUCUAUUAAAAGGUGGUAAAACAAAAACUUGGCUUGAAAAGAAAAAAAGCAAACCAGCCCUUGGUUUGAUUCCAGAAAAACCAGAACAGGCCCAGCAUGAUUAAAGAAAGAAAAAAAUAAAAACAGACCCAUGUGAAAUCUCUUUUCUCUGGCAUUUGAAAAGGCAACAUUUUCAACUAAUUUAAUAAAGUAUGUUAAUCAAAAGCAGGCGAACUAGAAGAAGACCUCUCUAAAAAUCUCUGCCAUCAGAAGAUCAAACCCUUAUAUUUUAUGUAUAAAAUAUUUAGAGAUAUUUUUUUCUACUCCAACAAAAGGGUGAUUCUCCCAAAAUAUAAACAGGUCAUACUUUCAAAAAGAGAUAAGCAGGAAGACAGGGAGCUGUUCAAACUGAGAAUCAAACUAACCAUCACGGUUUGAGCUCUCAUAGGGGGGCAGUUGGAAAUUAAAAAGGGGUUAGGUUCUCUGUCAGGAAAAACAAGGAAGUGAUCUUGAGAACUGACUAUUGAGAGCUUAUCUACCAGAAUUGAUUAAAACUUUUCUUUUUCUUUGCAUUUAAAAAUAAAAAGAUCUUUUGAGAAAUCUUUGCCGCCCAUUGUUAGAAGAAUGAAACCCUACUCCAAAGCAUUUCCUUAUAAAUACUAGAGAGGGUGAACAGAAUAAGAGACUAAAUUUUCAUCAAUCAAACAAACAACCAAAAAAUCAACCAAAAGCUCACUUGAACCACACAAAAAAAAACCAUUUUAGAUCAUAAUUCCCAAAGUUCGUACUUAAAGAAAUAAGUCAUUCAAAAUGAGAUCUCUCUCGUUACGAAUUUGGUUCAGCAAAAGCCAAGACAAGCAGAGUUUGAGUUUUCUCAAAUAUGAAAACCUCAACAAAUUUCACAGUGCACUUUCCAGCUCAUUAGGUUCUUAAGAACGGCCACUUCUGUCCCUUCAAACAAAAAAAGCUGCAGUUCUGCCCUCUCAAAAGCCUCCCAAAGCUUGGAGUAUAUUAAAGCUCUGCCAAAAUUGAACUGUGGUAUCGACCUACAACUGAAACUGAGCAGUUGAAGUUGUUAAAAGUCCAGUCUAGCCCAGACAUACCCAGUCCAGCCCGGAUCAGAAGCUUCUCUCUAGACGGGAAUGAAGUUCCAGGUUUCUUUUUGCUUUUCUAGAGUUGAUUUCUUCCUUUGUAGCUUUGAAAAGAGCAGUUCUGUCUAAAAACAGUCCACUUUAUUAUUCAUUACUCUGGCUAGAAUUACCAAUUUUAUACUGGGAUAAAUUGUGAAGUCCUCACCAGUCUGAGGCAAGAGAAAGAACUUACUUGGGAGAUAUUCCCCUCCCAAAUUCAUAAUCAUUUGUUUAGAAAUCAGUAACUUGGGGUGCAAGUUAUCGAUUUUAAAGAAGUCUGCUAGAAUCUUUCUUGCUAGUAGUGGCACGCUCAUACACCAAAAAAAAGCUGACUUGUUGACCAAUCAAUGAUUUCCAAGGCAGUAGGGAACUUUGCCCUUCCAUCUUAGGAAUAAACUCAAAACAGGUGAACAAGCUCCAAGUCAGAGACAAGAGCUAAAAGACUAUCAUUAUUAGCAAUAGAAAUGCAGGGUUGGAUGACUUGAGUGUAACUAUUAAGGGAGCUUUGGCUCGGGACAUCAGAGGCUGUAAACCUCUUUUUAAAGGUGUCCAAAAUCAAAUAGACAAGGUUCUCGUCUUCCAUCCAGUUGCCUUGACCAUCCUUAAGCUUCAAGAUGAGGUUUCUCUUUCUUCUAAUAAGGGCUUGAGUAUGAAAAUAGCGUGUGUUCCAGCCAAUUGAUCCUAGCUCUUUGGGCAUAGAACAGCUCCUCAUGCUCAAGAAGCUGCUUAAGGUUCUGGUUAAUAUUGCAAUCCUUAUCCAUCAAGUAGGGAUCAAUGGGCUUAAUAGCUAACUGGUCUUGGAUAAUCUGCAAAUCAUCCACGUUCUAAGACGUUGUUGGAAGGUCCUACAACAAGUAUUAACUUGCUGGGAAGAAUUUCCUUGAUAAUCCACGCUCCAGGCUUGAAGAACAAUACGCUGGAAAUCCGGGUGGGAUAACCACAUGGCUUCGAAUUUGAAGGCUCUGGGGUUAUUUCUAUUCCUAUGCUGGCAUGAUAAAAGAAUUGGACCAUGAUCAGAUCUAAGAAUGGGGAGAUUCUGAAUAGCACAAUUGGGGUAAAGAUUCAACCAAUUUGGAUUUAAUAGAACACGAUCAAGUCUUUCAUAAAUAACUGAAUUGUCCCUAUGACCAUUGCACCAGGUAAAAGGAAUACCAGCAGCAUUAAGAGAAAUAGUUUCACUGUCAUUUAUAAAGCCAUUAAAAUCUGCCAUAGCAGAAGGCAGCGAGAUGGAGCCCCCUAAUUUCUCACUAGGUGUGCAAACAUUAUUGAAGUCUCCCAUCAAGAUCCAGGCUUCAGAGGCCGUAGGUUUAAGGCCAAGAAUAUCAAUCCACAAUUGUUUUUGUUUGUGUUUCUGCGGAUAAGCAUAGACAAAAGUAGCUUUCCAAUUUUUAUGGUCAAUUAUGUCCUGUACUUGGUAGUGAAUAAAACGCUCAUGGUAAUCUAAAAUAGUUAUAUUGAUAAAACUAGGAUUCCACAAAAGGAUAAUCCCUCCACACUGACCAAGGCCUGGGAUACAAAAGAAACCAUCAAAACCAAGCCUCUGAGCAAUAACCUCAGCUCUAACCCUAGAGGCUCUAGAAUCCAAAAUACACAAGACAUUUAAACUUAAAGUACUAGUAUAAUAGAGGGCUUGCAAAAUAAAGCCAGGCCAAGCAUUGCCUCGGCUAUUCCAGGAUAACAGCUUCAUGGAAUGGGGCUAGAGGUGGUACCAACCGAGGGAUCAGUCUCCCUCAGAUACUCUCCUUGUAUCUCCACACUUGGAUCAAAAUUCUCUUCCACGCCCACCUCAUCACGGGCUCUCUUCUUGGGGCUCUUAUACGCCAAACCAGUGAAGGCACUACUGCCUUCUUGGGACUGGGCAGGGGCAACCACACCAGCUUUUCCCCUGCCCUUAUAAUUAUAAUCAGCUGGGGAAAACUUGACCCCCAGCGUCACGGGAACCUCUAGCUUCAACAAUAUUGAUGCCUUUGGCUACUUCUUUAAAGGUUCUCCCAUCCCUUUCUUGCAGUUUGGCUUUGCCUUUACGUUUAGCCACCACAGUCCACCCCGGGUCAUGCACCUCAGUUGGCACCUUCUCACCCUGGUCAGAGUUUUCCUCCGCAAAAGAAUCUAUGGUGAUAGGCUGAGGAAACACCAGUAUGACAUCAUUAGCUAAUUUUUGUUGAUCUUCAACCUCAAGGACUAAGUCUCUAGGGAAAACAUUUGGCUCAUUCUCCAAUCUUUCAACCUAUAGAUAACUUUUUUUUGAGAUUUUGACCGGGCAGAUAUGCCUACGUUCCAUUUUCUGACUACAAUAGAAGCAGAUCGCAAAAAGGGCUUCAUAGCUCACAAAAAUUCUAAUUUCCUGAGGAUACUCACCCAGCACUAGGCAUCUUUUCAGAGGCCUAGUUAGGUCAAGCACAAGACGAGCUCUAACAAACAUACUAUGUUUACCCUCAACAAACUGCAAAUCCACACUUAUAAGGUCUCCAAGGAUAGAGACCAAAUCAUAUAGAACCUCUGGGUCUUUGUAGUGAAGAGGCAGGAAGGGGAUUCUGACCCAACCCACAAUGGAGGUCACAACAGCAUGGAAAUGUGAGAAAUCAGGAGUCCAUCUUUGCAAGGCAAAAAUUUUCCCUUGGACAAACCAAGGUCUGUUUUCCAAAACAAAAGAAACAUCAGCUUCAGAGUUAAACUCCACCUUGUACUAGUCUCUACCAAUAUGGUCAAUAGAAACCUCCCCUUGCAGAUUCUUCCACUCACUCUUGAGCCUAUGCCUAAUAACUCUGCUGUUCACAGGAACUCCAAAGACUUUCUCGACCAAGCAGAAAGUCUCAUAGUGAGUUUGGACACUAGAUGCGAGGGCCGAGGUGGAAACUUUGGUUUCGUUUCUUUCCAUUCUGAAAGUGAAUCUGCCCUUAUGUAACACAGUGGGUUCCGCAAGAGACCUAUUCCCCAAGGUGAUAGGAGAAGUAGGACUCAGGCUGCGAGAUUUUGCCCGAGAAGAGCUAGCCUGAAUUUGAGCACUCAUGGUGGGUUGAGAAAACUGGAAGCAAUUAGACUGGGUACAAAGAGGAAGAUUGAGGCAGAAGGGAAGUGAUAGAGGUAACAGUUCUUAAUUUUCAUAUAAAUAGCCAAGAAGGAACUUCUAUAAUGAUUACAAACAUAGCCUAACCACCAACGCAAGCAUAGAAGAAAUAAGGGAAAAGAAGUUAUCUUACCUGAGUUGCUAUAAUCUUCAUCGAGACUUUCCCAAAUCAUCAACCGCAAUUGGGGUUUCCAACUCCUAGAGUAAUGAUUUCGUCUGGAUCUAUCCAGGCCCUUAGAUAGAACCAAGGAUGCAAGAUGGGGAUGAGUGAAAUUAAUGCAAGAUAGAGAACCAAGCAAGUAGCAUCGAUAAUUUGUACUUCCCCAAAGGAGCUCGUCAGAUGGUGCAUCGUGAAUCUCAAAAGACUUCUCUUGAGCGCCACCAUGAGGUUCAGAAGAUGGAUCGUCAAGCUUUUCACAGCUCAAGCCCUGUAAACUCUUUGGGAAGGAGAACCGACUCAAAAACUUACCAAUCCCAGCAACCGUAGCUUCUAACCAGCUUUUAGAACUAAUGAUUGCACUUGCACACUUCAUUUGAUCAUCACCUUGCGCUUUUUGCCUUCCUUUUUUCUUCCUUCUCUUCCAAUUUCCCACCUUCUCAAGGACUGAAAGAACCCUAAUCCCCUUGCUCUUUCUUCAUUUUUGCUCCACCUUCUAUAACUACACCAUCCAUGAUGAUGUUGAUUUUCCUAUAAACUGAGUUAUACAAAUAUGGGCAAAAAGUUUCAUGUACUUGAUAGAAACGUCCAUGUGUCCAGAUCUAUAACAUAUUAUAUAUAGAGCAUCCAAAAAAGUUAUUCAAUUGGGAAUAGAUGGACUCUGUCACUAGUCACAAAAUUGGUUCCUUUUGGGUACAUGAGGAACUAACUUACAUUAUAAAUUUCGAAAAUUCUAACAUGCGCCAAGAGCAUGAAUGAGCCCAAAUUUCAGCCAUUAGAUCACUUUGAAUCUAUGGCUCUUAACAAACACUGAAAUUGAAUCUCACCAUCCUGUACAACCGGUGAGGGAAGAAAGAGAAAAAACAAACCAACACAGCUAAUAGCCAACAUGGGCUAUAUAAAAAAGACAAAAGGCAAUGUUUAUAUAUACAUACAUACAUAUAUAUAUUAUUUAUUAUCUUUUGAGUUGAUUUAAUGUAUACGAAUAAUAGGCUAGUUUUUUAUUAUUUAUUAAUUUCUCUUUUGGGUUGAUGUUUAUGCAUAUGAAAACUUAAAGUAAGAAUGUAAUUAACUGAAAAAACCAAUAUAAAUUAAAAGAAAAUUACAAUAAACAGAAAAUUUUAAAUAUAUUUAGAUUAAAAUAAUAAUAAUAGGGAUUAAAAAAUUUGUUCCAUGUUUUUCUUCCACUAAUCUCGCUUCUAUUAUUUCUCUAUUAUUCCACCAGUAACUAGGAUGUAAAUGAUUUCUAUAAAUAAAAAACCAAAUAUUUUAGUAAAAUAUAAAAAUAUUAGGUAUGAAAAAAAUUAGGAAAAAUAAUAGAAUGAUCUAAAGUUUCAAAAAGUAGUUAGUAAAACAUUAAAUUUUUACAUGUCAAAUAUUUAUUUAUUUGUGGUUAUGUUAAGUAACUUUGUAAACAUCUCGAUUACCAUUUAUAAAAUAUAUAUAUCUUGUUCAUUGACAAUUUUAUGUGCAUAAAAUACAUUAAAACAAUAUACAAAUGUUAUUUCACCAAAUAUUUUAAAAUCUAAUAAUAUAGAUUUUUAUAAACUUGUUCUUUGUUUAAAGUAUAGUUUAUAUUUGCAUAUAAUAUAACAUAUUAUUGCUAAUAAUUUAAAAUAUAAGAAUAUAGAUUUUUAUAAAAUUGAUUCUUAAUUUAAAGUAUACUCUUUGUUUGCAUAUAAUAUAACAUAUUAUUGCUAAGCAAAAGAACACUAUCAUACACAAGCAUAUGAUCAUAUAAAUACUUUGUAAAAUCGACCAAUUAUUAAUCGAAUUUUUUCCUUCAAGUUUUCAAUGCGAUUUCUUUUUUAUUUUUUCAUUGUGUAUUUAUAAAUAUAUAUAUAUAUAAUCAAAUAUAAUAAUUCUAUAUUAAUAAUAUAUAAUUAUAAAUAAAUAUUAAAAGAAAAAUAUAUAAAUAUGUUAUACCUUAAUUUACAAAGAAAAUGACCCAUAGUACAAUGCUAAAGUAAAAGUAGACAUUGAAGAAGUAAAAUUGGGUCCUUAGGCUUGUAAACACAAGAGUUUACAUCACUAAGGACUACUAUUACACUAUCAUGGACAUAUGCAUUCCAUAAGCUUGUAAAUCAUAUCCUUAAGUUUGUACAUUACAAUCUUUGGUUUUGCAUUUAAGAGACUUUGAACCUUUGUUACAAUGUUAAGGUGAAUCCUAAUCCAUAACCUUGUAAUACUCAUUUGCAAAGAAAAUUAUCUCCUUACAACAUUAAGGUAAAUAUGGACCUUAGAGAAGUAAUUGUGAAACUUAUUCUUGUAAACACUAGGGUUUACAAUAUUAAGGACCUCUUUUACAAUGUUUUGGACCUCCAUGUUCCAUAAACUUGUAAAGUGUAUCCAUAAACUUGUAAUAUCCUGAUUUACAAUUGAAAGGAUCUCUAUUACAUGGUUAAGGUAAUUGUGGACCUUGGAGAUGUAAAAUGGGUAAUUAUUCUUGUAAAUGCAAUGGUUUAUAACAUUAAGGACUCGUGUUACAGUGCUUUGGAAAUAAACUUUCCAUAAACUUGUAACGUAGAUCCUUAAUCUCGUACAUUACAAGAUUUGGGUUCUCAUUUAUGAUUUUUUGCACCAUGAUUACAAGUUUGAGGUUCUUCCUUAUCCAUAGCGUUGUAAUAUCUUGAUUUAUAGUUGAAAGGAUCCCUCUUACAAUGAUAAGGUAAAGGUAGACUUUGGAGAAGUAAACGUGGUCCUUAUUAUUGUAAACACAAGGGUUUACAAUAUUACGGACCUCUUUUACAAUGUUUAGGACCUCCAUGUUCCAUAAACUUCUAAAGUAUAUCCAUAAAAUUGUAAUAUCAUAAAUUACAAUAGAAAGGAUCUCUAUUACAAAGUUAAGGUAAUGAUGGACCUUGGAGAUGUAAAAUUGGUACUUAUUCUUGUAUGCAAUGGUUUAUAACAUUAAGAACUCGUAUUACAGUGCUUUGGAUGUAAGAUUUCCAUAAACUCGUAACGCAGAUCCUUAAUCUCGUACAUUACAAGAUUUGGGUUCUCAUUUAUGAUUUUUUGCACCAUGAUUACAAGUUUGAGGUUCUUCCUUAUCCCUAGCAUUGUAAUAUCCUGAUUUACAAUUGAAAGGAUCCCUCUUACAAUGAUAAGGUAAGGGUAGACUUUGGAGAAGUAAAGGUGGUCCUUAUUCUUGUAAACACAAGGUUUUACAGUAUUAAGACCUCUUUUACAAUGUUUUGGACCUCCAUGUUCCAUAAACUUGUAAAGUGUAUCCAUAAACUUGUAAUAUCAUAAAUUACAAUAGAAAUGAUCUCUAUUUCAUGGUUAAGGUAAUGGUGGACCUUGGAGAUGUAAAAUUGGUACUUAUGUUUGUAAAUGCAAUGGUUUAUAACAUUAAGGACUCGUAUUACAAUCUUUGGACAUAAGCUUUCCAUAAACUCGUAACGCAAAUCCUUAAUCUCAUACAUUACAAGAUUUGGGUUCUCAUUUAUGAUUUUUUGCACCAUGAUUACAAGUUUGAGGUUCUUCCUUAUCCCUAGCAUUGUAAUAUCCUAAUUUACAAUUGAAAGGAUCCCUCUUACAAUGAUAAGGUAAGGGUAGACUUUAACUUUGUAAAUGUGGUCCUUAUUCUUGUAAACACAAGGGUUUACAGUAUUACGGACCUCUUUUACAAUGUUUUGGACCUCCAUGUUCCAUAAACUUGUAACGUGUAUCCAUAAAUUUGUAAUAUCAUAAUUUACAAUAGAAAGGAUCAACAUUCCAAGAUGAAGUCAAGAACGGAUCUUGGAGAUGUAAACUUGGUCCUUAUUCUUGUAAGCGCAACGGUUUACAAUAUUAAGGACCCAUAUUACAAUGGUUUGGACAUUGGUGUUCCAUAAACUUGUAAAAAUUUACCCUUAAUCUCGUAGAUUAUAAGAUUUGGGUUCUCAUUUACGCGUUUUUGCACUACGAUUACAACUUUUAGGUUCUUUAUAAUCCAUAAUCUUGUAAUGUUAUAAUUUACAUUAGAAAUGAUCUACCUUACCAAGUUAAGGUAAUGGUGAAUCUUGGAGAAGUAAAUUUGGUCCUUAUUAUUGUAAACACAAGGGUUUACAAUAUUAAUGACCUUUUUUACAUUGUUUUGUAUGUCAAUGUCCAAAAUGUUGUAGAACUUGUAAACCUUGUGUUUACAAGAUUAUGAAUAUACUUUACAAGUUUAUGGAACACUCGGGUUCAAAACAAUAUAAAAAGGGUCAUUAAUACUAUAAACCCUUGUAUUUACAAAAAUAAAGAUCACAUUUAUACAGCCAAGUACCAAGGCCUUGGGAGAAAUUUGAACAUGUUUCACAUACUAUGCAAUUGCCAAACAAGCAAUGAUAAUUGCAUACUCUAAUGUAAUUGCCAAACAGGCUAUGGUAAUUGCAUACUAUAAUGUAAUUGCCGAACAGGCAAUGAUAAUUGCAUACCUUAAUGCAAUUACCAAACAAGAUAUGGUAAUUGCAUACCAUAAUGCAAGUGCAAUUGAAAAACAUGCAAUUAAUGUCUCCCGGUUUGGGAAUUGCUCAUUAUGUUGCCAAUCUAUCUUUUAACUCCUCCCAUGUUAUCUAAAUCCCAAACAAAUGGUAAAUGACGAUUUAUCUUUGAAGGUUAGUGGAAAAUUAUAAGUAAUUUGUAAUUAGCAAGCGAAGAUAGAAUAAUUGCGUUGAUUAGCUUGCCAUUGUAUUUACUUAUGCAAUUAUUAUCUCCCUGUUUGGCAAUUACAGGUUACCUAGAACAAGUUCAGAUUUCUUUAAGUUUUUGCAUUUUAUGCAUCGUCAUGCCAGUCCAAGUUGGUUUCUAAGUUUAGGCGAUUACAAAUUUAUGGAUUGGGGUGAAUCAUGACGUUCUAAUUAAUAGGAAAAACUCUGUAAAUUAGGACCCGAAGUCUUAUAGCACAUGUAAUGGAAUGAGAUUUGGACAGAUUUGCUAUUACAAAACAGAGUGUAAUGCAUUAGGAUUUGCUAUUAAAAAUUCCAUAUUUCAGACCAAAAAAAAAAAAAAAAAACAGAGUGUAAUGCAUUUGCGAAGUGGUUACCCGCAUGCCAUGGCUAUUUUGCACGUAAUUAGCGGCUCUAGUUUGAAAAUUUGACAAUAUUUGAGAGACAUUUUGGACAUUUAUCACAUUGACUGCCCCACACCCUCAUCUGCACUUCCCGAUGUUAUUAGUGACUAAACUCAUAGAAGGUGAUUCCUCGCAAUUACCAGACAGGGAGCUAGUAAUUGCAUAUGGAAAUAACUUAAUACAUUGCAAAUUGCAUUUUUAAUGGCAUUUUGAUUCUUUAACUUGUUUCGAUGGUCAUAUAGAAUUUUAUGCCGCAUAAAAUAUAUAUAUAUAUAUAUAUAUAUAUAUAAAACUAAUUCCUCCAAUCAAGAACUGAAACCAUUGAAAGCAUUACAUAGAUAAAUAGAUGAAAGAGGUAUUAUUCAAUUAAUCACAGAAACAUAGAAACGAAACAAUAACGGAAAGGAAAUGAUAAAAGAAAAUUGCUCAAUACCCUGUGCAGAAACCAUUUCCAAUUUCAGGUAAAACCUCUUUGAAGAUUACAUAAACACAACCAAAUUACAUGUGAUAGAUAUGGGCAUAUAUAAGCAUAUAUAUACCUGUAAAAAAAAUAUAUAAAAAAAAUCUUCAAAAUCAAACAAUCCAAAAUUCAGAGAUUCCAAAACCAACUAAAACAAUCUCUAAUCAUUCCCCAAAAUAAAAACAAACACUAACUGUUAGAAAUUAUUUAUGUUAUUUGUAAUUCAAUAAACGUUGGUUCCUAUGUUUUAGGAAAUCAGUUGUGGUUUACCUAUUCAAUAGGAGUGUUCUAGUUGUGGGAUAAGUCUGUUAGUAUUGGCAGUAGUGGGAGACGUCUGUUAGUAUUGGUUGUAGUGGGAUGUUUAGUUGUUCAUUCUAUUAUCUGAGUCAGUUACCUUGUACGUGUUUUUUAAGCUGUGUUUCAUUCAAUUAGAUAUUACUUCAGUUCAACAAAAGCUUUCUAUCUGAGAUUAUUUGAGUUUUCUAAAUUUCCAACAUCUGGUAUCAGAGCCCCCACUGAGCUUGAUUAAAAUUCUCCAAAAAGCAGCAGCUUUCUUGUCUUGCAGCAGCAAGGACUGAUGGCAUCCGACAAGGUUCAAGAGAACUAUGUGCAGCCAGCCAUACCUCGCUUUGAUGGUCAUUAUGACCAUUGGAGCAUGUUAAUGGAGAAUUUUCUGAGAUCCAAAGAGUAUUGGACUCUCAUUGAAGAUGGAAUUGCUGAACCAGCAGAAGGAGCGGUGUUGACAGAAGCGCAACAGAAAAGACUUGAUGAACAGAAAUUGAAGGACCUGAAAUUGAAAAACUACCUCUUCCAAGCGAUUGAUCGAUCCAUUUUGGAGACUAUUCUCCAGAAGGACACUUCCAAGCAGAUAUGGGAGUCUAUGCAGAAAAAGUAUCAAGGUUCCACUAAGGUGAAGCGUGCACAGCUUCAAGCACUUCGAAGAGAUUUUGAAACUCUUCACAUGAAACCAGAAGAUUCUAUUGAUGAAUACUUCUCAAAGGCGAUGGCAAUUGCAAGUAAGAUGCGGCUUCAUGGUGACAAGAUGGAUGAUGUCACAAUCAUUGAAAAAAUUUUGCGUUCAAUGUCGCCAAAGUUUAACUAUGUUGUUUGUGCAAUUGAGGAAGCAAAUGACAUUGAAACAAUGUCAAUUGAUGAACUCCAUAGUUCACUGUUGGUGCAUGAGCAGAAAUUUAAAAGUCAGGAUACUUCAACAGAGGAAAAAGCUUUGAAAAGCUCCACCAGCAAUGAAUCCUCAUCAUGGAGAGGUUCCGGUCGUGGUCGAGGUAGAGGCCAAGGAAGAGGAAGAGGCAGAGGAAAUCAUGACUCCGGCGGCAGAGGAAAUCAUGAUUUUGGUAGUAAAGGAAAUUCAAAUUCCAGAGGUAGAGGCAGAGGUCAAUAUAGACAACAAAGCCAUCAUGAGUCUAAACACGACAAAUCACAGAUUGAGUGCUAUAGGUGUGGCAAGUACGGUCACUAUCGCUCUGAAUGCUACACUAACAUGUCUAAAGAAAAGGGUGAGGCGUCAAACUUUACUCAAGGAGAUGAAGAAACUCUUCUUAUGGCUUGCGAUACAAAGGAGGAAUCCCGUUCCAAUUGGUGGUACAUUGACUCAGGGUGUAGCAAUCAUAUGUGUGGGAGUAAGUAUGACUUUCAUCAUUUAGAUGAUUCAUUUCAUACUACUGUGAAAUUUGGUGAUGAUUCUUUGAUUUCAGUGAUGGGGAAGGGUGAUAUCCAAAUCAAAGCAAAGGAUAACUCUCUUCAGACCAUUUCUAAUGUGUAUUAUGCUCCUGCCUUAAAAACCAAUUUGCUUAGCAUUGGCCAGCUGCAAGAGAAGGGCUAUGUGAUCACCAUCAAAGAAGGCAUUUGUGAGAUCAGUGAUCCAAGAAGAGGAACGAUUGCUCAAGUGGAGAUGACAAAGAAUCGAUUGUUUCCUUUGUCAAUACAAAAAGAUGUUCAAGCUUGUCUGACUGCCAAGGUUGAAAAUAUGGCGUGGCUUUGGCAUUUCCGAUAUGGUCAUCUCAAUUUUAAUGGUCUGAAAACAUUGCACAAGAAGAAUAUGGUAACUGGUCUCCCAGAAAUUGAUUCUCCUGCUCAAAUUUGUGAAGAAUGUAUGAUUGGAAAGCAGCAUCGUGAGUCCUUUCCAAAAGAGAAGGCCUGGAGAGCUCAGCAACCUUUGGAGCUGGUUCAUUCCGACAUAUGUGGACCCAUAAAUCCUGCAUCAAAUGGGAAAAAGAGGUAUUUCAUAACAUUUAUUGAUGACUACAGUCGGAAGACGUGGGUAUAUUUCUUGCAGGAAAAAUCAGAAGCAUUUUCAACAUUCAAAAGCUUCAAAGCUCGUGUUGAGCAUGAUGUGGGAAAGCCUAUCAAAGUGUUUCGAACAGAUCGUGGUGGAGAGUUCAACUCACAAGAGUUUUCUGAUUUUUGUGAUGUCAAUGGUAUUCGAAGACAGCUCACUGCAGCGUACACACCACAACAAAAUGGUGUAUGUGAGAGGAAGAAUCGCACAAUUCUAAACAUGGUUCGCUGCAUGUUGGCCAAGAGAAACAUUCCAAAACUUUUCUGGCCAGAGGCGGUGAAUUGGAGCAUUCACGUGUUGAAUCGAAGUCCCACACUAGUUGUCAAGAAUAUGACACCUGAGGAAGCGUGGAAGGGACACAAACCAGCAGUGGAUCAUUUUAAAAUCUUUGGCUGCAUAGCCUAUGCUCAUGUUCCUGACAAGAAGAGGACGAAAUUGGAUGACAAGGGUGAGAAGUGUGUAUUUCUUGGAAUCAGUGACCACUCAAAAGCCUAUAAGUUGAUAAAUCCUGUCACAAAGAAGAUCAUCAUCAGUCGAGAUGUGGUGUUUGAUGAAGAAAAUGCGUGGGAUUGGACUGAAAAUGGCACAAGACACAAGCAAAUUCCUGUAAGCUUUGAUGAAGAAAAAGACGCUUUAGGGAUUGCAGAGCCACUGCAAUCCUCUAACGUUCCAGCCACUGAACUAAAUGCGGUGCAACCAUCUAGUGCACGACCAUCACGCACAAGGAAAAGGCCUGCAUGGCUGCAAGAUUAUGAGGUCAGUGGAAUUAAUUGUGAUUCUGAAGAAGAACUUAGUCAUUAUGCCUUAUUUUCAGAUUGUGAUCCUGUGUCAUUCCAAGAUGCUGUCCAAGAAUCAAAAUGGCAAAAAGCCAUGGCCGAGGAGAUCAAAGCCAUUGAGAAAAAUAAAACGUGGGCAUUGACAGAUCUUCCCCAAUGACAGAAAACCAUUGGUGUCAAGUGGGUCUACAAGACGAAGUUCAAUGAAAAUGGAGAAGUUGAUAAGUACAAAGCACGUCUAGUUGCAAAAGGCUACAAGCAAGAGUAUGGUGUUGAUUACAAAGAAGUCUUUGCUCCAGUUGUGAGACUUGAUGAUACCAUUCGUAUGGUUCUUUCACUUGCUGCACAGAAUGCUUGGCCCAUCUUUCAGUUAGAUGUGAAGUCCGCCUUCCUUCAUGGCGAUCUGCAGGAACAAGUAUAUGUAGACCAACCCCCUGGUUAUGUGAAGCAAGGGCAUGAAAAUAAGGUAUAUAAGUUAAAAAAGGCAUUAUAUGGACUGAAACAAGCACCCCGAGCUUGGUACAGUCGUAUAGAUGCUUAUUUUUUGAGGAAAGGUUUUCAAAAAUGCCCAUAUGAACAUACACUGUUUAUAAAAAUUGGAGAUGAGGGGAAGAUACUCAUUGUAUGCUUAUAUGUGGAUGAUUUGAUCUACACAGGAAACCAUGAGGCCAUGUUUGAUGAUUUUAAGCAUUCUAUGAUGAAUGAAUUUGAGAUGUCAGAUUUAGGACUGAUGCAUUACUUUCUUGGCAUUGAAGUGGUACAAUCUGUUGGUGGUAUUUUUAUUUCACAGAAAAGAUAUGUCCAGAGUAUUUUGGACAGGUUUGAAAUGCAGAAUUGCAACUCAGUUGGUACUCCAACUGAACUGGGAUUGAAGCUGACUAAGAAUCCUGGAGGAAAGAAAGUUGAUGGUACGCUUUUCAAGCAAAUUGUUGGCAGCCUCAUGUACCUCACAGCAACCAGACCUGACAUUAUGCAUGCUGUAAGUCUUAUUAGUCGGUACAUGGAAAGUCCAAUGGAGUCUCACCUUAUGGCUGCAAAAAGGAUAUUCAGAUAUUUGCAAGGGACUAAGGAGUACGGAAUUUUCUACAAGAAGGAGAAGAUGUCUAAUUUGUUGGGUGACACUGAUAGUGAUUAUGCAGGUGAUCCAGAUGAUAGUAAAAGUACAUCAGGCUAUGUGUUUAUGAUGGGGACAGGAGCAAUAGCAUGGUCUUCCAAGAAGCAGCAAAUUGUUACUCUCUCAACCACAGAAGCUGAAUUUGUGGCUUCAACUACAUGUGCUUGUCAAGCCAUAUGGUUGAGAAGGUUACUAGAAGAAUUAUACUUCCAGCAGCAAGGUCCUACUCUUAUUUACUGUGACAACAUCUCAGCAAUCAAAGUUGGGAAGAAUCCUGUUCUACAUGGAAGAACUAAGCACAUCCAUGUGAGAUUUCAUUUUUUGCGUGAUCUUUGCAAAGAUGGAAUCAUUGAUUUGAAUUAUUGCAAGAGUGAAGAUCAGAUUGCAGACAUUAUGACCAAGCCACUCAAGUUACCCGUGUUUGUGAAGUUGAGGAAUUUGUUAGGGGUGUGUUCCAGGAAGGAUCUUGUUUAAUGGUGAAGCAGCAACAGCAACAACAAAGUUACUUGGAGACUCUCUCUAAACUGAAGUCUGAAGAACGUUCGGUUUAAGGGAGGGUGUUAGAAAUUAUUUAUGUUAUUUGUAAUUCAAUAAACAUUGGUUCCUAUGUUUUAGGAAAUCAGUUGUGGUUUACCUAUUCAAUAGGAGUGUUCUAGUUGUGGGAUAAGUCUGUUAGUAUUGGCAGUAGUGGGAGACGUCUGUUAGUAUUGGUUGUAGUGGGAUGUUUAGUUGUUCAUUCCAUUAUCUGAGCCAGUUACCUUGUACGUGUUAUUUAAGCUGUGUUUCAUUCAAUUAGAUAUUACUUCAGUUCAACAAAAGCUUUCUAUCUGAGAUUAUUUGAGUUUUCUAAAUUUCCAACACUAACAGACCAAAAAAAAAAAUAAUUUCUUCUUCAUAUUUCUAGCUAUAUGUUUUUUAUUUUUUGGUCAUUCAAGCUUGCUUUAUUAAAGCAUCAGCCAAAGACACCAAAGGCCAGCAAAACAACAGAGAACGACAAACAGAAAAAUAAAUAUAAACUCAAGGCACCCUGCACAAGAACACAAGCAGGUUAAGUAAUAGCCCAAAAGAGAACCCGUCAUGCACACUCAAGGCACCCCGAGAAGCAUUGUUAGGACAAAUAUGAGUCAUUCUUGGUAGUCCUUCACUCAGCAUACUCCCUCUAAUCAAAUAAAAUUCACCAAAUUUUGACAAGAAAUACCUAAAAAUCUAAGAUGGUUAAGUGGACCUUGGAAGAGAUAAUUAGAGAAAAAAUUCAUAUUCAAUGGAAAUUUCAAAAAUUAUGAGAAGAUCAUCAUUAUAUAAUUUAAACACUAGUAUAAAGUUCAAUAAAGAAACAAUUUAUAGAUAUUGAAACUGACCCACCAAAAAUUGGAAUUUCAAUCUAAAAUUUCAUACCAAGUGGAUCUUGAGAAUUAAUUCAACUCAAAAACAACAGCAGAAAAUAAAAUCUAGAAAAUAUUAGGCUCAACAAGAAAUACAAGAGAAUAAAAAAAUAAAAAAAAAUCAAGGAAAAUGAUAUUUGCUAGAGGGUGAUGAGAUGAGGUCCAAGAUUUGAAUAUACAUCAGUAACACAUCAUACUUGGGCCAAGAUGAGAUCGAAGAUGGCGCGUGCAGUUUGCAUCAAGUCAUCGUCACUAUCAAGAGAGAAGAGAGCUGAGCAAACUGUACAUGGGAGGAAGACUCAGUCACCGUCGUCGAGAAUAAGAGGAGUUGGCAGUUGAGAUGGGUGGGUUUUUGGUCGUCGUCGAAAGAGUGAUAAAAGAGCAACUUUUCUGUUUCAGAAAAACAAAUCUCAAAUGAAAUUAGGGAUUAGGGUUGAGAUGGAUAGAUAUGUUAGGUGUGGAGAGCACCACCAUAAUCUUUUCUACUUCUUUUUAUUUCUUUUUGUUUUUUAUAUAUAUAAUAUUACCUACUACCUGCUGUGGCAGUCUUGAAAAAUUGGCACAUCGAUGCGCCAGGUCCACCUUAGACGUUGCCAUAUUUAAUACGAAAAUUCUUGUAUGCAGCUACGUAAAACUUAAAAAACCCAAAAACAAACAAGAGCCGUUCGUUUUUUUAAGCAAUCAAAUUGUUUUAUUGAUUUGGAGUAAACCGUUGUUUAUUUGAUUCGAUGGCCGAAAAUAAAGGAAAGCCUAAUCACUAUAAAACUUUGGGAAUUCCGGUGUUUUGUUUGGAUUUUUAAUCUAGUUAUUUUGGUUUGAUGACUUUUUGUGUAAGAUCCCACAUCAACCAAUGGAGAGGGGGUGAUGUGCCUUAUAUGUGCACACCCGCAUCCAUCUAGUACGAGGCCUUUUGGGAGCUCACUGGCUUCGGAGUCGUAGGAACUCCGAAGUUAAGCGAGUUUGGGGCUAGAGCAAUCCCAGGAUAGGUGACCCACUGGGAAGUUGCUCAUGAGCUCCCAGAAACAAAACCAUGAGGGCAGAGAGGGGGGCCCAAAGCGGACAAUAUCGUGCUACAGCGGAGUUGAUCCCGGGAUGUGACAUUUUGUGUGUAAUUUGGGCAUUAAUGUGAGCACAUAGUAUACAUUAGAGGCUGUCACAUCGAAGUCGACUAACCUCAAAUUAGGCAAAAUUGAGAAAUUUCAUGUGUAACAAUACCCUCAUUUGGUGUUUCCAAUGCACUCAUGUUAUAAUAUGUGUUUAUUUAUUAAUAUAACGCCAUAAAAUUGACAUGUUGAGUUUUUUAUGGGAUCCUUAUACAAUUACGUGUUGUUACCAAUCUACUCAUUAUAAAACGCAAUCUCGGUAUAUUUAUCAACAAAACGCAAGAAACAAAUUGUCCAAAUACAACACAAAAGGCCAAAGUAACAAUUUCACAAAGCAUGUUUUGACCAAAAAAAAAACAAUUUCACAAAGCAUGUGGACGGAAAUGGUAUUUCGGCCUUUAAAACUCAGUAGAAACCACACAUCAUACACCAGCCAGUUCCAGUUCAAAGUCUUUAGGUUCCAAAAACAACCCAAUAGCCAAGCGUCCAAAAAGUCGUUGGGUACCACUUGCUUUUACGGUUUUCAGAAUGAAAAGAGUUGAGAAACUAGACAAAAGCAGGCCUAUAAACACUUUAAUCUGGUCAUCAAAUGUAAUAACCAAAAACCUAAAUUACUAUUUAAUUAGUAAUUUAUGAAGAAGAAAAGACAAUUUUGCCCUUGGAAUAAUUUAUUAAAGAAAGGUUGACUUUUUGACUGAGAAGGAAUUUGACAAUUUCACACACACUGUCGCGUAGAGCACGACGAAACAAAUUCGUAGACACGAAGUGGACUCAAAUCGGAGCUUUAACGAAGAAAAUACGGUCAAAAUACAUAUAGGGGCAAAAUGGUAAUUUGAAAAAUUAGAUUUUUUUUUUAAAAAACCUCAUUCUCUCUCUCGCUCUCUCUCUCUCCCUCCUGAUCGCGCGCCUCCUCCCUGUCAGCAACAGCGGUUUUUCCGCCGCCACCAUUUCCUCCGGCCACCAUUCGAGGUGGUGUUGGUCCCAAAAUAACCGGCUGGUCUCCCGCUUCCAACCCCAGCCAAGCCGGCCGCCAGCAGCUGCGAAUAUCGCCUGAAAUUGCAGAAAAUCCGGUGGUUUUUUCCAAAUUUUUAAACCGCUCGUUCUCCCUUAUUUCUUCUCCAAAUUUGAUGAGUAACGUAUGGAUUUCUACCUAUUUUCCAUGCUCUAGCUGAUGGUUGGUUAGGAUGGCAUCGAUUUUGAACGUAGGUAGCUUGAAUUUCGAAUUGGAAUUUGGUCAAUUUUGAGAUUGCGAUUCCGGCCACUUCCGGUCAGUUUUUGGGGUAGGUCCAAGAACAAAAGUGGCUCUAAAUAGGGUGUUAUACCUAGGGUAGGAGUUUGGAGCCGUGAUUUUGAGAUUUUCCGGCGAUAUGUAAUCGCUUUGGGCACCCAGCGCUGUCGGCGCGUGUGGCGGCGCGUGGGUGAGGGUAGUGAAGUGGCACUGUGUCUCGAUGAGAUCCUUAAGUUGGAUAUCGUUUGAGCCUCGAACGGAUUUUACAUAUUGUGCGAUUUCCGGGUUCAAUACUGUUGAGCCAUUGGAUCGUAAUCAGUUUCAGAUAUGUUAAUUUAGACCAUUCUAGGAUCGGGUAGGAUUCGACGGAUCAUGAAUCGGAGUCCCGGAUACUCCAAAAUCGCGAACCCUAGGGCUAGGGUUUAGAAAUUGUGCGAUUGUACGAUCGUGAUCAGUCUGACCGUCCGAUCGAGAUCAAACCCUCGAGACAUGUGUCCUAGGUAUAUUGGAACUUCUAGAGGCUUCCGGAUCAUAUUGCAAGGUCAUGGACCUGUGGGGUCCUGGGUUGACUUUUUGGGACUUUAGCGCUUUUUGAGUCCCAAGAUACUGCUAAACUAUUCCAAGUGGAAGGAAAACUUUUAUGGGCAUAGGAAUAACUUUAAUCUGACGCACGUACUUCUAGGGGCCGGGGGUCAGGGUUUUUAAAUUAAUACUAUAUUGUAUUAAUAGAAUAUUAUGGUCAUUGAAUCAGGCACCCAGGCACCAGUUGACCCGUAGGAGGGACCUUCAAGAGGUCAAGCGAGCACGGACUACCAGGGAGUGGACUCUUUGUUUUUAUAAAUGAAUUUAAGCAGUUCAGUUGCAGUAUUUGAUCUUGAAUAAGUUUUAUUCAAAGAUUAGUGUUUUAUAAGCUGUUAUAUGCUUUUACAUAUUUUGUUUUGCAUGCUGCCGAGUGAAAUAUCCUUUAAAGGAUAUAGGACAAGAAAUUUUAGUUAAUUAUCAGAUAAAUGGCAGCAGAAUUUUAGAGGUUACAGAAAUUCAGUUAUUCAGCAGAUUUUCUUCAGAAACUUUAUAUUUUCCUAAACCACCUUGUACCCAUAUAUACAAAUGUUGCCUUCAGUAAAUAAGUUGCCUUCAGAUUAAAUGUUGCCUUCGGAUUGUAUUGGUUGCCUUCGGUUUAGUCAGCAUGCUUGACAGUUGCCCCACUAGUUCUUUGGUACUCAAACUCGUGUGGAGCGAGUAAUGCGGAUCAGGUGGACUAUGGUCCCUUGAAUCCUGCUAGUUGCGGCUCGGACUGACCUUGUGUCACUGAGAUCUGCGAGUACGUGUCACCCAUGGUGAUGCAAGGAAUUGACGGAUAUAAGGAAUUGAAGGAAAUAAAGGGUACACCUAGGUGAUAGUUUUAAACUGUUUUCAAUUCCUUAAGAAAUUAAUGUUGACCAUGAGUAUGCUUGGCUUAUAUACAUGUAUAAUUAUAUGAGUGCAUUGAUUUCAGAAAUAAAGAGAAUAAUUUAGUUUGUAUAACUGUUUUUACAGUGGGGUUAGUAUGUUCAUAUGCUAUGUUCUAAACUUUGUUUUUGGGUCCACUCAUCCUUUUUAAUGUUUUGCGCCCUCAGGCAGUAGGCGUGUACAGGGAUCCACCACCGGGCCGUUUUCCACCUUCCGCGCUUUCCUUUUUGAUGUAGAACUUUUGUUUUGUAAAAGGAUUAACUCCUUUGUAAAUUCUUAGUAGUCACUCUGAUAUUUUGCCCUAGACUUAGAAUUUAACUGUUGGAAUGUAUAUAUACGUAUGCUGGCAGUUGGUUGUAUAUAUAUAUAUAUGCUUGUUUGACAUGUGUAAAUGUUUUGGUAUGGGCCCAGUUAUAAGGGAGACUCUGCCGAUUUUUCGAUAGAAGUCAACCUUGUUAUUUUACCGUGCUUUGUAUAGAAGGGCAAUUAGGUCAUUCGUGCCCGACAUCCGCUAGAUGUCGGACACGCACAGGGUUCGGCUCGGAUUCCAAAGCGGAAUUUAGGUCGGGUCUUGUCAUCAACAGUAUAUAGAAAAUGACUUCUUCGCCUAUGGUAAGUUUUUAUUGAUUCAAAUCAACAAAAAGAAAAGCAAAAGCUUGUCAAAUGCUUUCUUUCUUGACAAGGCUCUAAAGAUUGUGCCUUGCAGUAGGGAACUUUAUCAAAGUCCAAUAAUUGGAGAAAACUUUUGUACGCAUCAGCUACCGCCAACGUGAGAAAAACUUGUAUAUCACAGGAUAACACUAUUUUACUAUCUCCAACUAAUCAUAUUCCGUCACGUGUGAUAACUUUUUCACUGACAGCGUAAUUAGUUGGGGAUAGCAAAAUUGCGUUUAUCCCUAUAACAUGCAAGUUUUUCGCAUACAAAACUUGAUGAGCUCAACAUCCAAUUGGAACUUGCCACAUCAAAACGAGACCAAUAUAUACCAAACUUGAUAAUAAAAUCCUCAAUCUUGGUGACCAAUUCACAGUUCAAUUUGCUAAACUAACACAAAUCAAGCUAGAUCUUCAACAGAUUUACAACACAAAUCAAACUUGAUACUAAAAUAUUAAAACUUAGCUUAUCAGCAUGAUAAUAAAAUCAUAAAAACAACAAUUUAAAGUACAAGGGGAAUAAUGAGCUAGAAUUCCCACAGCAAGCUUCUUUCUUUGCAUUGCACACUCAAUUUUUAGCCUCUACCAUCAACAGAAAAAAAAAAAAAAAACUAGUCCUAGUCUUCUUCACUUGCAUCAAAAUCAGAAUCCUCACUGACCUCCUUCUCACUCUCCAAGUCACUCAACACAUACCUCGUCUGCCUGCGGUUUGCCCUCUGAGGCCUAGCUUUGGCCGCCACUGGAGCGCCACUUCUUUCUUCAGUGGAUGGAGUGUUCACCUUCUCUUCACUUUCAGCCAUCUCAACCUCCUAACUCUCCCCAUCACGGAACCACUUUUCUUGUUGAAUGGGGAUGCCCUCAUCUUCCUCACUUUCGGCUCCGGUGAAACCCCGGAAGUUUCAGCAGGCUUUAACAUGUCAGUUAAAAGCUUCUGGCCUGAUGAUGACGAGGCUUGAGAUUGCUUGUUAGCUGCGCCUCUCUUCUUUGCCGCUGCAGGGGGUUUUGAUGCCUUUGUAGUUCCAGCUGCUUUUCUCCCUCCCUUCUUUCCUGCUGCUGGGGCAGCUGCUAUUUCUACCUCAAAACCUCGUCAUCAUCUAUUUGCAUGGCCCUUUUGCUAGGUUCAUUUCUCUGGACUGGUUCUUGUGGCACUUCGGUUUCCUUGCCUGUGGCAGUAAAACUAUGUUAAUUCACUACUUACUGAUUAGCUGGAAAAGCUUGUAAAAGGAACCAUGAAACUCAUUAUUCAUGCUUCUUUUUAAAUGAACAUUGCAAGUUAAUCCUAGUUUUUUUUUUCCAAUUACUGAGAAAAAAAGGAAAAGGAAAGAAAAACUCAUGUGUAUUCCCAAGCAUACUGCAUGUUCCAUUCUCUUUUAAUCCAGACAUGGCCUCUGAUUGAUAAAUCAUAAAUGUUAUCUAGCAGCAGUCUCUAGGAACGUAAAACAAAGUUAGAAUACACAAAGUAUAAAUAUAGCGCGUACCUGCUGAAUUUUCGGGAGAUGAAUCAAGAUUAUAGGCAGCUAGUCUGUCUUUCAGCUCAAGCACUUCAUCAUCAUCAUCACUCAAAACUACAGCAGAUUUUGCCUGCUGCUGUUAAUCAAACAGAAUAACAUAAGUUACUUCUUUCAAAGGUAAUAGGUAUUCCCUUAAAAAGGUCAAACAAAACAAUUAGAAAUAAAGCAGCAGCACAAACCUUCUUGCCAGCAGGAGCUUUCUUUGCAACUGCUCCAACUUUCCGUUUCACUAUCUCAGGAGCUUUCUCUGACAAAGCAAGCAGAUCAUAUUAGUUAAAUGUGAACAUAAACCAAAAAUUCAAAGACGAACUAAUGUCUCUGGGAUAUAUUUAAAAGAAAGCUUUUAACUAAUCUAGGCUUACCCAUUUCAAACACAAAACUGGAAGAUGUUUCCCUGCUUUCAGCAGCAGCUUCUGCAUUGUUGGCCUUCUUAUUAUUCUUGCGUGGGUUUUUAGGUGCUGGUUUAGAAACCUUAGCAGCAGCUGCAUUUUCACUUGGUUUCGUGAUUUCUUUUUUGCCUCCUCUGCCAGAGCCUCACUUUUCUCCAGCUCCUGAUAGAAAUAAUAAUACAUCAUACAUGAGAAAGGUAUAAAGCAUAGUGAAUAAAGAAUGGCGAAACAAAAUUAAUUUUUAAUACAUACACCAAGUUCCAUUUCAAGAGCAUCAAGAUCCUUCAACCACAGUGACCUUGGUGUUGAAUUUCUCAACUCAGCAACCUCGUUAUUGACCUUAUCCUUAUCAAGCACAUAGGGUCUGAACCCUCUCAAUGGUCAAGGUCCCAAUUGCCAUGGAUAUGAGAUACUCAUAAUCACUAAUACGUGCUCCAUUUCCACUGGCAGACUCAGAGUUCUCUUCCGUUUCUUCUGUAUCUUCAAUUGCCCCAGCAACUUCUGGCUCUUGGGCCUUGGUCUUCUUUGGAAAGGGAGUGAAACCUUUCUGUUGGAGCUCAAGGAAUAAAUCAGCCCUCCUUCUAUUGCUCGCAAUGAUCUCUCCAUUUACGACAGCCAGGAUAAACCUGACCUUGUUUUCCAAUUUUAACAACUCCAUCUCAAGGUUAUCCAAGAGUAAUUUCUGCAUAUAUAAUAGAAAAUCAGUUACAGUUGUAUCCAUAUCCAGGUCAACAAUACAAACAUUUGUCUACUGAUGAACUCACCUUUCUUUUCUCAUAGAAUUCAAGUCUUAGGUGAAAAAACUCCUCAAGAACUGCAGAAAGAAGAAAAUAAACAAACAGAAAGUCCAGUUAUAUGAAUUGUACAACAAAGAAUUAAUCAAACAACCUCGAAUUGUGUCACAUACUUUGUUCUGGAGUGUCGUAUUUCUUUAUCACGCCUUUUGGAACAAACAGGUGCAUAUUACUUGUGCUAAUGCUGGUGGUCAGUUUAAAUUUCUUCAACAAACCCUCUUGCCUGGCAACCAUUAGGGUCUCUUCAGGUAAGUGGACUAUGAUAUCUACAGUACUGUGAUCACUGUGCUGUGUGAAACCUUGCAGCAUGCAUAAUGCACUUAGAAACUGAAAAUGAUCUGAAACACAUGAUGUUGAUAAAUAUUGCGACUGUCAAGAGUUUUAGGUGACCUUACCUCAAUGAGAUCCUUGGCCUUGUCAUUUCCUUGAGAGAUAGACUCAAGGAAUUCCUUAUAAUCUUGAGUCCACCUACGGAUUGGCAACUCCGAAAUCCUAACUGUUGUCUCAUUGCCCUCCUCUAUGACCCCACAUACGGUGUAGCUUACACCUGAUUCCUUGACAGUUUUCUCAAUAGUUCCAGAAAAUCCUCUGUACCAGGGAUCCAUUGGCACCAUUGCUUCACCAUUAAGCAAGCGCCUUACAUUUGCAACAAUGUCUCUUGGAUUAUAAUUAGGAAUGUAAGAGCUCCACCCUGUCCCAAUUCCUUCACUACCAUUAACUAAAACUGUUGGUAUAAUUGGAACAUACCUAUAAAACAAACGCCAUAUGUCAGUUAUAUUUAUCCACCAUCAAUCUAAAUGCAGUGUUCUUACAGUAGAGACAGGAAAAAUUAUAAAUACUGUUUAUGCCGAGAUGAACGGCCUAUCAUCACCAAACACGUAGACAGGAUCGAUAUUGAUCACAGAACCCCUUCGGCAUGCUCCCUACCGAAGCCAUGUAUUUUGGCCCCUUAACCAUCAGACACGUGUCAUGCUCACAAUCCAUGUCUGGAGUCCCACAUCGGAAUUAUGAGCACAGCGCACACCUCCCAAGGUCUAUAUAAGGAGACCCAUAUCCCCAAAAGGAAGGGAUCAGAACUAACGGUACGCUAUCGUGUGAUCUGUCAGUUAACCUUACUAAAUCCGUACUUACUUAAGCAUCGGAGAGCCUUCGGCCGGUACCACACCGGUACCCCAAGGAUUUACCGAACUUGUCCUUUUGCAGGUACUUACCCUCCAGAGUGGACCACUUACCGAGGACAGUAACCUGCCGAAGGGAUAAUUUAACUAAGUUGACGAAAUACGUAUUAAACCACUUUUUCGCAUCAACAAAUACCAAGUUGGCUCAAUAGAUUGCCCAUCUUCAUUCAAGUAGUCAAGAAGUCUGUCAUCAUCCUUCGGGAAAAGGAAUCUUGUAAUAGGAGAAAGCCGAGUAUAUAUAUAACGAGCACUUGCACGGCCUUUGCCUCCCUAAGGUAGCAAAAUACAAAUGUAAAUAAAAAUAUCUUGGAAUACAGUUACGCAACAUGACAAGCUUCAAUAUUCUUAAAUAAUUUACAUGCAUGGUUUAUCUCACCAAGUUAAAAGCAUCUGAUACUACUCCACAAGAAUUGAAAGCCCAGAUCCGAAACAAUCGGAAACCUACCUAGUCAGGAUCCAUCAUUUUAACAAAAACCAUUUAGAAUCCCGAAUAAAUCACAAGUUACAAAAACGAAAAUGCAUAUAAAAAACUAACCCUAAUUAAUCAGAAUCCCAAUAUUUAAAAACAGAAAUAACAAACCCUAAUUCCUCAAUUCCACCAUACAUUAAAAUCCUACAAUACGAAUCAAGCAUCACAAAACUUCUAGAAAACACAUAUUAAUACCUGCUUGUACUUCUUCUGUCGCUUUCCGUCAGCAGUCUCGAUGAUUAACUCAGUGGAAAAAAUGUUCGUAAGCUUGGCACCAUAGCCGUUGCGACCACCGGUGGUCUUCUUCUCCGUAUCGUCGUAAUUGCUACUGCUCAAUAGGUGUCCGAAGAUCAACUCCGGCACAUACACCUUCUCCUCUUGGUGAAUCUCCACGGGCACUCCAGCCCCAUUGUUGUAGACACUUAUACAGUUCUGCUCGACGUCAAUGGUGACUUUCACGGAGUCCAUGGACGAGUCUCGCUGUUUAUUAUCGGCGGCGUUGACGAGGAUCUCAUCGAAGAUCUUGUACAGUCCGGGAACGUAGCUGAUGGAACGGUUAACCAUCUCGUCGUUUUGAUAGACCCAUAGGAUUUGGGUGUGCUUCUCGAUCGACCCGAUGUACGUGUCGGGUCGGAGCAAGAUGUGCUCGAGCUGGCUCUUCUUCUGGUACAUCUCUUCGAUCGUCUUGCCUUGGCCAUCAGUUGGGGCUGGGGCUAUGUUCGCGCUGUUGCUGGUCUGGAGUGGGCGUUUCUUCUCGAUCGCCAUGGCUGUGGCGUUUGGAGAGACGGAGAGACGGAAGGUUCCAGAGAGAGGAAAUGGGUGAGUCAGAGGGGGGUUAGGGAUUUAAAGGAAGGGUGCAACGGUCAAUUGGGAUUUGAAUUCAAAUGGAGGGGUUUUGGGCAAUUUUGGGAUGAGAGAUCGGACGGCUGUGGUUUUGAGUUUGGGAAUCACGUGGAUAUGAUGAAGGGGACUAGGACAGAAGGCAAUCAAGGGAUAGGCCUCAUCAUUUGGCCCGUGGACUCAUGGUUGAUGGGGGUCCGCCCGGCCCAUCGAAAAAAAGCCCAGCUCGGCUUGUUAUGGGCUUUGAGAUGGCCCAGCCCACCUUGGGCCGGGCUAAGCUUAGGCUUGGGCUUGAGUGUCUGAAGCCCGGCCCAUAGUGAAGCGACCUGAUCCAAAUUCCACUUUGGAAUCCAAGCCAAAUCCUGUGCGACGGGCUGGGUUGGGGUUAGGCUUGGGCUUGGGUGUUUGAAGCUCGACCCAAAUUUCACUUCGGAAUCCGAGCCGAACCCUGUGCGUGUCCGACACCUGAUGGGUGUCGGGCACAAAUGAUCAAAAAGCCCUUCUAAACCAAAUCCAAAGAAUUCCAAGCUCAACUUCUACCGAAAAUUCUGCAGAGUCUCCCCUAUAAAAUGAACAUUUCCCCAAAACUUCCACCUAUCAACAAGCAUAUGCAAAUACAACCCAACUGCCAGCAUGUAACAAAUUAUAACAAAUAAACAAGCAUCAUCUCAUUCUGGCCUCAUGCCUCAAUAAAUUGAAUAAAACACUAUGCUAACGACCUGUAAAUCACAAUCUUAGAGCAUCCUCGGAACAGUGUUAGAUUUCAUAAUAACCUAACUGGACUACCUUUUAUUACCUGACCUCGUGGCUGCACCUUGUAAUACUAGCACUACUACAAAAAGUGAAAAAGACGACAAGAAAACAACGACGGUCUAAGUGAAAACCGUCGUGGUUUUUAAAAAGACGACGGUUCUAAAAACACCGUCGUGUAAUACCACCUUAGACAACUAAAAAAUGGAGAUUCAAAUGGCUGUUCAAAAACAACGACGUACCUAAUUAAACAACCGACGUCUAUUUGAAACAGAUUUCCGCAGUAUAAAAUCAAAGCCAACAAAGAACGGCAGAAGUUAUGAAUCGACCGACGUAGAAAGUAAAGACGACGAUUUCAAUAAAAGCCGCCGUUUUUACUCAUAAAAUAACACGACGAAAUUUUCGUAUAAAACGCCGUAUAAUUACAAACAAAUCCACGGCUUUAAAAUACAAAAUGUCGCCGUAUUAAAUUUAUGUACAACGACGGAAAAUAUAAAUAUAUCGACGUCAUUCUCGUAUAGUUCUACGACGUUAUCUUUAAAUCGUACUAUAAAAUUUAACGUCGUAUUUAUUCAUUUUAUACGUCGUACCUUUAAUUUAAACCGUCGUCUUAAUAAGAAUUUUUGUUAACAAUUUUUUCCUUUAUUUUCUUAUCCUACGUCGGUAGAUCUACUUAAUGACAAGAAUUGAAAUCUGUAUCCAAAUCUGUAAUUGAAUCUGUAAUUGAAUAUUCACUACCAUUAACUAAAUCUGUAAUUGAAAAAUAAACUGAAAGGUCACGGGAAAAAAAUUUCUAUUCAUAAUUUAACAAUUCAAAUCCACGUCGGUUAUAUUAAACCUAACGACGUUAAAUGAAAGAUUCCACGUCGCAAAACAAAUAUUGCGUCGUGUUAGUUUAAUAUUCACGUCGCAAAACAACGACGGGAUGAUUCAAUAUUCACUACCAUUAACUAAAUCUGUAAUUGAAAAAUAAACUGAAAGGUCACGGGAAAAAAAUUUCUAUUCAUAAUUUAACAAUUCAAAUCCACGUCGGUUAUAUUAAACCUAACGACGUUAAAUGAAAGAUUCCACGUCGCAAAACAAAUAUUGCGUCGUGUUAGUUUAUGGUUUCUUUAAUAGUUUCAGUUUCUUUAACAGUUUGGUCCUUUAUCUUUCUACAGGACUUGUAUAGUUCAAAGCAUUGACUUGUAUAGUUCAGAGUAUAGUUCAAAGCACUGAUUCGAUUGCUCAUGCUUUAUCGCAUUCUGAAGCCAUUUCUAUUCUUUAUCGCAUUCUUGAAACCCAUCUUCUUCUUCUGAUGCUCUACGGAUAAAGGAAGAGGCUAUCACAAAUCUGACGGAUCUUCUUAGCCAAGAAAAUCAAGCAGAGGAUCAGGCACAUCUGAUCUUCAGAUUUCCCUGAGAAGCGAACUUUUCCUUCGACAGCGAGUGGAGGCCAGGCUUGCAUCUCUUUUGAUGGAAAGCAAGGAGUAUUCAGAAGCACUAAGUGUCCUAUCAGGCUUGAUCAAGGAAGUGAGAAGGCUAGUUGACAAGCUUCUUCUUGUGGACAUAGAUUUGAUGCGAGUAAGCUCAAUUUCUCUUUGAGAAAGACAUCCAAAUUACUGUCUUUGAGAUGUGAGAGACAGUGUCUCUGAGAGAGGAAGAACUUGGAACCCUAAAUGUAAACCGAAAAUGAAUGAAAGCGACAAAUUUAUAGAAUAAAUUUUUAAAACCAACGGCGGUCCUUACAAAAAAACCGCCGUUUAAAUUGUAAAAUCAACGUCGGUAUGACCGACGUAUAUUACAUAAAUCCACGUCGGUACAUUAAUAAAACCGACGUGUUAAAUGAUCUACCAUGACGCGAGUUAUUACUUAUGUACUUUAAUUUUUCAGUUUACUACGACGGUACCUACAACACUACUGUCGUACUUAUUUACCACGUCCGAAGUUAAACGUACUGUCGUAUUUUGUAAUUUAUACGUCGUAGUUAUAUGUAACCGCCGUAUUAUUUUUUUGAAAUGGUUUUAUAUGUAAGCAACUUUUCGUCUACCUGACUUACACAUGCACUGUUUCCAAACCCGAUUAAAAAUUUCAAUCUCCCAGAGAAAACUUUUAGACUUUUUUCCUUGUCAGAGCACUUUCAGAGUAUCUCAUCGUCUUCCUCUCGUCUUCUUCGUCGUCUCUGAACUUAAACAUCGAUCGUCUUCCUCUUGCUUUCAUUGCACGCAAAAGGUAAGCUUUCAUUUUCACUAUUUUGGUUGCUGUUUUGCAUGCUCAUACGUUUUUUGUUUGAAAAAUCUUUUUACCUUUUUUCUGGCCAAAAUCAUUUUACUUCUUUCCAAGUUCGAUAAAAUAUACAGACAAAGAGGGAAAGUUUCCAACUUUGAAGACAACUACCUCAACUAAAUAAGACGACGGUAGCUUCUUAUUUACGUGGUUAAAUAUGUAGACCACGACGGUUCGUCAGUCGUUCUAGCGUCGUCUGAAAAUUGACAAAGUUGUUUUUAAAAUUAUAGUCUUUUUUUUAUUUGCUUGUUUAAUUGCAGGUUUGAUUUCUCUGAACAAUGGUUUUUGUUUUUCCCUAAUUUGAUAAAAUAUAAAGAAAAAGAAAUUAGGGUUGGUAUCUAAUAUAGACGACAGUAUCUUAUUAUUUUACGUCGUGUGAAUGUUAAUACCACGACGUCAUAUUAAAAUACCGUCGUCUAUAUCAGAUUCCAAAACUUUCUUUCUUGGCCUUGUAUUUUAUCAAAUUAGAAAACAAAAACCAUGGUUCAGAAAAAUCAAAUCUGCAAUCAAACAUUCACAGAGAAAGAAAGAAGGGUUUUGGAUCCUUAUAUAGACGACGGUAUAUUACUACUGACGUCGUGUGAACAUCAAUACCACGACGUUAUAUAAAUAUUCCGUCGUUUAUAGUUAAUUAUAACGUCGUUUGUAGUUAAUUAUUCCGUCGUUGUUUAAUUACCUUGGUUUUAAACAUUUAUUACGUCUAAGAUUAUUUCAUUGCGUCGUUUAAAAUCAUAUCAUACGUCGUAUUUUAUUAAUAACCGUCGUUUGUGUUCUUAAUCUUUUCUUGAAAUAUUUUCACUUGCAGUUUUGUCUGUAAAAAUGGUUUCUCACCAAGACCAAAGUAAGGAUUCUGGCUCCAAGAAAAAUGGAGGUAAGGAGCAAGUACCUCCUCAAGAGAAGUCUUCGAAGAAGAUGAAGUUUGCUUCAUCAUCUGCUGAUACAGAACCAACCAGCGCGACAACAAUCUCUGAUGAUUCAAAGGCUGGUCGAGGUAUGAGCACAAUGCCUCGUGUUGUGAAAAGAAAACUUCAGAAACUGAGGCCAAUUGUUGAGUAUAAUAAAAGGGGGAAAGGAAUUGGCCAAGCACAUAGUGAGAUGCAGUCCUAUAUUGGUGUGUUGGCACGCUCCAGAGUUCCACUUGUGGACUUGAAAUGGGCUCAAAUCCCCAAGGAUAUAAAGGAGCAGAUUUGGGAAGCAGUUGACAUUGCUUUUGUAGUAGGUCAAGGGGGCAAGAACUCUGUCUUAACUUCUGCUGCCAAGAAAUGGAAGGAUUUCAAGUCUACACUAACGAGGCAUUAUAUCCUUCCAUACACCAAUGACAGGGAGAGAUUAAGCCAACCCCCUGAAACAUAUAAAUUCAUAGAGAAAGCACAAUGGGAUGCCUUUGUAGCUUCAAGGUUAUCCAAAGAUUUUGAGUCUGUGCAUUCUCAACAUGCACAGAUUAGGGAGAAACUCGAGUACAAUCAUCGAUUGUCUCGAAAAGGAUAUGCUGGUUUGGAGGAUCAAUUAGAGGAAACCAUGCCUGGGGUAGAAAUUGAUCGAUCUACCUUAUGGAAGAGAGCUAGACAGGACAAACAUGGUAACAUCCCUGAUCCAAAGGUGGCAGAGAAAGCAAAAUUAAUUGUGAGCCUACUCACUCUGUUUUAAAUUUUUAUUAAACUGUGAAUAAUUCUUAUUACGUCUUAUGUUAUAUUUUGCGUCGUGUGAAUGAUAUUUCCACGCCGACAUUUUUUAAAACACGUCGUUAAAGGUCUAAAUAGGAAUCACAACUCUGUUUUCUGUAAUUAUAGCAUAAGAUGUCGGUGGUUCAAUUUCGCGUCGUCUGUAUUAAAUUACUACGUCGAAAUGUUUUAAACAACGUCGUUAAAGGUGUGAAUAUUGAAUCAUCCCUUUGUUACAUAAGACGUCGGUGGUUUAUUAAUUUCGUCGUUUUAAAAAACUAACCACAUCGGUAUAACUACCGUCGUGAUAAAUUAUAAUAACGUCGAUUUAUAUGUUAUUGCGUCGUGUGAAAUUAUAUAAUACGUCGUUUGUAUAUAAAUAACCGUCGUGUGUUUUUGUUCUUACUUUUUUAUAUAUCUUUGUUUUAGGAUGAUUUGCAAAAACAAGUCUCGGAAGGCAAAGUCACCGUCUCUGGCAGCAAUGAUGUGCUGACCAUGGCUUUGGGCCCCGAGCAUCCAGGCAGAGUCAGAGGAGUAGGUGCUGGGAUCUCACCAAAGCAAUAUUUCAAUUUACCCAAACCACAGAGAGUGAGCUUUCACUACUACAAAAAAGCAAAAAGACGACGGUAAAUCACCGUCGUGUAUUGGGUUUUUCAAUGGUCGUGGAAUCCACCGUCAUCUUUUCCCUCAUAAACCACGACGCUACAUAACCGUCGUUGUUAAAAUAUACAACGUCAUCAACAAAUACAAAACGACGUCUUUGUACUGCAAAAAGAUCUAAAAAAAGCAAUCGAGGAUGAUAAUAGACGACCAACUCUCUAAAAAAACCGUCGUUAAAAAGGAAAAAUAUGACACAUAUUAAGAGAACAAGGCCGCAAGAUAGACAUACAACGACGAAAAUAAAAAUACGACGACGUUAAAUAUAAUUUUCACGACAAUAAGAAAUAUGACGUCUUUAAAUACAUUAGAAGACGACGUUAUUGAUACCUACUACGUCGCAUAUAUAAAAACAACCGUCGUAAAAUUAAUUUUCCACUUCGAUUUUUCGAUAAAAGAUGACGUGGAAAUAGUUGUCAGUGUCAUUAUUUACGACGUAUGUGUUUAUAGAUUAGACGUUGAAAAACUAAACAACGUCGGUUACAAAUAUAUGAGAGUCGUAUUACAAAAUUUAUACGUCCUAUUUUCAGAAACAAACAACGACGAUAAAUAUUAGACGUUGUUAAAUAAAACAACGUCGGAAAAAAAUAAAAACAGACGUGUUUAGUCUGCUAAAGUUCUAGAAAAUAGUCGAGGAUGAGAAUAGACGACCAACUCAAAAAAAUCACCGUCGUUAAAAAGGAAAAAUAUGACACAUAUUAAAAGAACAAGGCCGCAAGAUAUACAUACAACGACGACAACUAAAAUACUACGCCGUUAAAUAUAAUUUACACGACAAGAAAAAAUAUGACGUCUUUAAAUACAUGAGAAGACGACGUUAUUGAAAUCUACUACGUCUCUUAUUUACAAAAAACCGUCGUGAAAUAAAUUUUCCACUUCGAUUUUUCUAAAAAAGAUGACGUGGAAAUAGUUGUCAGAGUCAUUAUUUACGACGUACACAUUUAUAUAGUCGACGUUGUAUUUAUAUGUAUUCAUUACUCACGACGCACUUAAUAAUAUAGACGACGUUGAACUUCUAAACAACGUCGGUUCCAAAUAAAUGAGAGCCGUAUUACAGAACAUAUAGACGGCGUAGAUUAUGAUGAGAGCCGUAUUACAAAUAACGUCGUUUAAUUGUUAUUAGACGGCGGUUAUAAUGAAUUUCCGUCGGAAUUCAUUUCGUUACUCUUCGUUUAUAAAAGAACUUGCGACGUGGAAAAUGUAUGAUGACGUCGUAUUUUUUAACGUUCAGAUUAUAUAUCUCGUUUUUUAGACGUCGGUAUUAUGGGAUUGGAGUCGUGUUAUUUUGAAUUACAUGGCGGUUCUUAAUCCUUCACCGACGUGAUAUCCUGAAUAAUUGCUUCACAAUAGCGUCGUGGUUCUUCAUUGUUACGUUGCUUUAAGACGUCGGUAAAUAUGCUGAAUAACUGAUUCACAAUAACGUCGUGUUUUAUUUGAACGUAGAAAGUGAAGAAAUCACAUUACAAUAUAUUACAAAAUUAAUGUCAUACACUGCCAAUUACAUAAGCAUCAUUCAAUCCAUAUAUCUUCACACCCAUCUCGAAUAUUUUGACCGCCUAACUCACCUACCAGUUCAUCAAAUGUGUCAACAUUUGGCAUCCCUCUAGUAAAUGGCUCACACUCAAUUAUCACAUCACCUAAGACUUCAUCACCAAUAACAUCAUUAUAUUCUCUAUUAGGCAUUGAUAACACUACCGACCAACCACGAUGCAUCGGGUCGUCAACAAAAAAUAUUUGUUUGACUUGAGAAGCCAAAACAAAUUGGUCAUUCCUAUAUCCAAUUUUACUCAAAUCUACAAGGGUAAAUCCAAGUUCGUCGACUACAAGACCAGAAUUAUCUAUCCAAUCACACCUAAAGACUGGGAUUGUAAACUUUUGGUAGUCAAGGUCCCAAAUUUCUUGAAUGACACUAUAGAAACCCAUAUUUGAGAGAAUUGGGUUUUAUCCUUGGCACUAGCAACUUGCAUGGUAUGUGCAAGUAAAUAAACUCCACUAUUUUGAGUUGUCCGCACAUCAUCUUGUGCCUUGAUAUUGAAUUUAAUACCUUUAAUAAGAUAGCUCCUAUAUAAUGGCACUGACAUGUUUGGACCAGCUGCUAGCCACCUUAAAUUUUCUGAUACGCCAUGAUUGUCUUCCUCAAGUUCACUUUGAACCUGCAAAUUAAUCAUAUCUUAAUUCAAUCUAACAUAUAAAUAAGAAGAAAAUUAAAAGAGAAAUAUGUUAUUCAACAACAUAUACCUUGAAGCGUAGCCAUUGAAUGAAAGUGCUAUUGUGCUUAUCCUGCAGCCACUUUGUUCUCUUUCUAAAUUUUGGAUAAGCAGUCUUGAUGUGAAUCAUAUGUUGCCUACAUGACACGAAAAAUUCAAGCAUUACGGUCCUAAAUAUAGAAGAUAAACAUAAGAAAUAAUUUAAAAUGGAAACUUAAAGAAUAAAGCUCAUACGUACUCGAUAUAAGGUAGGACUUCCUCCGUAUUCUCCAAGACAUAUAGAUGUGCUUGAUUCAACAGGUCCUGAUCAACUACGCUCACUGUGCAACCUGAUAAUGGCUUUGAAAGUCCCAUCUUUUGGCUUGAAGGCACUCCAACUGUACUAACAUCAGAUAAAUGCUGAGUACAACACUCUACCGCUUCUUCAGCUAUAUACCGCUCAGCAAUGCAACCUUCGGGACGAGUACGAUUCUGAACAUACCCCUUCAGCACUUUCAUAUAUCUUUCAAACGGAUACAUCCACCUAAAAUAUACUGGCCCACAUAGACGAACUUCUCUGACAAGAUGUACUACUAGAUGAACCAUGAUAUCAAAGAAUGAAAGGGGAAAGUACUUCUCAAGCAAACACAGAGUAACUACUACAUCUUCUUCCAACUUAUCUAGCUUGGAAACAUCAACAGUCUUUGCACAUAUAGCAUUGAAGAAGAAGCACAAACGAGUUAUUGCAUACCUUGCAGGCUUCUCCAAAACAGAACGAAUUGCCACAGGGAGCAAUUGUUGCAUUAAGGUAUGACAAUCAUGUGAUUUAAGGCCAAGAAGUCUUGAAUCUUGUAAAGAUACAAGAUUUUUAAUAUUUGAAGAAUAACCUUCAGGGACCUUCAUACCAUAGAAAGAAUUGCAAACCUCUCUCUUCUCUGCUCUUGACAAAUUCCAAGGCCCAGGAGGCAAACGAGUACGUCUUUCUCCAUACUCGGGUUGCAAAUCAGUUUUGACCCCCAUGUUCAAUAAAUCUAAUCGAGCAGCAAUCCCAUCUUUAUUUUUUCCAGGGAUCUCCAGCAAUGUACCAAUGAUACUAUCACAAACAUUCUUCUCAAUGUGCAUAACAUCUAGGGCAUGCCUCACAGGAAGGUAUUUCCAAUACUCGAGAUCAAAGAAUAUUGAUUUCUUCUUCCAACAAACUCUGUCACCAUUUUCAACCAUAUGCAGCACUUCUUCUCCGGUUAAUGGCUCGGGAGGUAUGCCAUAUUCAGGUUUCCCAUUAAAAGCUGCACGUUGCCUCCUAUAUGGAUGAUUGAUUGGUAACCAUUUUCUAUGCCCAAUGUAACAAAUUUUGUGGCCAUUUUUCAACCUGUGACUAGGUGUAUCAUCGCCGCAUAUUGGACAAGCUUUAUAUCCUUUAACAACACAACCAGAUAAGUUUCCAUAGGCGGGGAAAUCAUUAAUUGUCCACAUUAAUGCAGCUCUGAGUGUAAAGUAUUCUCCAUUAUGUGCAUCAUACACUCCUCUAAUCCCAUCCCACAAAGAUUUUAAAUCAUCAAUCAAAGGCUCCAAGUAGACGUCUAUAUCAUUUCCGGGUUGUUUAGGACCGGAAAUCAAUAAGGUUAACAUCAUGAACUUUCGUUUCAUGCACAUCCAUGGAGGGAGAUUAUAUGUAACUAAGAUAACCGGCCAACAACUAUAUCUGCUACUUAGAGAACUGUGGGGAUUGAAUCCAUCAGAUGAAAGAGCCAAUCUCAAGUUUCUCGGCUCAUUACCAAACUCAGGCCAUUUAUCAUCAAGAAGUUUCCAAGACGGGGAAUCCGCCGGAUGAGACAUCUGACCGUCAAUUGAUUUUCUAGCAGCAUGCCAAGUCAAACUCUUAGCUGUCUCAUGUGAUUGAAACAUCCUUUUAAACCUUGGAAUUGGAGGAAAAUACCACACCACCUUCGCUGGCACACCCUCUUUCAAGAUUGAAUCUUUGCCUUCCUUCCACCUUGAGAUACCACAAGUAGGACAAUUAGUUGAAUCCUCAUACUCCUUCCUAUACAAGAUGCAAUCAUUGGGGCAUGCGUGCAUUUUCUCAUAACUCAGCCCCAAUGCACACAAAGUCUUUUUAGCCUCAUACAUAGAGGUUGGUAUUGUAUUUCCUUCUGGAAGCAAAUCGCCUUGAAGUAUCAAUAAUUCUGUAAAACAGACAUCACUCAUCCCAUGUUUUGCCUUCAAAUUAUACAACUUCACUAAUGCCGAUAACUUCGUGUACUUUCUACAACCAGGGUACACUGGUUGAUCUCCAUCCCCAAUCACAUUGGCAAACUCAUACGGAUCGGAACCAAAAUCAUUAUCAUCCAUAUCAAUUUCUUCAGACACAAAACUGUACCUACUAUGGCCAUCAUCUUCUUCAACAUUUCUACUAGCAUUAGUAGUUGCUUCCCAAGGUUCUCCGUGAAAUGUCCAAUUCUUAUAGCUUUGGUCAAUUCCAUUAAAGUAUAAGUGAUCCCUUAUAAUUCCAACCCCAAACAACUUCAAAUUAACACAUUUAACACAUGGACAACGGAUAUGUGUUGUAGUUAGAAGAUUUUCUACAGCAAAGUUCAAAAAUGCUUCCACCCCAAACUCAUAUGCCUUCGAUCUUCUAUCCGAGUGCAUCCAUGACUUAUCCAUCUCCGACACUAUAACCUAUUAUCUAUAAUAAAGUGAAAAUACAUGCAAUGACCAUCGCUAUAGCAGAUUAUACAAAGAUCUAAUAGCAAGUAAUACACAACAGAGACGACGGGUUUUAAACAAAAACAGACGUAUUUGGCAUAUAUAGACGACAGAUUUUCAACAGACGUCGUCUAAUAUAAGUAAUACAAACGACGGUUUAUGAAAAAACCGUCGUGUAUAAAUAAUACAACGACGGUUUUUUCAUAAACCGUCGUGUAAUCGCCGUCGUAUGCCUAAAAAGGCGUCGUGUCUCAGUUUAUUUUCAAGAACGCAAAACCCAUUAAGAACACAACAUAUAUAUGAAACCAAGCAAGAAAACAACAUAUACAUGAAACCAAGCAUGAAAACAAUAAAUCCAUUCCCAAUUCAACAUAACAUAGGGUGAUUAAAAGAUCCGACAAAAUUAAAUCCAUUCCCAAUUCAACAUAACAGAUAAUGUAAUCCAUGAACCCAUUAAACAGAAAAUCCAUGAACCCAUACUUAUAAGCACAUUAUUAACAGAUCGCAAAGCAUAUACCUAAAACCCUUUAACAAAACAACCUAAUAUCAUUCAAUGAAUUUACAAGGGGAAGAUAGGGUUUGUACUUACAGGUUGGACGAGCUCACAGAUUCGACGGAGCAGAAGUGAGAGAGCAACUUUUAAUUAGAGCAGAAGUGAGAGAGCGAAAUGUUAUGUUGCGCGAAAUCUGAAAAUUUUAGGGUUCAGGGUUAGAAGAAUAAGAAUAAGAGCCAAAUAUAAAAAAAUUUAGGACGCGCGAAAAUUUUUAGAGCGCGCGCUCUUUAAAACGUCGAAAGAAAAACCAUGGCGAAAGUUCUACAAUAACCGACGUAAAUGUAAUAUUCCACGAUGGAAACACUGAACGUAACGCCGUUUAUUUUGACGCUUCAUUUUUCGGAUUAAUUUUAAAUUUAUUUUCAGUAUUUUGAUAUAAAGACGACUGAAAAACCACGUCGGGGUUAAGAAAUUGAAAACGUUGUAAAUUAUAAUAGACGACUUACAUAUUAAAAUGACGUCGUUUAAAGUAGAAACCAUGUCGGAUAAUUUACUGCACGACGUAACAUAUGUAUUCCACGACUCAACCACCGUCGUUAACAAUUAAUACCAUAAACCCUUAAAACUAAAUUAUAUAGUUUUAAAAAUUAAGUUUAUAAAAGGGUUUAUGGUUUUACAGCCUAAUAUAUACCCUAGACUACCCAAAAAUUAUACUUUAAAAAUAAACCCCAAUAAAUAACAACCCUAAUCUCUAAACCCUAGACUCUAAACCCUAAACCAUAAAACUAGAAGUGAUUUUAUGACUCAUCAAAACAAUUUUGUUUUGGAUGUUCAUUUUAAAUUUUUGUUAUUCAAAAUGAAUUUUUUCAAGGUUUAGGGGGAAGAAAAUAUAUCAAUGACUUCAUAGGAGUUGACUUUGCAUUUUUCUGAUUUAUUUUAAAUUUAUUUUGAAUAUUUUGAUAUAAAAAUAAUAAAAUAUUCUUAUCACAACAACAAACCACGUCGGUGUUGAUAAAUUGUAGACGUUGUAAAUUGUAAUAGACGACUAAGUUGUUAAAAUGACGUCGUUUAAAUGAGAAACGAUGGCGGAUAUUUAACUAUCCGACGUAAAAUAUAUAUUCCUCGACUUAACCGCUGUCGUUACAAAGUACUACCCUGAACCCUUAAGAAAUUGAAGACGUUGUAAACCAUAAACGACUCCAUUGUUCAAAGAACGUCGUCUAAAUAUCCUUUUACGUCGGAUUUGUUUAAAACGAAACCACAAAAAACGACGGCUUUUGACUUUAUUACGUCGUUGGAAAAUUAUUACACGUCGGUUACGCAUUUUGUAUGUUUGUUUUUGUUUUUACUUUAAGAAAACCUCAACAAAUUUUUACAUUAUAUAUUAUAGACAAAAUUUGUACAUUAUACAUAAAUAUCAAGUGUUCAAUAAUUCCCCUAUUCCAGUUGAAGGCAAACAAACUCUGCCCAUUCAUUCCGGACUUCAUCAAUUGCUUCUUGGGGGUAUGGGUCUUCCUGUUUUCCCUUCGCAUACUGCAUAAAAACAAUGACUAUUAGGGUUUAUAAAUAAAAGGAAAUUCAAUCACAGACGACCAUAACCGACGUAGUAUAUCUAUUCAACGACGGUAAUUUUACAUGACCGUCGUUGAUAAUACAAAAAACGACGUAAAAUGUUUGAAGGUUAUUUCUUCUUACCUUCUUCUCAAACCCCAAGGAAGGAUCCAUGAUGAUGUCCUUCAUGAAGCGCAUCACGUAAUACCCGCAUUUGACAUUGCUGGGUUGCUUUGGUGUGCCUGACAGAGUUUUCCAAAUGACUGCCUUACGGCCUGAUCUGGCUAUGUGGGAAUUAUAAAUUUUUAUGGCACUGUUCACGAUGUUUUUGGCCUCUUCAUCGACCACACGAUAUCCUGGCAGAGGAUCCAGAAAAUAGACUGUUUCCCUCUUUGCUCUUACAAUCAGCAAGAUCCAAUGACGGCUGCACAAAAUUAAUAUAAAAACGACGGUUAUUUACAAAAACGACGUAUUAUAAUAUUUCACACGACGAAAUAAAGUAGCAAUCGACGACAUUAUAUAUUUAUCACGACGAUAAAUAACUACCGACGUGGUUAGUCGUUUCAAACGACUCAAUAAAAUAAAACACUGACGUGGUUAGUUUAUACGCUGUCAUUUAUUGAAAAUCAUAAAAACAAAAUCCUGUUAAGGAGACUAACCCUGGAUUGUAAGGCAUCAGGAAAAUCUGUUCACCGUCAGUCUUCUGAAGUCGUGAUGCUACAAGCCGUGAUCUGUCAGCUAUUGUGCCAGAGCUGGCACUAACUGUAGCAGGGUCGAUAAAGCCAACCAUUGUGCACAUAUUUGCUUGUUUUAAAACAUCGUGUAAGUACCUAAAUAUAUAAAAUAAUAUAAACAAGUCAGCGCAAAAAAAACACACGACGGUUAUGUAUAACAAAACGACGUAUUAUAACGUUUCACACGACGUACUGAAAUAGACAACGACGUUAUAAUAAAUUUAUCACGACGGUACAUACUAACGACGUGGUUAGUUAGUUAAGACGACGCAAUAAAUAAACCAACGACGUAUUAUUUUAGAAUGACAAACCUCAUAUAUACAGCAAUGACUGUAGCUCCUAUUUCCUCCAUGCCUGCAAAUUGUGUAAUAUCUUCAGGCAGGAGGAAGGUAUCGCGCUCUAGACCAAAGACCUCCUUAUCAAUUGUAAAGUGCAGGGUCUUAUCUUGAGGCACGAGUGUCGUUUCCACAUAACGACAAAGGGUUUGUAAAGAAGAUGGCGCCUCCAUAUUUGAAUAAUCAACAACUUUAGUAACCUGUUUAAAGAAAUAAAAAAAAUGACGUGGUAAUUCAAUAAAAACGACGGUUUAAGGAAUACAACGUCGUCUGAAAAAAAUUAAACGACGGUGAAAAAACCGUCGUGGUGAUUUAUUUAUUACGUCUUAGAAAACAAUUCCGCCGUCUAAGCUCUAAACAAACGACGGUUUAAAGAAAAAUAUCGACGUCUGGAAUUUUGAAAAACAAAUAAAAAAGGCAAAGUUAUGUGAACAUACCUGGUCGUCAUCUUCUUUCUGCUUUUCAUCUUGUUUUUCUUCUUUAUUCUCUUCAUCUAUGACGUCGGGAAUGAUUAACUCCGUCGUCUAAAAACCACAAAGUUUUAAAAAUAACGACGUUUAAUGGCGUGUAAAACAAGUAAACUAAAUACGACGUGGUAUUGAAAUACAAACGACGGUUUAUUUUUAAAAUCGUCGUGGUAUGAAUUUCAAACGACGAUUUUAUUAAUAAUAACGACGUCUAAUGGUUUUUAAAAAAACAGAGAAUUCAAAGUUCAGAUAUGUUACCUUUUCUUCCGGAUGUUUCCCAUUUUUGGCAGUAUCAUCUUCAAAAUGCUGGGAUCUCACAUCACCUCCAGAGCAGCUUGCUUUGUCAGACAUUGGAUUUUUGGGACUUUGGCUAAUUCUGGGUUUAAGCAUGCUUGGAUCAAAAUUGGGAAUUAAUUGGGAAAGCUGACUCAGGAAAUGCUCCCUCUCAGCCUCUACCAAUUGUUUCGUUCUAGCCUCCAUCCUUAAAGCCUCUUCCCUUGCCUUAGCCUCCAUCUUUCUAGUCUCUUCUUGAAGGAGAACUCUUAAACUGUCCUUCAAACGGUCGUCAAAGCUCACUCUCUGUGGUUUGGGUAAAUUGAAAUAUUGCUUUGGUGAGAUCCCAGCACCUACUCCUCUGACCCUGCCUGGAUGCUCGGGGCCCAAAGCCAUGGUCAGCACAUCAUUGCUGCCAGAGACGGUGACUUUGCCUUCCGAGACUUGUUUUUGCAAAUCAUCCUAAAACAAAGAUAUAUAAAAAAGUAAGAACAAAAACACACGACGGUUAUUUAUAUACAAACGACGUAUUAUAUAAUUUCACACGACGCAAUAACAUAUAAAUCGACGUUAUUAUAAUUUAUCACGACGGUAGUUAUACCGACGUGGUUAGUUCUUUAAAACGACGAAAUUAAUAAACCACCGACGUCUUACGUAACAGAGGGAUGAUUCAAUAUUCACACCUUUAACGACGUUGUUUAAAACAUUUCGAUGUAGUAAUUUAAUACAGACGACGCGAAAUUGAACCACCGACAUCUUAUGCUAUAAUUACAGAAAACAGAGUUCUGAUUCCUAUUUAGACCUUUAACGACGUGUUUUAAAAAAUGUCGACGUGGUAAUAUCAUUCACACGACGCAAAAUAUAACAUAAGACGUAAUAAGAAUUAUUCACAGUUUAAUAAAAAUUUAAAACAGAGUGACUAGGCUUACAAUUAAUUUUGCUUUCUCUGCCACCUUUGGAUCAGGGAUGUUACCAUGUUUGUCCUGUCUAGCUCUCUUACAUAAGGUAGAUCGAUCAAUUUCUACCCCAGGCAUGGUUUCCUCUAAUUGAUCCUCCAAACCGGCAUAUCCUUUUCGAGACAAUCGAUGAUUGUACUCGAGUUUCUCCCUAAUCUGUGCAUUUUGAGAAUGCACAGACUCAAAAUCUUUGGAUAGCCUUGAAGCUACAAAGGCAUCCCAUUGUGCUUUCUCUAUGAAUUUAUAUGUUUCAGGGGGUUGGCUUAAUCUCUCCCUGUCAUUGGUGUAUGGAAGGAUAUAAUGCCUCGUUAGUGUAGACUUGAAAUCCUUCCAUUUCUUGGCAGCAGAAGCUAAGACAGAGUUCUUUCCCCCUUGACCUACUACAAAAGCAAUGUCAACUGCUUCCCAAAUCUGCUCCUUUAUAUCCUUGGGGAUUUGAGCCCAUUUCAAGUCCACAAGUGGAACUCUGGAGCGUGCCAACACACCAAUAUAGGACUGCAUCUCACUAUGAGCUUGGCCAAUUCCUUUCCCCCUUUUAUUGUACUCAACAAUUGGCCUCAGUUUCUGCAGUUUUCUCUUCACAACACGAGGCAUUGUGCUCAUACCUCGACCAGCCUUUGAAUCAUCAGAUAUUGUUGUCCCGCUGGUUGGUUCUGUAUCAGCAGAUGAUGAAGCAAACUUCAUCUUCUUCGAAGACUUCAUUAUCUUCGAAGACUUCUCUUGAGGAGGUACUUGCUCCUCACCUCCAUUUUUCUUGGAGCCAGAAUCCUUACUUUGGUCUUGGUGAGAAACCAUUUUUACAGACAAAACUGCAAGUGAAAAUAUUUCAAGAAAAGAUUAAGAACACAAACGACGGUUAUUAAUAAAAUACGACGUAUGAUAUGAUUUUAAACGACGCAAUGAAAUAAUAUCAGACGUAAUAAAUUUUUAAAACCAAGGUAAUUAAACAACGACGAAAUAAUUGACUACAAACGACGUGAUAAUUAACUAUAAACGACGGAAUAUUUAUAUAACGUCGUGGUAUUGAUGUUCACACGACGUCAGUAGUAAUAUACCGUCGUCUAUAUAAGGAUCCAAAACCCUUCUUUCUUUCUCUGUGAAUGUUUGAUUGCAGAUUUGAUUUUUCUGAACCAUGGUUUUUGUUUUCUAAUUUGAUAAAAUACAAGGCCAAGAAAGAAAGUUUUGGAAUCUUAUAUAGACGACGGUAUUUUAAUAUGACGUCGUAGUAUUAACAUUCACACGACGUAAAACAAUAAGAUACUGUCGUCUAUAUUAGAUACCAACCCUAAUUUCUUUUUCUUUAUAUUUUAUCAAAUUAGGGAAAAACAAAAACCAUUGUUCAGAGAAAUCAAACCUGCAAUUAAACAAGCAAAUAAAAAAAAGACUAAAAUUUUAAAAACAACUUUGUCAAUUUUCAGACGACGCUAGAACGACUGACGAACUGUCGUGGUCUACAUAUUUAACCACGUAAAUAAGAAGCUACCGUCGUCUUAUUUAGUUGAGGUAGUUGUCUUCAAAGUUGGAAACUUUCCCUCUUUGUCUGUAUAUUUUAUCGAACUUGGAAAGAAGUAAAAUGAUUUUGGCCAGAAAAAAGGUAAAAAGAUUUUUCAAACAAAAAACGUAUGAGCAUGCAAAACAGCAACCAAAAUAGUGAAAAUGAAAGCUUACCUUUUGCGUGCAAUGAAAGCAAGAGGAAGACGAUCGAUGUUUAAAUUCAGAGACGACGAAGAAGACGAGAGGAAGACGAUGAGAUACUCUGAAAGUGCUCUGACAAGGAAAAAAGUCUAAAAGUUUUCUCUGGGAGAUUGAAAUUUUUAAUCGGGUUUGGAAAAAGUGCAUGUGUAAGUCAGGUAGACGAAAAGUUGCUUACAUAUAAAACCAUUUCAAAAAAAUAAUACGGCGGUUACAUAUAACUACGACGUAUAAAUUACAAAAUACGACAGUACGUUUAACUUCGGACGUCGUAAAUAAUUACGACAGUAGUGUUGUAGGUACCGUCGUAGUAAACUCAAAAUUAAAGUACAUAAGUAAUAACUCGCGUCAUGGUAGAUCAUUUAACACGUCGGUUUUAUUAAUGUACCGACGUGGAUUUAUGUAAUAUACGUCGGUAAUACCGACGUUGAUUUUACAAUUUAAACGGCGGUUUUUUUGUAAGGACCGCCGUUGGUUUUAAAAAUUUAUUCUAUAAAUUUGUCGCUUUCAUUCAUUUUCGGUUUACAUUUAGGGUUCCAAGUUCUUCCUCUCUCAGAGACACUGUCCCUCACAUCUCAAAGACAGUAAUUUGGAUGUCUUUCUCAAAGAGAAAUUGAGCUUACUCGCAUCAAAUCUAUGUCCACAAGAAGAAGCUUGUCAACUAGCCUUCUCACUUCCUUGAUCAAGCCUGAUAGGACACUUAGUGCUUCUGAAUACUCCUUGCUUUCCAUCAAAAGAGAUGCAAGCCUGGCCUCCACUCGCUGUCAAAGGAAAGUUCGCUUCUCAGGGAAAUCUGAAGAUCAGAUGUGCCUGAUCCUCUGCUUGAUUUUCUUGGCUAAGAAGAUCCGUCAGAUUUGUGAUAGCCUCUUUCUUUAUCCGUAGAGCUUCAGAAGAAGAAGAUGGGUUUCAAGAAUGCGAUAAAGAAUAGAAAUGGCUUCAGAUGGCCUCUAAAGCAUGAGCAAUCGAAUCAGUGCUUUGAACUAUACUUUGAACUAUACAAGUCAUGCAGAAAGAUAAAGGACCAAACUAUUAAAGAAACUGAAACUGUUAAAGAAACCCCAAACUAACACGACGCAAUAUUUGUUUUGCGACGUGGAAUCUUUUCAUUUAACGUCGUUAGGUUUAAUAUAACCGACGUGGAUUUGAAUUUUUAAAUUAUGAAUAGAAUUUUUUUUUCCGUGACCUUUCAGUUUAUUUUUCAAUUACAGUGCGUUAUAAAUAGAGUUUUUUUUCCGGAGGAAAUUUAAAAUGAAGGAAAUUAAUGUUCUGGAAUAUGUAAAGUUUCUUUUUUGGAUGACAGAUUUAAAUAAAAUAAGAAUAUAAAAACAACGACUGUUUUUGUAUUACUGUCGUCGUUUUUCGUCGUCUUAAGUAAGACUAAGACGACGUAAUAUAUUUGUUGAGCGACGUUGAUUUGUGUUUUAAACGUCGUUAGGUAUAAUAUAACCGUCGUUGAAAAUUGUCUCUCUGAUUGCAAAUUUGCAAUGACGUUAGGUAUAAUAUUUGUAGAUACACAAACGCACACACAUCAUCAACUUCCAAAAAAUUGUCUCUCUGAUUGCAAAUCUGUGUCAUCUGUUAAGAUUAUGAUGUGGAACAGAGUUCCAUCUGGUAAGAUUUCGUAACCCUUGGGAUCUCAGAAAAAUCUGAUUAUGUCGGCGGUUUUCUAUAUAAACCGUCGUGGUUAUUUCAAUUCUUGUCAUUAAGUAGAUCUACCGACGUAGGAUAAGAAAAUCAAAGAAAAAAUUUGUUAACAAAAAUUCUUAUUAAGACGACGGUUUAAAUUAAAGGUACGACGUAUAAAAUGAAUAAAUACGACGUUAAAUUUUAUAGUACGAUUUAAAGAUAACGUCGUAGAACUAUACCAGAAUGACGUCGAUAUAUUUAUAUUUUUCGUCGUUGUACAUUAAUUUAAUACGGCGAUAUUUUGUAUUUUAAAGCCGUGGAUUUGUUUGUAAUUAUACAGCGUCUUAUACGAAAACCUCGUCGUGUUAUUUUAUGAGUAAAAACGGCUUUUAUUGAAAUCGUCGUCUUUACUUUCUACGUCGGUCGAUUCAUAACUUCUGCCGUUCUUUGUUGGCUUUGAUUUUACACUGCGGAAAUCUGUUUCAAAUAGACGUCGGUUGUUUAAUUAAGUACGUCGUUGUUUUUGAACAGCCAUUUGAAUCUCCAUUUUUAGUUGUCUAAGGUGGUAUUACACGACGGUGUUUUUAGAACCGUCGUCUUUUUAAAAACCACGACGGUUUUCUCUGAGACCGUCGUUGUUUUCUGGUCGUCUUUUUCACUUUUUGUAGUAGUGUUUGACGACCGUUUGAAGGACAGUUUAAGAGUUCUCCUUCAAGAAGAGACUAAAAAGAUGGAGGCUAAGGCAAGGGAAGAAGCUUUAAGGAUGGAGGCUAGAACGAAACAAUUGGUAGAGGCUGAGAGGGAGCAUUUCCUGAGUCAACUUUCUCAAUUAAUUCCCAAUUUUGAUCCAAGCAUGCUUAAACCCAGAAUUAGCCAAAGUCCCAAAAAUCCAAUGUCUGACAAAGCAAGCUGCUCUGGAGGUGAUGUGAGAUCCCAGCAUUUUGAGGAUGAUACUGCCAAAAAUGGGAAACAUCAGGAAGAAAAGGUAACAUAUCUGAACUUUGAAUUCUCUGUUUUUUUUAAAACCAUUAGACGUCGUUAUUAUUAAUAAAACCGUCGUUUGAAAUACAUACCACGACGAUUUUAAAAAUAAACCGUCGUUUGUAUUUCAAUACCACGUCGUAUUUAGUUUACUUGUUUUACACGCCAUUAAACGUCGUUAUUUGUGGUUUUUAGACGACGGAGUUAAUCAUUCCCGACGUCAUAGAUGAAGAGAAUAAAGAAGAAAAACAAGAUGAAAAGGAGAAAGAAGAUGACAACCAGGUAUGUUCACAUAACUUUGCCUUUUUUAUUUGUUUUUCAAAAUUCCAGACGUCGAUAUUUUUCUUUAAACCGUCGUUUGUUUACUUCUUAGACGGCGGAAUUGUUUUCUAAGACGUAAUAAAUAAUUUACCACGACGGUUUUUUCACCGUCGUUUAAAUUCUUUUCAGACGACGUUUUAUUCCUUAAACCGUCGUUGUUAUUGAAUUACCACGUCAUUUUAUUUAUUUCUUUAAACAGGUUAUUAAAGUUGUUGAUUAUUCAAAUAUGGAGGCGCCAUCUUCUUUAAAAACCCUUUGUCGUUAUGUGGAAACGACACUCGUGCCUCAGGAUAAGACCCUGCACUUUACAAUUGAUAAGGAGGUGUUUGGUCUAGAGCGCGAUACCUUCCUCCUGCCUGAAGAUAUUACACAAUUUGCAGGCAUGGAAGAAAUAGGAGCCACUGUCAUUGCUGUAUAUAUGAGGUUUGUGAUGUACCGUCGUUGGUUUAUUUAUUGCGUCGUCUUAACCAACUAACCACGUCGUUAGUAUGUACCGUCGUGAUAAAUAUAUUAUAACGUUGUUGUCUAUUUCAGUACGUCGUGUGAAAUUUUAUAAUACGUCGUUUUGUUAUACAUAACCGUCGUGUGUUUUUUUGUAUAUAUGAGGUUUGUCAUUCUAAAAUAAUACGUCGUUGGUUUAUUUAUUGCGUCGUCUUAACCAACUAACCACGUCGUUAGUAUGUACCGUCGUGAUAAAUAUAUUAUAACGUCGUUGUCUAUUUCAGUACGUCGUGUGAAAUUUUAUAAUACGUCGUUUUGUUAUACAUAACCGUCGUGUGUUUUUUUGUGCUGACUUGUUUAUAUGAUUUUAUAUAUUUAGGUACUUACACGAUGUUUUGAAACGAGCUAAUAUGUGUAGCAUGGUUGGCUUUAUCGACCCUGCUACAGUUAGUGCCAGCUCUGGCACAAUAGCUGACAGAUCACGCCUACUGGCAGCUCGACUUCAGAGGACUGACGGUGAACAGAUUUUCCUGAUGCCUUACAAUCCAGAGUUAGUCUCCUUAACACGAUUUUGUUUUUAUGAUUUUCAAUAAAUGCAGCGUAUAAACUAACCACGUCGGUGUUUUAUUUUAUUGAGUCGUUUAAAACUACUAACCACGUCGGUAGUUAUUUAUCGUUGUGAUAAAUGUAUAAUGUCGUCGAUUGCUACUUUAUUUCGUCGUGUGAAAUAUUAUAAUACGUCGUUUUUGUAAAUAACCGUCGUUUUUAUAUUAAUUUUGUGCAGCCGUCAUUGGAUCUUGUUGAUUGUAAGAGCAAAGAGAGAAACCGUCUAUUUUCUGGAUCCUCUGCCAGGAAAUCGUGUGGUUGAUGAAGAGGCCAAAAACAUUGUGAACAGUGCUAUAAAAAUUUAUAAUUCUCACAUAGCCAGACCAGGCCGUAAGGCAGUCAUUUGGAAAACUCUGUCAGGCACACCAAAGCAACCCAGCAAUGUCGAAUGCGGGUAUUAUGUGAUGCGCUUCAUGAGGGACAUCAUCAUGGAUCCUUCCUUGGGGUUUGAGAAGAAGGUAAGAAGAAAUUACCUUCAUACAUUUUACGUCGUUUUUUGUAUUAUCAACGACGGUCAUGUAAAAUUACCGUCGUUGAAUAGAUAUACUACGUCGGUUAUGGUCGUCUGUGAUUGAAUUUCCUUUUAUUUAUAAACCCUAAUAGUCAUUGUUUAUGCAGUAUGCCAAGGAAAAACAGGAAGAGCCAUACCCCCAAGAAGCCAUUGAUGAAGUCCGGAAUGAAUGGGCAGAGUUUGUUUGCCUUCACCUGGAAUAGGGGAAUUAUUGAACACUUGAUAUUUAUGUAUAAUGUACAAAUUUUGUCUAUAAUAUAUAAUGUAAAAAUUUGUUGAGGUUUUCUUAAAUUUAAAAAAAAAACAAACAUACAAAAUGCGUAACCGACGUGUAAUACUUUUCCAACGACGUAAUAUAGUCAAAAGCCGUCGUUUUUUGUGGUUUCGUUUUAAACAAAUCCGACGUAAAAGGAUAUUUAGACGACGUUCAUUGAACAAUGGAGUCGUUUAUGAUUUACAACGUCUUCAAUUUCUUAAGGGUUCAGGGUAGUACUUUGUAACGACAGCGGUUAAGUCGUGGAAUAUAUAUUUUACGUCGGAUAGUUAAAUAUCCGCCAUUGUUUCUCAUUUAAACGACGUCAUUUUAACAACUUAGUCGUCUAUUACAAUUUACAACGUCUACAAUUUAUUAACACCGACGUGGUUUGUUGUUGUGAUAAGAAUAUUUUAUUAUUUUUAUAUCAAAAUAUUCAAAAUAAAUCUAAAAUAAAUCCGAAAAAUGCAAAGUCAACUCCUAUGAAGUCAUUGAUAUAUUUUCUUCCCCCUAAACCUUGAAAAAAAUUCAUUUUGAAUAACAAAAAUUUAAAAUGAACAUCCAAAACAAAAUUAUUUUGAUGAGUCAUAAAAUCACUUCUAGUUUUAUGGUUUAGGGUUUAGAGUCUAGGGUUUAGAGAUUAGGGUUGUUAUUUAUUGGGGUUUAUUUUUAAAGUAUAAUUUUUGGGUAGUCUAGGGUAUAUAUUAGGCUGUAAAACCAUAAACCCUUUUAUAAACUUAAUUUUUAAAAUUAUAUAAUUUAGUUUUAAGGGUUUAGGGUAUUAAUUGUUAACGACGGUGGUUAAGUCGUGGAAUACAUAUUUUACGUCGUGCAGUAAAUUAUCCGACAUGGUUUCUACUUUAAACGACGUCAUUUUAAUAUGUAAGUCGUCUAUUAUAAUUUACAACGUUUUCAAUUUCUUAACCCCGACGUGGUUCGUCUUUAUAUCAAAAUAUUCAAGAUAAAUUUAAAAUUAAUCCGAAAAAUGAAGCGUCAAAAUAAACGACGUUAUGUUCAGUGUUUCCGUCGUGGAAUAUUACAUUUACGUCGGGUCUUGUAGAACUUUCGCCAUGGUUUUUCUUUCGACGUUUUAAAGAGCGCGCGCUCUAAAAAUAUUCGCGCGUCCUAAAUUUUUUUAUAUUUGGCUCUUAUUCUUAUACUUCUAACCCUGAACCCUAAAAUUUUCAGAUUUCGCGCAACAUAACAUUUCGCUCUCUCACUUCUGCUCUAAUUAAAAGUUGCACUCUCCAGGCUCCGUCGAAUCUGUGAGCUCGUCCAACUUGUAAGUACAAACCCUAUCUUCCCCAUGUAAAUUCAUUGAAUGAUAUUAGGUUGUUUUGUUAAAGGGUUUUAGGUAUAUGCUUUGCGAUCUGUUAAUAAUGUGCUUAUCAGUAUGGGUUCAUGGAUUACAUUAUCUGUUAUGUUGAAUUGGGAAUGGAUUUAAUUUUGUCGGAUCUUUUAAUCACCCUAUGUUAUGUUGAAUUGGGAAUGAAUUUAUUGUUUUCAUGCUUGGUUUCAUGUAUAUGUUGGUUUCUUGCUUGGUUUCAUAUAUAUGUUGUGUUCUUAAUGGGUUUUGGGUUCUUGAAAAUAAACUGAGACACGACGCCUUUUUAGGCAUACGACGACGAUUACACGACGGUUUAUGAAAAAACCGUCGUUGUAUUACUUAUACACGACGGUUUUUUCAUAAACCGUCGUUUGUAUUACUUAUAUUAGACGACGUCUGUUGAAAAUCCGUCGUCUAUAUAUGCCAAAUACGUCUGUUUUUGUUUAAAACCCAUCGUCUCUGUUGUGUAUUACUUGCUAUUAGAUCUUUGUAUAAUCUGCUAUAGUGAUGGUCAUUGCAUGUAUUUUCACUUUAUUAUAGAUAAUAGGUUAUAGUGUCGGAGAUGGAUAAGUCAUGGAUGCACUCGGAUAGAAGAUCGAAGGCAUAUGAGUUUGGGGUGGAAGCAUUUUUGAACUUUGCUGUAGAAAAUCUUCUAACUACAACACAUAUCCGUUGUCCAUGUGUUAAAUGUGUUAAUUUGAAGUUGUUUGGGGUUGGAAUUAUAAGGGAUCACUUAUACUUUAAUGGAAUUGACCAAAGCUAUAAGAAUUGGACAUUUCACGGAGAACCUUGGGAAGCAACUACUAAUGCUAGUAGAAAUGUUGAAGAAGAUGAUGGCCAUAGUAGGUACAGUUUUGUGUCUGAAGAAAUUGAUAUGGAUGAUAAUGAUUUUGGUUCCGAUCCGUAUGAGUUUGCCAAUGUGAUUGGGGAUGGAGAUCAACCAGUGUACCCUGGUUGUAGAAAGUACACGAAGUUAUCGGCAUUAGUGAAGUUGUAUAAUUUGAAGGCAAAACAUGGGAUGAGUGAUGUCUGUUUUACAGAAUUAUUGAUACUUCAAGGCGAUUUGCUUCCAGAAGGAAAUACAAUACCAACCUCUAUGUAUGAGGCUAAAAAGACUUUGUGUGCAUUGGGGCUGAGUUAUGAGAAAAUGCACGCAUGCCCCAAUGAUUGCAUCUUGUAUAGGAAGGAGUAUGAGGAUUCAACUAAUUGUCCUACUUGUGGUAUCUCAAGGUGGAAGGAAGGCAAAGAUUCAAUCUUGAAAGAGGGUGUGCCAGCGAAGGUGGUGUGGUAUUUUCCUCCAAUUCCAAGGUUUAAAAGGAUGUUUCAAUCACAUGAGACAGCUAAGAGUUUGACUUGGCAUGCUGCUAGAAAAUCAAUUGACGGUCAGAUGUCUCAUCCGGCGGAUUCCCCGUCUUGGAAACUUCUUGAUGAUAAAUGGCCUGAGUUUGGUAAUGAGCCGAGAAACUUGAGAUUGGCUCUUUCAUCUGAUGGAUUCAAUCCCCACAGUUCUCUAAGUAGCAGAUAUAGUUGUUGGCCGGUUAUCUUAGUUACAUAUAAUCUCCCUCCAUGGCUGUGCAUGAAACGAAAGUUCAUGAUGUUAACCUUAUUGAUUUCCGGUCCUAAACAACCCGGAAAUGAUAUAGACGUCUACUUGGAGCCUUUGAUUGAUGAUUUAAAAUCUUUGUGGGAUGGGAUUAGAGGAGUGUAUGAUGCACAUAAUGGAGAAUACUUUACACUCAGAGCUGCAUUAAUGUGGACAAUUAAUGAUUUCCCCGCCUAUGGAAACUUAUCUGGUUGUGUUGUUAAAGGAUAUAAAGCUUGUCCAAUAUGCGGUGAUGAUACACCUAGUCACAGGUUGAAAAAUGGCCACAAAAUUUGUUACAUUGGGCAUAGAAAAUGGUUACCAAUCAAUCAUCCAUAUAGGAGGCAACGUGCAGCUUUUAAUGGGAAACUUGAAUAUGGCAUACCUCCCGAGCCAUUAACCGGAGAAGAAGUGCUGCAUAUGGUUGAAAAUGGUGACAGAGUUUGUUGGAAGAAGAAAUCAAUAUUCUUUGAUCUCGAGUAUUGGAAAUACCUUCCUGUGAGGCAUGCCCUAGAUGUUAUGCACAUUGAGAAGAAUGUUUGCGAUAGUAUCAUUGGUACAUUGCUGGAGAUCCCUGGAAAAAAAAAAGAUGGGAUUGCUGCUCGAUUAGAUUUAUUGAACAUGGGGGUCAAAACUGAUUUGCAACCCGAGUAUGGAGAAAGACGUACUCGUUUGCCUCCUGGGCCUUGGAAUUUGUCAAGAGCAGAGAAGAGAGAGGUUUGCAAUUCUUUCUAUGGUAUGAAGGUCCCCGAAGGUUACUCUUCAAAUAUUAAAAAUCUUGUAUCUUUACAAGAUUCAAGACUUCUUGGCCUUAAAUCACAUGAUUGUCAUACCUUAAUGCAACAAUUGCUCCCUGUGGCAAUUCGUUCUGUUUUGGAGAAGCCUGCAAGGUAUGCAAUAACUCGUUUGUGCUUCUUCUUCAAUGCUAUAUGUGCAAAGGCUGUUGAUGUUUCCAAGCUAGAUAAGUUGGAAGAAGAUGUAGUAGUUACUCUGUGUUUGCUUGAGAAGUACUUUCCCCCUUCAUUCUUUGAUAUCAUGGUUCAUCUAGUAGUACAUCUUGUCAGAGAAGUUCGUCUAUGUGGGCCAGUAUAUUUUAGGUGGAUGUAUCCGUUUGAAAGAUAUAUGAAAGUGCUGAAGGGGUAUGUUCAGAAUCGUACUCGUCCCGAAGGUUGCAUUGCUGAGCGGUAUAUAGCUGAAGAAGCGGUAGAGUUUUGUACUCAGCAUUUAUCUGAUGUUAGUACAGUUGGAGUGCCUUCAAGCCAAAAGAUGGGACUUUCAAAGCCAUUAUCAGGUUGCACAGUGAGCGUAGUUGAUCAGGACCUGUUGAAUCAAGCACAUCUAUAUGUCUUGGAGAAUACGGAGGAAGUCCUACCUUAUAUCGAGUACGUAUGAGCUUUAUUCUUUAAGUUUCCAUUUUAAAUUAUUUCUUAUGUUUAUCUUCUAUAUUUGGGACCGUAAUGCUUGAAUUUUUCGUGUCAUGUAGGCAACAUAUGAUCCACAUCAAGACUGCUUAUCCAAAAUUUAGAAAGAGAACAAAGUGGCUGCAGGAUAAGCACAAUAGCACUUUCAUUCAAUGGCUACGCUUCAAGGUAUAUGUUGUUGAAAUAACAUAUUUCUCUUUUAAUUUUCUUCUUAUUUAUAUGUUAGAUUGAAUUAAGAUAUGAUUAAUUUGCAGGUUCAAAGUGAACUUGAGGAAGACAAUCAUGGCGUAUCAGAAAAUUUAAGGUGGCUAGCAGCUGGUCCAAACAUGUCAGUGCCAUUAUAUAGGAGCUAUCUUAUUAAAGGUAUUAAAUUCAAUAUCAAGGCACAAGAUGAUGUGCGGACAACUCAAAAUAGUGGAGUUUAUUUACUUGCACAUACCAUGCAAGUUGCUAGUGCCAAGGAUAAAAACCCAAUUCUCUCAAAUAUGGGUUUCUAUGGUGUCAUUCAAGAAAUUUGGGACCUUGACUACCAAAAGUUUACAAUCCCAGUCUUUAGGUGUGAUUGGAUAGAUAGUUCUGGUCUUGUAGUCGACGAACUUGGAUUUACCCUUGUAGAUUUGAGUAAAAUUGGACAUAGGAAUGACCAAUUUGUUUUGGCUUCUCAAGUCAAACAAAUAUUUUUUGUUGACGACCCGAUGCAUCGUGGUUGGUCGGUAGUGUUAUCAAUGCCUAAUAGAGAAUAUAAUGAUGUUAUUGGUGAUGAAGUCUUAGGUGAUGUGAUAAUUGAGUGUGAGCCAUUUACUAGAAGGAUGCCAAAUGUUGACACAUUUGAUGAACUGGUGGGUGAGUUAGGCGGUCAAAGUAUUCGAGAUGGGUGUGAAGAUAUAUGGAUUGAAUGAUGCUUAUGUAAUUGGCAGUGUAUGACAUUAAUUUUGUAAUAUAUUGUAAUGUGAUUUCUUCACUUUCUACGUUCAAAUAAAACACGACGUUAUUGUGAACCAGUUAUUCAGCAUAUUUACCGACGUCUUAAAGCAACGUAACAAUGAAGAACCACGACGCUAAUGUGAAGCAAUUAUUCAGGAUAUCACGUCGGGGAAGGAUUAAGAACCGCCAUGUAAUUCAAAAUAACACGACUCCAAUCCCAUAAUACCGACGUCUAAAAAACGAGAUAUAUAAUCUGAACGUUAAAAAAUACGACGUCAUCAUACAUUUUCCACGUCGCAAGUUCUUUUAUAAACGAAGAGGAACGAAAUGAAUUCCGACGGUAAUUCAUUAUAACCGCCGUCUAAUAUCAAUUAAACGACGUUAUUUGUAAUACGGCUCUCAUCAUAAUCAACGCCGUCUAUAUGUUCUGUAAUACGGCUCUCAUUUAUUUGGAACCGACGUUGUUUAGAAGUUCAACGUCGUCUAUAUUAAUAAGUGCGUCGUGAGUAAUGAAUACAUAUAAAUACAACGUCGACUAUAUAAAUACCACCGACGUUGUUUCGCAUUUCAACGUCAACUAUAUAAAUACAUACGUCGUAAAUAAUGACACUGACAACUAUUUCCACGUCAUCUUUUUUAGAAAAAUCGAAGUGGAAAAUUUAUUUCACGACGGUUGUUUGUAAAUAAGAGACGUAGUAGAUUUCAAUAACGUCGUCUUCUCAUGUAUUUAAAGACGUCAUAUUUUUUCUUGUCGUAAAAAUUAUAUUUAAUGGCGUAGUGUUUUAGUUGUCGUCGUUGUAUGUCUAUCUUGCGGCCUUGUUCUUUUAAUAUGUGUCAUAUUUUUCCCUUUUAACGACGGUGAUUUGUUUGAGUUGGUCGUCUAUUCUCAUCCUCGACUAUUUUUUAGAACUUUAGCAGACUAAACACGUAUGUUUUUAUUUGUUUUCGACGUUGUUUUAUUUAACAACGUCUAAUAUUUAUCGUCGUUGUUUGUUUCUGAAAAUAGGACGUAUAAAUUUUGUAAUACAACUCUCAUAUAUUUGUAACCGACGUUGUUUCGUUGUUCAACGUCUACUCUAUAAAUACAUACGUCGUAAAUAAUGACACUGACAACUAUUUCCACGUCAUCUUUUAUAGAAAAAUCGAAGUGGAAAAUUUAUUUUACGACGGCUGUUUUUAUAUAGGCGACGUAGUAGGUAUCAAUAACGUCGUCUUCUAAUGUAUUUAAAGACGUCAUAUUUUUUAUUGUCGUGAAAAUGAUAUUUAACGGCGUCUUAUUUUAAUUGUCGUCGUUGUAUGUCUAUCUUGCGGCCUUGUUCUGUUAAUAUGUGUCAUAUUUUUCCUUUUUAACGACGAUUUUUUUAGAUAGUUGGUCGUCUAUUCUCAUCCUCGACUGCUUUUUUAGAUCUUUUUGCAGUACAAAGACGUCGUUUUGUAUUUGUUGAUGACGUCGUAUAUUUUAACAACGACGGUGAUUUAGCGUCGUGGUUUAUGAGGGAAAAGAUGACGGUGGAUUCCACGACCAUUGAAAAACCGAAUACACGACGGUGAUUUACCGUCGUCUUUUUGCUUUUUUGUAGUAGUGUAGGCUGCCUACGUACCCUCACUGAGGGGUCAAGCUACACGUAGUUCUUUCCAAAACUCAUAUCAGUCCUAUAUUGAAUAUGAAUACGCCAUACACUGAACUCCCUUAUCAUAGUUUAAGAAUAUCUUAUAACUGAAAUUCUCUCCACCUAGGCGUACCUCUAAUUCUGAUCCUUACACUCCAUUAAUACUGCCCAUACCAUCCUCGCAGGCCAGGGCCGCAAUCCUCGCAGGCCUCGGAGAUACCGCUUCUAUCCGAGCUGCAUUCCUGGCUUGCAAGUCUGGGAGAUACCCCUUCUAUCCGAGCCGCAAUCCUCGCUCGCAGGUCUCGGAGAUAGGCCUUCUAUCCGAGCCGCAAUCUUUGCUCGCAGGUCUCGGAGAUACCCCUUCUAUCCAAGCCGCAAUCCUCCCCUCGCAAAUCUGGAAGUCCCUCAAGUUUCUAAUAUGCCUAGGACACAUGUCCCGUGAGUUUGGUCUCCAUCGGAUCGUCGGAUUACCCAUGAUCGCACGAUCGGACUAUUUUUGUACACCUAGCCCUAGGGUUGGCAUUUUCGGAGUAUCCGGGACUCCGAUUUACGAUCCGUUUACUCCUAUAGGAUCCUGGAAAUACCUAGGUCAACAUUCCUGAAAAUGACUACAAUCCAACGACUCAAACGUCUCAAACCCAGAAAUCGCACAAUAGGCGAGACUCGUUCGGGGUUCAAAUGUUAUCCAAAUUGAACCGUGAGUACCUACACACUAGUGAAGACCAAGGGAUUAUUCUAGGACUAAGUGUGGCUCAACCAUUUUGUCCUACCCUAGGUUCUGGGCAUCAAUUGGAGCCACUUUUGUUCUUAGACCUCCUGAAAAAUGGCCGGAAGUGGCCGGAAUUCCAACCUGAAAUCCGACCAAACCUUGAGUUACAAAUCGAACCACCUAUGCUAGAAAUUGACCAAUUCCUACUCAACCAUUAGCUAGAGUAUGAAAAAUAGGUGAGAAAGCAUACCUCACCCGACUAAAUUAGUGGCUAGAGGAGGGAGAUCGAAGCUGGGAAGUUUCUGUCAAAAUCGACGUGAUUCCGAGCUGUUUCCGGUUACUUUGGGAGCUUGGCUACGGCGGAACACGUUGCUGGGAUGGUGGUGGUCCUAACCGGACCGGUCACGUGGCCGGCCAUGGUGUGUGGCGGUGAUGGUGGCUUCAACAAGCCAUAGCUGGAGUAGAACCAAUUUGAGGAGGGAGGGGGCCGCUGGUUCGCAAGGAGAGAGAGAGGGUUUUAAAAUUUAUGCUAUGGCAAAUUACAAUUUUGCCCCUCCAUGAAUUUUAAUUGUAUUUUCUUCAUUGUAACUCCAAUUCGAGCCCACUAUGUGUUUACGGACUCGUUUCAUCUCGUUCUAUGCAACGGUACAAUCAAAAUCUACAAAUUCCUAACUAGUCAAAAAGUCAACUUUAAACCUAAUAAAAUAUUCUGGGUAUAUUCUAGUCUUUUUCUUGAAUAAAAUAAUAAUUAAGAAUUAAUUAAGGAUCAGGUUGUUACAAACUACCCCCUAUAAAAAUUUCGUCCUUGAAAUUUCAUAACAACCACUCGAAUCGGUAAGGAACUAGGCCUGCAUCUACUACUCGAGUUCUUAAGUAACCUCCUCCACAACUUGAUAUGACGGGAACUUAACUUCCCACGUUUCCCGAACCCCCACAAAGUCACAGCUGGGACCACCACACCGGUUUCUGCCGUCGUCGUACCAUCUCAAGGCCUCAUGGCUGGAUCUAGCCACCUUCAUAACACCACCGCCGAGCAUGGUGGAACCUCCCAUCAAGGUGGGCUCACUACCACUGCUGACUUUGGCCCAAUCUUGGAGCAACUUCAAGCAUUCCCUCCAUUGCCUCCACGCUCGAAGCACACUCCUGCGUACACAUCUAAUGAAACCCUAGCCUGUAUGCAAUUGGGCUUCACACAUUUCUCUCAUCUCGAUCCACGAAGUCAAGUAGACCUUAAUCUGAGAGUUGACUAGCUAACUCAGAGAAUAGACCACCAAAACAAUUUGAAGAGGCAACACCUCAACCAAAUAAACUUGGCUCAAAACCUUGGCCUUGGACAACAGGGCGAAGAGAGAAGGAUGGAUGAACGCGCCGAUAAGCAGUUCGAUGGGUACCAAGUAGGUUGAGCAGGAGUCAACAGAUAAGGAGAUGGACAACAACACGAUCAGCUUGCCGACAUGUUGCAAGCAUCUGCAAGCCACACUCAAAGCAGACGAGGUCUCCCAUCCAGAUUAAAUUUAAGGACCAACAUGCGCAAUAGGCUGGGCCCACAAUUUGGUAUCUGCAUCCACACUCGCCUGGGUCCGCAGGGAAAUGUUCAUGAAAGGCUAGGCCCCCAGGGAGGUCAACCUGGUAACCCUCACAAUGACGACCGUGAAGAAAGGCGCUCUGCUGCUCACUCUUGAAGAACCAAUUCUCGUCUCCAAGUUACUGAAAAUUCCUCGCAAACGUAGUCCACCAACACGCUGCCUAGGCAGCGCAACUGAGAAAAUCGACCCUUGCAAACCAACGAGGAAGUUAAUCAGCCUCGCCCAAAUCGUAAAGGUCAUCAACGUGGCCGACCAGCCAUGUGUGCGGAAGACGUUGAGAAGCUUGUGAAUAACCGACUUCGAGACUUAAAGAUUGGAGGAAAUUUCGAAGAUGCACUACGCAUGGAGGUAGACCGAGCAAACUCCUCACCUUUCACGGCCGAAAUCGAGCAAGUUGCUCUCUCGAAAAGAUUCUCAACGCCCUCUUUCACAUGCUUCAAAGGGGAUUCCGAUCCUGAAAUCCAUCUGAAGCAUUUCAAGAGCCUUAUGAUCCUACACAAAACUGAAGACGCUCUAAUGUGCAAGGUGUUUGCAAUGACUUUGAGAGAAGCAGCUCAGGACUGGUUCCACACCCUGCCAUCCGGGUUGAUCAGUAGCUUCAAGGAGCUUGCUUAUGUCUUCACCAAAGAGUACACUUCUUAUCGGACAAUCAAGAAGAACCCUGACCAUCUGCUCAACUUGCACAAGAAGUCCGAUCAAUCCCUCCAAGACUACAUCAAGAGGUUCAAAGCGGAGAGGGCAAACAUUAUAGGAUGUGAUGACAAAAUUGGGUGCUCCGCAUUCAAGAGGGGGUUGCCAACUGAAUGUGAGCUGUAUCGCGAGCUGACCAUCUCCCCUUGCCAAACAUUGGUAGAAGUCUUCGCUACAGCAGAGCGCUACGCACUAGGGGACGACGACCAGAUCGCAGCAAAGAAGGCUGAUCAAGCAGCUGAGCAGGCAAGCCAAGAGAACAGCAAGCGCAGAUCACAGCCUCAAGAAGGUGCUCCCGCAGUGGAGAGCUACACCAAUUUCACUAUUCCGAUACACCAAAUCCUGGCCCAAGUAAAGGACAUGCCUUGGUUGAAGAAACCAUCGCCUUUAAAGGGAAACCCAACUAAGAAGGAUACCAGUAGAUACUGCACAUUCCAUGAAGGACACAGUCAUUACACAAACGACUGCUUCGCCUGGAAAAGGCACCUCGAAGAUCUAGUCAGAGACGGCCAUUACACAGAAUUCAUCGCAAUGGGGGCUAUCCAGCAAAUCAAGGAUUGUGACGUAGCUAACAAUGAGCCUCCACGAAAAAAGUCAUAUGGAUCAACACAAUCCUAGCUGACUCCAAGAACCCGGGCUGACCACCAAGGGGCAGAAGAGAAAGAUCAAGCAGGCGACUUUCAUCUCCCAAGCCGUCACUGGCUACCAAGUUAUAGAAGAUAAACAUUUCAUCAUCUUUCAAUGGAAGGAAGUUCCAAGGUAAUGGAAUGCCCAUCACCUUUAAGAGUACUAUCCAUGAAGCUCAUCACCUAUCAGCUGGGUUCUAAGUAGACGGCCAAGCCUCCCUCACCUUCAUUGAAGAUAAGUUACUUUUGAUGUUACUCAUGCAACUCAUCUUUUUUGUUCAAUAAAGCAAUGUAGUCACACAGACAUCAAUACAAGUUCAAGCUUCUCUAUCCAAUGGAGUGUUCACAAAAGCAAUCGACACAUCUCCGGGCGUAGGCCAAACGGGCCACUCUCACGGACACGUCUCCGGACGUAGGGCAAACAGGCCACUCCCCUCGACACGUCUUCGAACAUAGGCCAAACGGGUCAUACACAUCGACACGUCUCCGGACGUAGGCCUAACAGGUCACACACAUCGACACAUAUCUGGACGUAGGCCAAACGGGUCACACACAUCGACACGUCUCUAGACGUAGGCCAAACAAGCCACACACAUCGACGCGUCCCCGGACGUAGGCCAAACGGGCCACUAUCAUCGACACGUCUUCGGACGUAGGCCAAACGGGUCACACACAUCAACACGUCUCCGGACAUAGGCCAAACGGCCACACUCAACGACACGUCUCUGGACGUAGGCCAAACGGGCCACGCUCAAUGAUACGUCACUGGAUGUAGGCCAAACGGGCCAUACUCAACGACACGUCUCCGAACGUAGGCCAAACGGGUCAUUCUCAUCGACACGUCUCUGGAUGUAGGCCAAACGGGCCACACUCAUCGACACGUCUCUGGACGUAGGCCAAACGGGUCACUCUCAUCGACACGUCUCCGAACGUAGGCCAAAUGGGUUACACUCAUCGAGACGUCUCCGGACAUAGGCCAAACGGGCCACUUUCAUCAACACGUUUCUAGACGUAGGCCAAACAUGCCACAACCCAGAAACAUUCAAGCAGUUCACAAGACACUAUGCGAAUUGAAGUUAGAAAAAGCAACUCAAAUUUCCUUAGCAAUAUGACCAACCAAUCGAGUUCGAUAAAAAGAUGGUCAAGCAAGACCAAUUAUUCUAAACAAAGAGCAGACUACAAAAGCUGAAAAGAAAUAAAUGAGUCUUUAUCUACUUUGAGACGCCAGCAGGAGAUUCCUGAUCUGCAGUCUUUUCUGCAUCCACCUAAUCAGCCCUGCUCUUAGCAGCUCCACCUGCCUGAUCUGCGACAUCUGUCACCACCUCUUUUUUGAAGCAGAUGAAAUGUUGCUUCCCUUUGUUUUUCCUAGGAAAGACUUGAGAAAGUACCAAGAUCGCCAACCUAACGGAUUUGAUCAACCAGUUGAGCACAAGUGGAUGAACUUGAUAGAAAGUUCGUCUUGAGUAGAUUAGACACACCUGCAUCCUUUUCAGGGAUGGACUUGUCCACCCUGGGAUCAGCCGCUGACAUUGCAGAAAAGCUCUUCGCCCAGACAGAUGACUCUCUCCUCUUCUUAGCCGCUGCCAUCCUCACCUCCAAUGAAGUCAACGACGCUGAAUCAACUCCACACUUGACUGCUCGUGACUCAAUAACUAGACCCUGAUGAUUGGGCGGAGGGACAGACCACCAACUUCUUUCGGAUACUAGCUCAGCAGCAACUAGCGGCCACCGCCGCUCCAACCGUCUUUGACCGCCAGUCAUGACAUCAACCAGCCUGGUCCCACCCAGCUGGUCCUCGCCGUGAAAAAAAAAAGACGAAGAAAAAAUAUACGUGCUCAACUUACCUUGGGAUGCACUGCAACUCCUCUCUUCAACAUGCAGUACGAAUUCUACAAGAUAUUUCUCAAGCUACAAAAUAGAGAAGUUAAGUUUGCAAUGUGAGAAAGAGUGAAGAGAAGCCAUGUAUUUAUACAAGUUGGACAACCCAGAUCAAGAAGGAAUCGUAAGCUCAUUCAUACUGGGAAUCCAACUCCAAUAACAGUCAGAAGCCUACACCAAAUGAGAAUCCGAUCUGCAAAAGGAGUCCAACUCACAGAAGAAAGCCCAGACACAGUUGGAGAGCCCGAAAAAAAUAAUUUCAUCAAGCGCCAUGCAGAAGCCGAUGGGCGUUUGUAGGAGCAAAUAUUUUCUCCACACGGCUCCGGCCACCACACACGGCUUCGGCCGCCCAGUUCACACCAUACACACAACUUCAUACCCUUUGCUUAGCUAUUGUUUUCCUACAAACACUUGAACUAACUUAGGCAUCGGAGGGCCUUUGGCCAACACUCCCCGGGUGUGGUCUCUUUACUCCGGUCUUUUUUACAGGAAUCGAGAAAAAGAGAGAAGGAAGUUCGAAGGUUGAACGAUCUAGAAGCGAAUAUUCUCCUGCGAGAUUAUUUGCACAAACAGUACUCUCAUAUCUAAACUAUUGUAAUACCGGUCUUUAGUCUUAUAAACCAUUGUGUUUACUAUAAUAAGGACCUCAUUUUAUAUGCUUAAGGUCCACACUUACCAAUUCCUUGUAAUGUUGAUCUAUAUCCUUAUAAAAUGGGGAUUUACAUGGGAAGCUAGGGGAUUGGUAACUUUCUUCUCCUUCAUUACCCCAUUUAGUAUUUUAUUAUGUUACAAAACAUAUAUGAAAAAUUUAGUAUUUUAGUUGAAAUUAUACAUAUUAUAUGUAAAUACUAUAUUUAUUAGUGGAUAUUCUUAUUAAACAAUUUUUUUUAUGGAAGGGAAAGGGAAACCCUAUAUAACAAGGAUAUGAACAAAAAAUUAGAGGAGGAUCAGAAGAGAAAUUUUUGUGGGAACAUGAAUAUGAGGAUGACAAUGUAUUAAAUUAUUUGUUUAGGCAUAUAAAUAAGUUUGUAUAUGCUAUGAGUCAUAUUCAAGAAAUAAUAUAUAGUUAUAGUUUUAUGACAUCUCUAUCAAAUUAUUUUAGAAUUAGCUUGAAUUCUAAAAUUUCGUACAUAAAAAGCGAAUGAGAUGGCAACUCAAUCCCUUUCUUCCCCUUCAUUACCUCAUUUAGUAUUUUGUUAUGUUACAAACUUAUAUAAAAUUUCGAGUAUUUUAGUUGAAAUUAUAUAUAUUAAAUGUAAAUAUCAUAUUUAUGUAUUAUAUAUUGAUUAUAAAGUGCAAUAUAUAUUAUUUAAGUAUUAUAUUCUUAUAUAUUCUUUUUUUUUUUUAUCGGAACAUGAACCAAUUAUAUUAUGAAGAUAUGAACAAAAAAAAAUAGAGAAAUAUCAUAAGGGAAAUUUUUGUUGGAAGAUGCUAUGAGUCAUCUUUGUUAUAAGACAUUUGUUUAAAGUUGUUUUUAGAACAAGCACAAAUACAUAUAUAUUUUUAUAUAAUAAUUUGUCAUCUUGAGAAGUAAUUAUAGUGUGCUUCAUAGUAUGGUCAUAUAAUAUUUAUUAUAAUAUAAGUAGAUAAUUAUUGAUAUUAUGUCUUAAAAGUUGAAUAUCUUAUCAUUGAUUGAUAUUAAACGCGUGAACGAGUUAUACUAUGUAGUCGUAUUUUAGUUCCUUAUAGUAAUUUAUUCACAUUUAAGAAAUAACAAAACAAAAAGAAUAGUUUAGAUGUUCAAAAAUUAUUUUUGGUUACAAGUAAAAAAAAAAAAAAUAAUAAUUUCAGUUUGGCCAAUUGGAUUUAUAUAAAGUUACCCAAGUUUUAUUGAUUUUGGUUACACGUUAUAUAAAGCAACCUCUAACUCAUGAAUCAUGAAAUUUUUUGCAAAUGUUGUGAAAUAAUUGAAAUAAUUGUAACAACAUUAUGGUACACCCUAAUUCAUAACACUGUAAUACCCUAAUACAAAGAAAAUAACACAUAGUACCAAGGUAAGAAUGGACUUUGGAGGAGUAAAAUUAUGUCAUUAUCCUUGCAAACACAACUGAAAAUCUUGUAAUCUACAAUAAAACUUGUAAACUUUCUACUUUUAUACUUGUUUUUCUUGACUUUUAAUCCUAACCAUGUACUAUAUAAAAUCCAUGGACAUGUUAGGAAAAGAAUUUAAAUUUAUAAUAUUUCAUGGAUGUCUGCAGAAGUACAACCAUGUAACAUAGAGUUCAACAAGUAAUAUAGUUCUUAUUUUAUAAAUUGAUUUCAACCUAUUACAUAGACAAAACUCGAGGUGAAAUUUUUUUUGAUGGAUAAAGACUUUCAAGCUCUCAAAUAAAAGUUGAUGCGCAUUCACCAAUUCUAUGAAACAAAAGAAACAAAAAAUUAAAACUAUCAACCUCAAUUAUUUUUAAAAACUACGCAUAAAAUACGAAGGAAUUAAACACAACUAGCUAUCAUAAUUCAUAUAAAUAAAACCAGCAACUCAUAAUGAACUUGAGUAAAGCUCCAAUGAGGUGACAUACUGGAAUCAGAAGGGAAAAAAAAAAGUCUAAAACGGUUCUCAUAAAACAAAAAGUCUAAAACAAUAACUUCAGAUUUAUAAAAAUAAAAAAAUGUCAUUGCGAAAUUCAUCAGCACGUCAUCGUGAGUCAAAUAGAAUAAACUCAAUUGAAAAAUAACAUGUCAAAUCAUAUGCCAAUUCCCAAACAUAAAGGGAAUAAUUACAUGACCCUGCAUUAUUUCUCUCUUAACCUUAAGAAUUAACCUUUACCUGCUGUAGCAGGUUAUGUUUUAGUUUGUUAAUAAAUGCCUCAAACAAAGGAAAACAUUUCAAUCAUAUACAAAUUUGACACACAUAGCAUAUAUGCGUAUCAUAUUACCAAAAAGAAAAAAAAAUACAAAAAUUGUGUUAAGGAGACAUUUUCGUUGUUCUACAUCACGAACGAUAUAGAAAGUCUCUUAGAGCAAGUCCAUCCCAAAAGGCUAAGGCAAGGCAAGGGCUGCCACUAUUCACGUGAAUAGUGGCAGCCUUGCCUUUUUUGGUUCCACCCCAAAUGGCAAAGGCAAGGGUAAUUACUAUUUAUUUUAAUUUAUUAUAUAUUUUUUAUACUUAAACCAUUAAUUUUGGAAUGAGAAGUGAAAAAAAGGACAAGGUAUUUAUAUAUAUAUAUAUAUAUAUAAAUGGGUAAAUUACUCAAAUGGUCCUCAAAAUUAUACCUGAUUUACAUUUUGGUCUCUCAACGAAAUUAUUCGUUCAAAAGGUCCAUCAACUCUAUAUUAUUCGCUCCAGUGGUCCUACCUUCUAAUUUUCUGUUAGAUUUAACCUAAAUUUAAGGUAAAUAAUGAUCAAUUUGCCCUCAUAUUUAACGGAAAUAUUGACAGAAUAUAACGGUAUGACCAAUUGAGCGAAUAAUAUAGAGUUAAUGGACCAUUUGAACAAAUAAUUUAAUUGAGGGACCAAAAUGUAAAUCGAGUAUAAAUUUGAGGAUCAUUUAAGUAAUUUAUCCAUAAAAAAAUCUGAAAUUUUUGGUAUAUUUUUCGAUUUUUUUUAAAAAAAAUUUAGUUGUUAAUGUCGUCAAUGACGUCAUCAAACAUAGACAAGAGCCCAGACAAGAUUUGCUUUUGAAUCUGCCCAGACUUGUGGCCCCAUCCAGGCUUGUGGCCCCAUCAAUUGCCUGGACUUGCUCUUACAGGCGUUAGGGGUCCUCAGAUGUUGAAAAUAUUAUUUUCCUUGUUGGCUGCCAACAUUCAACUUCAAAUCAGCAAAAAGCCUAAUCUGGCAAUCCAACCUGGAAAUAUUUCCAGUUGCCAAUAAAAGAAUAAGGGUUUGUUUGUUUUUUUAUUUUUUAUUUUUGCAGCCUUGGCGUUCGAAUUCCGCCGAUCCCAAAAAUGGUGAGCCCUCAUUUCCUCACACUAAGCUUAUAUUUUUCCACAAAUUUCAGUUUUUUCUAUGUGUGCACAUAUAAUUUAUGCUUUACAUGCAUAUUAGGAGUUAAUGGACUCACAUAAUUUAAGCUUUUCUGCGGAUGCUGUGCUUCUAAGAUUGCCAACUUCCCCACAUUUUAAAUUCGUAUAGGAACUUUGGUUUAUUUGCAUUUCAACUUUCAGUAGGUUUUACAAGUGACAGGAAUUUCGGAUUUUCCCCCCUAUGUUGGUGUUGGUUUUAGAAAAUUUGACAUCUUAUGUAUCAGAACAGGCAAGAAAAUAGACACGGUCACUCAUAGUGCUACUUUGAAGAAAUUCCUUAAAAUUUUGAGCACAGGUUUUUAUGCUUUAUAUUUUUUAUGUUGGUGUCGUUGUAUAUUUUGCUUGAUAUGGUGUAGUGUUGGUUUCUGAUAACAGGAUAAAGUUGAUGAGGACAUGUCAGACACUAAAGAUCAUUUUGAUGCCAAAAGACCUGAUCCAUGCCGGGAUAAUGAUGAGGAAAUUGUUGAGUCUGAUAUCGAGUUGGAUGCUACUGAUGUUGUGGAGCCUGAUAAUGAUCCUCCACAGAAGGUAAGGGAUAGAGAAAGAUGGAGUCAUGCGAUAGAGGCCUAGUAUUUCAUCCUGAUUUUUUCCCCUUAAUUUGUAACCUCGCUAUUUUUCAAGUGCAGAUGGGAAACCCAUCGGUUGAAGUUACAGAAGAAAUGCAGGAUGCUGCACAAAUAGAAAAAUCAAAAGCUUUAGAUGCCAUCUCUGAAGGCAUGCCACCCUUUUGUUGUGAUUACCAUUUUUAUUUGAGAUUUCUUGGGUUGUCUUUGUGAUAUCUCUUAAUUGGUAGUAAAUUCUUUUCAGGUAAGCUGGAUGAAGCCAUAGAUCAUAUAACAGAAGCCAUCAUGUUGAAUCCAACUUCAGCAAUAUUAAAAGCAACCAGAGGUAAAUUGAUCAUUAUUUUUUUCUUUUGAAAAAGAGAAGUUUUAUUUGAUCAUUAUUGAUUUAUCUUUAUUUCGUUGUGCUUACAUAUAUAUAUAUAUAUAUAUAUAUAUAUAUAGAUAUAUUAUUUUCAUUGCCCUUCUUUGCUCAUAUGUAUCAUUCUCUUGGAAACCUUGUAUCCUUGCAGCCAGUGUCUUUGUCAAAUUGAAUAAACCAAAUGCAGCAAUUCGUGAUGCUAAUGCCGCUUUAGAGGUUGGUUGAUGACCCUCACUGUGCAAGAAGUUUGAGUUUCGGGCAGUAUUGAACAUUGUAUAAUGAGCUAUAUUUGUACUUUUUCUAGAUCAACCCCGACUCUGCAAAAGGAUAUAAAAUAAGAGGAAUGGCGAAGGCCAUGUUAGGUCACUGGGAAGAAGCGGCAAGUGAUCUUAAUGUAGCAUCAAAGUUAGAUUAUGAUGGGGAGAUUGGUUUGGUGCUUAAAAAGGUGAAUUUCCUUAUUCUAGAAGGAUAAGUUUCCAGGGAAACUGUUCCAUAAUAAUUUAGUUAUAAUUGCAGGUUGAACCUAAUGUCCGCAAAAUUGAGGAGCAUCGCAGAAAAUACGAACGCUUACAUAAAGAAAGGGAGAUAAAAAGUGCUGAACGUGAGAGAAAGCGGCAAGCCGAAGCUCGAGUGAGUGUUGGACUAGAGUUGAUAUGUUUUUAUGCUCUAUUAAGAAAUAUCACAUCUCUUUGAUAGUCAGAUAAAUAUAUCAGUCUACAUAUGAUAGGUUAGCAGAAUGAGCAACCUGUUGAAAAUAAGAUUUUGGUACAUUUGCUGUUUAUCUGGUGCUUUUCAUCUUUCUAUGUGGGAGUACAUGUUUUAGCUGGGUGCUAGUUCAAUUAGAAUUUAAAGCAUGGUUUGUUCAGUCCUAACAUGGACCGGGGUGUAGUUCAUGGGUGUGGUUAUCAGCUAGCAUGACUAUAUUAUGAAACCACAGCACAGGCUUAGAUCCAAAAGAUGUGGGCUGUAUUAUAGUUUAUUCAUUCAUUUACAUUUGCUCUUUGGGGUGCUGGUGGGUGGGGGUCAUUUUCCCCUAAUUCCACAUGCCACUAAAUAGUGACCUCAUACAGAGAUAGAUAUGGCCGACCCCAUAUGAUUUAGGACAAGGUCUACGGUGAUGACACGAGGGUAGAGAACCUUCAUACUAAUUACAUUUCUUUCAAUUUCAUGCAGGAACGGGAUGCGUUGUCUGCUCUUAAGGAUGGUAUGGCAUUUGAUUUCUUUUUAUUAAUAUUUCAUUAAUUUUAUAUUAAUGCAUGCAUCCUUAUGGGUCAUCAUCCCUCAUUUCAGAAUUACCUGCCGUUAAUAUCAACGUCAACUUCAUAAAACCAUCCCUCUUGUGCAGGAUAUCAUUUAUUUAAUUUUGAUCCUAUCCUAACUCAUCUGGUUUAUCCAAUUUUCCUUACUUGUUUGAACAUUGAGGAGCGAAUUAUGUGGUACAUAUAUUCCACUUUGCUAUGAUUAUUUACAGAAUCAUUUUCAUAUUCAAAUAUGGUGAACUGUAAAUGACCACAUUCCAUUUCAUGAAGAGGACUUGGAUGAUAAAUCUUGCCACGCCACGUCAGUGGUGUUCUAAGUCUCAAUGUGGCAUUCUUUGAAUGUUUUUUUUUGGUUUUGACAGGUGAAGUCAUUGGAAUACACUCUGCCAAAGAACUGGAGACAAAGUUGAAUGCUGCUUCAAGGACAUUGCGGCUUGCAAUCCUCUACUUCACCACAAAAUGGUGUGGUGCUUGCCGUGUCAUAUCUCCUUUGUAUACAAGCUUAGCUGGAAAGUACCCAAAGGCCGUUUUCUUGAAAGUUGACAUAGAUGAGGCAAGAGAUGUUGCUGCAGACUGGAAUAUAGGCAGUGUUCCGGCAUUUUUCUUUGUAAGGAACGGUAAGGAGGUUGAUAAGAUGGUGGGGGCAGACAAAACUGCACUAGAAGGGAAGAUUGCACAACAUGCAGGCUCAACUUGAGCUAAUCCUUCUGCGAUGCUCUUGGCUUUUGUAGUGGUACUUUUUUUAAGUCGUAAGUUGGAAGAGAUGUCCAUCUGAGAAGAUUGUUUCCUUCCUUGAUUUCUUCCUUAACCGGAAAUAAAAUUCUACUUUCUUGCCCGGUUGAAUUCUGUUUUUUAAUCUUUUUUCAUCCUAAUGGUGUCCAUGGGUUAAAUGCCAAUCUGAAAUGAUCAUGCUUUUCCCCUGCUUCUCUGUGUGAAUAUGAUCCAACAUGACAAAAAAUCGGAAUGUAAGCUUUUAUUAUGAUUAUUAUUUAUGAUAAUAGUCUUCUAAACAAAAAAUGUUGAAACAUAGCUUGCGUUCAUGAUCUGGCUUGCUUGCCUGAUCAGUGAAUUAAGUACCGGCUAUCAUCCCUGAGAAUUAAUAUCAAAGCAGAGAGAGCAAUGUGAUGCAAACAGAUUUCAUUUCCUCUCAUUCUUGGAAUAGAAUCUGAGGACCACAUAGAAUAAGAACCGGUAAAGAACACCCCAAGCUAGCAAGAUUGCAAUAUCAUACCAAAUGUUGUCUAUAGUGAUAUCCAUGGAUGAUAUAACAUCUUGUCCAAUAAUCACGCAAUUCUUUUCCACUUUUUGGGAGGUACUGUGCAGGGAGCUGAUCUUCAAUUCUCCUAGAGGUCCAGGGGUAAGAUCCGAUGGCAAGCCGUGGUAGCAGCGUAUUCCUCUGAAUUCAUUUGUCAGCAUUGCCUCAAAUGGGUACUUCAUUGCAGAUAUGUAAUGCACCCUCUGCUGACGCUUUAAGAAAAAGCCACAAGUCAGAAAGAAAAGAGCUGUGGUAGCUAUCACAACAGUAAUGAGGUGACAUACUGAAAUCAGAAGGGAAAAAAAAAGUCUAAAACGGUUAUCAUAAAAAUAAAUAAAAAAGUCUAAAACGAUAACUUUAGAUUUAUAAAAAUAAAAAAAUUCCAUUGCGAAAUUCAUAAGCAUGUCAUCGUGAGUCAAAUAGAAUAAACUCAAUUGAAAAAUAACAUGUCAAAUCAUAUGCCAAUUGCCAAACAAAAAGGGAAUAAUUGCACGACCCUUAUGCAAUUGCAUUAUUUCUCUCUUAAACUUAAGCCUUAAUCUUUACCAGCUGUAGCAGGUUAUGUUUAAGUUUGUUUAUAAAUGCCUCAAACAAAGGAAAACAUUUCAAUCAUAUACAAAUUUGACACACAUAGCAUAUAUGCAUAUCAUAUUACCAAAAAGAAAAAAAUACAAAAAUUGUGAUAAGGAGACAUUUUCGUUGUUCUACAUCACGAACGACAUUAGAAAGUCUCUUAGAGCAAGUCCACCCCAAAAGGCUAAGGCAAGGCAAGGGCUGCCACUAUUCACGUGAAUAGUGGCAGCCUUGCCUUUUUUGGUUCCACCCCAAAUGGCAAAGGCAAGGGUAAUUACUAUUUAUUUUAAUUUGUUAUAUAUUUUUUAUACUUAAACCAUUAAUUUUGGAAUGAGAAGUGAAAAAAAGGACUAGGUAUUCAUAUAUAUAUAUAUAUAUAAAUGGGUAAAUUACUCAAAUGGUCCUCAAACUUAUACCUGAUUUAUAUUUUGGUCUCUCAACGAAAUUAUUCGUUCAAAAGGUCCAUCAACUCUAUAUUAUUCGCUCCAAUGGUCCUACCGUCUAAUUUUCUGUUAGAUUUAACUUAAAUUUAAGGUAAAUAAUGACCAAUUUGCCCUCAUAUUUAACGGAAAUAUUGACAGAAUAUAACGGUAGGACCAAUUGAGCGAAUAAUAUAGAGUUGAUGGACCAUUUGAACAAAUAAUUUAAUUGAGGGACCAAAAUGUAAAUCGAGUAUAAAUUUGAGGACCAUUUAAACAAUUUACCCAUCAAAAAGUCUGAAAUUUUUGGUAUAUUUUUCGAUUUAAAAAUUAUUUUUUUUUAGUUGUUAAUGUCGUCAAUGACGUCAUCAAACAUAGACAAGAGCCCAUACAAGAUUUGCUUUUGAAUCUGCCCGGACUUGUGGCCCCAUCCAGGCUUGUGGCCCCAUCAAUUGCCUGGACUUGCUCUUACAGGCGUUAGGGGUCCUCAGAUGUUGAAAAUAUUAUUUUCCUUGUUGGCUGCCAACAUUCAACUUCAAAUCAGCAAAAAGCCUAAUCUGGCAAUCCAACCUGGAAAUAUUUCCAGUUGCCAAUAAAAGAAUAAGGGUUUGUUUGUUUUUUUAUUUUUUAUUUUUGCAGCCUUGGCGUUCGAAUUCCGCCGAUCCCAAAAAUGGUGAGCCCUCAUUUCCUCACACUAAGCUUAUAUUUUUCCACAAAUUUCAGUUUUUUCUAUGUGUGCACAUAUAAUUUAUGCUUUACAUGCAUAUUAGGAGUUAAUGGACUCACAUAAUUUAAGCUUUUCUGCGGAUGCUGUGCUUCUAAGAUUGCCAACUUCCCCACAUUUUAAAUUCGUAUAGGAACUUUGGUUUAUUUGCAUUUCAACUUUCAGUAGGUUUUACAAGUGACAGGAAUUUCGGAUUUUCCCCCCUAUGUUGGUGUUGGUUUUAGAAAAUUUGACAUCUUAUGUAUCAGAACAGGCAAGAAAAUAGACACGGUCACUCAUAGUGCUACUUUGAAGAAAUUCCUUAAAAUUUUGAGCACAGGUUUUUAUGCUUUAUAUUUUUUAUGUUGGUGUCGUUGUAUAUUUUGCUUGAUAUGGUGUAGUGUUGGUUUCUGAUAACAGGAUAAAGUUGAUGAGGACAUGUCAGACACUAAAGAUCAUUUUGAUGCCAAAAGACCUGAUCCAUGCCGGGAUAAUGAUGAGGAAAUUGUUGAGUCUGAUAUCGAGUUGGAUGCUACUGAUGUUGUGGAGCCUGAUAAUGAUCCUCCACAGAAGGUAAGGGAUAGAGAAAGAUGGAGUCAUGCGAUAGAGGCCUAGUAUUUCAUCCUGAUUUUUUCCCCUUAAUUUGUAACCUCGCUAUUUUUCAAGUGCAGAUGGGAAACCCAUCGGUUGAAGUUACAGAAGAAAUGCAGGAUGCUGCACAAAUAGAAAAAUCAAAAGCUUUAGAUGCCAUCUCUGAAGGCAUGCCACCCUUUUGUUGUGAUUACCAUUUUUAUUUGAGAUUUCUUGGGUUGUCUUUGUGAUAUCUCUUAAUUGGUAGUAAAUUCUUUUCAGGUAAGCUGGAUGAAGCCAUAGAUCAUAUAACAGAAGCCAUCAUGUUGAAUCCAACUUCAGCAAUAUUAAAAGCAACCAGAGGUAAAUUGAUCAUUAUUUUUUUCUUUUGAAAAAGAGAAGUUUUAUUUGAUCAUUAUUGAUUUAUCUUUAUUUCGUUGUGCUUACAUAUAUAUAUAUAUAUAUAUAUAUAUAGAUAUAUUAUUUUCAUUGCCCUUCUUUGCUCAUAUGUAUCAUUCUCUUGGAAACCUUGUAUCCUUGCAGCCAGUGUCUUUGUCAAAUUGAAUAAACCAAAUGCAGCAAUUCGUGAUGCUAAUGCCGCUUUAGAGGUUGGUUGAUGACCCUCACUGUGCAAGAAGUUUGAGUUUCGGGCAGUAUUGAACAUUGUAUAAUGAGCUAUAUUUGUACUUUUUCUAGAUCAACCCCGACUCUGCAAAAGGAUAUAAAAUAAGAGGAAUGGCGAAGGCCAUGUUAGGUCACUGGGAAGAAGCGGCAAGUGAUCUUAAUGUAGCAUCAAAGUUAGAUUAUGAUGGGGAGAUUGGUUUGGUGCUUAAAAAGGUGAAUUUCCUUAUUCUAGAAGGAUAAGUUUCCAGGGAAACUGUUCCAUAAUAAUUUAGUUAUAAUUGCAGGUUGAACCUAAUGUCCGCAAAAUUGAGGAGCAUCGCAGAAAAUACGAACGCUUACAUAAAGAAAGGGAGAUAAAAAGUGCUGAACGUGAGAGAAAGCGGCAAGCCGAAGCUCGAGUGAGUGUUGGACUAGAGUUGAUAUGUUUUUAUGCUCUAUUAAGAAAUAUCACAUCUCUUUGAUAGUCAGAUAAAUAUAUCAGUCUACAUAUGAUAGGUUAGCAGAAUGAGCAACCUGUUGAAAAUAAGAUUUUGGUACAUUUGCUGUUUAUCUGGUGCUUUUCAUCUUUCUAUGUGGGAGUACAUGUUUUAGCUGGGUGCUAGUUCAAUUAGAAUUUAAAGCAUGGUUUGUUCAGUCCUAACAUGGACCGGGGUGUAGUUCAUGGGUGUGGUUAUCAGCUAGCAUGACUAUAUUAUGAAACCACAGCACAGGCUUAGAUCCAAAAGAUGUGGGCUGUAUUAUAGUUUAUUCAUUCAUUUACAUUUGCUCUUUGGGGUGCUGGUGGGUGGGGGUCAUUUUCCCCUAAUUCCACAUGCCACUAAAUAGUGACCUCAUACAGAGAUAGAUAUGGCCGACCCCAUAUGAUUUAGGACAAGGUCUACGGUGAUGACACGAGGGUAGAGAACCUUCAUACUAAUUACAUUUCUUUCAAUUUCAUGCAGGAACGGGAUGCGUUGUCUGCUCUUAAGGAUGGUAUGGCAUUUGAUUUCUUUUUAUUAAUAUUUCAUUAAUUUUAUAUUAAUGCAUGCAUCCUUAUGGGUCAUCAUCCCUCAUUUCAGAAUUACCUGCCGUUAAUAUCAACGUCAACUUCAUAAAACCAUCCCUCUUGUGCAGGAUAUCAUUUAUUUAAUUUUGAUCCUAUCCUAACUCAUCUGGUUUAUCCAAUUUUCCUUACUUGUUUGAACAUUGAGGAGCGAAUUAUGUGGUACAUAUAUUCCACUUUGCUAUGAUUAUUUACAGAAUCAUUUUCAUAUUCAAAUAUGGUGAACUGUAAAUGACCACAUUCCAUUUCAUGAAGAGGACUUGGAUGAUAAAUCUUGCCACGCCACGUCAGUGGUGUUCUAAGUCUCAAUGUGGCAUUCUUUGAAUGUUUUUUUUUGGUUUUGACAGGUGAAGUCAUUGGAAUACACUCUGCCAAAGAACUGGAGACAAAGUUGAAUGCUGCUUCAAGGACAUUGCGGCUUGCAAUCCUCUACUUCACCACAAAAUGGUGUGGUGCUUGCCGUGUCAUAUCUCCUUUGUAUACAAGCUUAGCUGGAAAGUACCCAAAGGCCGUUUUCUUGAAAGUUGACAUAGAUGAGGCAAGAGAUGUUGCUGCAGACUGGAAUAUAGGCAGUGUUCCGGCAUUUUUCUUUGUAAGGAACGGUAAGGAGGUUGAUAAGAUGGUGGGGGCAGACAAAACUGCACUAGAAGGGAAGAUUGCACAACAUGCAGGCUCAACUUGAGCUAAUCCUUCUGCGAUGCUCUUGGCUUUUGUAGUGGUACUUUUUUUAAGUCGUAAGUUGGAAGAGAUGUCCAUCUGAGAAGAUUGUUUCCUUCCUUGAUUUCUUCCUUAACCGGAAAUAAAAUUCUACUUUCUUGCCCGGUUGAAUUCUGUUUUUUAAUCUUUUUUCAUCCUAAUGGUGUCCAUGGGUUAAAUGCCAAUCUGUCACAUAUUAGCUUUUAGGACAAACUACAGUAAACCCCCCAACAUAUAGGGUCAUUUAUGAAUUGAUACUCGAUUUUAGAGACAUUUACGAGUACGUACUAAACGUCGCGGAAAACCUACAAUUUGCCCCAUCCGUUAGCGAAACCGUUAGUGAAUCUGUUAAAUGCUGACGUGGCGAAUGUGGGUUCCAUUUUUUAAUGAGGUGGACUUACAGGUGGACAAAUAAAUACUAAAAAAAAUUAUAUAUUAUUUAAAAAUAAGUAUAAACAAGUAAAUAAUAUUAUGCAAUUUAAUUAAAAAGAAAACAAUUGCUCUUCGUCUCUUUCUCUUCCUAGUCCCACCCCACCCUAUCCAAACUGAGUGCGUCUUCCCACACGGCACCUUCUACAGUGCACCUGGCGCAUGGGUGCACCAUUUGUCCUUUAUGAAAUUGAUUUGUAAAGAAAAUAAAAGAGAACCUGCUAUAACAGGUCAAGGUAAUAGGUUUUCUCUUGGGCCUUUUUACGCUAUAGCAUCUCUCCCUCUCAACCCUAAUUCCUCAUCUCAUUUGAGAUUUUUUUCAGAAACAGAAAGCUCCCAUUCUUCUAUCACUUGCUUUCUCAGUCAGAGGCAUUUCAAAUUUACUUAGGGUUGGAUUUCUCAUCUCUCUCUUUGAGUUCGAUUCCUUCCACAACAGCUCCUCUCCUCCUCCUGUAACGAAGAGACGAUGCCGGCAACCACAUCUCCUUUCCUCACAGGUAAGUCAUGCUCCUUCUUCUUCUUCUUCAUUUCGUUCUCCUUUCUAGGGCUUUUGGUCUGGGUAUUUUACUCGCUGCUGCUGCUUCAUCGUUGGUUUCUUUAUUUUGGUUUUUUAGGUUUUCACAGUUAUGAUUCCUUUGUCUCACUCUCAUCUGGAUCUCUGUGGCUGGCUUUAUCUCAACCUCUCUAUGGCAGGUAAGAACUCUUGGUUUUCCCUCUCUUUCUAACUGUGCGAUUCAAAUGAUUCGCAUCAUAGCAGAAAGUAUUUCAACUUUGAAUUAGGGUCUAGGCUUUCUAGCGAAAUGAUUUAUAUGUCCUAUUUUAAUUUAGGUUUAAUGAUUUGGGUAUUGAAUCGCAAGUCCUUUUUUUUUUGGAUUUAUAUAGGAUUUGGAUUUAUAUAGGUUUUGGUAAUUUUUUCAACUUAUAAUUCGAUUUUUUUUGUUUCCUUCGAAUUGUUCUCUCUCCCACCUCUCCCCUUUCUCUUUCUCAGAUAGAUCAUUGCUACUUACUUUAAAUUGAUGGCCUUCAGACUGCAUAUCGUUCAAACAUUGGGUUCUUGAAGGAAGAUGCUAGAUGAUGGAGAAUCCAUUUCAGCCUUGAAGAGAUAUUGCAGGUUUCUGUUUUGUAAACUGUGUUUAUUCUAUGUUUGAUAACUUGAAAUUUUGUGUAGUCUGUUUACUUGAGAUCUUAAUGUUAAAAUAAUGAUCUAGAACUUGAGAUAGGAUUGAGACAUUUAUUGUCCUCCAUGACAAUGGAGCAAAUUGGUGUACAUUACAACCCAUUAGAUCCAUGACUUCUUAUAAUGGAUUAUUUUUGUGCUUGAGAUAAUUUAGUCCGAAUUGUAGAGUAAUAUCUUUAGUUUAUAAUCUAAAUUAGUUCUGAUUUUUCAGUGAACAAUUCAAAAUUUGGUAUGGAUGUCCUUCUUGGUGGGUUUUCUAACAUUUCUUUAAAUACAAUUGCAUACGAAUGACGUUGCUGUGAAAAAAGUGAAAAAAGUAACAUGUUGAUACAAUGUUGUUUCGUGAUGAACUGGAAAUACACAAAGAUUUGAUUCACUCUAGUAGGCUUAGUUGAGUAGAUAUUUGAAGAAUUAAGUCAGCAUGAUAGUAAUUGCUAUUGGCUCAUGGCUGAUUGUGUCUUGGUGUGACUUUUUCUAUCACCCAAAGUUGGAGGUCCUAUCCUUGCUAGUUGUUUGGGAACACAGAGACGUGAAGAUGAAUAUGCACUUUGGGUUUCCCUUGUCCGAUGGUUCGCUGAUCAUCACAAGUGUUUUGAUUUGCUUUCUGGUUCGUUCAAUGUAUAGUAAAAUAUCGCUAUAUAAUUUAUUUCCUCUUCUUUUGCAGCGGGAGUAGCUAUUUUCAUUUUACUGAUAUCAUUUUACUCAACUCGUGACGGUGAGGACUUCACUAGCAAGAUACAUAUAUAAUGCUACAAAUUUUGGUGUGAAAUUAUACUGUGAUUCCCUUUGUUUUCUUCUCAUUGUAUUUUUUUCUUGAAACAUUUGACAGUACAAGGAGUGACAGAGGCAGAAAAAUUCAGCGAUUCAUAUCUUUUGUGGCUCAUGAGUUGGUGAUGUGUGUUUUAUUGUGAAUGGUAGUUUGAGUAUGUCAUGUCAAGUUGGCUACAUAAGAAAUACACAAAUUCCUGGGAAGAAUACGAUUUCUUGAAUUGUUUAUUAGGAGUAGGAUGUGUUUACUUGAUUGUCGACAUUAUAUUUAGUGUUUCAUAAAUGCAUUAGAAUGGUUAAAAGCACUACAAAUUCUAUUGUUUUUACUUUUAGGUACUGAAAGCAUGGAAGAGAAGAAAAAUGAAAUGACAGAGGUCGUUUGGCAAUUACCAUUCAGACGAUUGGCUUUCGCAAAUUAGAAUGGCAAUUACAUAGUGCCUAUUUGUCAAUUGCCAACAUGACUUGGCUGUGUUGUAACAAAAUAAAGGAAUUUUAUAUGAGCUUGGUGACGUAAGGCAUGGGUUGAAUUGAAGAUGGGAGUUUAGUAGAAUGUAGUUCAAUUUUUAUUUUUUCUAUUUCUACUGUUGUUUUUAGCCUUCAGAUCUUUGAUUGUAGUUCAGUUUUUUUUUCCCUUCUUGUAUUUGGCAUUUAGUUUUUUUUAAAUUUGUGUAAAAUACAAUAUAUGAUUUGCCAAUGCAAUUGACAUAGGUAGUGUCAUUUCCAUUUACGUCUUGUAAUUAAAAAACAAAGCAGUCUCAUGUGCAUUCCAAUCGUGCAAUUACAAUCUUGUAACUUACAAUUUUUGGGAUAUUGUUUACGACAUUAUGAUAACAUAAUAUCUAAAACCUUGUAACCUCUAUCAUAAUAAAUAAAAAUCAUAAUAAAAUCUUGUAACCUCCGUCUAAAAUCUUGUAACCUUUAACUUCUGAAAAUCAUAAUAAAUAAAUUCAAAAAUUCAAAAAAAAAUAUACUGAAAAUUCCUAUGAACUCCUUGUGAUCUGACAUUCUCUACGCUCUCAUGCUACAAAAAUAUAAUUUUUAUAUGCUAAGUCAUGUCUCACUUUUCAAUAAUGAAGGAAUGCACAAAUGAUUUUCAAAUUUGAGAAUGUCAAUACAGUAUGUGAUUUGUAAAUUCAAUUGACAAACAGGAAGUGUCAUUUGCAUUUUUGUCUUGCAAUUGGCAAGCCAAGCAAUCUCAUUUACAAUCCAAUUGCGCAAUUACAAGCUAUAAUGGACAAACAUAAAUGAAGUUACAAAGUAUUAUAGUUAUCACAUAUGUUAAGCUUUUUUUCUUCUUAAAACUAUUUUUUUGUUAAAAUUAUUUGGAUUUAUAUAAAGAUACCCAAGUUUUAUUAUUUUGAAUUUGAACAUUUUGUAGCAAAAUAAGGAAAUGUACACGAGAUUGCAAGUUGGCAUGAUGGAUGUUGAGACAUUGGAGUGCAAGCUGGCGUGAGGGUGUUUCCAAGUGGCUUUAUGAGUUUAAUAAGGACUUCUUGUCCAAGUCCAAAUAUAAAAUAUUAGUUUAAUUUUUUACGAGUUUUUAUAACAUUUGAAUUGUACCAUACAGUUCGACAAGUUAUAACAUUUCAAUUGUACCAUACAGUUCGACAAGUUAUAACAUUUCAAUUGUACCAUACAUUUGGACAAGUUUAUUUCCCCUAAAAAUUAAUUGAAUUAAUUAAGGGCAAAAUAAAUACAAGUUAUAACAAAUAGAAAGUAUUAGGUCAUACAGAUCGACAUAAAUAAGUAACAAAUAGAAAAUAUUAGUUUAAUCAUUUACGAACUUUUAUUUUAAGUAACUACUUGUAGUUAUUAUUAUCAAUAUUAUGGCGAUUUCAGUCAUUGACAAACAGAGACUAUGUAAUUGACAACCAGGAAGCAACCAAUUGCAUGCCAAUAUGCAAUUGCAUUUUAAGUACAAGGAGAAUGCCUAUGCCCAUAAUAGGUACAUGUUUACCUUAUUCUUAUACAAAGGUUCCUCAUAUCUUUGUAAAUUACGAUAUUACAAGAUUAAGUAUGGAUUUUACAAAUAUAUGGAACAUAAAUAUCUAAAAAAGCAUAAUCCGAGACCUUAAUAUUGUAAACAAUUGUGUUUACAAGUAUAAGGACCCAAUUUACUUUCCUAAUAUCCCUCGUUACCUUAAUAUUGUAUUAGAAGUCAUUCUCUUUGUAAAUUACAAUAUUACAAUAUUAAGGAUGUGUUUUACAAUCUUUUGGAACAUAACUAUCCAUAAAAGAGUAAGACGAGACCUUAAUCUUGUAAACAUCCGAGUUUACAAGUAUAAGGACCUAGUUUACCUUUCGAAGGUUCCCCUUUACCAUAAUAUUAUACUACAUGCAUUUGUCUUUGUAAAUUAUGAUAUUACAAGAGUAAGGAUAACUUUUACAAUCUUGUGGAACAUGACUGUCCUAAACAGAGUAAUCUAAGACCUUAAAAUUGUAAACAUUUGUGUUUACAAGUAUAAGGACCCAAUUUACUUUCCUAAUGUCCCUAGUUACCUUAAUAUUGUACUAGAAAUCAUUCUCUUUGUAAAUUACAAUAUUACAACAUUAAGGAUGUGUUUUACAAUCUUCUGGAACAUAACUAUCCAUAAAAGAGUAAUACGAGACCUUAAUAUUGUAAAUAUCCGAGUUUACAAGUAUAAGGACCUAGUUUACCUUUCGAAGGUUCCCCUUUACCCUAAUAUUAUACUACAUGCCUUUAUCUUUGUAAAUUAUAAUAUUACAAGAGUAAGGAUAACUUUUACAAUCUUGUGCAACAUGACUGUCCUAAACAGAGUAAUCUAAGACCUUAAAUUGUAAACAUUUGUGUUUACAUGUAUAAGGACCCAAUUUACUUUCCUAUGUCCUAGUUGCCUUAAUAUUGUACUAGAAGUCAUUCUCUUUGUAAAUUACAAUAUUACAACAUUAAGGAUGUGUUUUACAAUCUUCUGGAACAUAACUAUCCAUAAAAGUGUAAUACGAGACCUUAAUAUUGUAAACAUCCGAGUUUACAAGUAUAAGGACCUAGUUUACCUUUCGAAGGUUCCCCUUUACCCUAAUAUUAUACUACAUGCCUUUAUCUUUGUAAAUUAUAAUAUUACAAGAGUAAGGAUAACUUUUACAAUCUUGUGCAACAUGACUGUCCUAAACAGAGUAAUCUAAGACCUUAAAAUUGUAAACAUUUGUGUUUACAUGUAUAAGGACCCAAUUUACUUUCCUAAUGUCCCUAGUUGCCUUAAUAUUGUACUAGAAGUCAUUCUCUUUGUAAAUUACAAUAUUACAACAUUAAGGAUGUGUUUUACAAUCUUUUGGAACAUAACUAUCCAUAAAAGAGUAAUACGAUACCUUAAUCUUGUAAACAUUCGAGUUUACAAGUAUAAGGACCUAGUUUACCUUUCGAAUGUUCCCCUUUACCCUAAUAUUGUACUACAUGCCUUUAUCUUUGUAAAUUAUGAUAUUACAAGGGUAAGGAUAACUUUUACAAUCUUGUGGAACAUGACUGUCCUAAACAGAGUAAUCUAAGACCUUAAAAUUGUAAACAUUUGUGUUUACACUUAUAAGGACCCAAUUUACUUUCCUAAUGUCCCUAGUUACCUUAAUAUUGUACUAGACGUUAUUCUCUUUGUAAAUGACAAUAUUACAACAUUAAGGAUGUGUUUUACAAUCUUCUAGAACAUAACUCUCCAUAAAAGAGUAAUACGAGACCUUAAUAUUGUAAACAUGCGUGUUUUGGAUUAUUCUUAUUCAAUUUCCAUGGCACUUUGUCAAUUGCAUUCUUCAUGUUCAAUUUCCAUCACACUGUUUGUCAAUUUCAUUAUUCAUGUUCAAUUUCCAACAAGUUCCAUCACACUUUGUCAAUUGCAUUAUUCUUAUUCAAUUUCCAUGACACUGUUUGUCAAUUGCAUUCUUCAUGUUCAAUUUCCAUCACGCUGUUUGUCAAUUGUAUUCUUCAUGUUCAAUUUCCAUCACGCUGUUUGUCAAUUUCAUUAUUCAUGUUCAAUUUCCAACAAGUUCCAUCACACUUUGUCAAUUGCAUUAUUCUAGAUCAAUUUCCAUGACACUGUUUGUCAAUUGCAUUAUUCUUUUUCAAUUUCCAUGACACCGUUUGUAAACACAAAGGUUUACAAUAUUAAGGACCCUUUUUAUAAUGUUUUGGACUUCAAUGUUCCAUAAACUUGUAAAGUAUAUUCAUAAUCUUGUAAACACAAGCUCUACAAGUCUACAACAUUUGAGAUGUUGACGUACAAAACAUUGUAAAAGAGGUCCUUAAUAUUGUAAACCUUAUAUUUACAAGAAUAAGAACCAAAUUUACUUCUCCAAGGUUCACCAUUACCUUAACAUUGUAAGAUAGAUCAUUUCUAACGUAAAUAGUAACAUUACAAGAUUAUGGAUUAUAAAGAACCUUAAAGUUGUAAUCAUGGUGGAAAAACUUGUAAAUGGGAAUCAAAAUAUUGUAAUCUACGAGAUUAAGGAUCUAUUUUACAAGUUUAUAGAACGCUUAUGUCCAAACCAUUGUAAUAAAAGUCCUCAGUGUUGUAAACCGUUGCAUUUACAAGAAUAUGAACCACAUUUACAUUUUCAAGGUCCACCAUUACCUCAACUUUGUAAUAGAGAUCCUUUUAUUGUAAUUUAUGAUAUCACAAAUUUAUGGAUACACGUUACAAGUUUAUGGAACAUGGAGGUCCAAAAUAUUGUAAAAGAGGUCCGUAAUACUGUAAACCCUUGUGUUUACAAGAAUAAGGACAACAUUUACAACGUUAAAGUCUACCUUUACCUUAUCAUUGUAAGAGGGAUCAUUUCAAUUGUAAAUCAGGAUAUUACAACGCUAUGGAUAAGGAAGAACCUCAAACUUGUAAUCAUGGUGCAAAAAAUCAUAAAUGAGAAUCCAAAUCUUGUAAUGUACGAGAUUAAGGAUCUGCGUUACGAGUUUAUGGAGAGCUUACGUCCAAAGUAAUGUAAUAUGAGUCCUUAAUGUUAUAAAUCAUUGCAUUGACAAGAAUAAGUACCAAUUUAACAUCUCCAAGGUCCACCAUUACCUUAACCAUGUAAUAGGGAUCUUUUCUAUUGUAAUUUAUGAUAUUACAAGUUUAUGGAUACACUUUACAAGUUUAUGGAAUAUCGAGGUCCAAAACAUUAUAAAAGAGGUCUUUAAUACUGUAAAGCCUUGUGUUUACAAGAAUAAUGACAAAAUUUAUUCCACCAAGGUCCACUGUUACCCUAUUCUUAUACAAGGGUUCCUUGUUGUUGUAAAUUAUGGUAUUACGAGAUUAAGGAUGGCUUUUACAAUGUAAUGGAACGACUGUGUCCAUUUUAGUAUAAUACAAAUCCUUAAUGUUGUAAUCACGUCCUUGUUUACAAGGAUAAUGACUCAAUUUACUACUCCAAGGUUCAUUCUUACCUUAACAUUGUAUUGGGGGUCAUUUCCUUUGUAAAUUACGAUAUUACAAGAUUAAGGAUCUCUUUUAUAACUUUAUGGAACCCCUCUGUCCAUAACAAUAUAAUAGAAGUCCUAUAUGUUGUAAAUUCUCUUGUUUACAGUGGCAAAGACCAAAUUUAUUCCACCAAGGUACCCUAUUCUUAUACAAGUACAAGGACCCAAUUUACUUUCCUAAUGUCCCAAGUUACCUUAACUAGAUGUCUUUAUCUUUGUAAAUUACGAUAUUACAAUAUUAAGGAUGAGUUUUAUACUCUUAUGGAACACACCUGUUUAACGUAGAGUAAUACGAGACUUUAAUAUUGUAAACGUUUGUGUUUAUAAGUAUAAUGACCUAAUUUACCUUCCAAAUGUUCCACUUUACUGUUUGUCAAUUCCAAUUUUGAACUUACUAUUUGUCAAUUGCAUUAUUCAGUUUCAAUUUCCCACUAACUGCUUGUCAAUUGCAUACGAGUCCUUACUAUUGUAAACCCUUUGGUUUACAAGGAUAAGGACCAAAUUUACUUCUCUAAUGUCCCACCUUCCCUUUAUAAAUUUAUUUUCUUAAUUUUAAUAUAUUUUAAAUACAUGUUUACAACAUAUUUACAAAGGCCAAAAAUCGCAUUUUUUUGACCAAAAAAAAAACUUCACUUUGGGGUUACAAAAGCAUUAGGAAUGGGGAAUGCGAAGUGAAAUCAUGUGGAAAACGAAGUCAAAAGUGAAGAAAAUAGGCACGCAUGAUAACUGCACGUUUACAAUUUCCAACUUAUUGUUUGUCAAUUGCAUUAUUCAGUUUCAAUUUCCCACUAACUGUUUGUCAAUUACAAGAUUACGGAUAGAUUUUACAAUUUUAUGAAACAUAGCUGUCCAAAACGGAUGGGUUUUACAAUUUUAUGGAACACUCAAUUACAAGAUUAUGGAUGGGUAUUGCAAUUCCGAACUUACGAUUGCAUUAUUCUUGUUCAAUUUCCAACUCACUGUCUCUCUCAAUCACUUCAUUGUCUUUUUUUUUUUUUUGUAAUAAGAAACAUAAUUUCAUUAAGAAGAGAACAUAUCAAUACAAGGGACAAGUUGUCCACUGGUCUAGCUAUACUAGGUAAACAACUUAAAAAAGAUACAUGGCACUAGACGAACAAAACUUGUAGUUGACAGCAGAAUUCUAAUAAUACAAUAUAGCUUGAAAGGAACAAUCCUUAACUUCUGAACAUACCAACGGCCCAAGGGAAUCCCAAAAACGAAGCCUAUCCCAAAUAAGAUCCACCUCCACAUCCCUUGCUCCGCUCCAAAAUUUUCAACAUAUGCCUACAUAUUGAAAUAUGAACUAAGCACUUUUUCAACCACAAUCUGGGUCAUUACUUCCACAAUCUGUUCAUCAACAAAAAUAAUUACAGACCCAUGUACCUAUACAUAGUUCGCAAUAAACAACUCGGGGAGGCAUUUCCCAGAAGCAGUGGAUGAAAGCUGCAUUUCCCAGAAGCAGUGGAUGAAAGCUUCUAAUGGUUAUUAAAUAUUUGUUAACAGGUUCUAUUGACCUUGUUGCCAAGCUAAUACUAAUGAAUGUAAUAAAGGAAAAGGAUAACACAAUUGAGUUGAAUGAUAGGAUGGAUUCUAACAUGUGACUGAAAGAUUGGUCAAUCCUACAAAAGAAAAAAAUAAAAACCAAACCAUGACAUAUGUUAUUAUAUGAGCAAAAAUGAACUCUCAGAUUACAAUAAUUGAAAGAAGAUAAGGAAAUCGAUAGCAAAAUCUCAGACUUUGCAUGCAGUUUAACAGCAUAAAUAGACUUUCCUAGAUUCAAUAUACACAAAUCAAUACUCAUUCUAGCAACUUCAGUCCUAAAAUGGUCAUUCCAACAUUAUUCCUAAAUCGUUCCAGCUCAAGUUCUUCUAUGGAUAGCAUAAAGACCCAUCUAACGUGUGAAUCACCACUUACAAUACGAUAGUACCCCUAAUCAUCCUUUGACACUAACUCCCACUUCACCAACUGCACUUAUUUCCCUCUCCUUGGCCUUGCCAUAAAAAUUCUCAUAUGAGCUUCUCAACCUUUCAUCUAUUGGGACUACUUAUCCUAAUUAAUCACAAAUUCACAAUAAUAGAUAUAUGCCAGUCAUAAAAUUUGAGUUUCUGGAACAACAAGGUCACAAAACAGGAACAGGGGAAUCAAAAGAAACCCAUAUCAAAUUUAAACAAAAAAUCACAUUACCAACAAAUAAAACCCAACUAUCCAAAAAAAUACCAGAAACCAAAAGACAAAAGGAAUAGAAAAAGCAAACUGACCUUUGAUAUUGGAAAAAUCCCCAAUUUUCUAGGGUUUGAACUGAUGACAAAGAGGAGCAGAGAGGUAGACAGAGAGAGAGGGGGACGAAGAGAGAGACGGACGAAGAGAGAGAUGGACACAGAGAGAGAGAGAGAGAGAGAGAGAGAGAGAGAGAGAGAGAGAGAGAGAGAGAGAGAGAGAGAGGGACCAAGAGAUUUAAGAUCUUCUCAAUUUCAUCCACAGAAUCAAGCGAUUCACAGGUAGGGGAAGAGAGGGAGAGAUGAAAGAGAGAGUUGGUGAGAUUGCCUCAGUAGUUCAACAUCUUCUUUGCCCUUUCUCCCUUUGUAUCGUUCUAUUUUUCUUUUCUUGUUUUGUUUUUAUUUUUUUGUUCAAUUUUUAUUUUAUUCACUUUUACCUAUAGCAACCCUUUUAACCGGUUAACAGCAUUCAAUGGUGUGGAUUUAACCCACAUCUUAACUUACUUAUCCAACGGUUGAUAAUUUGGGGCGCAUGGAUACACCACGCCCAUUGUAGAAUUUUCCCUUCCGACACCCCCACCAACCCACCCUCCCUCCGUGCACACCGCUGUCAAAGUCAUCGCCACUGAACUCGCUAUCGUUGGAUAGAACCAAGGGCAAGAUCUCUAUCCUUAUCAACUGCCUCUUCCUCUUGCUUCCCUCGGAGACCUUAUGAUCGCCAUCUUCGUUCCUCGGCCUCCCAAUUAAGGAUUGAUUGUCGCUUGGGUUGGGGGUUUUCAAUUUUCCGAAUUGAUUGUCAUCAACCUCAACCAUGGUUGUCUCCAGAAGAUGCGAUUUCAACUUCCAAAGGGAUCAAGUUGCAGUCCUCAAAAAACGCAGACUUUGUUUUGGGGCUUCUGAGAAACCAUGGAUUCUCUCAAACCCAGAUCUCAUGGGAUCAAGUUAUAGUCCCUAGAAAACGCAAACUCCAUUUUGGGGCUUUUGAGACCAUGGAUUCUCUCAAACCUAGAUCUCAAAGUUUUGCAAAACUUGCCCAGAAAGUAACGGGUUUUAAUGGGUUGCCCUUCUUUUCUUGCUUUCUGGCUUUGUUUGGAUGCUGAGAAAGUAGAUUUGAGUGUAUGUUUUGGUUGAAUGAAACAGAACAAAUGGUUUUUCUUUAAAAUAUUGUGAUGAAAUCCAGUCAUUUGCACUUUGUGAUGUGUUUUGUAUACUCAUUCAAAUGCUUCAUUUUGGAUCUGGGUAGUGGAAUUCGACUGAGCUGAACUUGGGGUUUCAUCUUUUUGGAAUAAUCAAAGAGGUUCUCAGUGUUAGAUUCAUGAAAUUUGAUUUACACAAUAACGAAACAGAGGGAUUAUAAGCAAUUAGGCAAGAUGAUGGCUGCGACGGAGGGGGGGUGGGGUAGAGACGGAGAGGGGGCUGGGAAGGGGUGGGCAAGGUCGUCGGGGUGGUUGGCUGGGUUGGAGAAGAAAGAUGAGAAAUUUUUUUUCUUCUUCUUUUUUAAUAUUAUUUAAAAAAUAUUUUAAACAUGUAUAUAAUUUUUUAUUAUUUAUUUGUCCACCUGUAAGUCCACGUCAGUUAAAAAAUGGGUACCAUAAAUGCCACAUAGGCAGAUAACGAAUUUUUUGACGAUCUCGCUAACGGAUGGAGCAAAUUGUAGGUUUUCCGUGAUGUUGAGUAUGUACUCGUAAAUAUUCCCAAAAUCAGGUAUGAAUUUGUAAAUGACCUUAUAGGUUGGGAGUUUUACUGUAGUUUGUCCUAACUUUUAUUGUUAAGCUCUUUUUUGUUAAGUCAGAUCUCACUUUUACCAUCAAUUACCCUAUUGCCAUUGAUAUAUAAAAAAAAAAAAACAAAGAGCAUGUUCUACCAUCAAUUACCCUAUUUUGCUUCACUUUUGACUUCGUUUUCACAUGAUUUCACUUCUCAUUCCCAUGGCGGGAUGCUUUUGUAACUCCAAAGGGAGUAAGUAUUUUUUUGGGUAAAAAAAAUGCGAUUUUUUGGCCUUUUGUAAAUAUGCUGUAAGCAUGUCUUUAAAAUAUAUUAAAAUUAAUUAAAUAAAUUUAUAAAGGGAAUGUGGGAUAUUAGAGAAGUAAAUUAGGUCCUUAUCCUUGUAAACCCAAGGGUUUACAAUAGUAAGGACUCGUAUGCAAUUAACAAACAAUCAGUGGGAAAUUGAAACUGAAUAAUGCAACUGACAAAUAGUAAGUUUAAAAUUGCAAUUGACAAACAGUAAAAUGGAACAUUCGGAAGGAAAAUUGGGUCCUUAUACUUAUAAACACAAACGUUUGCAAUAUUAAGGUCUCGUAUUACUCUAUGUUAAACAUGUGUGUUCCAUAAGAGUAUAAAACCCAUCCUUAAUAUUGUAAUAUCGUAAUUGACAAAGGUAAAGACAUAUAGUACAAUAUUAAGGUAACUUGGGGCAUUAGGAAAGUAAAAUGAGUCCUUAUAUUUGUAUAAGAAUAGGGUAAGAGUGGACCUUGGUGGAAUAAAUUUGGUCUUUGUCGUUGUAAACAAGGGAGUUUACAACAUAUAGGACUUCCGUUAUAUUGUUAUGAACAGAGGGGUUCCAUAAAGUUAUAAAAGAGAUCCUUAAUCUUGGUAAUGACCCCCAAUACAAUGUUAAGGUAAGAAUGAACGUUGGAGUAGUAAAUUGAGUCAUAUCCUUGUAAACAAGGUGGUGGUUACAACAUUAAGGAUUCGUAUUAUACUAAAAUGGACAUAAUCGUUCCAUUACAUUGUAAAAGCCAUCCUUAAUCUAGUAAUACCAUAAUUUACAACAACAAGGAACCCUUGUAUAAGAAUAGGGUAAGAGUGGACCUUGGUGGAAUAAAUUUGGUCCUUAUUCUUGUAAACACAAGGGUUUACAGUAUUAAGGACCUCUUUUACAAUGUUUUGGACCUCCAUGUUCCAUAAACUUGUAAAGUGUAUCCAUAAACUUGUAAUAUCAUAAAUUACAAUAGAAAGGAUCUCUAUUACGUGGUUAAGGUAAUUAUGGACCUUAGAGAUGUAAAAUGGUAUUUAUUCUUGUAAAUGCAAUGGUUUAUAAUAUUAAGGAAUCGUAUUACAAUGCUUUGGACGUAAGCUCUCCAUAAACUCGUAACGCAGAUCCUUAAUCUAGUACAUUACAAGAUUUGGGUUCUCAUUUAUGAUUUUUUGCACCAUGAUUACAAUUUUGAGGUUCUUCCUUAUCCCUAGCGUUGUAAUAUCCUGAUUUACAAUUGAAAGGAUCCCUUUUACAGUGAUAAGGUAAGGGUAGACUUUGGAGAAGUAAAGGUGGUCCUUAUUCUUGUAAACACAAGGGUUUACAGUAUUAAGGACCUCUUUUACAAUGUUUUGGACCUCCACGUUCCAUAAACUUGUAAAGUGUAUCCAUAAACUUGUAAUAUCAUAAAUUAUGAUAGAAAGGAUCUCUAUUACAUGGUUAAGGUAAUGGUGGACCUUGAAGAUGUAAAAUUGAUACUUAUUCUUGCAAAUGCAAUGGUUUAUAACAUUAAGAACUCGUAUUACAGUGCUUUGGACGUAAGCUCUCCAUAAACUUGUAACAUAGAUCCUUAAUCUUGUACAUUACAAGAUUUGGGUUCUCAUUUAUGAUUUUUUGCACUAUGAUUACAAGUUUGAGGUUCUUCCUUAUCCAUAGCGUUGUAUUAUCCUGAUUUACAAUUGAAAGGAUCCCUUUUACAAUGAUAAGGUAAGGGUAGACUUUAACGUUGUAAAUGUAGUCCUUAUUCUUGCAAACACAAGGGUUUACAGUAUCACGGACCUCUUUUAUAAUAUUUUGGACAUCCAUGUACCAUAAAUUUGUAACGUGUAUCCAUAAAUUUGUAAUCUCAUAAAUUACAAUAAAAGGAUCUUCAUUACAAAGUUAAGGUAAUGGUGGACCUUGGAAAUGUAAACGUGGUUCAUAUUCUUGUAAACGCAACGGUUUACAAGACUAAGGACUUGUAUUACAAUGGUUUGGACGUAAGUGUUCUAUAAACUUGUAAAAUGGAUCCUUAAUCUCCUAGAUUACAAUAUUUUGAUUUCUAUUUACAAGUUUUUGCAUCAUGAUUACAACUUUAAAAGUUCUUUAUAAUCCAUAAUCUUGUAAUACUAUAAUUUACAUUAGAAAGGAUCUCUCUUAUAAUGUUAAGGUAAGGGUGGACCUUGGAGAAGUAAAUGUGAUCCUUAUUCUUGUAAACUCAAGGGUUUACAAUAAUAAGGACCCCUUUUACAAUGUUUUGGACCUCGACAUUCCAUAAACUCGUAAUGGGGACCCUUUCUAUUAUAAAUUAGGGUAUUAUAAGAUUAUGGAAUAUGAAGAACUUUAAACUUGUAAUCAAAUUGCAAAAACUAAUAAAUGGGAACCCAAAUAUUGUAAUCUAUGAGAUUACGGAUCCACUUUACAAGUUUAUGGAACUCUUACAUCCAAAGCAUCGUAAUACAAAUCAUUAAUGUUGUAAACCGUUGUUUACUAGAAUAAGGACCCAUUUUACAUCCCUACGGUUCAUCAUUACCAAUUCCUUGUAAUAUGGAUCCAUAUCCUUGUAAAAAGCUUAUUUACAACAUUAUGAAUUCGGUGAACCCUAACGUUGUAAUCUAAGAGUUGUAAGGUACGAGUUUAAGGAAUUGGUAAUGGUAACUCAAUCACUUUCUUCUCUUUCAUUGCCUCAUUUAGUAUUUUGUUAUGUUACAUACUUAUAUAAAAUUUCGAGUAUUUUCGUUGAAAUUGUAUAUAUUAUAUGUAAAUAUCAUAUUUAUGUAUUAUAUAUUGAUUAUAAAGUGCAAUAUAUAUUAUUUAAGUAUUAUAUUAUUACAUAUUCUUUUUUAACAUUUUUUUUUAUUGGAACAUGAACCAAUUAUAUUACGAAUAAAAAAACAGAGACGGAUCAUAAGGGAAAUUUUUGUUGGAAGAUGCUAUGAGUCAUCUUUUGUUAUAAGACAUUUGUUUCAAGUUAUUUUUCUUUUUUGCAAUUCCAGCAAGAGGAAUCCAAUACCAUAAAUUGAUCAAGGCACCUAUGUGCCUUCUCCCUCAAUCCUCUGCCCCUAUUUCUUAUGAUUUAGUGGUGCAACAAGCUAGCUCCACCAUUGUAACCUGUCGUGGAGCUCAAUUCCUUGCUGCCACCUUGGCCAUCAAAGUCAAAGAAGUCAUGUCUAAACGAAGUCGUCGUCGCUGUCAUCUCUCUUGCGCAGACUAGUUGUCUUUUGACGCCGCUGUCAUUUGGUUGUACAGGGAGGGAAGAAGAAGAAGAAGAAAAAUGGAAACUAAAACUUCACUAUGAAAAAGUCGCAUUUAUCCUUCCUAUUCCCCUCACGUGCAUUUCACAUGACUAAAACUCACAGAAAAUAUAACGGUGGACCCGUUCACCGAAUAAUAAAGAGUUGGUGGACCAUUUGAGUAAAUAAUUUAAUUGAGGGAUCAAAAUACAACUUGGGUAUAAGUUUGAGAACCAUUUGAGUAAAUAACCCUAUAUUUAAAUCACUACGCCACGUGGCAUAUCAAAUCAACAUUGUUACGCCAUAUACUAAUUUCAUUGGAGAUGCUCUAAAAUCCGCAAUCCUUAAACAGACUUGUACAUAAUGUGGCAAGCCAAACAAUUUCACAAGAAUCACCAUAAUCUAGUUUCUAUUAGUAGAUGCUCUUAGAAAUUAAGUGCUCGUUUGAAAUUAUUUAUUUGGGGUAAUAAGUGAUUUUUAAAAAUUUUUGGGAAGCCCAGCCCGUUUGGUUAACUAUGAGAAAAUUAUUUAUUGUUAAAAAUUACUUUCAGAGAAAGCUAUAAGGGAAAGCAUGAUGUGCUUUCAUUUUCUGAUUAUGUAGGAAUUAGUUUCGAAGAGACGCUGAGUUAAUGAUUAUGUGAGAAUUAGUACCAACAACACUUUUAACAAAAAGUUUACCAAACAUCAAAUUGCUUUCUCUCACAGCAAAUUUAAUAGCAAUUAUUUUCACAACACAGGAAUGCCAAACUGAACAUAAGUUUGAAUUCCCUAACCUAUGAUAUAUUCUGCUUGGCCAAUACCCUUUUUUCCCAAAAAAACACAAAAAAAAACACAAGUCUGAAAUAAAAUAUUCUUUCUUUCUUUACUCAUGCUGACGUGGUUUAUCCUUUCUUACAUUAUUUUCAACAUUUGACCCCAAAAAAGAAUAUAUUGAAAAGAGAGUUUAUUUUGGAUUUGAAUAGCUCUAGACGACUGAAAGUGCUGAAAUUAAAUAAUAAAAGUAUGUUUAUAAAAUAAACGAAUAAGUAAAUAAACGAAAGGGUAAAUUGCAAAAAUGGUCCUCAAAUUUGUAUGCGAUGUACAUUUUGGUCCCUAAAUUAAAUUAUUAGUCGAAAUGAUACAUAAACUCUAUGUUAAUCGGCCAUUUGAUCCAACCGUUACAUUUUCUGUGAGUUUUUAACAAGUCAACGCCAAUGAUGGGGUCUAGGAUGGGUAUAUGCGUCUUUUUAAAUCUGAAAGGGUAUAUGCGUCUUUUUCAACCUCAAUGUCUUCUUUUCCGAUUAGCCAAAACGUCGCAUUCGGUUCGUGACUAUCCGAAACCGAGGUGCGAAGGCAACAACAGAGAACCAGGGUGUUGGGGUUCCUAUUUGGGGGUUUUGCGGGAAUUUCUGGAUUUCGAUCAUUGUGGAUGCUCAUCACUGAUGGAGUUUGAGUUCCGUUGGGGUGGAGAGAAUCCCAAAUACAGUAAGGGAUUCUCUGUCUGUAUUUUAUAUUCAUCUUGUUUUGCAAAUCGAUGUUUUUUGUUUGCAAGUGUGUGGUCCAAGGUCAGUUUCUUUAUGUUGAAAAGAUACUGUGGCAUUUUAUUUCCUUUAUGCUGGGAUUGACUGCAAAGUAUAGGUNNNNNNNNNNNNNNNNNNNNNNNNNNNNNNNNNNNNNNNNNNNNNNNNNNNNNNNNNNNNNNNNNNNNNNNNNNNNNNNNNNNNNNNNNNNNNNNNNNNNCACCAUGGGGGUAUGUUUGAAAAUGGGGUUUAUAAAGUGGUAAGGUCUGUAUUUAGAUAAUGUUGUGAUGACUUUCUAUCAUUGCUGGAUUUUGUAACACCCCGACCCCAAAUUUAACCCUUAUUUAAUUAUUUAAUUAUUUAAGGGUAUUUUAGUCAUAUUUUUAACCGGAGAGAGUUUGGGGCAGUAACCAGUAUUUUUGGAUAGGUCGUACUGAGACGAAUUCAUAGACACGUAGUGGGCUCGAAUCGAAGUUGUAACGAGAGAGAUAUGGUCAAAAGAAGCCCAGUGGCACAAUCGUAAAUAUUUUAAAAUGGGAUUUUUUAUAAAAUCUAAUUUUCUCUCUCUCUCUCUCUCUCCUCUCUCCCGUUCCAGCGACCAUCGCCUUCCAAGAGGCGCCGGCGCCGCCACAGGGCACCACCGGCCACGGGACCGGUGGCGUUCGAACCGCCGUCGUCCCCCCUUCCUUUCCCGACCCUUCCCCGCUGGCGGCACGGCCUUUGCUGGCCGGAAGAUGCGAAAAACCGACGGGAACUCACCGAAACUUCAACGCCGUCGAUCUCCCUCCUCCGGCCACCAAAUCCGACGAGCAAGGUAUGGUUUCUCACCUACUUUUCAUGCUCUAGCUGCCUGUUGGCUGGGUUUUGAUUGAUUUUACCUCUAGAUCACUCGAUUUUCGAAUUGAAAAUCGGCCAAACUUCGGCCGCCGUGAUCGGCCAUUUCCGGCCACUUUUUGGGGUAGGUCCAAGAACAAAAGUGACUCCAAAUAGGGUGUUAUACCUAGGGUAGGAGUUUGGAGCCGUGGUUUUGAGAUUUUUCGGCGAAGCGUUAUCGCUUUGGGCACCCACCCGCUGCCGGCUCGUGCGGCGGCGCGUGGGCACUGUAGAAAAAGUGGCACUGUGUCUCGAUGAGAUCCUUAGGUUGUCACGAGUGCGUAGGAUUUUGCGGAUCUCAAUUCGGACGUCGUUUGACUAUCGAACGGACGAUCGCAUAUUGUGCGUUAUCCGGGUUCGAUAGGUUGGGACCGUUGGAUGGUCCCAAAUUUAAUAUAUGUUAAUCUAGGUGAUUCUAGGAUCGUUUAGGAAUUCACAGAUUGUGAAUCGGAGCCCCGGAUGUUCCGAAUAAUAAUUUUAAAGUUUGUAUUUUAUAUUAAUUGUCAGAUCGUGCGAUCGUGAGCAAUCCGACCGUCCGAUCUGAACCAAACUUGCAGGACAAGUGUCCUAUACCUGGUAGAACCCAUAGGGACUUUCGGAUCGGAAAUUGGAGGUCGUGGGCUCCGCAGGUCCGUUUGACCAGGGUUAGAAUAGUUUGACCCUUGGUUGACCGUGAGUCUCCCGGAGUAAUCUCACCUUUCCAUGGGAGAUUAUCGGGUGCUAGACUAUUGUGGAGGGUUACACAAUAUUAGAAUUUAAUAUAUGUAUUUAUAAUUAUAAUAUGUUUGUACAAGGGUACAAAAGAGUCUAGAAUGUCAGUUUGGAGUGCUAUACGCACUACCUUAGGUACCUCCCCGGAUUUUGGAUUCACUACAAGCACCACAAAGUGAAAGUUAGGUCCCACAUGGCGUAGGUUAUCCGGCGUGUGGACAGGCCCCAUACAUGGCGUUGGUUGUACCGGCAUAUGGGGAGAUAUUGUGAUAUUGUGUUGAGGUCGCACGUGGCGUAGGUUAUCAAGCGUGUCGACAGACCCCAUACGUGGCUUUGGUUGUACCGGCGUACGGGGAGAUUUGUGAUAUGAUGUUGAGGUCCCGCGUGGCGUAGGUUAUCCGGCGUUGGGACAGGCCCCAUACGUGGCGUUAGUUGUACUGGCGUAUGGGGAGAUAUGUGAUAUGAUGCGCAGGUCUCACGUGGCGUAGGUUAUGCGGCGUUGAGACAGACCCCAUACGUGGCGUUGGUUAUACCGGCGUAUGGGGAGAUAUUAUGAUAGUAUGGCAUGGUCGCACGUGGCGUAGGUUAUCCGGCAUGUUGACAGGCCCCAUACGUGGCGUUGGUUGUACCGGCGUAUGGGGAAAUUAUAUGAAAUACAAAGAAAGGAAAUAAGGUAUCACUUAAGUGUGGAAUUGGUUUUUAGGGAAGAACUACGUGUGGCUUGAUCCCUCAAGGAGGGUACGUAGGCAGCCUAAGGUUAUUAGGUGCAGCCGCAGACUAAAUGUUAGUCAUAAUUGGUAUUUGAAUUGUCUGGUAGGUGGUUAAGAAUUAUUAGAAGGCCAAAGGCCAUUUGUGUGAAUUGCAUGAAAUUAUAUUGUGCAUGCUGCCAGUUGGGAAUAUUAAAUGCGUUUUUAUGCAGGUAUAAAUUUUGGGAAAUGUCCAAUUUAUAGGGGAGACUGCCGAAUUUUCGGCAGGAAGUCUCGGUCUUUAGUAUUUGGGCCUGGCAUCGGGAGGAUGUUGGGAAUUCCAAAGGGUUCGCCUCGAGUUCUGAAAAAUUCGGGGCGGGUCCUUUCAGAUUUAAGGAAGAUAGGGAAAGAGUUGGGGUAUACAAUAGAUGUUUCGAAAAUUGAGCAAACUAUGGAGAUUAGGUAUAGAAAGGCUGGAGAAAAGGAUGGUAACAUAUUGGAGCUUAUUACCUCUGAUAAUAAAGUAGUUGAAAUGGUUGGAUGCAUGCCAUGUAAUAGGGUUCUUGUGUUGUACUAUACAGAUAUGGAAAAUUCAAAUGGUAAUGGGCUUGGGACUCAAGCAUCUGCUGCAUGGCCUAGUUUGGAUAGUGCAGAAUAUAACUAUGAUGCAGAUGUAGAAAAUGAUGGGAAGGGUGUCACAUGGCACGCAUUCAAUGAACCAGGGGAUGCAGAUGCAUAUGUAGAAGUUGGAAAUGAAGAGGAAAAUGAGGUUGCAGCAACUAAGAAUGGAGAGGAAAAUAAGGCUGCAGUAAUUGAGAAUGGAGAGGUUGGAAAUGAAGGGGAAAAUGAGGAAAAUGAUGCACAAUUUGUGGAUAGUGAUUAUGAAUUCAGUGAACAAGAAGAUGAGGUGCUUGUAGCUGAGAAUGUGGUAGUUGGGGGCGCAAGUGGUGAGCCCAAUGCAGGUGAGAACAUUGGGCCUAGUGUUCAGGCCAAUGCAGGUGAGAAUGUUGAGCCAACUGUUUAGCCCCAUGGACAUGAGACAGUUGGGCCUACUUAUGAUGCUCAAGGAGAGGUUUCAUCAGAUGGUGCUAACACAUCGGAUUUGGACACAGGAAGUGAUGAAGAGGAUCAGGAUCAGGGUAAUGGUGAGGAAAAGGGCAAAAGAAAGAAAAAGAAAUUGCCAAAGUUGAAGGAGUACAGGAGAGAGGUGGAUUUAAGGAAUCCAGAGUUUAGGAUGGGAAUGCGAUUUGCAAACCAAAAGGUAUUGAAAGAAGCUGUGGAGGAGUAUGCAAUUCUACAUGGUAAGUUGAUAAAAUUCAAAAAAAAUGACAAAGUGAGGCUCCAGGUAGUAUGUAUGGGAGGACUGAAAUGUCCAUUUUAUUUAUAUGCUUCAAAGAUAGAUAAGAGUGAAUCUACAUUUGUAAUCAAGACUAUGAGCCUAGAACACACUUGUGGGAGGGUCGACAAGUUGAAGUAUGCCUCAUCCAAGUGGCUUUGCAAUAGGUAUUCUAAGAAACUGAAGAGAGACACAGACUUGGAUGUGAAAUCAUUGCAAGAGGAUGUUUUGGAGGAUUAUUGUAUGAAUGUCACAAGACAUCAAAUAUAUAGGGCCAAAAAGAGGGCCAAACUAAUGAUUGAAGGGAGUUACAUAGAACAAUAUGCUAGGUUAGGGGAUUAUGCAGAGGAAUUGAAGAAGGCAAACAAAGGAAGUACAGUUGUAAUUCAAACUGAACAAGUGGGGGCCCAAGCUAUCUUUCUAAGGAUGUAUGUUUGCUUGGCUGGUUGCAGGCAAGGAUUUUUAGAUGGAUGCAAACCAGUUAUUGGUCUUGAUGGGUGCCAUGUAAAAGGUCCUUAUCCUGGCCAGAUUUUGACAGCAGUUGGGGUGGAUGGCAACAAUGGCAGUUUCCCAAUUGCUUAUGCAGUUGCUGAGAUCGAAAGCAAACAAUCGUGGAUCUGGUUUCUUAGGCUGCUGAUUGAAGAUCUAAAGAUUACAAAUGGUUUGUCAUAUGUGUUCAUUAGCGACAAGCAAAAGGGACUCAUACCUACAAUUGAGACUCUACUUCCAACUGUAGAGCACAGGAUGUGUGUUAGACACUUAUAUAAUAACUUUAGAUCAUCACACUCUGGUGUUGCUCUAAAACACAUAUUGUGGGCUGCAGCAAGAGCCACAACUAUGCCUUGGUGGGAAGCAGAAAUGGAAAAUAUGAAACAAGAGGAUGAGGAAGCAUGGGAAUGGCUCAGUAAGAGACCUGCAAAGAAUUGGAGUAGAUCUCACUUUGAUACACGGUUUAAGUGUGAUCUGUUGUUGAACAAUCUUUGUGAAAGUUUCAAUUCAGCAAUAGUAGAUGCAAGAGAUCAGUCCAUUUUGACUUGCUUGGAGAGGAUAAGAGUUCUUGUGAUGCUUAGGAUGGCAAAUAGAAGGGCUGCAUGUCCGAAAUGGAAACAUCCAGUUGGGCCAAGAAUCUUCAAGAUAAUUGAGAAAAACAAGUUAGAUGCCUCCACAAGCAUUCCUUGACUGGCAGGCUUGCAAACAUAUCAAGUGACCCACAUGUAUGGUGGAGAAUUUGUUGUGGAUCUUAGGGCAAGGACAUGUUCUUGCCGGAGGUGGGAUUUAUGUGGGAUACCAUGUGGCCAUGCAAUUUCUGCAAUUUUUCAAAGGGAUGAAAGCCCCAUUGAUUAUGUGGAUGAAUGUUACAAGCCUGCAACUUAUAUGAAGUCAUGGACCAAUGAUUUAUCCCAUCCCUUCAAUGGAUCAAUGGGCUAAAUCUGGGCAUCCUCCAAUACAUCCCCCAACUGUUAGGGUACAGCCAGGAAGGCCCCAAAAAACUAGGUCCAAAGAACCUGCUGAAAUUUUGGUACCACCACCACCCCCACCACAUCCAAUGCCUCCAAAUUAUGUUCAACCAAGAGACAAGCUUAGAAGACUUUUUAUUAAGAUCACAUGUAGGAGAUGUGGUCAAAGUGGCCAUAAUAGGGCAACUUGUGACAGACAUAGCUCAGAAAAGCAACAGGUAAUUAUUUAUUAUGCAAAUUUAGAGUUGUUACAUGUUUUGGAAGUAAUAAUUAUUUGUGCUCUUGCAGGCAAAUGCAUCUUUUGCCCAAAAAGAAGUCCAUACUGAGGGAGGGGCAAUUAGAGUGAGGGGCAGAGGCCGAGGAAGAAGAAUAGCCAAUAAGGCUCUAGCUGUUGCAAAAGAAGUUGCUACUUCUUCACAAAGUGUACGUUUUUUGGGGUAUUUUUCUUCAAAUAUGUUGUCUCACAAAUCUGCAAUUUAGUUGCGAACUUAUAUUGGUCCUCUUUAUUUAGGUGGCAAGAGGUAUAAGAGGUUGGCCAAGAAGUAUGCUAAGAGAUAUGGGAAAAAGGUUGGAUAGAGGAACAGGAAGAUCUAACGAGGCUCCAGCUGUUGCAACUGAAGUUGCUACUUCUUCACAACAAAGUGUAUGUUGUUUGAGGUUUAUUUUUCAAAUAUGCUCACUUAUUUUUUUGCAAUAUAGUUCAGAACUUAUAUUGGUCCUCUUUCUUUAGUUGGCAAGAGGUGUGGGAAGAGGUUUGUCAAGAACUAUGGUCAGAAGUUUGGCAAGAGGUUUGGCAAGAGGAGGAACAUUCAAAAAGGCUGCUAUUAGAAGAGAAACAUUCAAAAGGCCUACAGAAGUUCUAUCACAACCAUAAUCAUUCACAAGGCAGGGGGAAUCAUAUAUAUUUUGUGUAAUUUGGGAUGUGGAUUUUGUUCAGGAUAUGCAUUGUGGUUAUGUAAAGGCCCUGCAUUUUAGCUUACAGUACAAACAAUAGGAUCACAGCUUUUGGGAUGUUAUUUUGUGGAUUUACACUCUGCCUUUUGGUUUAGGUUCUGUAAUUUGAGAUGUAAUUUUAUGGAAUCACAGCUUGUGGAUUAGAAUUAACUCUACAUAUUGGUAAUGGAAUUGGUUUAUGCUGUGCAAUUUGGUUAUGAAAUUGGUUUUUCGCUAUGGGAUUGGUUUUUGGUUAUGGAAUUGGUAUUCAUUUCUGGAAUUGGUGUGGUUUUGGUUAUGGAAUUGUUUUACCUAAAAUACUCCACAAACUAUUUCAUAGCUAACAAACCCCACAUUACAUUCAUAGCUAACAAACACCACAUUACAUUCAUACCUAUAAUCCCAUUACAAACCUAAAAGGCCAUUACAGACCUAACAUUCAUAGCUAAAUCUUUCUACUCAUCACAAAAAUUACAAACAAACACCAUGAAAGGAUCAAAGCAAACCCCAAUUUCAAUUGUCUCUGUCUACUCCAUUCCAAUUCCUUUUUUCCUUCAAUAACAACACACACUUUCUCUUCCAAUUUUUUCUUCUCUACUUCCACUAAUCUCAGUUGCUCAUCUCUUGCUCUAAUUUCUUCCUCCAUACCUCUGAGUCUUCUAAGCAAUCCAGGAAGCACUUCCUUUCCUCUUGGACAUGUUUCAUUAUCCAGUCAUUCAAAGAAAUGAUGUCUUGUUUGGCUAUUCUGCACAUCAUUUGUUACACACAAUCAAUCAGAGCCCAGCACACCAUUCAAUUCUUCACUUAAACAAAACAAAACCCUUACUCUAUCUUACCCGAUUUUGGUCGCAUGCCUUAAACCUUCUUCCUGGGUUCAGAUCUGUCCAUGAAGUGCGCCGUUUAAUCUUCAUCCCACAAAAGCAAUACCGAUUUGAUCGAGUUGAAUUUGUUGAGCUUUCAGACAUCGCUGCCUUCAUUGAAGAAGAAGCUGGAUUCCUCGAAUGACGCCUCUGUCGCUUCAAGAAUUAGCUAUUCUACAUGGUUUGGACAGUUUUACCUUUAAAUUUCACGACAACAUUGACGGAACCUAACGGUUGGAUCAAAUGGCCUAUUAACAUAGAGUUUAUGUAUCAUUUUGUCUAAUAAUUUAAUUUAGGGACCAAAAUGUACAUCACAUACAAGUUUGACGACCAUUUCCGCAAUUUACCCUAAACGAAAUGAAUGAAAAGCCUAUCAACUAUUGGGUUGUGUCGAAGACGAUCGCAUACUGAAGGAGAGAAAGCAGGUACCCAUCAACCGAAUUUCUACUGUGUUUUUGUUUUUCCCAUCUCUCAUCUACUUAAAUUAUUAUUGGCUUUCUGUUUGGUGGCCGAGAAAGUUCAAUGAAACCGCAAAGAAAAUAAAAUUUCAAAGUUUCUUGAUGUUAGAGGGGAUCUUAAAAUUGGAUUCAUAGUUGGCAGCAGCGAAUUGUUUUCUUGAAAUUGAAUUUGAAUGUGUAAGAACUUGGGUUCAAAAUUAUGGGAAUUGGGUAGUCAGCUGUUUGUUUGAAAUCGAGUUGGAUAUUGGAUUGAAGUUAAUGGGUUAGUUCUUGAAAUGAGCUUUUUUGAAAUUUUGAUUUCACAGUUAGGCAUGCAGAGUUGUUCUGUAUUCAAUUAAAUUGAAGUUUUGAUUAUCUGUAAUGGACUUUAAGCUUGAUGAAUUGUUCCUUAGCUUGAGAUGAAUCUUGGACUUUUGUCAUAAAAUUAUGCUUUGUUAGUUUCAUGGGGAAGAAAGGAGUUUGGGCCAGAUAUCUCCAGCAUCUCUUUUCCAAAACGCCAAGAGAAGAGUCCUGAUCUUUUUCAUAAUAAACCAAUUAAUAUAUCUAAAGGAAAAAGCUUUACUGAGAAUUUUUUGUUUUAUUAUGAAUUUAUCUUUUUUCCUCUUGAGGGAUAGAAAGAGACGUUUGGCCUGUUUGGCUGAGUUUUAGAAAACAAUAUAAAUUUAAGUUGGGGUUUCAAAAGUAGUAGAAAACAGUUCUUAUCACUUGUUUUCAAUAUUUUUGUAAGUUUUCAACUGAAAACAGGUUCACGAAUUGAAUACCAUUCAGUUAUUUUCUGUUUCCAAGCUUGUUUUCCGAAAACAGUUUUAAAACUCAUUUAGGUACAUGUUUUCAUAUUGUUUUCUGUUUUCACGAUUUUUAGUGGCAAGUAUUUCUGAAUGAAGAAUUGAGCAUGCCCUUAUUGCUUUACUAGUUGUGGUAAUUAUCUAUUCAUGUAGAAUUAGAAUAGAUAUUAACAUAGACACCAGAGUUGGAGCCCUACAAAUUGGCAGUGUGUAUUCAAGAGUCCUAAUAGGUUUUAUGUGUUAGAAAAUCAGUGUUUCUUUCAAUCUGCAUUUCUUUAUGUACUCCUCUCUCUGCAACAAUGUUCCAAUUGUUGCAGUUUCGUGGAUUCUGUCUUAUUGCUUAUCAUUUCAAUUUGUUUAUCAAAUAAUGGUACAAUAAUUGUUUAGAAAAGUCAUCUCAUAAUUGUUUUGAUGUCAAAAGGUGACGUUUUCUAAUAUCUUUUGACAGGAAAGUUUGGUUGCAAUAGCGUGGGAACUUAAUUAAUCUUACAGAUGGAUAAUGAUAACGAUUUCACCUUUUGCCAGGCAAUUGUUAUAUGCACAUUUCAUUCAAGAUCAAGAAAGCUAUACCCCUAAAAUAUGCUCAUUGGUUUCAACGCAACAUUUACAGUGGACUGUUUUUCCGAAAUAUGAUUCAUUGUUGGUUUGGUCCAAUUUAUACAUGUCAUAAUUUUAUUUAAAUGUAAGGUCUGUGGUAUAUUUUAGGUUGGCUCACCUGGCAACCAGGAUGGUCUUGAGACAAAGAAGCUCACUUCGGAUAUAGAAAAUAUUGCCAUAAAAGAUGGAUUGUCAAAUGGCACUAAUAGUAAUCAGAAUAGAGGUUUUUUGUGGCAAAGUGGAUUGCCAUUAGGGGCCACUUCUGAAAAGCAGGAAACAGUUGGUUCUCUUUCUGUCGGUGUUAUUGAUGCGUCAUCCACGAACCAAAAAUCUGAAUUACCAAAACAACCAUCGUCAGGAGGUGCUGGGAAGUCAGUGAAGCCUGUACCUCGUGCCAAAGUUCCCUUCGAGAAGGGGUAUAGCCAAAUGGAUUGGCUCAAGCUUACUCGAACACAUCCUGACCUUGCAGGUACAUAGUGACGUGUGCUUCCGGCUGAAAUUGCUUCUCGUAUUUCAUAACUGCAUUUUUCUUCCCAGCAAUCAUUCUUUUGAUUUUUUUUUUUUUCUUGUCAUUUGUGUUCUGGUAGCUUUCACGCAUUCAUAAUUACUGAGUUUUUUUCCUUCUCUGGUUAUCACGAACUCUGACUUAUUUGACUAUUCUUUCUUAAAGCCUUUGUGCUUUUUGAUAAUCCUAAAGGCAAUUCUCAAAAGAUAUAAGGAAAGUUACUUCAAACUUUUCCAAAUGAAAGGGGUUGGAUUGGGAGGGCUUGUAUUCUAUCUUCAGGAGUUUAUUGAGGUUCCUAAUUUGUUCUUUUUGGAAAAAAAAAUGUUUAGCAAUUUUUAAUUGUGUUCUUAAAGCACAAAGCUGUUAAUGAUAUCCUAUUUUCAAUUUGAGCUUGACGAGGUGCAUCUCUUGCUCAAACCUUAGAGCUACAUAUUACUUUGUGUGUGGAUCUAUGACCUCUACAGACCCAAUUGUCUAAUGUAUCUUCAUUUUCAGGCCGACUGAACCAAUGUAUUCUGGUAAUAUUAUUCCUGGAUUAUCCAGAGGGUUUCUGACUUCUGGUUGACAAAAUCUUCAUUGCUUGCAGCUAGAAAGUACCGGGUUUUCUUAGCGAUUCUCAUUUACCUAGUGUGCCUGCAUUGAACUGCUUAAAGAAGCUAAUGAAUGUAGCUACUUCAGUGUGUAUGUAACAUGUAUCUGAGAUAGGUUAUUCGUCGUGAAUUUAUGAUGCAUAUUAUUAUAAGUUCAGGAAACAACUUGUGAUUUAUCAUAUUGUUUUAAGUGCAGUCAUUGUUAGAUCAACGUUAGCUUCUUGAUAUACGAAUUCUGUCUCAGGUUUAAAGGGACAGUCAAAUAAGAGACUGAUUUCAAUAAAUGAAGUUAAACAACACCAAAAAGGGGAUUCAAUGUGGACUGUUCUAAAAGGUCGUGUGUACAAUUUGUCUCCUUACAUGAGAUUUCACCCUGGAGGUAUGGACAUGAUCUUAUUCUGUUCAAGUUAAAAUUUUUACUGGAUUUAGUUCUGUCAUUCAAUGUGUGUAUUGCUAAUGCAGGCUAUUACCUGCAUUUUCUUCGUGACACCCAAAUUUUUUAAAUGUAUUUAUUUGUCGUAGGCAUGUUUUAUCGGGUUACUGUCACUCUUAUUGAAGUUUCCUUGCUCCAGUAUGCCAACUUAGCUGACAAAAUAAGAUAAAUAGGAUGGGACUAUACCAAAAAACUGGGCUUUCUUUGUUGCUUCUAAUGAAGACUAGCUAUAAAAAGAUGAGGGCUAUUGGUAUAAGUUCCUUGAUGGAUGGAUGCAUACCCUCGUCUUGAGCUCAUUAAUGACCUAGGAAGAGUGAUAAUAUGGAAAGGCAAAACAGUUGAAUUGAUGAACAGUCUGUUGUUAACAAAAUCAUUUUCUAUUGAGCAUUUGCAAAUGCAUUACCACCAAUUGAUUACGUCCUUAAUUUGGCAAUUGGUAUCCAUCCCCUAGAAACUUCUUGGUGACGGGGUCAUUUGUUCUUACUGCUGCUAAGCAUAAAUAUUUGACUUUGUCGAGAGUUUCUGUAUGUUAGUUGGUAAGAACUACAUGACAUACUUUCCUUAUUUCUAAUGAAACUAUUUUUUUCAGGUGUUGAUAUGCUAAAGAAGGCGGUAGGAAAAGACUGUACAUCUUUAUUCAGUAUCCUUUCUAAAAUUUACUUGGUUAUGCUGAUUUCCUGAGUAUGUUUGGCCUAGUUACUUCUUGCUGGACCUUUGGUUUUAUUGUUUUGUUCUUCAGUCAGACCCCUCCGUGAGAACAAGAGAAUAGAUUUGCUCACAAGCGUUAAUUGGUGGUGAGCAAAUCGUUCUCUGAGAACAACUGCCCAUAAAACUUGUUACUACUAGUGGAAGAGUCGAAUUAGGCAGAUUUUUUCUUUUCUUAUGCACCAAAGAAAUUUUAAAUACUAAUAUCCAAAACUCAGUGAUACUCUUAAGGUUGUAUUUGUUUCUUGGAAUCAAGGCUGGGAAAUGGAUUUAGUCCUCCCUAAGAAUGCCUUUGUUAAGUGCAAAUUACUUCGGGUUUGGCCUUUCCAUGGACAACCCACGAAGUUAAGGUUUUGCAUUUCUAAGGGAAGUGGUGUAUUUCCUAAAGCCAUUCCCUGGUUUUGACUUUGAACUUGGAUCCAAUCCUUGGCAAUCUUUGGUUUCUUAUAUAAGUCGUUUAUGAAGUUCCCCCAACUUUGUUUAGGGUUCAAUAAUAAAACUUCAAAAUACCUUAUAACCUUUGGAAAUAAAUGACUUAUGCUAGAAACCAAGGAUUACCAAGACAAAGAGAAGAUCUAAAUCCACUUGUAAUUAUAAUGACGACCAUACCAUAUAUUUAUGCUUUCAAAAACUGAAACUCUGCUAGUAUCCUGAUUACCUUUGGAAUGUUGGAUUCUGUUGGUUUCUAAUCACAUCAUUCCAAGGAAUGAGUUUAGGAUUCCUAAAAUCCGAUUCAGCGAAACAACACAACCAAACGGUUUUCCUAAGCCUGGCCGAACCUUAAGCGAAUCUAGUGCCUACAAAUCAGCAAUGUGUUUUGGACCAUAUUCCUUUUUACUUACUCUAUUGUAAAUUGCUAUUAACUAUUGCAAUCCUUAUUACACUACUCUAGAUAAAUACCAUGCUUGGGUGAAUGCUGAAUUUUUACUUGAGAAGUGUCUCGUUGGUACUCUAGACGAUGGCGAAGGGCAACAUUUCAAUCAUUAGAAAUUUUAGGCCUGUUCAUCAUACAGGCAGAUUGGUACAGCAAUUUAUUUUUCAAUUCAAAUUUUAUCAAGCGAACAUCAUAUUAUCAUACCAGAAAAUAAUACAUUCUUACGUUAGAACAAGACUUUCUCAUUCAUUGUUGUACCAUGUUGUCAAAUUCAGAUUCUGUUGUAUAUUAUUAUUUUCAUAAUAAGCAUAUCAGAAAUGUUCUUUCAUGCUGUCGGGCUCUAUGGUUUGCUGUGCUAUGAAAUAAUCAAAAUAGUAAUUUACGUGGUUGAAACAAAGCUCUUGAUUUUAAAUGCCAAGUAGCAGGUUUGGCACAGCAUAUCACUGAUUCAAUUAUCUCCCCAUAAUCUAACUUAGAAAAUUUCGACAUGUAUUUUUUAUGAUCACAGCGUGCUCGUCAGUUCAGCUGCUAAACUAGUAAGGCAACGGGUUCUUAACAAGCCGUGGAAUAUGAUUUUUCACAUCAUCAAACAUCCCAAAAACCCUUGAUAUAUCUGAAUGCGAUCAAGAGGAACGCUUCUUAUUUUAGCAUAAGCUGCCAAAGAAAAUGACCUGACUCAAUUCUUCACUUCAUAUAUUCCUGAAAUUCAGUUCCUCACGCGGACAAAUUUUCUUAAAUUUGAAAAGUAUAUAGCCCUCUCUAGUCGAAAAUAGGUAAAACAUCUACCUUUAUCAACGGACCCGUAAUAGCUCCUAAAAAUCUCGGAAUGCGAUGAAAUUGGAACGAAAUUGAUCUGGAUAUGUAAUUAGAAAAAUCUGGAAAUCCGACUUUUAGCGACGAAAAAUCUGAUGAACACCGCUACUAAAACCUCUUUUAUGACGAAAAAUCCGAUGAACACCGUCGCUAAAAACUCUUUGGUGACGAAAAAUCUUCAAAUUCUGGGCAAAACAGCAGCUGCUUUUUUCUUAAUGUUUUAGGUCCUUUUUUGAGCUUCAAAUCGUCCUAAAACAUAAUGUAGGCCACCGGGGACCCCCAAACCUGGUCCAAAUCAUCAGAAUAAUCAUUCUAAACAUGUUGGUGGCAUCAGAUUGACCUGAAAAACAGCAAAAAAGAAAUUAGGCAGAAAUUCUAGUUUUGACCAAAAUAAGAACAUAAAAGCUAUUUUUCUAUUUUCUGGUAUCUAAACUCAGCCAAUGACCAAAAAAACUUAUGUAACACAUUUGAAACAUGCUGCAAACGUCCUAGGGCUAGAAAAAUGCGAAAUUUUUUCUUUGGAACACAAAAUCCAUUGUUUGAUGAUGCAAAACUGAACAAAAACAAAAAUAUGAAAAUUUACGAGAAAUCACACAUAAACUAAAACAAAACCGAAAACAAUAGUUAAGAAUGGUUGGGUUGCCUCCCAAGAAACGCUAAGUUUAAAGUCUUCAGCUAGACGCGGUUCUUUAGAUGAUUAACCAAUAGAUGGGGGUGGUGCAUCCACGUGCAUGCUCUCUUUUCCAAGCUCAAAAGAUUCAUAGUAUGGCUUCAAGCGAUGUCUGUUCACUUUGAAUAUGUUUCCCGUCUUGUCAUUUUGAAUCUCAACUGCACCAUGAGGGAGAACAUUAGUAACAACAAAACGACCGUACCAUCUAGAACGUAACUUACCUGGGAAUAGCGGGAGGCGUGAAUUGAAGAGCAAGACUUUCUGCCCUAUUUCAAAAGUCUUCCUUUGAAUGGCUUUGUCAUGAAAUGCCUUCGUCUUUUCCUUGUAAAUCCGUGCACUCUCAUAAGCAUCAUUCCUCAUCUCAUCCAAUUCAAUCAAUUGGAGUCGCCUUGCAUCUCCCGCCUCUUUCAUAUCGAAAUUGAAUUUCUUGAUUGCCCAAAAUGCUCGAUGUUCAAGUUCAACCGGAAGGUGACAUGCUUUACCAUAAACCAAACGAAAAGGAGACAUAUCAAUGGGGAUUUUGUGAGCUGUUCUAUAUGCCCAUAAUGCUUCAUUAAGUCUCAAGCUCCAAUCCUUUCUCGUAGGGCUCACGGUUUUCUCCAAGAUUUGCUUGAUUUCUCGGUUACUAAUCUCCACUUGUCCACUUGUUUGGGGAUGAUAAGGUAUCGAGACCCUAUGUGUAAUUCCAUAUCGCUUUAAAAGUGCCUCAAAUGACCUAUUGCAAAAGUGAGUGCCUCCAUCGAUGAUAAUGGCUCUUGGUGUUCCAAACCUAGAAAAGAUGUUGUCCUUCAUAAAGCUCAAAACAACUUUUGAAUCAUUAGUCCGGGUAGGAAUUGCUUCCACCCAUUUAGAGACAUACUCAACAGCAAGGAGAAUGUAAAUAAAGCCAUAAGAGGAAGGGAAUGGUCCCAUAAAAUCAAUGCCCCACACAUCAAAUAUUUCAACAAUAAGGAUAGGCGUUAAUGGCAUUUGAUUCCUAGAGCUAAUGUUACCGGUUCUUUGACAGCUAUCACAUGUGGAACAAUAAGUAUAUGCAUCUAUGAACACAGAUUGAACUUCAAGAUGUUAGCAUUCAUCUCCAAUUGGCUUUGUGCUAAAAUUCCUCCGAAAAGUUGAUUUUCCCUUAAAAACCUUCUAAGAGCGCAGAAAGCUGAAAAUCAUAAAAGUAAAGUAAUAAGUCCAUUUUAAAUCUAAUUCUCCUACAAAACCUAAGUAAAAAGAGUACAUAAAUGAGUAUGUUUAUGGACUUAUCGCACCACCACGACCACAUCCUCCUCCUCCGCCACAACUACAGCCACAACCUCCACCACCACCAAGCCGCCACCGCCACCGCCACCACCACCACCUCCUCCUCAACAUCCACCUUGGGAUUGUGUUAGCAUUAUGGGCCUGCCACAUAGUGCAAGCCUGCAAGGAUCAAAGUUUAGGCUUGGGCCUUUACAUGGUGCUGAAAUUUUCUUGGGGUUUCUGUGAAGAGGUAGGCUAAGCCCAAAAUAUAAGAAAACCUAAAAAAUGGAGGUUGCCUUGCCACCUUCUAGAAGGUCAGGGCCUUGUAGAAUAUUGACGAGAGUUGGGUUACCAAUACCAUUGGCUCUGCACAAUGUCCUUUGUUCCCUUCCUCAAGGCAAGGAUGUUAUGUUCUUUGCAUGAAGAAGGCAUCCACUUGAAUAAAGGGGGGGGGGGAGGAUAAGCAUCGUUUUAGUUGUCAAUUUUCAUAAGAGUAAUGGCUUGAAGUGUUAUUUUAUUUUUGUAUAUAUUUUGAUUUUAAAAUUUUAAUUAAUUUAAACGAUUAAGAAUUUUUAAUUAAGUUUUAGUUCCAUGCGGUAUCCACCUCACCCACUCAAUUAGUUUAAUGUGUAUAAAAUAACAAAAACACGUCUGUCACGUCAUCAGAUUUAACAUAGUUUAGAUGGUGUUAACAGUAUGGACAAAGUGGGUCAUCAAACUUCGAUCAAGGGAUGAAAGUGGGCCAUUUUAACUUUAAGAAGGUAAAGUGAGAUUUGACCGAAGAUUCAAGGAGCACUACAGUAAAUAAGCCUUUAUAGAAUACCGAGUACAUAUACAAACAAGGGAGACAAGAUCCCUAAUGCAAGGCGGGAGACAAGCCUCCCUAAUGCCAAGGCAGUCCACAAUUCUAAGUACCUAGGAAACACAAUCGAGGUACAUGGGAAACACAAAUCACAGUCUAUCACAAAUAUAUGUCACGGUCUAUCAUUAUUCUCUUCUCCAAUUCUUGCAUAAAAUCUAACAAUAUAGACUCCAUUAAAUUUCACAAAAUGACUUGGGCACAGCUCUAAGAGGGUGAGCCAUUUGCAAGCUGAGGCCAAACUUCUCUUCCAUGUUCAGGGUCUCUGGUAAAACCCCAUCUUCAAGCUUCCAUUCAAAAGAGUUAAUGAGUGAACCCAACAUCAAGGGCAGAAUUCGCAUUGCCCAUGGCAAGCCAGGACAUAUUCUCCUCCCAGCACCAAAUGGAAUAAGCUCAAAGUUUUUCCCGGUAACAUCAAUUUGGUCAUCCAAUCCCAAGAACCUCUCAGGCACAAAUGAGCUUGGGUUGUCCCAAAUGCUGGGGUCUCUGCCGAUGGCCCAUGCAUUCACAAACACUUGUGCACCCUUGGGUACAAUAUAGCCGCAAAUUUCAACGUCUGAAUCGGCUUUUCGAGGGAGAAGCAAUGGAGUUGCUGGGUGCAACCGAAAGGUCUCCUUGAUUAUUGCUUGGAAGUAAGGAAGCCGAGCAAUGUCUCCAUCCUCUACUGGUUUUCCUUUGCCAAUGAUUUUCUCUAGCUCUUGUUGAGCUUUUGACAGCUUUUCAGGAUUGCGUAGCAGCUCAGCCAUUGCCCAUUCCAACGUGGCUGAGGUUGUAUCUAUGCCCGCAGUAAAUAGAAUCUAUUCACAUAAUAAGUCACAAAAAUUAAUGGCAUGAUAAAUUGUAAUGACCAAGCAAUUAAAAACAAAACAAAAACUAACAAAAAACUAACCAGAAGCAGAUGUUGAAGUUUGGUCAUGUCCAUGUCCUCACUGUUCACUCCACUGAUGUUCAAAAGAGUAUCCAACAUAUCGUUGGUUGUGACAUAAUCAUGGGCUUUUCUAGAUUCCAAUCUUUGGCUAAUGAUGCAGUCAAAGACCUGUUCUAUCUUCCGGACAUGUUUGAUCAUGCGCCGCCUAAUUCCCUGGGGGUCAAUUUUCCUAAGAACAGGGAAAAAGUCCGCCCAGUUUGGCUUCCCUGCCUCUUCCAUCGAACCCCACACAGUCUCCUUGAACUCUCUGGCCAUCUCGCUGCUUGCGUCAGCCAAAUCCACAGAGAAGAUAGUACGCGAAAGCAGAUUGAGCGUCGUUUUGAAAGCGGCCCUUCCAAUAUCUACCGCCUCACCUUUGACCAAGCUUUCAUUGACAUCAGAUAUGAGCUCUUCCACUUUCAUGCGGCGGGUGGGUUGGUUGGCGUCAAGAAUUUUGGGGGCGAACAAGUGAGAGUUGCAUAUUUUUCGAAGGCUUCUCCAUUUGGAUGAAGUUGGUAUCCAGGGCAGGCUGUCUCCGCGAAGGUCACUGGCUUGGAUUGCAUCUGGCACGGUUCGGUUGGACAAGAAUCGGUCAUGUGUUUGGAGGACUUGUUUGGCUGUGUUUGACGAAGAAACAACCACCGUUGUUACUUGGCCGAGUUGCAGAGUUAUAAUGGGGCCAUAGAUUUGAGAAAGCUUAGUGAAAUCGAGAUGGGGUUUGUUUCCAAGCUCUAGGAGAUUGCCAAUGAAAGGAAGUGGCUUUGGUCCAGGUGGAAGAAGAUGCCUUUUGGGGUUGGCUUUGCUUCUGAGGGCUUGAAUUGAGAACAAGAACACAAAGAAAAGACUGGUUAGGAGGACCAUACAAAAACUCAAGAAAUCCAUUCUCUCUCUCUCUCUCUCUCUCUCUCUCUCUCUGCUGCACACCAAGUGCUCGACUAAAUGACUGAAGAAGAAGAAGGUUGUGGCAGUUCUUUCUUUUUUAAAACAACCUGGGCAAUGACUGAAGAAGAAGAAGGUUGCGCGAACUGAAGAAGAAGAAGGUUGUGGCAGUUCUUUCUUUUUUAAAACAACCUGGGCAAUGACUGAAGAAGAAGAAGGUUGUGCGAACUGAAGAAGAAGAAGGCUGUGGCAGUUCUCUCUUUUUUAAAACAACCUAGGCAAAACGACGUCGUUUUGUCCCAGGGAAUUUUUUUUUAAAUGACCUGGCCAAAACGACGUCGUUUUGGGCCAGGCCAGGUCUGAAUUUUUUUUCAAUUGAUUACGUCCUUAAUUUUUGCAAUUGGUGUCCAUCCCCUAGAAACUUCUUGGUGACGGGGUCAUUUGUUCUUACUGCUGCUAAGCAUAAAUAUUUGACUUUGUCGAGAGUUUCUGUAUGUUAGUUGGUAAGAACUACAUGACAUACUUUCCUUAUUUCUAAUGAAACUAUUUUUUUCAGGUGUUGAUAUGCUAAAGAAGGCGGUAGGAAAAGACUGUACAUCUUUAUUCAGUAUCCUUUCUAAAAUUUACUUGGUUAUGCUGAUUUCCUGAGUAUGUUUGGCCUAGUUACUUCUUGCUGGACCUUUGGUUUUAUUGUUUUGUUCUUCAGUCAGACCCCUCCGUGAGAACAAGAGAAUAGAUUUGCUCACAAGCGUUAAUUGGUGGUGAGCAAAUCGUUCUCUGAGAACAACUGCCCAUAAAACUUGUUACUACUAGUGGAAGAGUCGAAUUAGGCAGAUUUUUUCUUUUCUUAUGCACCAAAGAAAUUUUAAAUACUAAUAUCCAAAACUCAGUGAUACUCUUAAGGUUGUAUUUGUUUCUUGGAAUCAAGGCUGGGAAAUGGAUUUAGUCCUCCCUAAGAAUGCCUUUGUUAAGUGCAAAUUACUUCGGGUUUGGCCUUUCCAUGGACAACCCACGAAGUUAAGGUUUUGCAUUUCUAAGGGAAGUGGUGUAUUUCCUAAAGCCAUUCCCUGGUUUUGACUUUGAACUUGGAUCCAAUCCUUGGCAAUCUUUGGUUUCUUAUAUAAGUCGUUUAUGAAGUUCCCCCAACUUUGUUUAGGGUUCAAUAAUAAAACUUCAAAAUACCUUAUAACCUUUGGAAAUAAAUGACUUAUGCUAGAAACCAAGGAUUACCAAGACAAAGAGAAGAUCUAAAUCCACUUGUAAUUAUAAUGACGACCAUACCAUAUAUUUAUGCUUUCAAAAACUGAAACUCUGCUAGUAUCCUGAUUACCUUUGGAAUGUUGGAUUCUGUUGGUUUCUAAUCACAUCAUUCCAAGGAAUGAGUUUAGGAUUCCUAAAAUCCGAUUCAGCGAAACAACACAACCAAACGGUUUUCCUAAGCCUGGCCGAACCUUAAGCGAAUCUAGUGCCUACAAAUCAGCAAUGUGUUUUGGACCAUAUUCCUUUUUACUUACUCUAUUGUAAAUUGCUAUUAACUAUUGCAAUCCUUAUUACACUACUCUAGAUAAAUACCAUGCUUGGGUGAAUGCUGAAUUUUUACUUGAGAAGUGUCUCGUUGGUACUCUAGACGAUGGCGAAGGGCAACAUUUCAAUCAUUAGAAAUUUUAGGCCUGUUCAUCAUACAGGCAGAUUGGUACAGCAAUUUAUUUUUCAAUUCAAAUUUUAUCAAGCGAACAUCAUAUUAUCAUACCAGAAAAUAAUACAUUCUUACGUUAGAACAAGACUUUCUCAUUCAUUGUUGUACCAUGUUGUCAAAUUCAGAUUCUGUUGUAUAUUAUUAUUUUCAUAAUAAGCAUAUCAGAAAUGUUCUUUCAUGCUGUCGGGCUCUAUGGUUUGCUGUGCUAUGAAAUAAUCAAAAUAGUAAUUUACGUGGUUGAAACAAAGCUCUUGAUUUUAAAUGCCAAGUAGCAGGUUUGGCACAGCAUAUCACUGAUUCAAUUAUCUCCCCAUAAUCUAACUUAGAAAAUUUCGACAUGUAUUUUUUAUGAUCACAGCGUGCUCGUCAGUUCAGCUGCUAAACUAGUAAGGCAACGGGUUCUUAACAAGCCGUGGAAUAUGAUUUUUCACAUCAUCAAACAUCCCAAAAACCCUUGAUAUAUCUGAAUGCGAUCAAGAGGAACGCUUCUUAUUUUAGCAUAAGCUGCCAAAGAAAAUGACCUGACUCAAUUCUUCACUUCAUAUAUUCCUGAAAUUCAGUUCCUCACGCGGACAAAUUUUCUUAAAUUUGAAAAGUAUAUAGCCCUCUCUAGUCGAAAAUAGGUAAAACAUCUACCUUUAUCAACGGACCCGUAAUAGCUCCUAAAAAUCUCGGAAUGCGAUGAAAUUGGAACGAAAUUGAUCUGGAUAUGUAAUUAGAAAAAUCUGGAAAUCCGACUUUUAGCGACGAAAAAUCUGAUGAACACCGCUACUAAAACCUCUUUUAUGACGAAAAAUCCGAUGAACACCGUCGCUAAAAACUCUUUGGUGACGAAAAAUCUUCAAAUUCUGGGCAAAACAGCAGCUGCUUUUUUCUUAAUGUUUUAGGUCCUUUUUUGAGCUUCAAAUCGUCCUAAAACAUAAUGUAGGCCACCGGGGACCCCCAAACCUGGUCCAAAUCAUCAGAAUAAUCAUUCUAAACAUGUUGGUGGCAUCAGAUUGACCUGAAAAACAGCAAAAAAGAAAUUAGGCAGAAAUUCUAGUUUUGACCAAAAUAAGAACAUAAAAGCUAUUUUUCUAUUUUCUGGUAUCUAAACUCAGCCAAUGACCAAAAAAACUUAUGUAACACAUUUGAAACAUGCUGCAAACGUCCUAGGGCUAGAAAAAUGCGAAAUUUUUUCUUUGGAACACAAAAUCCAUUGUUUGAUGAUGCAAAACUGAACAAAAACAAAAAUAUGAAAAUUUACGAGAAAUCACACAUAAACUAAAACAAAACCGAAAACAAUAGUUAAGAAUGGUUGGGUUGCCUCCCAAGAAACGCUAAGUUUAAAGUCUUCAGCUAGACGCGGUUCUUUAGAUGAUUAACCAAUAGAUGGGGGUGGUGCAUCCACGUGCAUGCUCUCUUUUCCAAGCUCAAAAGAUUCAUAGUAUGGCUUCAAGCGAUGUCUGUUCACUUUGAAUAUGUUUCCCGUCUUGUCAUUUUGAAUCUCAACUGCACCAUGAGGGAGAACAUUAGUAACAACAAAACGACCGUACCAUCUAGAACGUAACUUACCUGGGAAUAGCGGGAGGCGUGAAUUGAAGAGCAAGACUUUCUGCCCUAUUUCAAAAGUCUUCCUUUGAAUGGCUUUGUCAUGAAAUGCCUUCGUCUUUUCCUUGUAAAUCCGUGCACUCUCAUAAGCAUCAUUCCUCAUCUCAUCCAAUUCAAUCAAUUGGAGUCGCCUUGCAUCUCCCGCCUCUUUCAUAUCGAAAUUGAAUUUCUUGAUUGCCCAAAUGCUCGAUGUUCAAGUUCAACCGGAAGGUGACAUGCUUUACCAUAAACCAAACGAAAAGGAGACAUAUCAAUGGGGAUUUUGUGAGCUGUUCUAUAUGCCCAUAAUGCUUCAUUAAGUCUCAAGCUCCAAUCCUUUCUCGUAGGGCUCACGGUUUUCUCCAAGAUUUGCUUGAUUUCUCGGUUACUAAUCUCCACUUGUCCACUUGUUUGGGGAUGAUAAGGUAUCGAGACCCUAUGUGUAAUUCCAUAUCGCUUUAAAAGUGCCUCAAAUGACCUAUUGCAAAAGUGAGUGCCUCCAUCGAUGAUAAUGGCUCUUGGUGUUCCAAACCUAGAAAAGAUGUUGUCCUUCAUAAAGCUCAAACCUAGAAAAGAUGUUGCCCUAAACCCUAAACCCUUGCCGGCAAAUGCUUCAACCAUCAUCGAACCGUGGCAGCCGUUCCUUGCAUCGCCAACGACGAAUGAGAGAUUGUAGAUCUUGUUGGGAACAGUUCUAAGAACCUGGGCUAUGGCACUUUCUCUACCUGCAACAAGCUCAACGGCGCCGUUUCCAAACGGGAUAUUGAAGUGUUGGGAGUCGAUGAACUUUACGGCUUUGAGGGACUUGAUGAUCGAGCCAUGAAGUGGGGAUGUCACAUCUAGUUGUUUUGGAGGGAGGAGUACACCAUGGGAAGAGUUGAAUAACCUAUGGGGAGCCUCCUCAAACCCAGGAUUUCUGACCAAAUUAUCUGCAAAAAACAUUCAAUGUUUUAAUAAGCAAAACAAACCCAAAACAGGAAACAGAGUAAGCUUAUAGCGCUGAGUUUGUUUCAGAUAAAAUUGUAUGCUCAAAUUCUCUACCAAGGUAUAUAAUUCAUCAGGCCUCAGAAAACAGGGAACACAGGGUAUACAAUUUAGCUAGCUAAAUGUGUAGCUCAAUUGUUCUUCACCCAAAAAAGAAGAAAAAAGGUCAGAAAGGCAAACUCAUUGUUCAUAUGGAUGCAUAUCAAUAAAAACCACAUCUUGGAUAUCACUGAGGACAGGGGAACCCAGAUCUAGAUAACCCAGAUAACAAUCAAGCAACAAACUUUUGCAAAAUCAGCAGAGAUCCUACAAGUUUUAGAUGAAUAACCCCAAAUACAGAUUGAUCCAAAAUUUAGAACAGAAACAUAUUCUUUAUACAGAAAAUGGCAUAAGCAUAGUUAUACGUUUUUUAUUUUUAUUUUUAUAAUUACCUCUAGUGGGUAGGGCAGGGAAGAGUUCCUUGAUAGCAAUUGCAUCCAAGAGAGGACCACAAGCAGGGUCCUCUUGAACCCCAGGAUUGUGAAAAGUCAUUUUUACUACAUUGGAAGUGGCUCUGAAACCCCAAGCAUAAGUAUCACCUCCAUUGCUACUAUAGAGAGUCUGCAAAGGAAGGUCCCCUGCCUGAGGAGGCACUGAGACCCUCAAAACCUCUUCUUGUGCACAAGUCCUUGAUGCCCCAAAUGUUAGAGCACACAGAGACCCUGGUUUCACCUUUAUGGUUUGAGAGAUGGAGGCCUCAUUGCCAAGCCUCACAGCAUGAACACCAUGAGCCACAGAAAAGUACAUUCCACCCGGUUGCGGGCCGCCGGAGAUGUACUCCACGAAGCCAUUGAUUUCCCAUUUGGGCAGUGCAUACUUGCCGAUGAGUACUGUUUUCUUGAG